rnacentral:lncRNA from 1 species
UCCAUAUCUCAAACUGUGGCUCGUUGGAAGAUUUGGAGAUUGAUUGGGUUGGGGAAGGAAAGAAAACAGUAGAAUCUAAUUACCUUCAGCCUUGGGUCGGUGGGCAUCGAAAGGUGUUCGAGGUUGAAGGACCUAACAUGGGUUGCUUUUGCUCCAAACCUUAGAAUUCUUGAAAUACUUGAUUGUGAUCAAAUGCAAGAAGUAAUAGGUACCGGUAAAUGUGCUGAAUCUGCAGGGAACGGAGAAAACCUUGGUCCAUUUGCCAAACUCCAAGUGCUUGGCUUAGAUAAUUUACCACAAUUGAAGAGCAUAUUUUGGAAAGCCCUGCCAUUUAUCUACUUAAAUACAAUCUAUGUAGGUAAUUGUCCACUUCUAAAGAAGCUGCCACUCAACGCCAACAGUGCCAAGGGACAUCGUAUUGUCAUUUCCGGACAAACCGAGUGGUGGAAUGAACUAGAGUGGGAGGAUGAGGCAACUCAAAACGCUUUUCUUUCAUGCUUCGUACCUAUUGAAGAAUAAGGGCCUGCAGCAAUCUUAAAGAGGCUUCAAUGUGAUUAUAGGUGAGACCCCUUUCAGAAUUAACCAUCACUUGAUCCUGAAUAGGUAUUGGUCCAAAUAAAGCAGUCAAUUAUAGCAUCUUUUCAUGGUUGUAUAUUCAGAAAAAUGCAAUUCCACUUCAAGCACAAAAGGCAAUUGAUUGCAGGUUUACAAGAGAUCAUCUUCUUGUUGGAAUUCAGAUUCCGUAACCUUUACACAUGUUGGUCAGAUCUGACCUUUAAAAAGUACCCAUAUAAAAAAGCCCUUGUGGCUUUUCUAAUUUAGCUUGACAAGUCAAUGGUAUAUAUUUUUAUGCGAUCUUAUUUUAUUUAGUUGCAGAAUAUAACUUCAUAUGCAAGAAAUGCUAGCUUUCACAACCUUGGCUUGGCAAGAAUCCGUUGCUGUCCGAGGUUGAAGGAUCUGGAUGGCUUAUUUUCAAGCCAAAUGCUCAAUAUGUUGAUGUGACAAGUUGUAACCAAAUGAAACAUGUAAUCGUUUAUCUAUGUGAGGUGAACUGAUGGUGUAUAUAUGUUGUUUCAUAUUGUUUGUGUGAAUUGAUGCAUAAUUUGUUGUGAUUUAGUGUGUACAGUUGCAUCAUAUAAUAAAAAUGGUUUGUGUAUUUGAAUUGCAAUAUGACACUUUUUAUUCUUGGAAACAAUUGUGAGAUGCAUGUGUGUCGAAAAUUUGAGCUAGAUGGCUUUUCUUAAUUGAUCUACUUCAACUGAAGAGCAUGCGUCGAAUUUCUUUGCUUGGAACCAAUAAUAGGUUUACUGGGCUGAAAUAUGUAUUAUCCUCAUAUAAAUAUUGCUUUUCAUGGUUGUAUACUUUGGGCUUCCAAUGUAUAAUUUAAAAAAUAUAAUGGUUGAGUCCGGGUACUCCAAGAUCAGCUAGGAAAUAUGGAGAAGGAACUUUUUGAUGGUCCUUACCUUAUUCUAGUGAAUGGUGAUUCUCAUAGCUUUAAAAGAUUUUUUUACUCAUCAAAACAUUUGUACUAAGCUAAUAUCUAGCUAACACUUGGGCCAUUUGGCUACUCAAAAUUUUUGGCUAGUAUGUGUAAGAGCUAAGUCAAUCUUCUAAGGUAUUAAGUGAAAAAUGUAUUAAUUUCAACUCUCAAGCGAUGAUAGAAUAAAAGUUUAGAUGGCUUCUCAGCUAAUAGUUUGUAGGGAUUUGAAGGGUGUCACAACUUAUUAUCAUUAUAUCCAAUCUAUAUUGCAUUUUGUAAUUACGCUUACAUAAAACUUGUAUUUAUACCCUCAAUAUUUAAAAAGUAUAGUUGGUUGAUAAAAGAUUUAGUAGAAAUCCUAUUAUUCCUAGACACGAGAAAGUUUAAGAAUUUAUAAUGCAUCAACCUUCAAUAGUUAUAUGUAUUUCGUUUGCAACAUCACCCACUCACUAGAAGUAGACCUUAUGGUUAUAUGUCAAGGUAGGUAAUAGUGUUGAUCCCUAGACGCAUGGAGCCUUGAGGAUAGUAAAACCCAAAUAUGAGUAUGAUAUCAAAAUAGAUAAAACGUGUAGCUUCAACCAAAAUUCUUUUCUUAUUACUAUUGUACAUUUCAUAUAGAUGCACUAAAUUUACAAUCCAAUUACACUACCCAAAUUCCACUAUGGCUUCAAAAUUAAACAGAAUCAAUCUUUAUUUUUGCAUGUAUUUUUACUUGGUGUGUUUUUCUCUUAAUUUACAACUCCAUCUUGGUUCUUUAAUAAUUUUCUAGUAUGAAGCUGAGUGAGUUCUUGAACUUAGUUCAGGAUUUUUUUUAGAAUUCUUUGGCCUCAUAUCUAAUAACAAUUUUUUAAUCUUAGCUAUUUCAAAAUUCUUCAAUUGUCAAAUUGUUGUGCCAAUGUGAUAGUUUUGAACUUAUUUCUAUUGUGCAAUUAAAGCAAAAAUAAAAUAAGCAAGAAACAUAAAAAAAACAAGGUUUAACAUGGUUACUUGGUUAUAUUUAGAAUUUACUAUUUUAUAAUGAAUAUUAUGAAAAGAAAACAAGACAAAUAUACAAUUUUAAGUUUGAAAACAAUAUCAUAUUUUCCUACUCAUAAUGAAUUUAAGUGCUAAACAUAUAGUUAGGAAUGGGUUAGAGGAUCCAUUUCAAAUUGUUUAUUAUAUAUUUCUAUUAAUCUUGAUAAGAUUUCCAUAUUUUAAAAAUUGCAUUUUUGGAAAGAAAAGCAUCACCAUAGUUGAAAUUUUUUAUUAUUUUGAAACUAUCUUUUGAAUCAAAGAUUAAAAAAAAAGAAAAAAGGAAUAAGAUCAUAUUAAUUUUUUCAAUUUGCUUUUGAAUUCCUUUUAUAACUUUUCAAUUUUUUUAUUCAUUUUUGUAUUAAUUUUUUUUCCUUUGUCCAUAUAUCAACUUUCUAGAUGUUUAUACUUCUCCAUUAAUGUUAUUACUCUCUAUUUUAACAUCUUAAUUUUUUUUCUUAAGUUUAUUGUUUCAAAACAAGAAGGGUAUAUAAUGACUUAAAGAAAAUAUAAUGUUAAUUUUUAUUAGAGAUGUAUUUAAUUUUCAGGUCUGAUUUACCAUGUAAUUAUUUUAACUUCAAUCAUUCCAUUAAAAAUUAUAUAAAAAAUAGUGGAGGAGUCUAAAAAUGGGCUGAGAGAGGCAAGGCAUAGGUAUCAUCUGAGGGUAGGUAAAUGAACAAAUUACUUGUGUGGGCUAAUGGUAAUUAUUAAAAUUCAUGUUUUAUCUUGAGAAAGGAAACAAAUCCCUCUUUGUACAAAAAUUUUAGGGGAGAACUCACCCUAAUCAGGAUGGGUAGACCAUAAUUGGGCACCAUAACUAAGGGGUCCCAUUGGUUCCCUCCUCUCUUUCUCUCUCUCUCUCUCUCUUUUUUUUUUUUUUUGUAAUAAUCAAAUACAACUUUUAAUGCUUGUAAUGGGAAUGGAGUGUAGGAUGUAAACCAUCAAUUAAAGUUUAUUCAAGAAUAAUUGUAAGAGGAUUAGAAGUCUCUCCUAGUAUAAAACCAUUUCCUUACAAUUAUUAUAUAUAUAUAUAAAACAAAUUUUUGAAAAUCAUUUUUAAAAUCUAAUAAUCAUUUUAAGUGGUUCCUAGAUAAUUUGUAAGUAGAUGGUUUUAUCCAAAUAAUUAUUUUAUUAUUAUAAUAUAACAUUAAAUCACUAUUUUGUUUAUAUUUAAAUGAUAAGUGAUUGUAUUUAAAAUUAGUCCUAAUGUAACCAUUACUUAAAAUCACUUUUAAAAAUCUCAAAACAUAACUCGAAGUGAUUUUUAAACAAUCACUUGAUAAAUAUUUCUUCUAUUUUUUUUAUAAUACUUUAUCAAAAAAUACUAGCAAAACGUUUUUUUUUUAGUUUGUAUUUGAAUGCUAAGGUAGCAUUUAGAUAUACUUUUUAUUCUAUUUUUUUAAAAAAAAAAUAAUUGAUUUUUUUUUUUUAUAUAAAAUAGAAGAACUAUAUCACAUAAAGCAAAAGUUUAUCAUGUGUUCUUUAAAAUUUUUUCCAAAACUUUGAGAAAGUGAACAUUUUUUACUUUCUUAAAGUUUAAAAAUUUCAAAAAGUCUUUUCAAAUAUUCAAGGUAUAUACUUACUUUUGUACAAACAUUCCUACAUUUUUUUAUAAAGUUUUCUAUUUUAAAAAUAAAAAUAGGAAAUAUAUCCAAACAUACGUUAAGGGAUUCUCUUUAAAAAUGUUUUUAAUAGAAGCGCUACUAACAAAAAUAGUGCUACAAAUAAAAAUAAUUUUUUUUUCAAUGUUUCAGAUUACCGAAAGGAAUAAGGGAAUGCAACAUUAUGGAAGAAGCUUAAAAAUGAUUUUUGUUUAGGCUUAUUUUAUUUGCAAUCUUGCAAUCUCAUGCCCCAAGUGUUCUCAUUCAUCAAUUUCAUUGGUAAAAUAUUAUUAAAGAAAUUAAAUCAAGAACCCUUUUCAUAUUUAUAUUUAAUGGAUGGAGCAUUAGCUUAGCUAAGGGUCCCACGUGUGCCCCAUCUCUCUUUAACAAAUUCAACUUCAAUAAUUCACUUUCAACUUGGUGUGUCCCAUCAGACCCCUCAACCACUUUCUAAUCCUUCAUUUCCCUCUCUUCUCAUCAAUUUUCCUUUAAUAUCUAGAAAUACAAGCCAUUCAUUUUUGUCAUUCUUCUUUCUUAUCCUCUCCUUAGAAUUUUAAAUACAUCAUGUUUGUCGUCUCCAUCUCUACCCUUUCUUUAAUUAGAGUUUAUUUAGGAAUAAUUUUAUGAGGUUUAGAAGUGCCUCCUAAUAUAGAAACACUUAAAAAAAAUUAACAAAAUUUUAAAAAUCACUUUUAAAAUCUAAAUAACCAUUUUAGAUGGUAGAGUACCUUCUAAAGAGGAAAACAUUGAUUAUAAAAAUAAUAUAAAAUAAAAUAAAAACAGCUCCAAAAUCUCAACCUAACAAUAAAUUCAAGUGUUGAGAUUCCAAAAUAAGGAAAGACUUUAGAAGUUAUCGAAGGUGUCUUCUUUUCACAUUUCAAUUAUUAUAUUUUCUCAUACACUUUCUUCUAUUCACAUUUCAAUUGUUGAAUUUUCUCAUUGAUUGAAGUAACAAUUAAUGAGAGAAGAAAGUUAAGAGUAAGAGACAAUUCAUCUCUCUCUCUCCCACUAAAAUGUCUUCAAGAUAUUAGUUUGUUCAUAUGUACUUUCAAACUUUAAAAUUUGGAUGGAUUCACCUAUACUUUCCAACUUGAUUAAUACAGUCUACCAAGUGAUAGAGACUAAGUUUUAAAAGUUGUUUUUCCUUUGUUGUAAAAUUAUUUGUCUAGAUAUUUUGAGUUAAGGUCAUGGUAUAUUCCACUUAAUGAUAAUUGUAUUCCUCGUUAGAAAGUAUUCAACAUUAUUACAUAACAUGUUUAUAUAAAAUAUCCAUCCAUUCAUAUUUCGUUAUCUUAAAAUUUAAUAAUAAAAAAGAAAAUUAUUUGGAUUUGAAAAUAAUUAACAAAAAGUUUUAAUCAUUAGAAAAAUAAAUUUUAUUUGUUUUCAAUUAGCUGAUUCUUAACCCUACCACAACAUAAAUAAAAAAUACUUUCUAACAAUUUGGUGCAUUGUCAAGUAAUUUCCAAUUUCUAUAAUAAUUUGGUGCAAUGUCAAGUAAUUUCCAUUUUUUUUUAAAUAAUGAUGCAUUUGCUAGGUAAUUUCCAAUUUGGCCAUUAAAGCAUAAUUGCAAAUACCAAAUUGGGUAAAAAAAUGUUAUCAAUUUUAAGGAAAGAUCUUAUGACACAUUUCAUUUUACAUUUUUUUUUCUUGAUUUUAGGUUAUUAUGUCUACAUAAUUCUUAUAUUUUCAUUUUAAAAACUUGAUAAUUGGAUUGGCUUUUCAUUUGAUUUUGCAUUUUUUUUCUUCUGGAUUUUAGGUGAUUAUGUAUACAUAAAUUUUAUAUUUUAGAUGAUUUUAAAUAUAAAACAUUUUUACUCUAUGAUAAUUUUUGUUUAUCUUUUUCCUUUUUAGCUUACACCUCUCAACAUCUUAUUUGCAUUUUAAGCUAAGGAUGUAAUUUCAUAUGCAUGGCAACAUCUUAACCAUGAAAGGGGUUUUCUAAAAAAAAUAAUUUAAAUCAAAAUUAAGAAUAAAAUAAAUAAUAUCUUCUUUUUUAUGAGACUUGAACUAACUUAUUUCUUACCAUUUUCGUAUUUAUAAAAAUAAUAAUAAAGGAUACAAAAAGGAAAUCUUAAUCAGACAAAUACUUUCACCUAACAAUUAUCAUUGCAUCGUGAAUAUUUGAAAAUCAUAGUAGUAAAUAUCAUAAUUAACUAUAAAUAAAUAAACAAUUAAAAAAAAUUACAAGUUUGGCAUUAAUAUACCUUCCAAACAACUAACAUCUUAAAAUGUAUAUGAACAUAUACUAAUUAAUUCUCUUUAAAAAUGUUUCUAAUGGAAGGGUACUAACAAAAAAGUUGCAAAUAAAAAUACUUUAAGCAAAAUCCCUCUUAAGCAAGUUUUAAGUUAUAAUAAAUAUUUUUCUUCAAUAUUCCUAAUCAUCCAAAGAAAUAUGGGUCUACAACAUUAAGGAAGAAACUUCAAAAUGAUUUUAGUUUAAUUUUAUUUCCUUUGCAAUCUUGCAAUCUCAUGCCCUAAAUGUUCCCAUUCAUCAAUUUUUGGUAAAAUUUUAUUAAAAUUAAUAAUUAUUAAAAAAAAUUAAAUUUAAAACAUUUUAAAAAAAUCAUAUCCAUUUAAUUACAACAAAAUAAAACUUUCUUGUUAUCAUGGUAAAGUAACUCCAAGAGAGAAAAUAAUUGGUUUUCAAAAAUAAAAAAUAAAUAAAAAAAACUUCGAAAAAUUUCAAAUGUUCCAAAAAUUCUAAAAAUUCCAAAAUCCAAGUUUUGUGAUCUCAAAAGAUGGAAAGACUUUACAAGUUAGCGACAAUUUCAAAUUUUCAAUUGGAGUUGUAAUAAAAUUUAAUUUAGAUUGCAAAUCACCAUUUCAAUUAAUCUCAUUUUUUGUUAAUCCAAAUAGCAGUUAAUAUGAGAAGAAUAUUGAAUAAGGAACAACUCAUCUCUCUCUAUAAAAAAUGUCUUCAAGAUUUUAUUGCAUUCACAUAUCCUUUUCAACUCAAAUACUAUUGUCCCCCUAAUAAUAGAGGUCAUUUUCUAAAAGUUUUCUCACUUAUUUUACAACCAUUAGUUGUUCAUACAUUUCAACCUCGGGAUAAGGUAUAUCCUUCUUGAUAAUACUUGUGUUAAUAAUGAGAAGGUAUUCAAUACAUAUAUUCUACCACAUUAUAUUAAUAUAGUAUAAAUGUCCAUUCAUAGUUAUCAAAUCAAAACUUAAAAGGGAGGGGAAAAAAAAAGUUAUUUGGAUUUGAAAAUAAUUAAUAAAAGCUUUAAAUUAUUGGAAAAGGGAGUUAUAAAAAUUAUAUUUUAAUAAAAUAACUUAAUUAUCAUUUUAUUUAUUUUCAAUUAAUUUAUUCUCAAUAAUAUCCAAAAUAUAAAUAAAUUAUUAUAUCACAUUAGUAAGCAUUAUAAUACCACAUCAACCAGCUUAGAACAACAAAGAUACCCAAUAUUGAGCCCCCAGCCCCUUCCAGCCUCUCACUUUCCCCACCUUCUCCAACGUCUCUCUGUGCCUUUUUUGCCUUUUGUCCCAUUCAAUGCCCUUCACUCUUCUCCACCACUACGGCUCCACCGCACUCCUUCUCAGGCCUACUUUGGUCAAAUCAAAUGUCCUCAAACUGUAUCCAAGCCUGUAUUUAGGUUUAAUUUUGUCCUGUAGCACUAAAAAUUGAAAAGCGUAGUUGAAUUCCUUUUUAAAAUCUUUUUUAAAAAUCUCAAAAUUAAUUAUUUGGAAUUGUAUUGCGGCCAUAGUAGCUAUUGUAAUAUUACGAAGGGAUAAAGAAAAAGACAAAAAAGCAAUGGAGUCUAAAACAAUUAGCGGAUGGAGCAUGAUUGAGGCAAAUUAGCUUAGCUAAGGGUCCCAUGACUCAUUUCAUUUGGGUCUUGCAAUCCUAUGUUCUAGCUGUGCUCAUUCAUCAAUUUCAUUGGUAAAAUAUUAUUAAAAAAAUUAAAUUAAUAACCUUUUUCAAAAACCAUAUCUAUUUAAUACAAUAAAAUAAAACUUUUCUAAUCAGGGUAGAAGAAGGUGAUAGAGUAACUUCUAAAAAGAAAAGAAUUGAUUAUAAAAAUAAAAUAAAAACACUCUAAAUAAAACCAGGAAAAACUUUAUAUAGAAAAGGAAAAUUAAGUAAGAUAGAUUAGGAGUAGCAAAUAAAAAGAAAUAUUUAUUUUAAAUAUAGUUUUUAUCUUCUCUAUUUUAAACAUAGUUUUAAAAAGCAAAAAAUUUAUCUUGCUUUUUUCAAAACUUUUUUUCAAAAGUUUGAGAAAAUAAAAAUGUUUUAAUCUUUAAAUUUUAAGAAUUUUACAAUAUUGUAACUAUAAAAAAUCUUUUAUAAUGUUUUUUGAAUAAAUACUUGAUAGGUGGUUAUAUUAAAAACACUUUUGGAUACAAUAUUUCCAAUAAAAAUACUUCUAAUAUUGCAAAAAGAUUGUCAAUGGACAUAGUGAUAAUAAUUGCAUUUCCCACAAAUUUUCUAGAAACCAAACAUAUUAAUGGGGAUUACAAGUCGCUUGGAAUCAAAUUAAGUUACAAUGCAAACAUAUUUUCUGAAUAUGACAAUGAAGUGGAAUUGGAAAGUAACAAUGCAAAUCAAAAUCAAAACUUAACUACAAACAGUUUUUUGCAGCAUUUGAUCAAGAAUUCAUGCAACAGUUCUGAGACCAAAUCGUAAAUAAACUCUUUCAAGUGUUUAGUUAACUUGUCAUUUUUAGCUUUUUACCAUUGUAAGAAAUGCAAUGUUUAGAUAUUAGCAUAAAAUGUGAUGUCUUCAGAGAUUUGAAAAUAUGUACUUGAAUUGUUAUGUUUUUUCUUUAAUUUGAUUUAGGUUUUAUCAAUCUAUUAUUUUUCAUAUUAUUAAGUUUAAAUAUUUUAAUUAUAUAAAAAAUAAAUAUAUUAAUUAUUUUUUGUAAGAAUGAUAAUGAUAAAUUAUUUAUUAUAACAAUUUUAUUAUUUUGAACUUUUUAGAAAUAAGUUAAAUUAUAUUUUUUUAAUACAUUAAAAUAUUAAGAUAUUGGUUUUUAGUAUAUAUAAAAACAAACAAUUUAAUAAUUAAUAGAAAUAAAAUAUUAAAAAAAUAAACAACUUAAUACUUAAUACUAUUAAGCAUUAUUUAGUAUUAAGUUAAAAAUAAGUUCUAUUUAGAAUUAAGCCAAAAAAACAAACGCCACCUAAGUUUGUGACUUUUCUAAUUUAGCUUAAUAUGUCAAUGGUAUAUAUUUUUAUGCAACCUUAUUUUGUUUAGUUGCAGAAUAUAGCCUCAUAUGCUAGAAAUGCUUCCACAACCUUCUUUUAGUAAGAAUCCAUUGUUGUCUAACGUUGAAGGAUUUGGAUUGCUUACUUUCGCCCCAAAUGUUCAAUAUGUUGACAUGGUAGACUGUAACAAAAUGAAACAUGUAAUUGUUUAUUUAUGUGAGGUAAACUACUGGUGGAUGUAUGUUGUUUCAUAAUGUUUAUGUGAAUUGAUACAUAAUUACUUGUGAUUUAGUGUUUACAGUUGCAUCAUAAUAAUAAAAAAAAGGGGUUUGUGUAUUUGAAUUGUAAUAUUACACAUUUGAUUCUAGGAAAUGAUUGUGAGAUGCAUUCUACAAAGUGUUUCAAAAAUUUGAGCGUAUAAGCUGGUAAAGAAUACAUGUGUUGAGCUACCAAGGAAGUAAUAAGGAAAGGAAUUGACCUGCCUAUUCCGAUUGAGGAGAACAAGUGAGAUCCCACUUCCUCAUGAAUUUAUCUUGAUGGUUCAAUAAAUGACUCACUCAAUGGUUAGUUGGUUAUAAGCCUUGGAAUGAGAAAAAAAAAGUCUCAUAGUGAGUCUUAGGAUUGUAUAACCCUUUUAACUCAUUUAUAUUGUGCAAUAUAAAAAAGCAAAGAUAAAAUAAGCAAGGAACAUAAAAGACAAUGUUUAACAUGGUUGGUCAAUUAUAUUUAGAAUUUGCUAUUUCAUAAUGAACAUUAUGGAAAGUAAACAAGACAAACAUAUGAUUUUAAGUUUGGAAACAAUCUCAUAUUUUCCUACUUAUAAUUGAAUUUAAUUGCUAAACAUAUAGUUGGGAAUGGGUUAGAGGAUUAAUUUCAAAAUGUUUAUCAUAAUUCUAUUAAACUUGAUAAAAUUUCUACAUUUAAAAAUUACAUUAUUGGAAAGAAAAGUAUCAGUUAUUGAAUUUUUUUUUUAUUAUUUUGAAACUAUCUUUUGAAAUCAAAGAUGAGGGGAAAAAAAAAAGAAGAGAUUUAUUAUUUCAAUUUGCUUUUGGAUUCCUUUUUAUAAUUUGUCAAUUUGUUUGUUCAUUUUUAUAUAUAUAUUUUUUCCUUCGUUCAUUUAUCAACUUUCCAAAUGUUUGUACUUCUCCAUUGUUAUUACUCUCUAUUUCAACAUCUUAAUUUUUUUUCCUAAGUUUAUUGUUUUAAAAUAAGGAAGGGUAUAUAAGCAGUGAUUUAAAGAAAAUGCAAUGUUAAUUUUUAUUAGAGAUGUAUUUAAUUUUCAAGUCUGAUUUACCAUGUAAUUAUUUUAACUUCAAUCAUUUUAUUAGAAAUAAUAUAAAAAGUAGUGGAGGAGUCUAAAAAUGGGCUGAGAGAGGCAAGACAUAGGUACUUAUCCGAAGGCAGGUAAAUAAUGAACAAAUUACUUGUGUGGGUUAAUGGUAAUUAUUAAAUUCAUGUUUUAUCUUGAGUAAGGAAAUGAAUCCCUCUUCGUACAAAAAUUUUAGGGGAGAACUUAUCCUAGUCAUGACGGGCAGACCAUAAUUGGGCACCUUAACUAAGGGGUCCCAUUUGGUUCCCUAUCUUUUUUUUUUUUAUCAAAUACAACUUUUGAUGCUUGUAAAGGGAAUGGAGUGUAGGAUGUAAACCAUAAAUUAGAGUUUAUUAAGGAAUAAUUGAAAGAGAAUUACAAGUCUCUCCUAGUAUAAAAACAUUUCCUUACAAAUAUAUAUAUAAUAAAUUUUUGAAAAUCACUUUUAAAAUCUAAUAAUCAUUUUAAGUGGCUCCUAAAUAAUAUGGGUUUUAUCCAAAUAAUUAUUUUAUUAUUAUAAUAUAACAUCAAAUUACUAUUUUGUUUAUAUUUAAAUAAUAAGUGAUUGGAUUUAAAAUCAUCCCCAAUGUAACCAUUAUUAAAAAUCACUUUUAAAAAUCUCAAAAAAUAAGUCGAAGGGAUUUCUAAACAAUCACUUGAUAAAUAUUCCUUCUAUUUUUUUUUUUGUUUUAUAAUACGUUAUUAAAAUUUACUACGAAAACAUUGUUUUUAGUUUGUAUCUAAAUACUAAGGUAGCAUUUAGAUAUACUUCUUAUUCUAUUUAAAAAGCAAAGUUGAAAUUUCUAUGCAAAAUAGAAGAACUACAUCACAUAAAGCAAAAGUUUAUCUUGUGUUCUUUAAAACUCUUUUCAAAACUUUGAGAAAGUGAACAUUUUUUACUUUCUUAAAGUUUAAAAAUUUUAAAAAGUGUUUUCAAAUAUGAUUGGUAUAUACUUACUUUUGUAUAAGCAUUCCUAUAUAUAUAUAUAUUUUAUAAGGUUUUCUAUUUUAAAAAUAAAAAUAGGAAAUAUACCCAAACAUACACUAAGGGAUUCCCUUUAAAAAUGUUUUUAAUAGAAGCACUACUAAUUAAGGUAGUGCUACAAAUAGAAACAUAUAUUUUUUCAAUGUUUCAUAUUACCAAAAGGAAUAAGGGAUUGCAACAUUAUGGAAGAAACUUAAAAAUGAUUUUUGUUUAGGCUUAUUUUAUUUGCAGUCUUGCAUACUCAUGCCUUAGAUGUUCCGAUUCAUUAUUUUCAUUGGUAAAAUAUUAUUAAAAUGAAUGAUUAUUAAAGAAAUUAAAUAAAAAACCCCUUUCAUAUUUAUAUUUAAUGGAUGGAGCAUUAGCUUAACUAAGGGUUCCAUGUGUGCCCCAUCUCCCUUUAACAAAUUCAACUUCAAUAAUUCACUCUCAACUUGGUGUGUCCCAUCAGACCUCUCAACCACUUUGUAAUCCUUAAUUUUUCUCUAUUCUCAUCAAUUUUCCAAUAUCUACCAAAAUUCUUCUUUCUUAUCCUCUUUUUAGAAUUUUUCAUACAUCAAUGGGAAAGUCUGCUCUAUCUCCAUUUCUGCCAUUUCUUUAAUUAGAGUUUAUUUAGGAAUAAUUUAUGAGGUUUAGAAGAGCCUCCUAAUAUAGAAAGACUUAAAAAAAAAUUAACAAAAUUUUAAAAAUCACUUUUAAAAUCUAAAUAACCAUCUUAAGUGAUUCCAAUACAAUCCCUAACUAGAUGAUUCUAUACAAAAUACUCACUUUUUUCUUAUAUCCAAAUAAUAAGUGAUUCUAUUUAAAACUAUUAAUGAUGUAACCACUAUUUAAAAAUCACUUUUAAAAAUCUCAAAAAAUAACUUAAGGUGAUUCAUGAGCAAUUAUUUUAUAGGUCAUUCUUUUAAAAGUUAAUUAUUCUUAUUCGAUAAUACCUUAUAAACAAUACUAUUAAAACAUUUUUUUUUAGUUUAUAUCUAAAUACUAAGAUUUUGGAUAUGCUUUCGAUCUAUUCAAAAUAUAAGAAAUCUAACACAUAAAGAAAAAAAAAUUAUCUUGUUUUCUUUAAAACUUUUUUCAAAAUUUUGAAAAUUUUGAGAAAGUGCAAAUUUUUUUAAUCCUUAGAUUUUAAGAAUUUUAAAAAAUAUUUUUAAGUAUAUAAAAUAUUCAUUUACUUUUGUAUAAGAAUUUCUAUAUUUUAUAUAAGACUUUCUAUUUUAAAAAACAAAAAUAGGAAAUACAUCCAAACAUAUACCAAGUAAUUCUCCUUAAAAAUGUUUAUAAUGGAAGCGUAACUAACAAAAGGGCUAGAAAUAAAAAUACUUUAAACAAAAUCACUCCCAACCGAGUUCUAAGUUAUAAGAAAUAUUUUUCGUCAAUAUUUCUAAUCACCAAAAGAAAUAAGGGACUACAACAUUAAGGCAAAAGCUUCAAAAUGAUUUUAGUUUAGCUCAUUUCAUUUGCAAUCUUGCAAUCCCAUGCCCUAAAUAUUCCCAUUCAUCAAUUUCAUUGAUAAAAUUUUAUUAAAAUUAAUAAUUAUUAAAAACCUUUUUCAAAAAUCAUAUCCAUUUAAUCACACAAAAUAAAACUUUCUUGUUAUCAUGGUAGAGUAACUCCAAGAGAGGAAAGAAUUGGUUUUAAAAAAAUAAAAAAAUAAAAAAAACUUCUAAAAUUUUUAAAUGUUCCAAAAAUUCUAGAAAAUUCCAAAAUCCAAGUGUUAUGAUCCCAAAAUAAGGAAAGACUUUACAAGUGGUUGACAAUUGCAAAUUUUCAAUUGGAAUUGCAAUAAAACUUAAUUUAGGUUGCAAAUCACCAUUUCAAUUAAUCUCAUUUCUCAUUAACUGAAAUAACAGUUGAUAUGAGAAGAAAGUUGAAUAAGGAGCAAUUCAUCUCUCUUUAUAAAAAAAAAUGUCUACAAGUUAAGUACAUUCACAUAUAAUUUACGUACCUAAUACUUUUCAAUUAAUCUAAAUGUCUUCUCACUUCUUUUACUACAAUUAGUUGUAUUACAAGGUAUUUUAGCUUGACAGUCAAGUGUAUUCUACUUAAUAAUACUUGUAUUAGAAGGUAUUCAAUUCAUCUAUUCUACCAUUAGUAUGUUAAUAUAAUAUAAAUUGUCCAUUCAUAUUUUAUCAUAUCAAAACUUAAAUAAGGAAAAAAAAUUAUUUGGAUUUGAAAAUAAUUAAUAAAAUCUUUAAAUUAUUAGAAAAAUGAAUUAUAAAAAUUCUAUUUUAACAAAAUAACUUAAUUAUCAUUUUAUUUAUUUAUUUUAGUAAGUUUUAUUAUACCACAUCAACAAGCUUGAAACAACAAAGAUACUCAAUUUAUUCUUAUUAAUGUUUUCAAUUUGACCAUCAAGGUGUAAUUGCAGUAAUUUACCCUUUUUUUUCUAGGUUUUGAUGAUUAUUAAUGUUUACAUAAUUCUUAUAUUUUAAUUUUAAAAUUGCAAAACGGGACUAGUUUUUCUAUCAAAAUUUUUUGAGUGGACAAUAAAUUAUAAUUGAAUGCAGAACAUUUGUACAAACAAAUAAUUUAAAAUCCUGAUUAAAAAUAAAAUAAAUAAUAUCGUCUUUUCAUAUAUUACUUGAAUGAACUAAUUUCUUAACAAUUUUAUAUAUAUAUAUAAAAAACGUAAAUCUAAUGAGACCGGACAUAGGAAAUAUGAACUUUUUUACCGAGUCUACCCAUAUCAAUUGUAAUUCUUGACCAUCAAGCGGUAAAUAAUAUAGCCAAUUAAAAAUUUAGUUAUGUAGAAAAGAAAUCCCACCAGCUUCAGAGUGAAGUGAUAUACCUUUAAAUAAUUCAGAGAGAGAGAGAGAGAGAGAGCAUAGCUUUGCUAAGGGCCCCAUGUCAACGACUUUGUGCCCCAUCACCUUUUUCCUUUCGUUCUCUUCAUCAAUUUCCCAAUAUUUGCAAAUAAAAGACAUUUCUUUUUUCCUACGAAUUUGUCAUUCUUCUUUCUUACCAUCUCCGGGCCCAUGUCCACGACUUUGUGCCCCCAUCACCUUUUUCCUUUCGUUCUCCUCCUCAAUUUCCCAAUAUCUGGAAACAAAAGACAUUUCUUUUCUCCUACGAAUUUGUCAUUCUUUUUUCUUACCUUCUCCGGCCCCAUGUCCACGACUUUGUGCCCCCAUCACCUUUUUCCUUUCGUUCUCCUCAUCAAUUUGCCAAUAUCUGCAAAUAAAAGACAUUUCUUUUCUCCUACGAAUUUAUCAUUCUUCUUUCUUACCUUCUCCUUGGAAUUUUCAUACAUCAAUGGGAAACGUGUUCUCAGUCUCAAUCUCUACCGAGGACAUAGCUGGUUGUUGUUGUGAUUACACUACUUCUCGAGCAAAUUACCUAUGAAAGCUUGAAGAAAAUCGGGUUACUUUGAGAACAGAUCUUCAAAAAUUAAGGGAGUUGAAGAACGAUGUGAAUAGGAAGGUGGAUGUGGCUGAGAGGCAACAAAUGAAGCGUCUGGAUCAAGUACAAGGAUGGAUUUCCAGGGUGGAAGCUAUGGAAACCGAAGUUGGUCAACUGAUUGGAGAUGGUGCAGAGACCAUUGAGGAGAAACGAUUAUGUGGCAGUUGCUAUCCCAAGCAUUGCAUCUCCAGCUACACGUUGGGAAAAAAAGUGGUCAGGAAUCUACAAGAUGUGGCUACUUUAAUGAGCGAAGGACGUUAUUUUGAGGUGGUGGCUGAUAUUGUACCUCCAGCUCCUGUGGAGGAAAUACCCAGCCGACCCACUGUGGGCUUGGAAUCAACAUUUGACAAAGUUUGGAGGAGUCUCGAAGAAGAACAUGUAGGGAUCAUCGGCUUAUAUGGGUUGGGGGGCGUUGGGAAGACCACCCUCUUGACACAAAUCAACAAUCAUUUCCUUAAAACAUCCCACAGUUUUGAUGUCGUAAUUUGGGUAGUGGUCUCCAAAACUCCAAAUCUAGAGCGGGUUCAGAAUGAGAUUUGGGAGAAGGUGGGAUUCUGUGAUGAUAAAUGGAAAAGCAAAAGCCGCCAUGAGAAAGGCAAAGACAUCUGGAAAGCCUUGAGCAAAAAGAGGUUUGUGAUGUUGCUGGAUGACAUGUGGGAGCAAAUGGACAUGUUAGAAGUAGGAAUUCCACCUCCUGACCAACAAAAUAAGUCUAAGCUGAUAUUCACCACUCGAUCUCAGGACUUGUGCGGCCAAAUGGGAGCUCACAAGAAGAUAGAAGUGAAAUCUUUAGCAUGGAAGGAUUCGUGGGAUUUGUUCCAAAAAUAUGUGGGAGAGGAGACCCUUAAUUCUGAUCCAGAAAUAUCUGAGCUAGCUGAAAUGGUUGCAAAAGAGUGUUGCGGUUUGCCACUUGCGAUAAUUACCAUAGGGCGAGCCAUGGCUUCUAAAGUGACACCCCAAGAUUGGAAGCAUGCAAUUAGAGUUCUACAAACAUCUGCUUCAAAUUUUCCAGGUAUGGGGCACCAAGUAUACCCACUUUUGAAAUACAGCUAUGAUAGUUUGCCCUCCAAAAUAGUUCAAUCUUGCUUCUUAUAUUGCUCUUUAUUCCCCGAAGAUUUUUCCAUAUAUAAGGGAACUUUGAUAUGGACAUGGCUUUGUGAGGGGUUUUUAGAUGAAUUUGAUGACACGGAUGGAGCUAAAAAUCAAGGAUUCAACAUUAUUAGCACUCUCAUUCAUGCAUGUCUACUCGAGGAACCUUCAGAUACUAAAUGUGUAAAAUUGCAUGAUGUGGUACGUGAUAUGGCCUUGUGGAUAACUGGUGAAAUGGGGGAGAUGAAAGGCAAGCCUUUGGUACAAACAAGGGCUGGUUUGACCCAAGCACCUGAGUUUGUCAAAUGGACUACGGCAGAAAGGAUUUCACUGAUGGACAACCGAAUUGAGAAGUUAACAGGAUCACCCACAUGCCCCAACCUCUCGACACUUCUUCUGGAUUUGAAUAGCGAUUUGCAUAUGAUAAGCAAUGGUUUUUUCCAAUUUAUGCCCAGUCUAAGAGUGUUGAGCUUAUCAAACACGAAAAUAGUUGAGUUACCAUCAGAUAUUUCUAAUUUGGUUUCAUUGCAAUAUCUUGAUUUAUCUGAUACAGAGAUAAAGAAGUUGCCAAUUGAGAUGAAGAAUCUCGUAAAAUUGAAGGUUUUGAAUUUGCGCUCCACGUCUAAUCUCUCUUCAAUUCCACGAGGACUAAUAUCAAGUCUUUUAAUGCUGCAAGCGGUUGGCAUGUACAAGUGUGGACUUUAUGGUCUAGUAGUUGAAGGAAGCAUUGAAUCAUAUGGUAAUGAGUCCUUGGUAGAAGAAUUGGAGAGCUUGAAAUACUUGACAGAUUUAAGUGUCAGCAUAACAAGUGCCUCUGAGUUCCAGAGAUUUUUAAGUUCCAGAAAGUUACCGAGUUGCACUCUAGCAAUCUGCCUCAAGAUGUUCAAAGGUUUAAGCUCACUCAACCUAUCAUCUCUCGAAAAUAUGAAGCAUCUCAUUGUGCUUGCGAUGGAAGAUUUUGAUAGUUUGAGAGAGAUUAAGUUUGAUUGGGCAGGGAAAGGAAAGGAAACAGUGGAGUAUAGCAAUCUCAACCCAAAGGUCAAAUGCUUCCAUGGCCUUCACGAAGUGGUUAUUAAUAGAUGCCAGAUGUUGAAGAAUCUGACAUGGCUUAUUUUUGCCCCAAACCUCCUAUAUCUUAGAAUAGGACAAUGUGAUGAAAUGGAAGAAGUGAUAGGUAACGGUGCAAAUGAUGGAGGAAACCUGAGCCCAUUCACAAAACUCAUACAACUGGAGUUAAAUGGUCUACCCCAACUGAAGAAUGUGUACUGGAAUCCCCUGCCCUUUCUUUACCUUGACAGAAUUGAAGUAGUGGAGUGUCCAAAGCUGAAGAAGCUACCACUCAACUCCAACAGUGCCAAUCAAGGUAGAGUUGUGAUAGUAGGAAAGCAAGAGUGGUGGAAUGAGUUAGAAUGGGAGGAUGAAGCUACUCUAAAUACUUUCCUUCCUAGUUUCCAAGCAAUAUAAGAACAAGGGGGCUAAGGUAUGAUUCCAAUUAAAAUCAGCCAAAUAUAAUUGGAAUGUGUAUUAUUCUUUAAUUCAUUAUAUAAUUAGUUGCCUAUCGUUUGCAGGAUUUGAAGGUAUGACAAAUGUUUGGGUGUUUGUUGUGGAUGUGAGGUAAUGCCUUACAUUUUCAUGUCUUGAUACAAAUGGUUUUAAUUUCCUCUUUUUUGGGACUUUUUUUUUCUAUUAAUAUUUAUGGAAUUAAUUGAGAUAAUAGUUUCAAGUUUUUGUCAUGCUUAAUCAAAGAUAAUACUUGUCUCUACAAUUUUAUUUUUAUUUUUUUUAACAUGUUUACUUGAAGCUCCAAAUCCAAUUAUAACGAGAAAAUGUACAAUUUUAAAAACCAUUUCCAUACUCAUACUUUGAUAUCUAUUUUAUCCUUUAAAAUAAAAUAUUCCUAUGCUUUGGUAUCAACUAAGAAUGUGUUUGGUAAUGAUUUUAAAAAAUGAUUCUACAAUUUUUAAUACUUGAAAAAUUAAAAAAAAAUUAGUGUUAAAAAAACCAAGAACACUUUUUAGAAUUACUAUCAAACGCACUUUAAAUCUGUGAUUUACAAAAUUACAAGGUUGAUUACAAGAAAAUGCUACACUCAGUUUAAGUCUCAAAUAUGCUAGCUCUUAGUUUUUUGACUUUCCAUUUCACUCCACUCUUGUCAUCUCAAGUUUCAAAUUAGAGGUGAAAGAACAAAAAAUAAAUGUAUAAUUUAGUGUCCAAUUGGAUAUAUUUAUAAUUUAUUUAUAAAUAUUUAUUAUUUUUAGUAAAUAUUUUUUCUUUUAUAAAGCAUAUUUAAUAUAUUUGAUUAUUUAAAUUAAGUUAAUAAAUUAAAUGAACUCAUCACCUUGAUCUACCAAACAACCCUUGAUUUUUUAGAGCAAUUUUUCUCUAAAGUAAUUAAUUUUCCUCGUGAUUUGGAUUUGUUGAUUUCAGCUCUUUAUUUAUUUAUUUAUUUUAAAAAUGGCUACAAAAUAAAAGAUAAAUAAAGAUCUAACUUGAAUGUGCCACGUCAUACAGAAAAAAAAUUGAUACAAUACUUUAAGCUUAUAUAUUGCUUCAUCUUCAGAGCAGGUAACGAUUUGAAAGAAAAAAGGUCAGUUCUCCAACUGCUUUUGCGUUGGAAGACUUGACUUGUAUCCCGUUCACUUUCACACUCACUAAGGUGGCUUCUAAGAAUACUUGAUUAGAGUGUUUUACACUUCGUAGGUCUUCCGCUUUGGACAAAAUAAAUAAAUAAAUAAAUAAAAAUAAAAAUUCAGAGUUUCCUGAAAACAAAAUAAAUUUACACUUAAUUAAACUUUAUAAUUUAAUUUUUCUAUCAUCAUGGAAGGUUUUUGUUGAGUUUGAGAUAAAGUUGUUAAAGGAAUUGUUUUAUAGGCCCAGUUUGUUAAUUGUUUUUUAAAAUAGUUUUCUAUUAUAACAAAAAGAAAAAAAAAACACUACAACCAAAAAAUAAAAUCAUUUUCUCGUUUUUAAAAAUAGAAAAUAAGGUGUUUUCAAAAAAAUAAUUUUAGAUUGUUUUAAAAAUAAUUAUAUAAAUAUAAAAAACGAUUAAAAAUAAAACAUUAUAUAUAAAAAGCUAAUGAUUUAAAAAAAACUAUUUAAAAUAACUGAGAUAUUAAAAAGUUUUACUUUCUCAAAUUUAAAUUUUUUUUAAACAUACAACCUAAACCUUUGCAUACACUUUCUAUUUUUUGGUUUCAAAAAUAGAAACUUCUAUAUAAAAAGUAAAAACUCUUAUAAAAAAAGAAAAUGAACUUAUCUUAUGUCUUUCAAAAUUAUUUUUAAAAAUUUUAGAAUUUGAGGUAGUAAAAAAUGAACAUCCCUCAUUUUAUGUAAUACUUAAAUUAAUUAAAUCUAAGAUAUAAACAUUUAAUAUUUAUAUGAGAAAUGAUGGUCUUCUCCUGCUAUGUUAUAGAUAACUUUAACAAGAGGGAGCUCCAAAUCAUCCACACACUGGGCUACAUACCUCGACCUCUUAACAAAGUUUUAAUCUUCAAAGUCAAGCAGUCCGAAGAGGAAUUGGAAAGCCAAGUUAGGGGACACUUAGGGAUUUUGUCCGGAAUUGCCAACCUAACUAAACAUUCACAAUCUCCCAUUUUGGCAAUUUUGGGACAAAACCCUUUACAACACGAUUGAGUACAAGUAAGUAAGCCCCACCCAACUCUCAUACAAGGCCACUCACUCACUCAAAACCUCACCAAAGGUACUACAAUGCCUGUAAAUAAAUCUCAAGAAAAACAGUAGUAGCACCUGCUCAUAUUACCAAGAUGCUUCCACAAAUUUCAAAUGAAUUGACUCACAAAUAUCCACAUAUAUCCACAAAGAUCACUUGUCUAAAGAUAGUUAAUAUGCAUUCAUGAGUCCAAAACCAUGUCCAAUAUCCACAGAUACACAAAAAGGUCAUCACGAUCAACAUAUCAAAUAUCAAAAGCAACAAAACACAAAGAAAUUGUCAUGAUCAACUACAUGUCAUAUCAACAUCCAUGUAAAGUGUAAAAUGUCUCCCCCUUUUUAUCCCAAAAGAAGACAAAGAAUUGUCCAAAACAAGCAAAGUAUAUAAGACUAACAAAUUGAACAUGAUAUCAAAAGAAAGUUAUCUAAAAAGUUAACUAGCUACUACAUGGCUAAGAGAGAUGCUUAUGGACAAAGUCUUUAAGAGCUUGCAGCUAAUACAUGUUGCAAAGCAUUUGUCCAUCAAUUAGUGAGAAGCCUCUCUCCAUAUGAGAUUGGAGUUGAAUUUACUCAGACAACAAAGUGGAUUGUGCAUAAAUUUUCUCAUCCAAUGCAUCAAACCUAUCACAAAGUUGAGCUAGGACACUUGAAUCUACAAUUGAAUCUGAGUCACUUUCAUCAAUUUUUCUCUUAACUCUACAAUGGCACACAUUUUUCUUAGAACCAAGGGCACCCUUAAUCCUUCCCCGACUUCGAUUCCGAUAUAAGGUAUCAAUGGGACCCAUUGGUUCAAGAAAGAAGAAUUUAUAGGAAAUUCAACCCCAACCAUUUGGCAAAUUUUAGUGAUUAAAAUACCAUAGGGAAAAACCUCAUACUUAGACAUGAAAUGAUCUCCUCGAACAAUCAUCUCAUCUAAGAUACAAGAUGCUAGGUUGAUGGGUUCCCGAUGAAGAAUUCGGGACAAGAGAAUGCAACCCUUCUUAUAAAUAUCUACCCAAUGAGAAGAAGGAUAAACUAAGAAUGUUAGAAAAGUCGCCAACACCCAUGCGGGACGAGAUAUGCUACCAAAGUGUGCAACUAAGCCUAGCUGACAUCGAACCUCUCCUCAUAAGUCAAUAAACACUCUAUCCAACAACUCAGAGGUGAUUUCCAAUUCAUUCACAGAGGGUGCUUCAACCAAUGGGAUGCCUAAGACUUCAGCAAUCACCUCUGGAGUGACUUUAACAACAAUUCCAAGGAAACUUGAUUUUAGGUAGGAUUCAUCCAAGUCAUGUUCAAUAAUAUUCGAAUAAAACAUUCGGACAAUAGGAGCACACACAGUUCCAAUGAAGCUUGUUAGAGGAAGUCAACCUAGUUCUACAAACAGUGCUGGAAUUGAUGUGUUGAGAAAUGAUUCUAGAUGAAGUUGUCUCUCAAGAAAAAUAGACCUUUGAUGAUAAUCUUUGGUGUAUAGGUCUCUACAGAACUUUGUCGGGAAAGCAUUGAAAUCAAUCCCAUCAAUGGAAGUUUUCGUAGGAGCUUUAGGGAUACUGGGAGGUUGGACAAAAGGAUUGAUGGGUAAAUUCUCAUCCCGAGCACUUUUUGGGGUCUUAGAGGAUGACCCUUUAACAGGGACUUUGCUCCCACGACCUUUUGGAGGCAUAGUUCUAGGCAAAAAUACAAAGAACCAAGCAACCAAAGAUUGAAACAGUAUUAGAUAUAAAACAAUCCACUCAAAUAGCCUACUGUGAAAAAAUCUCACAUAAAAACUAACAAGCAAAACCAGUGGAGGAUGAACAAACCUGUACACAGAGGAACAGGGGCUGCCAGAAUAGAGAUCCUAUGGCAGAAAAGACACAAACACAACUACAAGAAAAAGAACUCGCCAAAAAGGGUGCCAACCACAAUAGAUGGAGCAUCAAUCAACGACAAAAACUGAAGCUUAGGUCAGUGAAAAACACCGGAGAAAAUGCCGACAAAAAGAAAUGAAAUGCAGGCCGACAACAAGAAACAAGAAAAAUGAGCUAUGCAGAUCGUGAUAGGUUGAAGAUCUUGCUGGAAAAUAUAUCGACAAUAGUGGAGAACUAUAGGCUGAUGGCAGGAGCAAGAAACAAUGAGACAAUUGGAGCCGGAAAAGAAAAAUCGGCAGCAGGCGGAACAGAAUCUGCUGAUUGUGCAAAAACUGAGAUGAUUAGCUGUACUGAACGACAAUGAGAACGGAAUGGGAAUGACUAGAAGAGAACACAGAAUACAAUGAUUUCUGGUGACAGUAACCAAAAUUAAUGACCGAGGGUGAAGACUUAAGAGGAUGUGCAGAGAAUGAAGGUUCUCUUCUUUGAAACGAAAGGCUUAAGGCUUUUUAGAGAAAUGAAAGAAUGAAAUGCAUUUUUGGGGAUUUUGAGUUUUUUAAAAAAAUUUUGACUUUAAAUUAUGAAAAUGCCCCUCAUCCAUUAAACCAUAUGAGUAAAACCAGUUAAGGGCAAAAAUGGAAUUUUUCACAAAUACAUGUUAGGGGAUUUUGACUUUUUCAAUUUUAUUAAUUUUAAAUUACGAAAAUGCCCAUGAUUCAUUAAACCAUACAAGUUGAACUAGAUGAGGGCAAUAAUGGAAUUUUUCACAAAUGCAUAAGUGGUAUUAAUCUUGGUGGAUCGAUCCAGCUUUCGAUCGUGAGCUCUCGAUGAUACACAGUCACAUAAGUUGGAACAGGCCAAUUUUUUUUUUAAAAAAUGGCUAAGUGUGUGAGAGACAAGGUAUAAGUGGUAUUGAUCUUGGUGGAUCAAUCUAGGAUUUGUUCAAGGGCUUUCAGUCAUAAGACUGUGCACACAAUGGAUCGAUCCACAAAUACAACAGAUCGAUCGACACCCUAUUGAAAAAUGAAUUGGGCAAAAACUGAAGAAAAAUCAUAAGAAAUACACCAACUAGCUUUCCAAAAACUGAAAAAAUUGAUCCAUCAAAGUUGAGAUACAAUAGGAUGAUAUACUUAUCUUUUAAUCAAGGAGAUAGAAUUGAUUCAUAUUGAACAAAAAUGCUUCUAAGAACUGAACAAUAGACAAAAUUAACAAACAUAGAGAUUGAAAAACCUUCCAAAUUUAUCAAAUGAAUAGGUAAAAAACAAAUGGUUAUCAACACUCUAACAAGGAAGCUUAAGCUCAAGAAAAACUCACUCAUGACACCAUAAAAUGGUGAGAAUGUUAAAUAAUUUCCACUUAUAAAACUAUAUUCAUUUAUGAGCCUAAAAUCAUUUUCAAGACACUUUUCCUUCCUAGAGAAAUUCAAGAUAAUGUUCCAUGCAGUCAAUUUGCACUUCUCUUAGCCGGAUUUAUGUAACAUGACCUAUUUUCACCCCUAAAAAAAAUCAUACAUCAUUUGUUUUUCACAUUAAGCAUUGAAUGAUUACACACACAUGAGUUUCACCCUUAGGAUCAAUUUUUGACUUGAGAAUCACUAAGGUGGCCUUAACAACAACAUAACAUAAGGGAUGUACCAAUUUUGCAAUGGAGACUUGUCACACUUGAAAUAUUGCCAAUGAGUAAUAACCAUUCCGGGAAACUUGAUUUUUUUUUUUUUUUCAUUUUUUUUUAAUUUCAAGGAGAGGACAAACAAUUAAGGAAGAACAAUCUCAAACACUUAAGGAUAUUCUGGGUGACUUUACUCACUCUUUAAUGCUCAUUAGACAAACAUAAGUUUGCAUUUAGACUAUAAAGAGCAUUACUCACCAUUUAUGCAAUCACAAGGUUCAACCAUGAGUUGUUACUCACUUAAAAGAAAUGAAACUAACCUUUUGUAAUUUAUCUAAUCAAAUCAAAAUAGCAAGGAUUCAAUAUCAUGUUUAUCAAUCAAACCAUGGAGAUAAAAACAUCUUGAAGCUUUUAAGAUCAUUAUGAGUCAAUCUAACUUUUAAACAAAAGGAUAAGCAUGUCAUUCUCAUGAACUCAGCAAUUUUUGAAAAUUUAUGAAAAAUGAAAAAAAGAUCAAACCAAAACAAAGGAAACAUCAACUUGAUGACAUUUAGGAACUUAGGAAGACAACUAAACUCAAGAAUAUGCAAGAGGAUGUCCUAGAUAGGUUCUAGAGGUAGUCAACUGAUUGUGCAUAAACCUAUGGAUUUUCUAAGUGAUUCAAACUUAGACACGUCCAAAGGUUUAGUGAGAAUAUCAGCAAUUUGACCCUCAGUUGGAACAUAUUCCAAUGAUACCACUUUGUCUUCAACUAAGUCACGAAUGAAGUGAUGUCUAAUGUCAAUGUGUUUUGUUCUAGAGUGAAGAAUAGGGUUCUUGGAGAUGUUGAUUGCACUAGUAUUGUCACAAAGCACCACCAUGGUUCCUUGAUCUAUUCCAUAGUCUCUUAACAUUUGUUUGAUCCACAAAAGCUAAGAACAAUAACAACCGACGAUAAUGUAUUCCGCUUCAGCUGUGGAAAGCGAAAUAGAGUUUUGCUUCUUACUCAUCCAAGCAACCAAACAAUUACCAAUAUAGAAACAACCAUCUGAAGUGUUUUUCCUAUCAUCCAUAUUUCCAACCCAAUAAAUAUCAAUGUAGCAAGCAACAUCAGAAUGAGUGUCAAAUGAAUACCAAAGGCCUAGCUCUAAAGUACCAACAAUGUAGUUAAUGAUGCGCUUAAGAGCUAUGAGAUGAGAUUCCUUAGGACAUGCUUGAUACUUAGCACACACUCCAAUACUAAAAGCUAUGUUCGGUUUACUAGCAGUGAGGUACAAAAGGCUACCAAUCAUGCUUCUAUACAAUGUUUCCUCUACCUUUUCCCCUAAUUCAUCCUUACUUAGCUUUAGGUUGGUAGGCAUUAGUGUCCUAAAAUGUUAGUUGACUCAAGCCCAAACUUUUUGACAAGUUCAUUUGCAUACUUGGAUUGGGAUAAGAAAAUCCCAUCCUUGAGUUGUUUCACUUGGAAACCAAGAAAAUAGGUCAAUUCCCCUACCAUGCUCAUCUCAAACUCACUUUUCAUCUCAUUAGCAAAAUCUAAAGCACACUCACUAGAGGCAGAGCCAAACACUAUGUCAUCCACAUAGAUUUGUGCUACCAAGAACAUUUCAUCAUUUCUUCUAAUGAACAAUGUUUGAUCAACUCCCCCUCUCAUGAAUCAUUUCUUAAGAAGAUAAAAUGUGAGUCUUUCAUGCCAAGCUCUAGGAGUUUGCUUUAAACCAUAGAGAGUUUUUCUAAGUCUAUAAACAUGAUUAGGAUACCUAGGGUCUUGAAACCCUUUGGGUUGUUCCACAUACACUUCUUCAUUGAGGAUUCCAUUAAGAAAGAUAUUCUUGACAUCCAUUUGAAACAAUUUAAAUUUCCAUACACAAGCUAUAGCUAAGAGUAUUCGAAUGGAUUCAAGUCUUGCAACUGGAGCAAAGGUUUCAUCAAAAUCAAUUCCCUCAAUUUGCUUAAACCCUUGAGCAACCAACCUAGCUUUAUUUCUCACAAUCACACCACUUUUAUCCAUUUUAUUUUUGAAAAUCCAUUUUAUUCCAAUGAUAUUCAUAUCUUUUGGUCUAGGCACUAAGAACCAAACUUCAUUUCUAGAAAAUUGAUUUAGCUCUUCAUGAAGAGCCUCUACCCAAGCUUCAUCAUUCAAGGCUUCUUCAACUUUUUUUGGUUCAAUUUAGGAGGUAUAACAAACAUAGCUUAUCUCAUUUAGCUUGGAUUUUCUCUUUGUUACCAUGAUAUCCUUAUAGUUCCCAAUCACAUUGCUCAAUGGAUGGUUCUUAGGUACCCUUGACUUAUUUUUCUUUGAUGGCUCAAUUCUCCCCCUAUCUCUUUUCUUUUCUUCCUCUUCAUUUAACUUUUCAUCUUCAUAUUUAUCUUCAAUUACUUCAAUAUCUUUUGACACAUCAAUUCUAUCCUAAUCACAUUCUCUUGACCGUGAUCCUAGACCAUCUACAAUCACAUUAAUUGAUUCCACCAUAUAUUUUGAACACAAAAUGAAUACUUUAUAUGCCCGACUUUUGGAAGAAUAUCCUAAGAAUAUCCCUUCUUCACUCUUGGAUUCAAACUUUCCAAGAUUUUCAUGAUCUUUCAAGACAUAACAUCUACUUUUAAACACCCUAAAGUACUUCACACUAGGUUUUUUACCUUUCCACAGCUCAUAACAAGUCUUCCUAGUGUGAGUAUGCAUGUGAAUUCUAUUGGAAGUAUAGCAAGUGGUAAAGGAUGCUCCCUAAAAUGCCCUUACCUAUAGACCAAAACGAGGGUCUACAAAUAUGCCUCUCUUCAAUAGAGCUCAUGAGUGUAAGGAAUAUGAACACCGAAGUGAAAAGAAAGUGAAUAAUGAGUGGAAUGAAGUGAACUCUACUGAAGAACAAAUGAGACCCCCAAAAGGAUGUUAGUGAGACAUGGAUUCACUCAAGCCAACAGAUGAACAAAAAACCUCUAAUCCUAAGAGAAAAAGAUGUCCCAAAAUGCCUCUGAAGCCACACCGAAGACCCAGGCUCCCUCUAAGACAUCUCCAAAAAUGACUCGAAAGACCAUAUCAAAGAUGAGUAACGGUCGAACCACACUAAAGUACAGGAAAGAACGCCCAAAGGAAGCUACCCUAUGUGAACUACAUGAGAAUGCCAAGCGUAGGGUGCUCAACGACAUGACUGAAGUAUGUGUCAUGAACCCAAGGUCCAUGUCAUGUGCAGUGGAAAGGGAAAUCUGGAAUAGCAAUGACGAACAAGCAAUAAGCACCAAGUAACCAAGUGAGGAGAAUGACUUUGAACGCCCAAAAUGAAGGAAUAAUGGUGACUCAAAAUGCUUGGAUGAGUAUGCAUAACGGCUCUGAAAGCAAACUAAAGAUGUGACUCUGAAUGUCAUACUGAACAAAGACUUUGGACGUCGAACCGAGCUGAUAGAAAAAUGGUUGAUAGAUAUAGGUGCGGCCCUGACUCAAACUGAACUGGCAGGAUAAAUGAUUGAUCGAUAUGGGUGCAGUCCUAACUCAAACUAAACACAAACUGACAAGAAAAUGGUCGAUCGAUAUGGGUGCGGCCCCGACUCAAACUGAACACAAACUGAUAGGAAUAUGGCCGAUCGAUAUAGGCGUGGCCCCCAAAACGUAAAUUCAAACUGACAAUAUGAUGAUUGAUCAAUAUAGGUGCGGUCCCGACUCAAACUGAACACAAACUGAUAGGAAUAUGGCCGAUCGAUAUAGGAGCAGUCCCCAAAACAUAAACUCAAACUGACAAUAUGAUGAUCAAUCGAUAUAGGUGCGGUCCCAACUCAAACUAAACACAAAUUGACAAGAAAAUGAUAGGAAAAUGGUCGAUCGAUAUGGGUGCGCCUUAACUCAAACUGACACGACGAAUGAUUGAUCGAUAUAGGUGUGGUCCCAAAAAAAUGAACAUAAAUUGAUAGGAAGAUGGUCGAUCGAUAUAGGUGCGGCCCCGAAACGCAACUCAAAUUGACAAGAUGAUGGCUGAUCGAUGUAGGUGCGGUCCCGACUCAAACUCAAACAUAAACAGACAUGAAAAUGACCGAUCGAUAUAGGUGCGGCCCUGAAAACUCAAACUCAAACAAACAAGAUGAUGACUGAUCGAUAUAAGUGUGGCCCCGACUCAAACUCAAAACAAAAAAAGGAUAGGAAUAUGGCCGAUUGAUAUAGGUGCGACCCCAAAAUGCAAACUCAGACUGACAAGAUGAUGACCAAUCGAUAUAGGUGUGGUCCCGACUCAAACUCAAACAUAAACAGACAUGGAAAUGAUCGAUCGAUAUAGGUGCGGCCCCAAAACUCUAACUAAAACUGACGGGAUAAAAGAUCUGAUCAAGUGGCCCAAAGCCAGAGGAUAACUAAGAUAAUGAUGUAAGCAAACUUGAUUGGAGGGGAUAUGCCCCAGUAUGACAACUCAUGAGGAUCAACAACUAAGUCGAAAGAUAACGAAGCCUUUGAAAGGUCCGAUGAUCGUAGGGAAUGAGGGUAUGCCCCAGUAUGCAACUCUUAGGGGUCAACAACUAGAUCGAAAAGCGAAUGAAACCUAUGGAAGGUCUGAUGAUCCUAGAGAAGGAAGGUAUGCCCCAGUAUGUGACGGUGAACAAACUGGGAUACACAAUGUCUCAAAACUACUAUGCUUUGAAAUAUUCUCAUCCGUCAUGUAAUGAAAAUGCCCAACCUCAAAUAGGUAAUGCCAAACAAGACCAUGCAUCGUGAUACCAUGCUGACAAAACAAAAAUAAUUGAUGAAUAAAAACAAUGAUGACCAGUGCUCAAAAUGUGAAGAGCAAGCAAAUCAACACUCAACAUGCUAACUAUCAAAAUGAAAGCAUCGCCACUAAUAAGUCAGCAAUCUGUCAAGCCCUGCCAUUAUGGAAGAUAUUGAACCUAAAGUCCGAAAGAUGUAUGAAAACAGAAACAAGGUGAUCGAGGACUGAUCUACAUCUCCUCCUAAUCAAGAGAGGGGUGAGGUCAUGUGUCAUGGUGAAAUGUCUAGGAUAACAGAAGGUGAUGAUCAGGCUCUGGUAAGAUAGAAAACAUGAAAAUAUCAAAGGUGAAAUGUUUGAGUACGAACUGAAAGGUAUGUAGGUAUCCGAGAUCAUCCAAGUAUGCCGAGAAGACUAAUCCCAAGGUAUUAAUAGCUUCAUAAUCCAUCGAAAGCAAUAAUCACAAACAGAAAGUCAAGUCUCGAUGUCAAAACAUUCGACUAGGUGGCUAUGCUCCAGUAUGCAAUGAGGACAACAUGAAACAAUCCAAUAAUCUCCAUAUCAUCCGGUAGAAGCUCCAAUGUAAAGAACCAAUUGGAUCUCCUUCUAAAAGAUGGACAUGCCCCAGUGUAAAGGACCCAAUAGGGUGGCUAUACUCCAAUGAAAAAUGCUCUUCAUCCCGGCUAUGCCUCAGUAUAAAGUAGUGUAUCCGAGUCAACAGCUGCUGAAGAAGAUCAUGCUAGUGUAUGUCAACAAAUCAAUCAAUCUCUACUCCUGGUGCUAAAAAUGGAAACAUCUCAACAUAAUCCAUAUGAAUCAGAAUCCCCGAGCUCUAUGAGUACGAAUGAACUGGCUAUGCCCCAGCAUAAACCAUCUGAAGUGACUGUGCUCCAAGAUAAAUCAAAGUCCAUCACCGAUGAGAGGGCUAUGCCUCAAAAUAAAUUGUCAUCUCAAAAAUCAACCAUCAAUGAGUAGAAUGUGUCCUAAUGCAGAGUAUCGAGUAAAGUGAUUGUAUCUCCAAUAAAAACACUCUCUGAAAUGGCUAUGCUCCAGUGUAGGGUCAUCCCACAACUCCUAAUCCAUCAUAAUCCAAGUGAAGAAGCGAACUGACUAUGCCUCAAUGCAAGGCAUCAUCCCGAAAGAAAAUGUCAUUGAUGAGCGGGGUAUGCCCCAAUGUAGAUAACGUCACCUCUGAAAAUCCAUUACUGAUAAGAGGGGUAUGCCCUAGUGUAAAUCAUCAUCUCAACUCCCCAUCCAUCCUGCUCAGAGAAAUAAUCUCCGACCAAGCUUGAGUAUUGCCCAUGUGUGAGCUGUCAAACACAAUAUGAAGUAAUGGCCUUAGGGUGGUCUUCAGACACGGGACGUAAUGUAGGCUAAGGUAAUAGGGUAAAGGAAAUGAAAGGAAACUAGGCUCAAAGAUCCCAAUGAUAUAAUCCCCAUACCCCUCGUGCAUGAGAUGCAAUGCGCAGAAAACGUCAUGAGUCUCGGACCUAGGGGUCCCCACACGAAAAGUGAUGAUAAAUGAAUGGUCACAUCGAAUGAGCAAGAAUAAAGUGUGGAUGUUGAACCCAUGUCAAACAUCAAGCAGGAUGAGAAAAGAAUGAAAUCGGAUGUGGUAUAGUGAAAUAAAGGGAUUAAAUAAGGAUAGAAAAAAACAAAGAGAUAGAAAAGUGAGUGAUGGUGGUCAACCUGCAUCAAAGCAUGGAAAGUAGUCACAUCUGAAACAGAUGGAAUGAUGGAUAGAGCAAGGAUCUAGAGAUACUAAAGAAAUGUCGCUCGCCUCUCUCACAAAAGUUGAAUGGGUGACUCAUACUCUCACCUAAAAUAUACCAAGAUAGAAUCUCAAAAAGAAGCUUUCAUACGAACUCUCUCUAACACAUGAACUCAAUGAAGCAAACUAGCACGUCUAUACACAUGCCCAAUGGAGAAUAAUAAAAUGAACAAUGCGCUAUUUUUUUUUUUUUUUUUGCGCGUACUCUGAUCAAUAGUGAAUGAUCUCCCAUGAAAUACAUAGUUAAAUGAAUAAACUCUCCUCAUGUACUGAUGUAACAUGAAUCCUCACUAACAAGACAACCUCUCAAAAUAAGAUCUCUGAACCACUACCCAUGAGGUGAACUAAGGGAAGGAUGUGACUGUCCUCCAUGCAAUGACAUGAGAAACCACCACUCAAGGUGAAACAAGGAUAAUGUCGAGUAAGCAAUGAUGAAAGAAAAAAUAGAGAAUGAAUAUCACAAGUGGUGAUAUGUGAUAUAAAAAAAUAGUGAUGAGAUGAUGUCCAAGUGGAAAAUAUCACAAUGAAGAGUGAGGAAUGAGGCCGAAUGUGUAUGUCGGGUUUAGAACUCAUGAUGUAUCCAAUCAUAGCAUGCAAGCACUACAGGGUCUCCAACCCGGUGAAAUAGGUAUAUGAGGUGAUGAAAGAACAGGCUACGAUGCUCGUACGAGGCUUAAAGGGCUACCAACGGGUAACUCCAUAUGUGAGGGUGAUAUGGUGAACAAGCUCCUAAAAUGAUGGCCACCUAUCCUAUGGCCACAACCUCGAACAUCGUGCUUUCAAGAUCUCACAUGGUCAAUACUAAAGACUGGCACCCGUCCAACAAAGUCAUGUCAACUCCUCUAAAAUCGUGUGAAAGCUCCCACUGAUGCUCUGUGAUAACCAUCAAUGUCCUCUAAUAAUCACCUCACUCUAUCAUCAUAAUCCACUCACCAUCGUCUCAUAAAACCACCAUCUCUAAUCAUCCCAACUCUCUAAAGUCAUGUGCAAUGGCUCAAAUUUGGAUGCUCCAAGAUAACCCCUCUGCCUCAACAAUAUCAUCAAGCAGUCAAACCACUCUCUCAUCGCGAUCCACCUAUCAUCAUGUAGAGCUCAUGAUUCGAGCCCAGCCGGGUCUUUUAAUAAAAAAUAUUUAUAAAUCCUAUGACCUUAUACUGGCGUAGCAAAGCUACUAUAGUAUAGCAGUUCUAGGGUCGAACUCAGGGAUGGGUUUUCACUCUAUCAGUGACAAACUCUAAAUUAGAAAUUGAUUCUGAUGAUUUCCUUUAGCACAAACUUGAAAUUUAAAAGAAAAUAAAAUUGUUUUGAAAGUGGUGAUUGAAACUAAACUCACAUAGAACUAAGUAAAAGUGGAAGAAAGAAAGUCUCCCGGAGGUAAAGGUUGCUAGGUUCAAGUUCAGGAUGCAAAGUGGAAAAUUCCGGAUUUUUCUCCUCGCAUUGGGGAUUUAACCUAUAGUUAUUUCCCGAACCGGUAUAGGUUUGACAAUGAAGAUUUAAUCCAUAAAAAGUCAAUAGAGAUGGUAGUCAAAGUCCAUUAAUGGCUUAAGACACUAUGGGUUAUCACCUUGAAUCACUUUCCAAUGGCUCGUACAUGAUAACUAAUGGACUGAUAUGGAUCUAGCAAUAAGCAUCCACAGAGACCUGAAGCUUACCAUGUAUUGGCCAGUCAAAGUGAUUCUAAGGGAUUUAAAGCAAAACUUUGGAUUUAGAAGCCAUUUAUGGACUCCAACUACCUGAAUUUAAUGCACGGAAACUUUCCACCUUUUAAUCCGGACUUUUCACCUAGCUUCCUUCACUCCAAGAAACUAUAAGUUUAGCCUCUCAUCCUCUGGGAAAACAUCCUCAGAGGCUGUUUGGAUUCCAAGAAAAUAGAAAAUAGUAGAGAGGAAAAGAAAGCAAAAGAAAUCUCUGUAUUUCACUAAGUGUAGAAUUUACAUCAGUUGGUCUCCUGGAGAAAGCUCCCCGAGAGUGUAUUUUCAGUGUUUACAAGAGAAUUUAUAUAGGAAGGUAAUUUUACCCUUCCUUGGAUACUUCCUAGCUAAGGAAUUACAUGAGUGGCUGAAUACAAGGAGAAAAUGGAAAUUUAGACACAAAAAUAUCAGAAGAAAAAGAGUCGGCAAAAAUAUCCAAUUUUCGCACGUUGGAGUUCCAAUUUCGCACUUUGGUUUGAGGUGUGCGAAAUUCCCACACUUUGGAUUGAGGAAUUCGCACCUUGAUUUCCAUCGUGCGAAAUUGUCCCUCAGCUUGAUGCAGUUGUCUUCCGAAGGCCAUAUCUUCCUCAUUUCAGCUCCAAAUCGUACAUGGUUUGAAUCGUUGGAUUCUUGACUUUCUGAGCUUUGAAAUGGUAUAUAGAAUGUAGAAAAUAGACUUCUGGAAGUGCUCCAAAAGUGUGAAGGAAGACUGCAGCUGUGUCCUCUGUUUUCCUUACCCUGUUUUUCUUCUUCUCCAUUGUUCUUUCCUUGCAUACUUUGAACUACUAAGGCAAAGGAUUAUGAGACUCCAAAGCUUGGUUUCUUCAUAAAUUUGAGCUUUCCAAAAGCUUUGCCAUGAACUAUACAUAGCUCUCCCUCAUUCUUAAAUUGCUUUGGUGAGCAUAAAGCUAUCAAAAAGCACCAAAACUUAACACAAUUGUUAGAAACGAUUGCAAGGGUCCCUAACAUGUUAAUUGAGUUAAAAGGUAAUAAUUACUACUCAAGGGUGUUUAAAAGAGAUAAUUACAAGCUACAAAAUAGCAUGUUUUGAGUAGUAAUCAGCUCACCUCAGGUCAAACCAUCUCAGACACUACUUGGUUAGAUCAAGGAAAUAAUGGAAAGGAAAGGCAAUGGUACUGUAGCAGGCUAAGGCGAACAAGGAUAGUAAAGUCGUGUAAUGGUACCAAGGGGUGGUGUCAUGUCAAGCUCAAAAUGGGUAGGUCAUCAAGUCCACAAAGUCAGGGUAUGUAUAUGGAUAUGGUACUGCUCUGAUCAGAAGGUGAAAUGGGUCGCAGUCUUCGAACUCCCUAGGUUGAUCUCCUAAUCCUAGGUCAAUAGGCUCAAUAUCCUCCAUGAUAGGUCAGGCCAAAGUGAUCAUGAUGUAUAAGUGAAAGCAUGUCUCAUAUCGAAAGCAUAACUCGCAUUAAGGUAAGAUAUGUAAAUCAUACCCGUGAGAAAGAGAAUAACACAUACUCGGAAUAAAAAGAUCAUAUCACUAAGUGAAACAAUGAGUACAUCAUGUGUAAUGAUAAAGUACUACAAACGACUGGACUCUCAACAUGAACUAAAGACAACGACUCCAAACCAAAUUGGACUCAACAAAAUAAAAACAACUCUGACGAACUAAAAACUAGACUCAACAAAAUGGAAAUGACUUUGAUGAUGACCACAAUCAGAAUGAAAAGUUCUCUCAGCUGAACUGCUACCAAGUGAUGUACCCAUGUCAACUGAUCCAAGCCCUCAACCCGGGAUGUCCCAUAAUACCAUGUGACCAUCAAUACCAUCAACAUCCCAAUCAAUCUACUGAAGACUAGGAGGAGGAGGAACUGUAUGUGUAGAAUGCGUAGGCAGGGGAUUGGUGGUCACUCUUGGCCUAGCCAAGUUGACCAACCCUGAAUCGAUCAUGUCCUGUAUCGCAUGAUGGAGUGCCGAACAACGCUCAGUAUCGUGCCCCUGAAUAUGAUGAUAUAAGCAAUGCUCAUGUGAGCGAAAAUGAGGAGGAAUGGGAUGUGGCAAAACGUGCGACACCAAAGGAACAAUCAAUCCAGUGUCCUUGAGCUUCUCAAAAGCUCUAGUCAAAGUCAUGCCCAAUGGAGUGAACAAUCUCGCAGGCCUUUGUGCAUAUGGUCUAGGUGGUGGGUGAGUAGCGACUCUCGGAUGUGGUGGUCAUGGCUGCAUGCUAGUUUGAGCAAUGUAAGGCUUCUGAACAUAAACCGACUGAUACUGAUACUAUGGAUGAGAGAAAUGAGCUCUGACUGUAGGAGGCCUAUAAGGUGAGUGAUACGCAGGCCUCUAAUGCUGAUAACUAAUAGCGUCAACCUCUCCAGAUCUACUAAAUGAUCCAAUCGGCUUCUUCCCCUUACUGUCAGGGGAAGGAUUAGUAUCUGUCCAUAAACCUCGAGCAAUGGCCUCCUUAACACUAAAAGCUGCAUGAACCAAACUCUUAAGAUCUUGAAAUGGAAUGCCCACAAGACUCCUAGCAAACCUCGGCUAUAGGUUUCGAAGAACCAUAUCAAUCUGAUCUUGCUCCUUAGGCCGGUCUAUCAUACCAGCCACUUUUGCCCUCCAAUGACUAACAAAGGAAGAAAUAAACUCAUCUGGCCUCUAUCUGGUGGCCUCCAACUCUCGUCUAGAUACAUCAAUGUCGGCACUAAAAGCAAACUGAGUCAGGAACUCAUGAGCCACAUCCUCCCAAGUGCGAAGUCUCAAAGGCUCAACUGAAGCAAACCAUCUCUGAGCUGCCCCACUAAGAGACAUAGGAAAGAGGGCCACCAACUGUGCAUCAUCUAUCCUGUACACUCUCAUGACUGUGUUGUAUAGUCUCAAGUGGAUCUUAGGAUAACCAAUCCCACUAUAGCGCUCAAUGUCUGGCAUGCGAAACUUGGCAAGCAAGCUAGCUGCCGGUAUAUCAUCUCUAUCAUCCCAAGUCAAACCUUUAUCCUGCAAUCUAAUCUGUCUCAUCUUAGACUCAAGCCUCUCAACCCUGGCCUCCUGCUCUGCCAAUCUAGUAUAAUCAGUGGUAGGAACAAUGGGAGGUGGCACUAUGACAGGAGGUGGUGGAAUGGUCUCGUAAUGAUCUGCCAAAUGGAAUGGAGUACUAAGUGAAACCCCAGGUGGAAGAGCAUGUGCUGUCUGAGAUGCAUGAGGAAUCGUCUCAUCAGUGACCAUGCCAACUGGAUGAGGAUCCUGGCGAGAACUCUCUAUCUCAUCCAAGCGUCUACUGACUCCUGCCAUGAACUCUUGAAUAGAAGCAAGUGUAACAGCUAGCUCAUCUGAUAUCUCAACUGAACUGUCUGAACUCUGAUGUGAAUCCGAUCUGAUCAAUCGACCUCUAACUCUCCUCCAAGAAUGUGACUCCAGACUCAACCAACUCCUAAACUGACUCCCUACAAUGUAAACAAAAAUGAAUGAAGGAUACGAGAUAGAACUCUAAAAGACAACUGUACAACAUGCAAACACAUGGUCCUGAGGUGGCAAUCCAAAAUCUGGAUGUAUGAUGAGAACCCUAGAGUCAUAAAGGUGUCCACUAUGGGAUGGCUACAAAUGUGACUAGAGAAUUCCCAUCAAUAAUCCAAGAUGAAAGAUGUGUGAAAACACACUAUCACGAGAUCAAUACUCCAUCUAUAACCACAUAUCCUUGACCUAACUUUCAACCCGAGCUCCAUAAGAGAAAAAAUGAUAAGGUGAUCAAGGCAACUCUCUCGAAAAAAAUGUGAAUGUAAAAAUGUGUCUUUCACCUUUCUGUAAUGAAAAUAUGAGUGUCGAGUCGAAAAUUGAAUCAAGUAUCAAACAAAGAAUGGGGUACUGGGCCCGUGAUAGGUGUACAGUGUAAAAAGAUGAUCAAUGAACAUAUCUCAAAGCAUACAACAAGUGACAACAAAGUGAAAGGAUGUGUCAAGCCAAGAGAGAGAAGACGAAAGCCCUAGUGAGAAAACACUAAACUCAUCGAGUGAAAAGAACAAACUAAGGCUACAUGACAAAGGUGAUCCAACCGAUACUCAAACUCAUAUCGAUCUCUGACCACUCUCAAUUGGAGACUAAAAAUAGGGAACACUAAACCUAGGUGAUGACUAAAGUGGCUCUAAAGGCUCUCAGAUGCACUCACAGGUGAGAAAGGAAUCCUAAUCAAGGAUCUAAACUCAUCCUACCAAGUCAAGGUGGCCCUAAAAGAAGAAAUGGUAGGCUUUCAAAGAUCCCUAGCAGAAGCGAUCGUACCCUCCGACGGUACGCAACCCUCUGCACACCUUCAAAGAGACGGGGCACUUCCAUGCAAGGUGGUCAUCACCUCCACACAUGCACUACCUCGCAUCCUAGGGGGGCUCCUAUGGUGAAAGCUCUCCUAAUGGCUAGCGUAUCUCACAACUCUAAUCACUCAUCGACGAUCUAAGGCGCACAGUGAGUGGUGUGGGUGCAUAUGAAAAUCCUAUGAAACUAAAAUAAAACACACUGACCACACAAAUAUCCAGAAAUCUAGCUCUGGGCUAUACAAGUCUUCAAAGUUCAGACUCCAAUCAGCAUCAAUAUGUCGACCACCUCCAAAAUGCUCCCAAACAUAAAUAUAGCCCAUCGCUAGACUCUAUUCCUAAUCACUAGCUCGGUCGAAGAGCAGACAAAGCAACAAGUCUCAUAUCAAAUAUGAGACCCCAAAAAACAAGGUCGACCGAGACUAGGGACUUGGAGAUAAGGGGAUAGGUGUGUGUCCCACAUAGACAAGCAACUCAUGCAAUCACACGGAAUGAUGAAAUGUCACAUAACAAACAGUCAUGCAAAAUAGGUAUAUAUCAUCCAAAUCUACACACAAGCUAAUCGAGAAGAAUAUCUGGCAAUGAUAGCAUGCUCCAUGAUAAUCAAGAUAAUAUACAACCAAAAGAAUCAAUCAUGUCAAAGUGAAUGAGAUAAGCAAUAAGAAUAAUGUACAUGCCAAGGUGAGUAGAGUGAUCAUACAACAAGAAGAGUCAAUGUGUGAGGAAAAACGAAAUGAUCAAUCAAUAUAAUCGACAUGCCAAUGCCUCAAACAAAUACAAGAACCAAGCAUGCAUCAAGGAUAAUGAUACCAAGAGCUCUCAAUGUGCAAUCAACAGUCAAGCAAACACAUGCACAAAGAGAGGUGGGUACCCACUAAUCGAUCAAUCAAAUGCCACAUUUGCUUCAUCCUAUGUUCAAGCUUGACCCUCUGUCGAUCCUUAGUGGAGUCACCAUUUUGUGGACCCCAUAUUUUGGCUCAUGUGCUUCCAUUCGAUGGCGAGCUCGAUUUUUAUUUUGAAAAAUGAUUUUAUUUUUAGAAAAUGACUUGGAGUUGCCACUUAUUUUUGUUUUAUUUUUAAAGGGUAAACAAAAUAAGAAAGAAAACCCUAAGUGUGACUCUUUAUUUGGAAAAGGUGGCUUGUGAAAAUUGGAUUCAAGGUUCGGGGGUCUAGAUACUUAUUGGGAAGGUACGGUAAAGAUCGUAGCAUCCCUCUAAGUCCCUAAAAAUGGGUCUCUACUAAUAAAUUGAAGCAAUCAUGGCAAUUGGUAAGAAGAUCAAUGGAUACUCAAAUCGAUCAUGCCCGUAUGAGAAUCAGAACAUGCAUAGAGAAUGAAUAGAAUAGGAGUGGAUGCGUACCUGGACAACGAGCCACAAUGUGCUAUCAAGAAAUGAGGUUAGUGCACAAAUAAUGACAUAAAACAUAGCUCACAUGCCACUAAAUCGAGCAAGAAAUCCUUCGAUAUCACAAUUCGCUCAAAUUUAUUUUUUAAAUCUCGAAUGUUGGGCCCCCACCAAAGCCCAUUUUAUUUUUCAUGAAUCAAUUCCAAUAACUCCAUUAUUCGGAAUCACGAAAUUUAGUUCUUGCUUAUUUUAAAAACAGAUGAGAUGUGAGAAUUGCUCGCCAGAAAGGAAGAUGACGGCGAAAUUUUAUUGAAAAACGAGUUUUUAGAACCUAAGAAAAAUGUUAAGGAUGGAAAAAUUUGGAGAUUUGAAAUUAAUUAAAAACCAUAAUGGAAGAAUUUAUUUACAAAAAAGGGUUUAGGAAAACUAUUUUAAAAAAAAAUGAUGAAAUGAGAAAUGGCACGUGGCAUAGGGGUGGCCAUGCUAAGGGCGUUCUUUUCUGGCCCAAGCUGAAAAUACACUCCUUCAGUUACCCUUCUUUUCAGGUAUAACACCUUCAUUGGAAGAAAUAGCUUCUACACCAUACUCUGGUAAACAAGGACCAAUAACAAUGCCUAUAUCUGCCUCAAGUAGGCAAACUAAGUCAUCCAUUGAACCUCCAAUCUAAACUGUCAAGUGCUCUGUGUCAUCAUUGCAUCCCUCCUUUAAGAUAUCCUUAAAUAUCACCUGUGGAAAUGGAUUCUUCAUAAGCCAACUCAUUUAAAUAUACUCUCAAAACACCUAGAUCACCUGAUGAAAAUGCUGAUCUAAUGAAAUCGCCACACCAACAGUAUGAAAGUGCAUGAACAUCUGUAUCCGGAUUAUCAUUUUUAAGAAUCAUUUGGAAGAAACCUGUGCAACCAUUUUGAAGAAUUAGACUUUGACCAACUGGAUUUAAACCCUUCAAUACUCUGGACUGAGUCACUCUUGAAUUGUCAUUUUCCUCAAGUGCUUUACACAGGCCUUCAUAAUUGAAUUUAUCCACUGUUUCACUGGGAACGAUUCUUCCCAUGCAUUUUCCAAGCUCUUCAGCAUACUGAGUAGAUAGAACACCCCAUGAGUGUGUCCAAAUCACCAUGAGUGACCAUUUAAACAUUGACGAAUGUGAGGGCACAUAACAUUUAAGCACACAGGCCAUAUAUGAACAUUCUCCAUUAGCUUCUCUACGCCUUUGUCGCCCUCUUGACUUCCCAUGCAGCCAACUGUAGAGAGUAGGUCUAGAUGCAGUCACAUGGAGACACAUCUCAUGGUCUCCCUUAUUCAACAAAUCACAUGUUCCGUUAAAUCUGCUACCCGAACGGAUACCUCACCUCCAUCAACUUGAAUAUGCUCCGAACUUUCUUCAUAAAACCCAAGGAACUCCAGAAGGCAUCGUGGUUCUUCUCCAUCAUUGAAAUGAUCAGGGAGAGUAAAUCACUCAUCCUUUACCAAUAUUCCAUUUUUAAAUCAUAGGGUGCGCAAGCUUCUAGAAUAGCAGCUUAGUGAGCAACCCGGAAGAUCUUGCAUGGCCUUAGAUUCAAAUUUGGCUUGGAAUGAGUCCUCAACUAGUGAGCUUUUGAUUCAUAUAUGCUAGCACUUCCGAGGAAAUUUGACAACACGAUGGCCGAUAGAUGAAAAGGGUAUGAGCGGAAUUCUAGAACCAGAUUUUCCAAAUAAAAUGGGAGAAUCAAGUAUGAGUGAAAAUACCGAACUCUGCGAACCUGUCAGGCGAAUGGGAUCCAGAAUCACUUUGUUAUUACUAAAAUUGAAUUCAUUGAAGCAAAAAGUGGCAGACACCUGGUCAACAGAUUCACCAUCCAUUCUCUGAACAGCUUGAACAUACUCUUACAUUGGCUUGUUUGAUUCCCGCUUUUGUGAGAGGCUUCCAACACUUAUGGAGGUUUUGACAGACUGUUCCUGCUUAUUAGGCCAACUAGAGAAUACAUUUUGAAAACUACAGGUAUCAUCAUAAUCGUUUGAAUUCCUCUCAUAUGUUCUUAAAGAAGGUUCUUUAGUCAUCUUCACCACAUGAGUAGCCCAUGAAUCUCAGCACUGAAGCUACAACAGCAGGCAUUGAGACUUCCUCACCCAUCAGGCGUGCUACAUAUGUCUUAUGUAUCAGAGCUGCACUCUGAAGCUCUCCAGCUAUGUCUGAAUUUCCUUCCACAAGUUCUGCCACAAGACCUGCACUGACAAGGAAAGAUUUCUAGUUUGGUGGGCAAGCAUUGAUUUCAUGCUCAUCCCAUCGACAUUUGCCAACAUAAUACAAUUCGGUGCUUCAACUGGUAUAUCAAUAUUUUCAAGCUCCGAAAUGUGACUAAAUGAAUCUUGUGUGUAGAAAAACCAUCCAUAACCCCAUGAAAUCCAUCUGAAACGUGGAACUGAAAAACCGAUGCAGAAACUUCCACUUCACAUAAUCCAUAUAAUUCCCACUCACUCCUGCUCACUUUCUAAAGAACAAAGAGGUCCAUAACAGUAGAGCUACAUAGUGCAAACAAAUUAUUCAACCCAUCAUCAAAAUUCAAACACCAUAAUGAAGUCUCUCUGUCUAUAUGAACUAAUUGUAAGUGACUUUCGUUUCCGUUCUAAAAGCAUCGAGAAACGCGGCCCGGCUGCCGAAUCAUGACCAGGAGGCGUGCCAUGCUGAUAGGUCCCCUUACACCUUUAAAUUCAUGCUCGCAUGAAGUUUUCAUAGAAUUCGAGGAAUCUAGGGUCUUGGCAAGGAAUUAUGGGCGUUGGAAUUUGAAAGGUGUUUGCCAAAGACAAGAAAAACAGUAAUGAAGGAACACAUAAGGUGGAUUGCAUGGGAAUUAUAGACGAUUUUUUAUUAUGAGUUUUAGUCAAUGGGAGCCCGGUUUGUAAAACAAGAGUUAAUGAAGCAACGUAUGGAAGGUUCGGGCAAUAGGUAGCUUCAAUGGGUAUGAAUAUUCGGGAAUGAUGAGCUUGGCAUGACGCCUUAGGCAUGGAGCGAUGCUGCUCGAGGCUUAGAUAUGACAAAAAAAAUGAUGUGAAUUGAGGGCUCGGAGAAGGGUUUAGGGUGACCCUUACAUGGUGCGGAGGAUGAAGAUAGUGAGAGAGGCGUGUUUAGUGGGUUUGGAAAUAUGAGGGAAUGCAGUGAUAUGGGUAUGGUUGUGGUGUAGAGAGAGAAGGGUGAUAAGAAGAAGAAUGGGUAAUGUUGGAUAUUGGAGGGUGGUGAUAUGCAUGAGUGGUAAUGGACAUGCACGUGGUGUAGAGAGAGAAGGGCAUGGGGGACAUGACGAGUGUAGGGAUAUGGGCAUAAUGGAAUAUGAGGUAUGAUGAGGGCAUGACGAACCUUUGCUCAAAUUUCGACUGUAGCUUGGACUUUAAUGGAAUAUUCUCCAUUGGCACAACUUCUUCUUCUCCCUUUAGUGGAGCGUCACUACCAUCAGGAGCCAUUCCAUCAUGUAAACUAAUAUCAACUCUCUCCACUUCAUUCUUUGGCUAUUGGAAAGGCGCUCUGAUCUUUGCGCUUCAAAGUAAGGAAUGCUCUUGGUCAGAGCUCGGCCAUAGUUAUGGCUGGCAAGAACAAAAGAGCAGGAAACGAUCAUCAUUUUAUAGGAAUGGAGAAGCCACAGUAAUAAGCCUCACAAGCUCCUCCAUAGCAACAAAAACCAGAGUUCCAAUCUAUAAACAAAACCUAAAUGUCGAAACGUAACGAUCUGCUCAAAAGCGAACCCAAAAUAGUGACCUUGUUCAAAGAAGUUAGGGUCUUAUGUGCUUUAGCAGGAACAUCAGCAAAGUAUAUCAUAGCAGGAACGCUCAAAUAGGUAUAGUAGACUUUAAUUCUAGGUACACCUGAGUGAAGGCCUGAUAACUUCAUGAAAGGGAAGUCGGAUCCACUGAACCUUACUUCAGUUGCUAUAAUUUCCAUCGAUUAGAUAGUCAAAACAAUAGCACGUCCACCUGUUACUCUUUACAUUUCCACCUUAGUAGUUCCUUGUUUUCUCAGGUAGAGACGUGGGAACUGAUGCACGUUGUGGGCGAGUAGCAGGAACAGGGGAAAACGGCAAAACAUAGCACAAAUAAUAGAAGCAAAUUGAACCCAUACAAGCCUCAUUUCAUGUAUCGAUCAAUGAGCUCAGAUGUAGGGUGGAUGAGAUCAAAUGAGUAUCAAAUAAAAGGUAAAACAUGGUUACAAAAUAUCUCAUGAGGAAGUCAAAACAGGGCAAACUAAUCUUCAGCAAAAACCAUUAGCAAAAUAUGAACAUGCUCACUCCCAAGCAACAAAUAUGAUCUGAGAAUCAACCAAAUAAAAAAAAAAAGAGUAGAAAAGUAUACCGGUUGAAGCUAAUGAGGAAUCCACAAUAAACGUACCUGAAAAUGCCUUUCUCCAGCAAAGUGUGAUAGAUUUCUAACUGGUCUUGCUCCAAAAAUUCUCCAGAUAACUCACGAAUUGCUCCACUGGUUCUUUUUCUUGUCUGCAAUCCUUUAAAAACGACCACUACAAAGGAAUUUCUUCCUUAGCUCUGAUGGUCAGCAGUUCUCUACUCAAAGAACACUCCCCCCUCUCCAUUUUUUGGUUUCCCCUUCAAGCAAAAGAAUACUCCCUAAAAAUCUCUCCCCACCAACCAGCCCCCUCUCUCAUUUUCCUCAGGUUCUCUCAUCUCCCGCUUCAGAAAAAUCCCCUCUCUCAUACACUCCUCACUACAGCAACAAAAAAACACCACUUUCUCAAAUAACUGCCUACAGCUUUUUCCCUAACCCCUAGCUCCCAAUCAAAACACUCCUCCUCUCAUACUAACGGCAUCCCCUCUCCUCCUCUGGCAACAACCAAAGAUGUUCCUCCAUAACGGCCGGAAGAUUCUCAUGCCACGCGUCAGCCGUUGAUUGCCUCCAGAAAAUAUCACUGCCCAUGCACCCUCUCAUGCACAUGUUCCCAAAAAUAAAAGUAAAAAAGUGGUAAAGGAUGCUCCCUAAAAUGCCCUUACCUAUAGACCAAAACGAGGUCUACAAAUACCCUUUUUCAUUUUGAAUUUUCAAACUACUAUCCUUGAAAUUUAUUAAUGUCUCACUCUUAUCUCUUAGGAAUACAACCCAUGCAUAACUAGAAUAGUCAUCAACCAUCACCAAAAUGCAUUUCUUGCCACCUAAACUCUUAGUUCUCAUUGGUCCCAUGAGGUCCAUGUGUAAGAGUUCUAAAGGUUUAGAGGUCAAAAUUUCAUCAAAUCUCUUAUGUGUAUUCCUAGUUUUUUUUUCUCUUUUGACAAGUACUACAAAUAGGAUUAGAGAGUUUUCCAAGCUUAGGAAUCCCUUUGAUGACUUCAUUAUUAGCAACUUUCAUCAAGUCACAGUAGUUUAAAUGACCCAACCUAUGGUGCCACAAAUCGAUUGAUUCAACUUUUGAACUACCACACACAAGGGAAGAAGAAGAAGAGGUAGAAGGAUUUUGAAAAAUGGCAUAGCAAUUAUUAGAAGUUCUCAAACCAAUCAUCACACAAUUUCCAUUCAAAUAAAAUACUUUACAUAAAUUUUUUGAAAAUUGAACAUUGAACUUCUUGUCACAUAUUUGACUAAGGGUAAUCAAGUUAGCUUUCAAUCAUUCCACAUACAAGACUUCUUCAAGGUUAGGGAUCCCAAGAGCACAAAUUGUGUCUUUCCCUUUCACAUUAGUAACAUUAACAUCACCAUAAGUCACAUUUUCUCCAUCAAAUUUAGUGAAAUUAGUGAAUAAUUAUCUAUUACCUGUCAUAUGACGUGAACAACCACUAUAAAAAUACCAUGAGUAUGACUCACUAGCUCUAAGUGCAAUGUGAACAACAAGGCAAUUAAGCUCAUGCUUUUUCACCCAUAUUUGUUUGACAUUUGUGACUUGGGUCAUUCCAUUGGAAGUGCUUCCUUGGAAACCACUAUGAUGAGGGACAUUGGAAUCCCUCUUGAACACUCUCUUGCCUUUUUGUAACAACCUAUUUCUCAAAGUGAAUGAUUCAUUCAUUAGGUUGGUCAACUUCAUUUAGAAACUCUCAAACAUCCUAGCAUUACAUCUAUCAACGGUGUGUCCCAUUUUAGUGCAAUGAGUGUAAUGAAGUUUCAAUUUAGGAAGAAUUUUCUUAGGAACCACUCCUUCACAAAGCUUGAAAAUUUUUUUUUUACUACUACUUGAAUUAACAAAACCUAAGCCUCUUUUAUCAAAUAAUUUCCUCCUUGAAUUAAUCAAGUCACUAAGUCUUUUAGAACUAGGAUGUGACUCUUCUUUCCUAAGACUCAACUCAUUCUUAAACACUUGAUUUUCACUCUUCAAUUCAUCACACAUUUUUUUCAUGUCAAAGUGUUCACCCUCAAAAAAGGCAAUUUUAUCUAACAAAGACUUUUUCCCUCCCUUUAGAGUUUUAAUCUCAUUGAUUAAACUCCUUUUAGAAGCCUUCCAUUCAACUUGCUCCUGUUUGAGACUUAAGCACUUCUUGUACAAAGUCUCAUAUGUAGAGUCAAAACUCAUCUCAUCACAAUUGGAGUUACUUGACUCACAAGACUCACUAAGAACCUCUUUCUUGAGUGGGUCCUCAAUGACACUUGCUAUAAAGGCUGUGAAAUCAGUGCAUUAUUCACUAGCAUUGGAUUCUUUUUCACUUGAUUAACAUGAUUCUGUGUCACUCCAAGUGACUUGCAUGACUUUCUUUCCUUUUUUCUUUGAGGGACAUUUGGUGGCUUAGUGUGUUUUCCCCCCACACUUGAAGCACUCAACCUCAAGGUCCUUUUUGACACUCUUGUCUUUUAUAUUUGAUUUUCCCAUUGAAUUGUUCCAUUUUUUAGCAUAUUCCUUGGACUUCUUCUUAUAUUUCCUGAACUUCAUGUAUUUUUUGAAUUUUCUAGCAAAUCUAACAACUUCCCCAUCCGACAUUUUCUUAUAUACUUUUAAAAAUUAUAUAAAAAGUAGUGGAGGAGUCUGAAGGUACCUAUCCGAGGGUAGGUAAAUGAACAAAUUACUUGUGUGGGCUAAUGGUAAUUAUUAAAAUUCACAUUUUAUCUUGAAAAAGUAAACAAAUCCCUAUUUGUACAAAAUUUUUAAGGGGGAACUUAGACCAGAAGUGGGCAAUAAAGAAGUGAAUAGAGGUGGUAGGGGGCGUCAUCCAGCUGGACCCUCAAAUGCAAAAUAAAGAAGUCAAUAGACGUGGUGGGGUGGCUGUGGACCCUCAAAUGCAAAAUAAAGAAGUCAAUAGACGUGGUGGGCUGUCAUCCAGCUGGACUCUCAAAUGCAAAAAUGGAGAUUCGGUUAUCCCGAAUCACUAGUCACAAGUCGCGAGGGGUGUGCGGCUUGGCAAUAGCAGCUGAUGUGACACUUGAUACAACCUCAAUGUCCCAAUGCUGACUGCCAGUUGGAUCGUCAACGCUUCCCGAUAUUAUUUCUAUAUUACAAUUAAUUAUUUGGAAUUAUAAUAAUAUGAAGGGAUAAAGAAAAAGACAAAAAAAAACGAUGGAGUUUAAAACAACAAUGGCUGGAGCAUGAUUGAGGCAAAUUAGCUUUAGUUAACGGUCCCAUGUUCUAACUGUGCUCAUUCAUCAAUUUCAUUGGUAAAAUAUUAUUAAAAAAAAUUAAAUUAAUAACCUUUUUCAAAAACCAUGUCUAUUUAGUAAAAUAAAAUAAAACUUUCCUAUAUUAUUAUGGUAGAAGAUGGUAAAGUAUCCUCUAAAGAAAAAAAGAAUUGAUCAUAAAAAUCAAAUAAAAUAAUAUAAAAACACUCUAAAUAAAAUUAGGAAAAACUUUAUAUAUGAGAGAAAAAUUAAGCUAAAUAAAUUUGAAGACGUAAAUAAAAAAAAUUAUUCAUUUUAAAUAUAAUUAUUUUUUUUCUUUCUACCCUUCCUCUCUAAUUUUUUUUCCCUUACAUCUUCCUCAAAAUUUAUAGAAGCCAAGAGGGCAUAUGCAAGUAAGAAAUGAUGUAAAAAGGGGAGAUGGAUCUAAUUGGACAAUAAAUGAUGUAAACCAACUCCUCUAUUCUGCUUGAUUCAUCAUCCCAAAGCUCUCCACACUCAUCAUUUCCCUCAAAAGUAGCUGGUUCUUAAUCCUCAUUGACAAAACCAUGGGCAACAUUUGCUCCAUUUCACUCCCCGUUGACCGCAUUGUCUCUAGCUUCUGGGAUGGCACUACUGAGCAUGCAAAUUACCUGCGCAAACUCCCUGAAAAUCUGGUAGAAUUGGGAACCGCUUGUGAAAGAUUGAGGGAGUUAAGGAACGAUGUGAAGAAGAAGGUGGAUAUUGCUGAGAGGGAACAAAUGCAGCCGCUGGACCAAGUACAAGGGUGGCUUUCAAGGGUUGAAACUCUGGAAACUCAAGUCACUCAACUGAUUGGAGAUGGCACCGAGGAGGUUGACAAGAAAUGUCUCGAUGGUUCCUGUCCUAGGCAUUGUAGGACCAGAUACAAGUUGGGGAAGAGAGUAGCUAGAAAGUUGAAAGAAGUGGACAUUCUAAUGAGCCAAAGACCUUCGGAUGUGGUGGCUGAGAGGUUACCUUCACCUCGCCUAGGUGAAAGGCCUAGUGAAGCAACCGUCGGCAUGAAUUCCAGAAUUGGUAAGGUUUGGAGCAGCCUUCAUCAAGAACAAGUGGGAAUUAUCGGCCUAUAUGGAUUAGGAGGAGUUGGGAAAACCACCCUCUUAACCCAAAUCAAUAAUGCUUUUACUAAAAGAACCCAUGAUUUUGAUUUUGUGAUCUGGGCAACAGUUUCCAAAAAUGUAAACCUUGAAAACAUUCAGGACGACAUCUGGAAGAAGAUAGGGUUUUGUGAUGAUAAAUGGAAAAACAAAAGUCGAGAUGAGAAAGCUACGAGCAUAUGGAGAGUCCUGAGCGAAAAGAGGUUUGUGCUGUUGCUAGAUGAUUUAUGGGAGUGGUUGGAUUUAUCAGACGUCGGGGUCCCAUUCCAAAAUAAGAAAAAUAAGAUAGUAUUCACCACUCGAUCAGAAGAGGUGUGCGCUCAAAUGGAAGCUGAUAAGAAGAUCAAAGUGGAAUGCCUAACAUGGACAGAAUCCUGGGAAUUGUUACGAAUGAAGCUUGGAGAAGACACUCUCGAUUUCCAUCCUGAUAUACCAGAACUCGCUCAAGCCGUUGCACAAGAGUGUUGCGGUUUGCCACUUGUGCUAACUACCAUGGGCAGGGCCAUGGCUUGUAAGAAGACACCGGAGGAAUGGAAGUAUGCAAUAAAAGUGUUACAAAGCUCUGCCUCAAAAUUUCCAGGUAUGGGGAACAAAGUGUUUCCUCUUUUAAAAUACAGUUAUGAUUGCUUACCCAUCGAAGUUUCCAGAUCUUGCUUCUUGUAUUGUUCUCUAUAUCCGGAAGAUUAUAAGAUGUCAAAAUCAAGUUUGAUAAACCGUUGGAUUUGUGAAGGCUUUUUAGAUGAAUUUGAUGACAGGGAAGGAGCAAAAAACCAGGGUUACAACAUUAUUGGCACUCUGAUUCAUGCAUGUCUAUUAGAAGAAGCUGAUGUUGAUUAUCGAGUAAAACUGCAUGAUGUAAUACGUGAUAUGGCAUUGUGGAUAGCUUGUGAAACUGGGAAGGAGCAGGACAAGUUCUUGGUGAAGGCCGACAGUACGUUAACUGAAGCUCCUGAAGUUGCUAGAUGGAUGGGGCCAAAAAGGAUUUCACUGAUGAAUUACCAUAUUGAGAAACUAACAGGGUCUCCCGAUUGCCCCAAUCUCUUAACUUUGUUUCUUCGGAAUAAUAAUUUGAAGAUGAUCUCUGAUAGUUUCUUCCAGUUUAUGCCAAAUCUAAGAGUUUUAGACUUGUCAAGGAAUACUAUGACUGAAUUACCACAGGGAAUCUCUAAUUUGGUUUCAUUACAGUAUCUCAGCCUAUCAAAAACCAACAUAAAAGAGUUGCCAAUUGAGUUGAAGAACCUGGGUAACUUGAAAUAUGAAAAUUCAUGCCAAUGAUUAUGAUUUUAGGUUAUUUAUUAUUAAGUAUGAUUUGAACUUAUGUCUUGGUUAAAAUGUAUAAUUUUUUAAUUAUAUGAAAGAAAAAUAGGUAAUGGUUGUAAUAAUUUAUUUAGUUAGAAUUUCUUUCAUUUAGACUUUAGGAUGCAUUUGAGUUUUAUUUGUUUAAAUUAUCAAGGAAACAUGUGAAUAACAUAACAUCACUAAUUUGAUUUAACACUUUAUAUAACCUUAAAUGUAUAAACCAAAGUAUAAUAGUUCUACAAACAUGAAAAAAGAUCUCAAUGUGUCCCACAUGAUGGAAUCUUUCUCUUUCGUUGUGAACAUCUACGGUAGAUGGCCAUAUUUGUUGUAUCCAUCUGUGCUAUUUGAAAAGUCUCCAUCUCUAUAGACUGUGACACGUCAUCUACAUGAGCUGUCGAGAUAGAUGGAACUGAUGGAGGUAGAACUCGACGUACACGUGGAGCUCGAUGUCCUCUAGCUACCCGUACAUGUAAUCGUGCAGCAUGAGCUAUCCCCUGAAGAAAAGGUAGAGGUGCAAUGGACUCUGUAACAGGUGGAGGUGCAAUAGACUCUGUAACAGGUGGGGGUGCAAUAGACUCUGCAAUAGGUGGGGGUGCAUCCAAUGAUAUAGAUGGCUGAACAGGGGUAAGGGUAGAUGGUAUGGUAGUCUCGGGUCGAGGUGAAUAGGCUGGUAUGGAUACAUCAGGGGGAGAAAGUGGCGACUCUAAUGAUGCAGAUGGUUGAAAUAAAGGAAAGGUAGAUGUGACUGGUGGAUGUGAGGGUUGUACCAAAGUAGAUGCCAAAGGUACAUGUCGGUGACCAACUCGACGACCACCUCUCCCCCGACCUCUAAUGGGUGGUACCCUAACAGGCGUAAUCAAUGAUUGUGGUCUCAUGGAUGACCCUGAAGAUGUGGAUGGCUCAUGUGUCGAGUGUGCGCGAUGGUCCUCUCCUAUAACACGUAAAACAUCAAUAGCAAUUCGGUGAGUUUCCUCCAAAUCAUUUGAAAUAGCCAUCUGUGAUACGGCGGUGAUCUGUAUAAAAAAAUAAAACAUGAGGCAUUUGCACAUAAUUUAAGUUUAACAUUCAUUAAAAAAUGGUUUUGUAUCUCAAAUGCUCUCACCAAUAACUCAGUGGCAGAAGCUGUAUUAUGGAACCUCAUAUGAUCUCUAUGCAAAACAGGUGCGAUCAGGCGUCGCGUGAUACGUCGAUACCACUGCAUAUAUGGAUCAUAAAAAGACAUGGUAGUAAUCGCAAGUGGUGCUGUCGCAAUACGCUCAGAAUGAGUAGCCCAAAGAGAAAUAUACUGAGCAUGGAAUGUGACCCAAUCGUACUGAUGUCGUCCUCGCCUAUCCACUAAAUGUAGCUCCAUAUCUAUCAAACAAGGUGGAGGUAUCCCUUGUUGCAUAUGAAACUGGCGUAAAACUCGCUCUGGUCUAUGCCACUCAAUAAUAUCAAAGCAAAUUAGAGGUGACAUAGUUCGCCAAAUUUCUUCAUCAGCCUGACAUAUAGUCGGAAGAUGUGCAAUCAAAUUUGCUGUAUAUGGUUCCCAUAAUACCUGUAAUUUUUUUAAAAAAUAAUUAGUCACAUUGGUGGAAAAUAUUGCAAAGGUAAUCUUACGCAUCUACACUUUACCUGAUCCUGUGUCUGGGCAUCCAAUUGAUCUCGAUAGAAUGUCAACACAUGUGGUGAUGGGUUAUGAGACCAAGACAGGGGUACUCUCCACCUAUGGCCCAAUGGAUCGAUUGGGAGUGCCUCAUCUGGCAAUAGAUGAUCAUGUAAACCAUCAACUACAUCAUCAUGUACAUGUGGGACUACUAUAGGCACUGGAGGACGACCAAAAUCAGGUCGACCCACAUGAAGUCUCUCCCAUGACCACAACUACAAAAUCAGAUAACAUUAUCAAAAUUAGACAACUUACAACAAUAAUGUGAGUCAAUUAAUUAUAAUAGAUAGUUAUGUCGAAAUACCUGUAAUAGUGUGAUAGGUCCAGAAAUCUCUGUGGCACUAUCUAAACUCGCACGACAUAGCUCUCUAUAUAGGUAUGCCAACACUGCACUGCCCCAACUAUAGUGAGAAAUCUCAGUGAAGUCUCUCAACAGUGGAAGGUAACAUAACUGUACAUGUGUGCCAGUCUUGUCUGCAAACAAUGCUCCACCCAAUAGUGCUAAUAUGAAAGCACACGCAUAACGCUGUAAAAUAGGGCAUUCUCCAAAAUACAAACAACCUGAUUAAUCAAAAUAUUUAUUUGCAACCAAUAUCAAUAUCCAACAAGUACAAUAAUUUUAAAAAAAUUAUCAAACACUAAAGUUCACAUCCAAAUAUUAAAAAUUUCGGUAGAGUAUCCCCUAUAAAUAGGGCAUUCUCCAAAAUACAAACAACCUGAUUAAUCAAAAUAUUUAUUUGCAACCAAUAUCAAUAUCCAACAAGUACAAUAAUUUAAAAAAAAUUAUCAAACACUAAAGUUCACAUCCAAAUAUUAAAAAUUUCGGCAGAGUAUCCCCUAUAAAUAGGGCAUUCUCCAAAAUACAAACAACCUGAUUAAUCAAAAUAUUUAUUUGCAACCAAUAUCAAUAUUCAACAAGUACAAUAAUUUAAAAAAAAUUAUCAAACACUAAAGUUCACAUCCAAAUAUUAAAAAUUUCGGCAAAGUAUCCCCUAUAAAUAGGGCAUUCUCCAAAAUACAAACAACCUGAUUAAUCAAAAUAUUUAUUUGCAACCAAUAUCAAUAUCCAACAAGUACAAUAAUUUAAAAAAAAUUAUCAAACACUAAAGUUCACAUCCAAAUAUUAAAAAUUUCGGCAGAGUAUCCCCUAUAAAUAGGGUAUUCUCCAAAAUACAAAUAACCUGAUUAAUCAAAAUAUUCAUCUACAACCAAUAUCAAUAUGCAAGUACAAUAAUGAAAAAAAAUGUAAUAAUAUGAUGUUCGCAUCCAAAUAUUAAAAAUUUCAAUAGAGUUUCCCCUAUAAAUAGGGUAUUCUCCAAAAUACAAACAACCUGAUUCAUCAAAAUAUUCAUAUUACAAUUUUGAAAUUAACAGCAAAGUCUCUCUUAUAACAUAAGUAUUGUCCAAAAUACAAAUAACAUAAUAUCAACAUCCAAAGCCUAGCACCCAUCAUGAAGGCCCAGCACCCAUGUUCUUAUUUGGACAAGAACGACGAUUGUGACCACUUUGUUUGCACAAACCACAUGUAAUUGAGGUUUUACCUUCUCUAACAUCCAUUUCAUUGUGCAAACGAGUAGAUUUAGGUCGUCCACCUGACACACGUUUCAUUGAAUCUGCAGGCACAAUAACUGGACCAACAUAUGGUGGCCACUCGUACUCAUUGUGUAUCGGGUUAAACAGUGGUGCCCAAGUGCUAAAGUACGAUUGUAUAGUGUAAUAAUGUUGAACAAAUGAUCUAAAAUCAAUUGAAUGAAAAUGACAUGCCGCUAGAAUAUGACUACAUGGGAAUCCAUAUAUGAGUGUUUUGCCACAUGUGCAUACAUGCUCACGUAGGUUAACACGAUGUGUUCUUCCACCAGAUGAUGUCUUUUUACUACCCCUACUGGCCUUCACAUGAAACAGUCCUUGGAAGUGAUCAUACAAAACAACCUCAUGAGAACCUGCCUUAACAACAUUUGCAUUAAUCUUAGCAUCAACAUAAGGAGUGUAUUGUUCACCUGAAGCAAGUCGACUAGCACCAUGUUCUCUUCUUACAGCAAAGUAACUAUUAACUCGAUAGAAUGUCAAUUGAACAAAUGCAGUGAUAGGGAAACUUCGUGCCCCUUUGAGCACACUAUUGAACACUUCUGACAUGUUCAUGCAAGGAUUGACACAUGUGUGUGGGCCACUAUAUUUGUUGAUCUCAAAUAAAGAUGUCCCUUUAACAACUGUAGCACGUAGUCUCCAAGCACAUUGAGACUGUUCAGCUUUCUUGCAUCUUAGGACCAACAAUUUCUUUGUGGAUGACAAAACGAUAUACUCUUGGUGCGAAUUAAUAGAGUACAUCUUUACAUCAUGUUGCAAAUCUCCUUUGGAAUUAAAGAUUUGUCCAACUAUGAACUCUCCAGUUGGAUGUCCCAUAAGAGUGUUUCCCCAUGGGGUCCAUUCACUUGACACAACAUGACCAAUGUUUUCAACAUUUUCAAACUGUGGUGAUGGUGCCAAAUGAUAUUGCAUUGGAGAUAAUUCAAUUGGGUCAUCUAAAUCCUCUGUAUCUGGAUUGUUUGACAAGUUACAUCCUUCCCCAUCCACAGCCACAUAUCUCAUUUGUUCUCUUUCAAUUGCCUCACGAACAGCUAAAAAAGGCGAGCUACCUUCCCUAUCUUGAUUAUCAUCAUUAUGAAUAUCCUUGGCUCCUACACUGUCAUCAUCACAUUGUGUUCUUUCUUCGUCUUCCUCAUCCUCUUCUGAUCUAUGCUCAACAGUAAAUGGAUUUUGAACAUUACUAGUACCAUCAUUUUCACCAAGUAACAAAGGCAUGCAAUUACCAAGUGAUGAAUUCAUUUGUAAGUCAAUAGGUACUUGUUCAACAAAUAACUCAACUUCAUCCAUCCCAAAUCUGUUAUGCAUUUCUAACAUUCGAGCUACACCACUAUCAUUCUUUACUGGGCAAGGUUGGAAUUUGUUCAAUUUUUUCAUAGGAUACUUACAACUAAGUAUUAAUCGAAAAUGUUCUUUAUUGAUGUCAGUGACCGAGUAUAUCAUUUCCAACAGUUGUUCAUAUGUUGUCCCAAGAGGCACAUCAAUAGGUUCAACCACAACUCUAUCCCCAACAUAAUCAACAUCGGUCUGUGUUCUCACCAUUUUCCCAUUACAAAAACAAACUAUUGCCACCGAUAAAUUAGACAUAGUUUACCUAUAGAAGAAGCCAAAAAAAUCAAAUUAAUUUCAUUUUUAACCACAAAAUUACACAAUAUAAAACAUUACUAAAACAUCAAUUUGUAAUGAAAUAACAAAUAACAAUAAUAGGGUAUGUUAUUAACAAUAAUCAAAUAACAAAUAACACCUUAAUAUCCAAAUAAUUCAAUGUUUUUUAUUAAUAAUAUUUUCUUAUUAUUUAUUACCAUUAAAAUUGAAUAAAAGGUUGUUAUUUUUCCAUUAACAAUUAAAAUGUCUUUGUUUAAGCUACCCAAAUUAAGUGGGAAAUUUUUUUAAAUUUGUUCAAGAAUGGAUGUAAUGUGUACAUAUUCAACAUAAUUAAUAGUUACGACUAUAAAUGUUUUAAUAUUUUCCACUUAAAUAAUUGAAAAAGAGAAAGCGGAAUAGUUAAUACACUUUUGCUUAUGUCUGGUUAAUUUUUAAAUUUUUUUAAUUUAAUUAAAUUUCUACAAUUUAUAAUUUAAUAAGUUCAAUUUGAAGUAAAAACUAAUAUUUUCUAUAUAUUAAAUUUGGUUUUAGUGUUUUUUUAUUAUUUAUAACUAUUGAGUUCUUCAAAUAUUUUAUAAUCUUUAGGAGUCUAUCUCGAUCUUACAGAUUUUUCCCUCUAUGGCCUAAAAUAUUUAUAAAAAUAUUCUAAAUAACUUUCCUUAUUCUAUGAGGAAAUAUGAUAUCACAAUAAUAAAUUAACUUAGAAAAUACUUUAUACAAUAUUCUUUACCAAAAGGAAUUUAUAAUAAUUGAGAAUUUGAUACAUUUUCUAAUAUAUGAUACAAUUCAAAAGCUAACCAAUAAUUACAAGCAAUUUUCAUGGUUUGGAGAUCCAGCCUAGGUUCUACAUGUCUUUUUACAGUUUUAUAAAGUUGUUAGCAUUUGUAUAAGUGCUAUUAAAUGUUCCACAUGCCAUUAAAUAAUCCGAGUUCUAGGAACCCUAGAGUUUGGUCAUGAUUCGAGUUCUAGGAGCCCUAUAAUGGGGAAGAGAUUGUUAUAUGCGCAAUAGUAUUAUCUUUAUAAAAAUGAUGAUUGAAAAAUGACACACUCAAAUCUCCUUCAUCCUAAUAAAAUUUUAAAAUAUAUAUAUAUAUAUAUAUAUAUAUAUAUAUAAUAAAAAGUAUAUAUUUUUUUAGAGGAGAAAAAGAAACAAAAAUAAAUUUAAUAAUCACUUCCAAUUUUAUAAAGUUAAUAAAUUAUGAAAACAAAUUUAAAAAUAAUUUGAAAAACUUAAGCAUUUGUAAUGAUGGUUUCUCGAUAAAUCUAGUAAUUAUAAUAAAUAAGAAGAUAAAAUAUUUAUUAGGAAGUGUAGAGGCUUUCACUUUUCUUUUUCUGUAACUUUUUGAAGUUGCUUCCAUAUGUCUUAUGUCAAGAAGAUUCCCAUAAAUAUGUAUUAAACCUGGAAGAAGCAGAUUCUUACAAAAAAAAUAAUGAGUCAUUUUCCCCAAUUUUUUACUUUAAUGCAUAGGUGUCUUACAAAAUCCACAAAACAAAGCUUUUUGAAUUUUUGGCUAUAAAUUUUAGUUCCAGCUUCUCACUAGGCAAAUAUUAAUAUUUGUUGUUCAUAUGUAUUGUUGUACGUGUAUCAUUGUAUUGUGCAUUAUAUUUGUACCAUAAAAUACACUUCAGAUGAGAUACAACCAAGCAAUAAAUAAGAUUUACAUCAGGAAAAUGAAUUAUAUCAUUGUAUUGUAAGUUUUCUAACAAACAUGCUUACAACCACUAAGGUACUUUUAGAAAUAGUUGAUGGAUAAGAUCAAGCAAGCUACUGCCUCAUAACCAGCAAUAGCAGGCCCAUGUUUGUGAGGAAUUGAAGCUUCUAUCCGGGAGUGAGUAAUUGUAAGACUGUUGAAAUUUUACCAGUAGUAAUGGUUGAGAAAGUUGAACAUGUAAAAUAUGCCACAAAAAAUAUGAAAAAUUAGCACUAAUGUGAAGAGCGUACUUUGAUCAGUGUAAAGCAAAGAUCAAUACAUUAAGCUCUACAUUAAGCAGGAGUGUAUUUCCAUUCCAUAUUGGGAUUUCAUAGGUUUCCCCUAAGCACCCUGCUAAAGGCCAUAUGUAAUUUCAAACCCUUCAACUUUCAGUCAGUAAACUCUCAUUUUUGACAGAGGCCCAAUUAUUGAAACUUUUGUAUUUUUAAGUAAUUGAAAUCAAUUGAGAGGUAAUGACAAUUCAUUUAUACUUUUUAUCCCUAUUUACAAAUGUGAUCCAUGUUUCAAACAUAAUAUAACGAAAGAAAAAGAAUAAAUCAAAAUAACCAAUAUAGGAUCAUAUAAAUUAAAUUUCAUGAUAUAUAUCGAUGUCAAUAUGUAUAUAUAUAAACAAAUUAAUAUAAAGUGUUUUUUUACGGAAGGCCAAUUAUUGAAGCUUUUGUAUUUUUAACAAUUGAUAUCAAUAAAGGGGUAUCAAUAAUUCACCGGCAUUUUCUAUCAUUUUUUAUAGAUGUGAUAUAUAUAUAUAUAUAUAUAUAUAUAUAUAUAUAUAUAUCUUGAACACGGUGUAAAAAAUGAAAAUGAAGAAUUCAAAAUACUCGUAUGCGAUAACAUAAAUUUAAUUUCAUGAUAUAUAUGAUAUAAUAUCAAUAUAUAUGCUUUUAUUGUUGAAUAAUGCUAUAUCAUAUUUAAAAUAUUUAAAAAAAUACAAUUUAAUAUACCCAUUAUUAGAUAAUUUAUUAGAAUUUCAUACAAAAUCAUCACAAAAUUUUAUUUUCUCACUCCUAAAAUUUAUUUUGUAAAAUCCAAUAACGAAUAUUUCAUAAAUUUCAAAUACUUUGAUCAUUUAUAUAUAUAUAUAUAUAUAUAUAUAUAUAUAUAUAUAUAUAUAUAUAUAGACACAUAUAAUAAGUGUAUAUGAAUCCUCUAUAGAAAAAAUCAUAUCCAAUGUUUAUAUCUUAGCAAAUAUGGUGUCCAAUUUAACAAAGAGAGUCAACGCAAUAUGAGGGAACAAAAGAAAAAUAGAAAGAAAUAAAAAGGGUUUGACCAUUUGGUGGUGUGAACUUUGAAGAGAAUUUUGAGAAAAAUUUUAAUUAAAAAAGCCGGGAAGGAGGAGGGGGUGAAAAUCGGAGCCAGCCCGCUCACUAUUUUGGCAUGAAAUUUUGAACCCCACCAAUUCAGCCCGCCCUUAACAAAUUUGGCUCAAAUUCUACACCCGAUUCACGCGCCCACGUACCCCACUCUCUCUCUUUCUCUGUCUGUCUCUCUCUUAGACAUUCACCCUUCAGAUCCCUUUCGAAACCCCAAUUCUGCUAAGGUAUAAACCUUAACCUCUCCAAGUCUCUCUCUCUCCCCCACCUUCAUCCAAUCCGAAAUCCAUAUUUUGGAUCACAAUGAAGAUGAAUCAUGGGCAGAUCGACAACUAUCAGGAUUCCGAGAUGAGAGGAAAAUGAGGCAAAGGUUAGGGUUUUUCGGGUUCUAGGAUAAGAGGAAUACAAGGUGGAGGAAAGGGUUUUUCAAGUUUUUUGGAUAGCUAUGAAAUUGAAAACAACUUGAGAUUUUUAAAAUUUUCAAAACAACUUGUUUUCCUCUGUUUGGUUGGUGAGAAAGCUAAGGAAAAUGAGUGGGAAAAAAUUAAUGAACCCGAAAAAAAUUUACCUAGCUGCUGGUGGAGCUGCUGGUGGGAGCCACUGGUGGGAGCCGCAGCCGGUGAGGAGAGAAAAUGGAGCCGCAGAUGGUGGAGCCGCAGAUGGUGGAGAAUACUUUCUGGUUGAUUUCGGGAAAAAAUUGGGUCUCCAAAGUAAAAAAACAAGUUUGACGAAGAUGACUUGUUGACGUGGAUGGCUGAUGUGGAUUCAAAAGAGUAUUUUGGCAAAUAGUUUGAAAACUGGAUUAGUUUGGGGUUUUUUUUUCCAAAGAAAUACUACUUCGGCGGGAAACUCCUUAGCUUGUCCUAGGCGGGCCUUUAAAUGGAGCUUCGGCCAAAGCUGGAAAACUAAAAAUACAAUAAUUUUUAAAAAUUGAUUAGAAAGAGUGACAUUUGACCAUAUUUUUUUAUAUUCUUUUUAAAAAAUUUAUUUUUAAGUCAAAGAUAAAAAAUAAUUGUUUUAAUAUUUUCUCAAAAUAAGGGUAUUUCCGAAUUUGACAAGUUUCUUUUUAGAAGUUUUUCAAAAAAUAAAAAACCAAAAACUUGUUUGAAUAAUUUUUUUCCAAACAAAAUACUAUCAAAAUAAUUUUUUUACUUUAUAUCUAAAUACUAAGGUAAGUUUUGGUUAUAGUUCCUAUUUAUACAAAAUAUAAGAACUCCAGCACAUAAAGCAAAAAAAUUAUCUAGCUUGUAUAUAAAAAAAUUUUAAUCCUUAAAUUUUAAGAAUUUUAAAAAAUGUUUUCAAGUAUAUAAAAUAUAUAAUCACUUUUGUAUAAGAAUUUCUAUAUUCUAUUCUAUUUUAGAAGCAAAGAUGGAAAAUGUAUCCAAAUAUAUACUAAGUAAUUUUCUUUAAAAAUGUUUCUAAUGAAAGGGUUCUAACAAAAGAGGUGCAAAUAAAAAUACUUUAAACAAAAUCCCUCUCAAGCAAGUUCUAAGUUAUAAUAAAUAUUUUUCUUUAAUAUUUCUAAUCAUAAUAUUUUUCUUCAAUAUUCCUAAUCAUCAAAAGAAAUAUGGGACUGCAAACAUUAAGGAAGAAACUUCAAAAUGAUUUUAGUUUAAAUUUAUUUCAUUUGCAAUCUUGCAAUCUCAUGCCCCAAAUGUUCCCAUUCAUCAAUUUUUGGUAAAAUUUUAUUAAAAUUACUAAUUAUUAAAAAAAAUUAAAUUUUAAACAUUUUUUAAAAAUCAUAUCCAUUUAAUCACAACAAAAUAAAAUUUUCUUGUUAUCAUUAUAAAGUAACUCCAAGAGAGAAAAUAAUUGGUUUCCAAAAAUAAAAAGAAAAAAAAAACUUUGAAAAUUUUCAAAUAUUCCAAAAUUUCUAAAAAAAAAUCCAAAAUCCAAGUUUUGUGAUCCCAAAAGAUGGAAAUACUUUACAAGUUAUCGACAAUUUCAAAUUUUCAAUUGGAGUUGUAAUAAAAUUUAAUUUAAUUGCAAAUCACCAUUUCAAUUAAUCUCAUUUCUUGAUAAUCCAAAUAGCAGCUAAUAUAAGAAGAAUGUUGAAUAAGGAACAACUCAUCUCUCUCUAUCAAAAAUGUCUUCAAGAUUUUAAUGCAUUCACAUAACUUUUUCAACUUGAAUACCAUUUCAUACCUAAUAAUAGAGACCAAAAUUUUGAUGCAUUCACAUAUCCUUUUCAACUUGAGUACUAUUGUCCCCCUAAUAAUAAAGGUCAUUUUCUAAAAGUUUUCUCACUUCUUUUACAACCAUUAGUUCUUCAUACAUUUCAACCUAGGAUAAGGUAUAUUCUUCUUAAUAAUACUUGUGUUAAUAAUGAGAAGGUAUUCAAUACAUAUAUUCUACCACAUUAGUAUGUUAAUAUAGUAUAAAUCUUCAUUCAUAUUUAUCAAAUCAAAACUUAAAAAGGAGGGGAAAAAAGUUAUUUGGAUUUGAAAAUAAUUAAUAAAAGCUUUAAAUUAUUGGGAAAGUGAAUUAUAAAAAUUAUUUUUUAAUAAAAUAACUUAAUUAUCACUUUAUUUAUUUUCUAUUAAUUUAUUCUCAAUAAUAUCCAAAAUAUAAAUAAAUUAUUAUAUCACAUUAGUAAGCAUUAUAAUACCACAUCAAUGAGCUUAGAACAACAAAGAUAUCCAAUAUAUUCUCAUUAAUCAUCAAGUAAAAAAAAAAGAGAAAGGAAGAAAAGGGAGGAAGAGAAUAAGUAAAAUAAGGAUUUUUGUUAAAGAAGACUUGAGAGGAAUGGUACAAUAAUUUUUUUUUUGUUCAUUUAUUUUUAUUUUUACUUAUUUAUUCAUUUUUAUAUUUUAUAUUAUAAUUAAAUCAGAGAAUGUGAUGAGUUGUAUGGUUUGGUUUAUGUAAACGAGAUUAGACAUGUAUAAUUUAGAUAAUUAUUUCUUGUACCAUAAAUUUUUUAAAUCCAAAUAUGGUUCCUUUAUUUUAUUGAUAUAUUUAUUGUAUAUUUAUAUUAAGAAUUUUUUUAUUUUUUGUUUUUAAUUAAUUUUGUGUGAUUGUAUAAAGUGAGUCAUUGCUAUCUAUUAAUAGGAAUAAAACUUGUAAAAUUAUUUUUCUGGACUAAUCUUAUAAAAUUAUGUAAAUUGAUAUCAUUUCUCAUAAUCCAGCUGGACCCUCAAAUGCAAAAUAAAGAAGUGAAUAGACGUGGUGGAGUGGCUGUCAUCCAGCUGGACUCUCAAAUGCAAAAAUGGAGAUUCGAUUAUCCCAAAUCACAAGUCACAAGUCGCGAGGGGUGUGUGGAUUGGCAAUGGAAGCUGAUGUGGCACUUGAUACAACCUCAAUGUCCCAAUGCUGACUGCCAGUUGGAUCGUCCACGCUUCCCGAUAUUAUUUCUGUAUUGAGCCCCCAGCCCCUUCUAGCCUCUCAUCUUCCCUACCUUCUCCAACGUCUCUCUGUGCCUUUUUUGCUUUUUUUUUCCCAUUCAAUGCCCUUCACUCUUCUCCACCGCUGUGGCUCCACAGCACUCCUUCUCAGGCCUACUUUGGUCAAAUCAAGAGUCCUCAAACUGUCUCCAAGAUGUAUUUAGGUUUUGUUCUGUAGCUCUAAAAAUUGAAAAGCCUAGUUGAAUUCCUUUUUAAAAAUCUCAAAAUUAAUUAUUUGGAAUUGUAAUAAUAUGAAGGGAUAAAGAAAAAGACAAAAAAGCAAUGGAGUUUAAAACAACAAUGGAUGGAGCAUGAUUGAGGCAAAUUAGCUUUAGUUAAGGGUCCCAUGUACACCAUGACUCAUGUCAUUUGGGUCUUGCAAUCCUAUGUUCUAACUGUGCUCAUUCAUCAAUUUCAUUGGUAAAAUAUUAUUAAAAAAUUAAAUUAAUAACCUUUUUCAAAAACCAUAUUGUGGAUCCCGCAUUUCGGCUCGAUGCAUUCCCAUUCGAUGACGAACUCGUUUUUUAUUUAAAAAAUGAUUUAUUGAUUAAGAAAAUGACCUAAAGUCGCCACUUAUUUUUGUUAUAUUUUUAAAGGGUAAACAAAAUAAGAAAGAAAACCCUAAGUGUGGCUCCUUAUUUGAAAAAUGUGGUAUGUGAAAAACCAAAUCUGAGUUCGAGGGUCAGGUUACUUAUUGAGAAGGUAUGGUAAGGACCGUAACACUCCUUUAAGUCUCUAAAAACGGGUCUCUACUAAUAGGAUGAAGCAAGUAUGAUAAUUGAUCGAUUAAACAUGGAUACCAAACAAUGAUCAAAUGUGUGAAAGCAAGAUAUGCAUGAUAACAAAUAAAUCGAUAAAUGCAAUCGAAUACGAGACGUACCUUAAUCACAAGUUGAGCGUUAUCAUAAGAGACAAGGUUAGUGCACAAAUGUAGAAUAAUCAAGUAUAGCAAUCAAUCAAUUAAUGAGAAAAUCUCGUAUAUUGGGUCCCACCAAAACCCAAUUGAUCUUGCAUGAGUUAAUCUCAUAAAUUUCAUUAUUUUGGAAUUACGAAAAUUGUCUUCGUGCUUAUUAAAAUAGUGAAAAAUGAGAAAAUAAUUAAAAAAAAAAGAAAAAAGAAAAUCAUAGGACGCAUGCGUGAAUGAAAAAUGGUAGCACGUUUAUUAAAAAUUAGGUUUUGGUGAAUUGGGAUUUUAAUGAAGAAAUGAAAAAUAAAGAAAGAGAAAAAAAAUGAUAAUAAUAAUAAUAAUAAUAAUAAUACUGGCAAAUAAAUAAAUAAAACGAAUAACAUAAAAUAAAAUAAUAAAAUAAAUAAAUAAAUGUUUAUAUUAAAAUAUGAACAAAUAAAAAUAAUUAAGUUAGAUGAAUAAACAGAUCAAAUAAAUGAAUUUAAAAGAUUUAAAACCAUCUGAAAGACAAAUUUUUGAAAUUCAAGUUUUGAAACUAAAUUGAAAAUUGAAGUUUUAAGAAAUGAAUUGGAAAAUUGGAAUUUUAGAAAAAUAAUUUGAAAUUGAGAGUCAUGAAAAUUGGAACUUGGAAAAUUACUUGAGGAUUAAAGUAUGGAAAAUUAAAUUUGAAAAUUUGAAGUUUUUAAAAAAAAUUAAAUUUAAGAAUUGAAAACUUGGAAGUUAAAUUCGAAAAUGGAAAAUUUAAAAUAAAAUAAUAAUAAUAAUGAACAAAUGUGAAAAUUGGAACUUUGGAAAAUUGUGAAUUAAAUUUGGAAAUUGGAAUUUUGGAGGAUUAUUUAGAGAUGGAAUUUUAAAUAAAUAAAUAAGUGGAUAAAUAAAUUAAUGGAAUAAUAAUAAUAACGAAAAUAAUAAUGAUUGGAUAAAUAAUUGCGAAAUUGGAAUUUUGGAAAUUGGAAAUUGAAUUUAAAAAUCGGAAAUUUGAAGAAUUAUUUAGAGAGGGAAUUUUAAAUAAAUGAAUAAGUGAAUAAAUAAAUGAAUGGAAUAAUAAUAACAACGGAAAUAAUAAUGAUUAGAUAAAUAAUUGUGAAAAUUGAAAUUUUGGAAAUUGGAAAUUUGAAGAAAUAUUUGAAGAAAGAAUUUGAAAAAUAAAUGAAUAAGUGAAUAAAUAAAUAAAUGGAAUAAUAAUAAUGAAAAUAAUAAUGAUUGGAUAAAUAAUUGCGAAGAUUGGAAUUUUGGAAAUUGGAAAUUGAAUUUAGAAAUCGGAAAUUUGAAGAAUUAUUUAGAGAUGGAAUUUUAAAUAAUUGAAUAAGUGAAUAAAUAAAUGAAUUGAAUAAUAAUAACGAAAAUAAUAAUAAUUUGAUAAAUAAUUGCGAAGAUUGGAAUUUUGGAAAUUAGAAAUUGAAUUUAGAAAUCGGAAAUUUGAAGAAUUAUUUAGAGAUGGAAUUUUAAAUAAUUGAAUAAGUGAAUAAAUAAAUGAAUUGAAUAAUAAUAACGAAAAUAAUAAUAAUUUGAUAAAUAAUUGCGAAGAUUGGAAUUUUGGAAAUUGGAAAUUGAAUUUAGAAAUCGAAAAUUUGAAGAAUUAUUUAGAGAUUAAAUUUUAAAUAAAUGAAUAAGUGAAUAAAUAGAUGAAUGUAAUAAUAAUAAUAACGAAAAUAAUAAUGAUUUGAUAAAUAAUUGUGAAAAUUGGAAUUUUGGAAAUUGGAAAUUGAAUUUAGAAAUUGGAAAUUUGAAGAAUUAUUUGAAGAAAGAAUUUGAAAAAUAAGUGAAUAAAUAAAUGAAUGGAAUGAUAAUAAUAACGGAAAUAAUAAUGAUUGGAUAAAUAAUUACGAAAAUUGAAAUUUUGAAAAUUGGAAAUUGAAUUUAGAAAUUGGAAAUUUGAAGAAUUAUUUAGAGAUGAAAUUUAAAAAAAUAAAUAAAUAAAUAAAUAAAAUAAUAAUGAUAAUGAAGAUAAUAAUGAUUAAAUAAAUAAAUGUGAAAAUUGGAAUUUUGGGAAGUGAAAAUUAAAUUCAGAAAUUAGAAAAUUGGAAUUUAGGAAAUUGGGAAUUAAAUUUGAAAAUGGGAAUUUUUGGAAAAUUAUAUUUAAAAAUUUGAAUCUUGGAAAAUUAAAUUUAAAAUUAGAGUCUUAGAAAAUUAUUUUGAAAAUUGAAUUUUGAAGAAUUAAAUUUAAAAAAAUUGGAGUUUCGGAAGAUUGAAUAUUGAGGAUUAAGGUUUUGUAAACUAAAUUUAAAAUCAGAUUUUAGAAGAUUAUUUAGAAAAUGAUAUUUUUUUUUAAAUAAAUGAAUAAAUAAAUAAAUUUGAAACUUUGGAAUUUUAGAAGAAUUAUUUGAUAACAGAAUUUUUAAAAGAUGAAAUUUUUAACAUGAAAAAAUGAACUAAGAGGAUGGCACGUGACUGCUGCUGUUGGGGGGUGGCCGGAAUAUGGCGGUGGUCUUGCGAGAACCAAACCAGGCGCCACUCUGGAGCUCGUGCUGGCCGGACUCGUCCUAGAUGAGCUGGAAAUCAAGGUUCAGAAGCUUGAAGAUGCGACUGAGCUUGCCUUUUAGGCCCUCCACCUAAACGAUCUUCGCGCCUUUAGGUAUGUCCACCGUUUCUUCAAACAAAUCCGGCGUCGGCAAUGCUUGACUUUCACUAUAGCUUUUCGAGAUUAAUCCGAUCAAGGACCCCACCAUUCUUCCAAAACCUCAAGACAAUACAACUCUAGUCGAGGCUCGAUGGUCCAGUCAGGAGGCAGCCAAGUAUAUUGACCAUCCCUCUCACCUGAGUCGCUUGCUGAGUCGGCGUUGCUGAUGGCGCCACAUCAACUCUUAUGGAAUUCAAAGCCAUAUUGUUCUAGGACCAAGGCUGGAUUUCUUACGUUGCAAGUGCGAAUAUAUAACAGAGGGGUGAGCAACUGCUGUUGGAGCAACAAAUUGGCUAAUUUUGGAAUUUACUGUAACUGGAGAUCACUUCAAAGAUUGAACUUUCUUUAUUCUAUCAAGACCUGCUCUCCCAUGCAUUUUCCCAUUAAGACUAUAUAUAUAUAUAUAUAUAUAUUUAUGGCCCUUCCAAUUUCCUUACCCAUUGCAUGCCAUCCUCUUCACGUAUCUUCCCAUGACCACAAUCCUUCAAUCCCAGCAACUUGGCCAUUGACGAUACCACCCCACCAUCAACAAGAGAGAGAUAGAGAAAAAAAACAUAAAAACUAAGCAUGCCCUUAACUCUAUGUCAUGGACCAUCAAAGAGAUAUGAGCAAGUAGAAUCCGGAGGAAAUAAAAGCAUAGUUUUGAUACAUCAUGUUAUGGAAGGAACAAAACAUAAAAUAUUUUCAAGAGAAGUAAAAAAAAAAAAAACACCGAAAAUAAAUCGGAUACAGAGCAUGCAUACCCAGAGUCCCGCAAAACAAACGACCUAUAAUAUCCACACCAAUCAACAAACCAAAUACUCAUACGAAUAGCUGAAAAUGAGAGUUAAUCAAUGUGGAAAUGAGAAAUAAGGAGCUCACGAAAAGUCAUACCUGGAAUGCUCCUUUCAAGCAAAGAGUGGGUUGGCUUCCAGCAGUGUCGUUUCUUCUCCCCCCCCCCCCCGGGAUGUCUCAUUUUCAGAAUUUUUUUUUGCCACCCCCCCCCCCCCCCCCCAAAAAGGGGGAGAAACGGGUUUUUUUUUUCAGGCGCCCGGUUUUUGGAGCCCCAAUAUGGGCGGCCCCCCAAUUUUUUUUUUUUCAUGACUUUUAUCCGGGGGGGGGGGGGGGGGAGGAAAAAAAAAAANNNNNNNNNNNNNNNNNNNNNNNNNNNNNNNNNNNNNNNNNNNNNNNNNNNNNNNNNNNNNNNNNNNNNNNNNNNNNNNNNNNNNNNNNNNNNNNNNNNNCCCCCCCCCCCCGGUAUGUUUCAUUUCCAGACUUCUUUUUUGCUACCCCCCCCCCCCCCCCCAAACCAGGCUCCUAACCGGUUUUUCUUUUCAGUCGUCCUGUUUUGCUGCCACCACUAGCUCGGCCCGUCCCAUCUAGCUGCCCCAUGCAACUUAAUCCCGGGGUGGUCAGAAGAAUAAUAAAAAAAAAUCAAGGGAGAAUUACCCUUAAGGGUAGGCUGGGGAAAAAAAUGACCAAUGAGGGUGGGUAAAUUUGAUAAUUAUUGUAAAGGGUAGGGUAAAAUUAUGAUAAUUCCUCCAAAGGCCUUAUUUUGUUUAAAUGCCAAUACUACCCUUAAUAAGUGAAAAGCAAGUAAAGUGAAAAGCAACAGAAAAUAAAAAAGAGUUUAUUCUCCCUUUCUUUAACCUACCUGGAGCCGAGUUGUAGAAGAAAAAGGGGAAAGGAAAAAGGUGCGCACUUCAGGUCAUUCUCUGCAACCGAUACACAAAACUUGUUUUUUUUUUUAUGAAUCUAGUAAGAAAUCCAUUAAAGGUCAGUUUUUUUUUUUUUUAAUACAAAAAAAAACGUCAAUUUAUGGAAAAAUAAAUAAAUAAUUUUAAAAUCGGAUUGAAUGAAGGAAAAGUUAAUAAUUUUAACAAUGUAGUUGUAAGAUAUUAGAUUUGAAAUAUUGAAUGAGGUUUUGAGAAAGAAAUUACAUUUUUUUAAAAUGUUAUUUAAAUUUAUUAUUUUGAAUUUUUUUUUUAUAUUAUUUAGGUCAUAUUGAAGAUGUGUUUUUAUUUUUAAUUUAUUUUCUGGGUGGGUUGUUUGAUAUGAUUAUUAUUGAUUUCCAUUGAAAAUGUUUGCACUUUAGUUUUGUUGUUAAGACUUUUUGACAUGAUUGAAGAAAAAAUGUUCUCAGUUGUUUCAUGCUUGUUUGGGACCACUUUGUUUGUGUAUUUAUAAACAUAUUUGGAUUGUCAUUGAAAACUAAAAUCCCCUUUGUACGAGACCACUUUGUCUUUUAUUAUGAAUUUGUUAAAGAGUUAAGAUCACUAUAUUUUUGUUAUAAAUUUGUUACCUUUUUGUAUAAGUAUUAUUUUGGUAUGAUGAGUCGAAUGCCUAGUAGUUUGAAGGUUGUGUAAAAGAACCAUUAUUUCAGUUAUAAAGUAUAAGUACAAUACAAAUGCAAUAUAGUUACAAUGAAAAAAUAUUAACAUUAUGAUACAUUACAAUAUACCAAAAUGACAAAAUAUUGAAUUAUUUUUUACUGAUUUGGCAUUUCUAGGCUAUCAUGUUGUAUUCCUAUCAUAAAGCAUCCUUGCAAGCCAAAAUUAUAAAAAAAAACAACAACAAAAAUACACUAUUGUAAUUUCAAUACAUGAAGUUGUUGAUGAUAAUCCAAUGAUGGAUAAAAAAAAUCUAUAAAAUUAAUUUUUUUUAUAUAAAAAUAUAGAGGUAUAAUAAAAAUACAAUACAAUUACAAUACAAAUACAAUAACAUUACGAUACAUUACGAUAAGGUAAAAUUUUGAAAAUGUCAAAUUUCUUACGAAACUGGGCAAUUAUGGGUUCUUUGGCAUAUCCCUAACAUGUAUAAUAUACAACAAAUAUUGUUAUUUAUUAUAUAAAAUAUGUCUCUCAAUUGAUUAUAAUUUUCAUUUGUUUAUUUUGUAUUCGUUGUAAAAUUUUCAUUGAUUGUAAUAUUGUGAAAUAGUUGUUGAUGAUAAUCCAAUGAUGGAUAAAAAAAAUCUAUAAAAUUAAUUUUUUUUAUAUAAAAAUAUAGAGGUAUAAUAAAAAUACAGUACAAUUACAAUACAAAUACAAUAACAUUGCGAUACAUUACGAUAAGGUAAAAUUUUGAAAAUGUCAAAUUUCUUAUGAAACUGGGCAAUUAUGGGUUCUUUGGCAUAUCCCUAACAUGUAUAAUAUACAACAAAUAUUGUUAUUUAUUAUAUAAAAUAUGUCUCUCAAUUGAUUAUAAUUUUCAUUUGUUUAUUUUGUAUUCGUUGUAAAAUUUUCAUUGAUUGUAAUAUUGUGAAAUAGUUGUUGAUGAUAAUCCAAUGAUGGAUAAAAAAAAAAAUCUAUAAAAUUAUUUUUUUUUAUAUAAAAAUAUAGAGGUAUAAUAAAAAUACAGUACAAUUACAAUACAAAUACAAUAACAUUACGAUACAUUACGAUAAGGUAAAAUUUUGAAAAUGUCAAAUUUCUUAUGAAACUGGGCAAUUAUGGGUUCUUUGGCAUAUCCCUAACAUGUAUAAUAUACAACAAAUAUUGUUAUUUAUUAUAUAAAAUAUGUCUCUCAAUUGAUUAUAAUUUUCAUUUGUUUAUUUUGUAUUCGUUGUAAAAUUUUCAUUGAUUGUAAUAUUGUGAAAUAGAUUGAUUUGAUUGUCGGUGAAAGAAGACGUACUUCUGAAUUGGUAAAUGGACUUGGAAAAUUCCAUUUAUGGCUACCUCAUGAAGGAGGGGAGAUUGUACCUAAGGAGGAUAAACAAAUACAAUACAAGGGUGGACAACAAAAAGACAUGUACAUUGGACAAAGGAUGUCAUAUGCUGAAUUUGUUUCAAAGGCAUGUGAACGGUUGGAUAUUAAUUCAAAUGGAUAUACAUUUCAUUACACCCUUGAGUUUGAUCCAUCUGCACUUCAACAGUUGGAUGAUGAUGAGGACAUGCAUAUGAUGUUAUCCCAUAGUUAUGAUUAUGCUCGUAUUUAUGUAUUAAAACGGACUCGAAGAGUAGAAGUUGAAGGAGGUAUAGUCAAUGUGCAAAAUGAUUAUUGGUAAGUGAUAUAUCUUGUAUUAGUUGUCAUAAAUUCCAUGAUGCAAAGUGAUUUUAAUAUUAAUUAACUGAGUGUGCUAUAAUAUGCAGUCACAAUAGUACGGAGGAAACACACAAUUCAGUUGCAUCAUGUCAAGCAAACAAUGAGUCUAAUUUAGGACUUUCUCAAGGCUUCAUGUCCAGAUGUGCAGAAACUGAAGUUAUGCCACAUGAUUUAAGUCUUUGUCCUCAACCUAUUAUUGGGAGUGGGCAUAGUUUUCCUAAUGCAGAUGAAUUUAGAAAUGCAUUAUAUACGAUGUCAUUAGUUGGUAGAUUUCAAUACAAAUUCAAAAAGAACUCUCCAAAGCGAAUAUCUGUGUGCUGUUUAGUGGAUGGGUGCCCUUGGAGAAUAACUGCUAAUUCAGUAGGCACAACCAAAAUUUUGAAGGUUAACAUCUUCAUUGAUGUACACAAUCAUUAUGCAGAUGUUGAGUGUUCAAGCCAACCUUCAAUGCGGGGAAGGAGAGGUGCUCGUGUCAUAGAGCAAGUAAUAAGGGCAACCCCUCAGUAUUUGCCCCGUCAAAUUUGCAAAGACUUCAGGAGUCGGUAUGGUGUUUCAUUGAGUUAUAAGCAAGCUUGGACAUACAAAGAAAUGACAAAAGAGAGAAUAUAUGGUCUUCCAGAAAACUCAUAUAUGUUGUUGCCAUGGUUAUGUCAGAGAUUGGUAGACAUUAAUCCAGGGACGAUUGCUGAAUAUAGCACACAAGAUGGGCAUUUUUGGCAAUUGUUCAUUGCACAUUCUUUUUCAAUUCAAGGGUUUUUAAUGGGUUGUCGACCUGUUAUUGCAAUUGACUCAACUCAUUUGAGUGGACCGUAUAGGGGCUCUUUAUUUUCUGCAACAGCUUAUGAUGCUGAUGAUGGCAUGUUCCCAAUUGCAUUUGGUGUUGUAAGUUCAGAAAACUAUGAGGAUUGGCUAUGGUUUUUGCAGAAAUUGAAGGGCAUACUUCAAGAUAAAGAGGUAGUCAUAAUAUCAGAUAGGCAUCAAGCAAUCCUUCGUAGUGUUUCUCAACUUUUUGGAGUAGAAAAUCAUGCAUAUUGUUAUCGUCAUGUGAAAGAGAAUUUUAGUAGCUAUGUGACGAAACAUAGUAUGAAGGGAAAAAAAUGUAAAAUGGAUGCAUUGUUGCUACUUGAUAAUGUUGCGUAUGCUAGGUUGGAUGAUGAUUAUGUUGUAGCCAUGGAAAAAUUAAAGACAUAUAACAGUGACCUAGCGAAGUGGGUUAAAGAGAACGGUCCACAACAUUGGGCAAUGUCAAAGUUUGCCAAAAAACGAUGGGAUAAGAUGACAACUAAUCUUGCUGAAUCAUUCAAUGCUUGGCUGAAGGAGGAACGCCAUUACACAAUUUUCAACUUAGUAAUGACACAUAUGGAUAAGUUUGCUCAUCUAGCAUGUGAUCAUAUGGGUUCUACAGAAAAUUGGAAAGCUGCAAUUGGCCCAAAGACCGAGGAAAAGUUGUUGGAAAACAUUAUAAAGAGUGGGUCAUUGCCUGUAUAUCCCUAUGUUGGUGGUGUGUUUAAGGUAUUCAAUAUGAAAGUAUAUGUAGACGUGAAUUUGAGAGAGCGUACAUGUACUUGUAAGGCUUGGCAAAUGGCCGGAAUACCUUGUGAGCAUGCAUGUACAGCAAUAUGCCAGAUGAAACAAGAUGUUUAUGAAUAUGUUGACUCAUAUUUCAAGCUUCCAAUGCAAGAGUUGAUAUAUUCUGGACACUUCAAUUCAAUUCCAAAUCACAAUAUGCCUAUAGUUGAUGCUGAUGGAUGUGUUCGUGAUGUUCAAGGUCGCUUAUAUCCUUCGCUUAAACCUCCAUGCUCAAAACGACCACCUGGAAGGCCUCGACACCGUCGAAUAGAGUCGCAAUUUAGUUCAAAAAGGCUUAUCUUCUGUUCAUGAUGUCAAGUUGCAGGCCAUAAUCAAGCUUCAUGCAAAAAUCCAUUACCCGCUCCAUGAUUCUAGUGUUAUGCUUGUUUGGUGACAUGCUACUUUUUAUCUUAUUUUGAUUGUGAUGAUGUGUGGUUUAUGAAAUUAGAAUCUGUAAGAAUUUGUUUUGGAACUUACUUAUUUACUUGAUUGUCAUGACAAAGAUGCUUGUAUUACAUAUGCCACUAUUUUAGACUUAUGAUCUUAUCAUUAUUUAGGGUGGUUUGUAACCAUGUUUUUAAUGUUAUUUUGAAGAUCAUUAUUGACUUUGUACAUGUUCAUUACAUUUGUUUAACUUGUUUUCCAUUGAAAUACAGGUUACAUCAUGGCAUCUUCAAGUGCUUCAUUUAGAAAUAUAAGAGGUAAUAUUAGAAAUGGUGAAUAUUUACUUUAUCAUAACUGUAUGUGUAAAUGUUCACCCAGACAGAGGGCGGCUGUUAGAAUCUCUGAAUCAAAGGAUAACCCAAAUAGGUUAUAUUAUUGUUGUCAAUAUGCAAAUGCUAGAGAUGACUGUCAUUUCUUUAAAUGGGCAUUCCCGGAAGGAAAUGGUGAUGGCAACACCUACCAAGAACCAGAAGAGGUUGUUCAAAGAAAAAUGUAUGGCGUGGAUGAAGAUUUUAAACAUAUUUUAACAAGAAUUGAGUUCAUGCAGAAAGUAAUUGUAGUAGGACUACUUUUAUUUUUUGUUCUAUGUUUGAAAAUUGCUUAAUCAUACACUUACUUCAUGUCUAUUAAGUUUUGGAUUAUAUAUGUAAUGCUUAAUUGUAUUGUACUUUGAUGUAUUUGUAUUUGGAGUUAUUUAUAAUAGGUUAUUUAUCUCCAUUAUGUGGACUUGUAUUAGAUUUUUAAUUAUAAUAGUUCACAGUUUUGCCUACAUUUUUAAUUACAUUUACAACAUAAAUUCACUAACAUUACGAUAAAAAAACACUAACUGUAUGAUAAAUUACAACAUAAACUAACAAUGCAAUCUUUUGACUAAAUAAAGUCCAAUUUCUUGGGUUGAUUACCAAUUUCUUAUAUAUAAUGGUUCAAUAUUUUUUUUUUUUUUUUGUAACCUCAAAUUAGAAAUGUCUUCUUAGCUUUGAUAAUGAGCUGUUGUAUUUUUUUUUUAAAAAAAAAAAAAUUGCAACGAUCUGAAAACAUUAUAGAAUAGAAUUAUUCAUAAACUUAUUUGCCUGUAAAAAUAAAUUAUAUUAAUUUUUUAAUUUAUUAAAUUAAAAUCUAUUUCUUAUUUUUCUAUUUUUUUAAUAAUUUUUUUCGUUGAAAUGGACUCAAAAUGGUAGCUUUUACCAUGCAAAACUAGAGUGUAAAACCUUUUGUCAUUUAGUUAUAAAGACUUUGAAAUACUUGAAAUUACUCUCUUAUAAGUUUCUUGAAAAUGUAAUAUGUUUAAUAGGAAUUUUUUAAAAUAAGAUAAAAUAAUAGACCUCAUUGUGUGUUUAUUACUACAGUGAAAAAAAUUUGCUACAAUGAAUCAGUGAUUGUGCAAUUUUAUGUCGUUGGAGUUAUAAUAAUAGACCUCAUUGUGUGUUUAUUUUAUGGGUUAGAUUUCUCAUUGUAUGACAAUAUAAUUAUGAAAUCAAUCUCAUUUUUUGAAGUUUGGGAAAUGAUGAGAGAUUCAAACAGGUUAGCAUAGGCUUAAUGGUUUUUUUGGCAUGCUGAAUAUUUUUUGCACGUCAGUCUGAUCCCAAACUUUGUGAAGUACAACAAAUAUGACAGUCUUUUUGUUUUGUUCUUGAUGUUGUUAUUUCAAUUCUGCUUUGGCAGAAAAAAAACAAAAAAAUUGAUCACCCAAGUAGUUGAGCUAAGUUAUCCCAGAUUGGCCUAUCAUUGAUGCGUUGGAGUUAUCAAUGUGUGAUAUCAUUUUGAUACCAUGGAUUUGGGAAAUGAUGAGUUGACAGUGCAAUGCCUACAGCAAUUUAGAGAAAUUUGAAGAUCACAAACAAAUGAUGGCAUAACAAUAAUUAUUAAUAAAUAGUAGCAGCUAUGAGUUCCAAACAAAUUAGUUGAUGUAAGCCAAUUUAUAAAAAAAUAUCAGACUAGUAAAUUUGGAAAUGGAACUCCAUCAGACUAUAAAAAAAUAUCAACAACUAUAAACCAAAAAAAUUACAACAUCACUGAUCCAUAGCCUGGUAGACAUUUUCCCUGACUUCAUUUUCUGGAGACAUUAUCAGUUGUGUUAGGAGUUUUUCCCUGUACUUUAUGACCUUGUCCUGUACAAAAGAGUAUAUAAUAUAAUAUUAAGAAAAAUUCAUGAUCAUAAAAAAAAUAUAUAUAUAUUUUAUUCACCACAAUAUAAUACAUUUGCAAUUGCACGAGAAAUUCCACGGUUACUCCAUAAUUGCAUAAACUUGAUUAGAAAUAUGCCACAAUCCGUUCUGCAAAUAGUAAUUAAGGAAAUUAUAAGUCAAUUGGGUAUCAAAUUAGUAAAUUUAUAACCUGAUUUGCUUUCCAUAGUUAAAGAGGAAUACAAAUCAUGCAACUUACGGAUUCAAUUGUUGGACAACUUCUGGAACAACAAAUUCAUAUUCUGUCAUGUCCACUGAUGGUCUUCUUUCUUGAAUCCCAAUGACAGUUGACAAAACGUUCACCUUAACACAAUAUUCAAUUAUAAAUAUGGACAUCUUUAAAAAAAUAAUGACAACGAUUCACAUAAGUAAUUGGACUAUAACUAUAUUUACCAGUUUCUCUAUGAAGGUAUCCAUCCGUUUUUUCCUUCCGUCAAUUAAUGAAUCCAACAACUCUAUUCUUUUCGCAUGAAUAUUCAAAAUGAUUAAAUACCAAUGAUUUUUCCUGCAUAUUGGUAUGAACAACUAAAAGGAACAAAAAAAAAAUAAAACAAUGAUUUUAUCAAAUUAGUUGUGUUCAUGUAUUUUCUGCACAAUACUUAAAAAUAUCCAACUACAAAGUACUUUUAUUAAACUAAAUAAAACCUGUUCAUAUGUGCACAACCGAGUAUUUUUGAAAUAUUUCCAUAAAUUGUCACAUAUGUAUUUUGGAGAUAAGGAACCCCUCUUGUUUUCCACAUCAGACUGUAAUAAAAAAAUUACAAACCAUACAUUAGAUUAAAACAAUCUACGUAAAACAAGAAAACCAAUCUAUAAUUCUUACAACAUAUCUUACAACAAAGUUUGGAGAUAAGAAAUGCUUCCUAUUUUCUUUAUCCAUACCAUUCAAAAUUCGACAAUGCAUGGUUACAACCUUCAUGUAAAUUAAUGAAAAUUAGAUAUAUAGUUUUAGAGUAAUUUUAUCCUAACUUCACAUAACUAAAUAUGAAUACCUUAUUGUCAACCAAUUUGUCGGGUCCCAAGCAUUUCAAGUCAAACCUUGUCAAGAAGAAAUUGUGCAUGGAACAUAAUAUUUGGCUACACAUAAAUAAUUAUGAUGUUAGAAAUUAAAACUAAUUAUUUCAAAUGCCUAUCUUAAUUGUAUUUGUUUAUACUAAAUUAAGUUCAACCUUACCUUUCAUCACGUGUAUCGUCCAAUGCAUAUGCCAAAACUUGCUUUGCUACAGAUGAAGACGCUGAAAAUUUGAUUGACGGUUGUACCACGUAUGGUGAUUGUAGGGCAGUAGCAUGUCGACGUAGCCGAUAUGAACGUAUUGGAGGAUGUCCAGUCUCGUAAGGAAUAAUAGCAUUCAUCUGAACUUCAUCCUCAACUAUAUGUAUAGAAAAUAAAAGAAAAUAAAAUUCACUAAUGAAAAUAACACGCAUAGGAAAUACUAGCCAUUAUUAUAUACUCAUUAUUAUUUUGAUAUUAAAACAUAAAGAAGCAGAAAGUAUACUGCUAUGCUGCGCUGCUGGCUGUGAGGUUGAUGGGCCUACAUUAUCUUCACCAUCAGCAAAACGAUCAUUCAGUGGCGAUCCAUAAGCUAAUUUCAGAAUGCAUAAUAACCAAAAUUAUUAUUUCCAAAAAAAAAAAAUUAUACAACAUUUGCAAUUAAAUUAAAAGUAAUACAAAAUUAUAAUGACUAGUGCUAUAAAAAUCGUACUACCAUGUGGUGGUGAUGGGAAAGAAUCAUUGAUAUCAGGUUGAUUAUGACUUCUGCUUUGAUGAGAAGAUGAUGGGGUUUUAUUUGUAUUCUGCCGCUUUGCUAGUUUACCAAUUGCUCCUCUCAUUGUUCGAAGCAAUUGGUGAAUUUGUCUCUCUGCUGCAUUAUAUUCUGCUAUAAUUUCCUACAAAAUGGUACAAAGUGUCAAAGACGUAUAUUAUUAUGCAUAACAUGUUUGGUUUUCGCUUUAAAUAAAAGAAUAGAUGUAGAAGGUUCUCACAUCAGUAGUCUCUUCUUCAACUUCAUUUACUGGAUUACCAGGGUCUUCAUGUGCAUCUUCCUCCCUUUCAUCUUCUUGAACCUAAAAUAAUAAAAAGAAGAAUAUACAAUUUUUAUAAAUUUAUUUUUCAAAUAUGAAAAUAAAAUAAAAUGUUGAAAGAAAAUUGUCUCUUACAUCAGCUAGUCCAAAAUCACCAUAAUCAUGCAAUACCGCAUGCACCCUUUUCUUCAUCAAGUCAUCAGUCCACGCUGCACAUAUUGGGAUGGUACGUGGUACCAACAUGGUUGGAAUGUAAAAUUUAUUUAAAUAAAAAAGCUGAAACACAAAUAUUCCACACAUCAAUACGUUAUUUAGAAAAGACUUGUUAAAACAUAUAAAAUGAUAUGGAAACCUUCAACAUUUAAUAAAAAAAGGUAUCUACCUAUAAAAAAAUAAGGCAACCUGUAAACCAUGAGCCUUUACCCAAUCGAAAAUGUCUAAUUCCAGCAACCAGUGUGUCAAGUACAAAUUGACCCCAAUUAACAUUGAUGUCAAAGUCUCCAGCAAGCAAAGUACACCACAACUCAUGACUACCAUCCAACUUUGAUGUUGGAGCAAGUAAUGUAGCACAUGAGAAGAAGAUAAACAAUUUUUUGAACUCGGCCAUGUCUUCCAUUAAAAUCAGCCUAUCUCUAAGAUCUGAUAGGUUUUCCAUCCUAUCAUUCCUAUUGGUAGGUGAAAGUAGGAGCCUCCUACCAAUAUAUGGAAUACCCAGAAUUUCACCUACAUCAGAACAAGUUAUUGGAAAUUGCCUUUCUUGUCCUAUGUCUAACCUACAGUGGGCUAUAUUGAAAUGAGUUAUUAUCCAUCUACAUAAGCUAUGCCUUAUCUCUGUGGAAGAGAGCUGAAGUAAUCCACCAAAGCCAAUAUGUUGAAUUAUACUCUUCUUUUCAUCACUUAGCUCAUCAAGUAGAUGUCUAAGUUUUUUGCUGGAGCAUCGACUAUUUAUUUUGACCUCCUGUAAAAGUAAAUAAAUGAUAAUAUAAAAUUAAAAUGAAAACAGUCAAAUUAAACAACAAUGUCAAACAUUAAUAUAGUCAAAAUAAAAUAAUACUAAUUAAAAUAAUGUUCAAACCUGGUUGUAUUGUAUUGUUUUUUUCCUUUUAUCCAUGUAUUAUACUCCACACUGCACUAUGGAAUUUAUAUCAAAUAAUCAAUUGUCACAAUUAAAUAUAUAAUGAAUCAAGUAAUGUUGUAAUAUAUUGUACUUCUAGUGCAAUUGUAUUGUAAAUGUAGGGCAUUUGUAUUGUCGCCUUAUUUAUUUUAGUUUAACUACUAUUAGUGAUCCCAAAUACAGUUACAUACAUGCUACUAAAAACACACAGAGCCAUUGUAUUAGUGGAUAACAAAUUUAAGUUGUUUGAUGGUAAUCCAAUAUGUACAAAUUGUUAAUGCUCAUCAUGGCUAACCUUUUAAAUCAUAUAUAAUUCCCCCAAAUUAGCCCACUGAUCAAGAAAUAGACUUUAGUUGCUUAUAGAAAAGCCAAAGCCAAGAACCCUUUAUUGCCAGUUCACCCUUUUCCUUUUUUCUUUUCCUUUUUGUUAUUUUAGUAACCUGUCACAGAACCUCAAUAUAUGAAAUAUUGACAAAUUUGCAUAUUGAAUAAUGCUCAAAAAGGGUUUGUGAAAAAAAUUGAUGAGACAGGGCUUUGUUAAGCCAAGUCAAGUUGUACAUAUUUUAUACAUCUCCACUUUUGCCUUCUGUAUUACAAAAUAUAAUAUGGUCAGCCCAACAACUGAAUUUUUCAUCAGUUUCCUUGAGUAGAUACCAUGAAACAAAGGGGUAGCAUAUAGAAAUUAUCAUCAUAUUUAUAAAAACAAUACUAGCGAAGAUUGCUAAAUGAAAGUGCAAGGAUAUUCUUGAUGACAAAAGAAAAUAAAAAAGGGACUGAUGUGCAGUUCUUAAAGAAUAAAAAUUUCAUUCCAUGCAUAGAGAUCCAAUCCUGCUAAGAUGCUAUCAAAUUUUCUUGGCUUGAAAGAGCACUUAAAUAGAAGGAGUUUAAUACAAAAGGAGUGACCCCAAAAUGUUUUAAAAAGAAUAGUUCUCGAGAGAAAAAAACAAAAUUUUCUGAGAUUCUGUAAUGAAAGAAAACUUACCAGGAGACCUUGUAAUAAAAAGAAUCUAUAAUAGAUAAAAAUUUCUUCAGACACAUGAAAAUUCAACCCUUUCUAGGAUGAUGUAAAAUUUUCUUGGGUCAAAAAAGAGGAUUAGAGGAUUUAUGCUGAAGGAGUUCACUUACCAAAAGCAACCAAUAGAAUGAUUACAUAAAUCAGUUUCAUAAGAGAAGAUAUCUGAGAUUUUAUACAGUGAAAGGAGUUUUCAAGGGAAACAACCAGUUGAUUUAAAAGUAAAUAAAUUUCAUGAAUGAAAUUACUAUAUGAGAUUUUCAAUGAGAGAAAAUGAGUCAAUUCCAAGAACAUUACCUGUCUAAGAAUUGGGGUGGCACUUGUUUCUCUUAACUUUUGAGCAUCUGAGUAAGUCAAGCAUGGAACUGGUUUCAGUUCUGCAUACUGCAAAACAGUAAAAGGGCUAUGCCAUCAUGCACGUGGAAAAAAAAAAAAGAAGCAUAAUUUGAUUUCCAUCACCAUUAAACUAAAGAACUCAGUGGUGUACCACUUUUACCACAGAAUAUCUAACACCAACCUGGAAAGGAAAGCCAGUGAACUACAUGGAAUGCAGGCCAAAUGGGAAAACAAAAAGAAGAAAAAAGUUAAGUCUCCAAAUGGAGAAAAUAGCUUAAACAACAUGACAGGUGGUUAGAUCAACGCAACUGGUGAAAAUUGAGAUUUUAAAAAUACAAUAUUGUUAUCUAUUCCUAGUAUUCUCACAGAGUGGGAAGGUUAAACUUCAAGGCAUAUGGGACUUGGCCAUGGAUACUAUCUCAUGGAAGUAGCAACAAGCUAUGGCCCAACACAAAUAGCAAGCUGGGCAGCUGGCAGAAAAAAAAAUGUUUGAUUUAUAGUUGCAUUAAGAAGUGAAUGAGGAAGAUGAGGACAAGCAAGUGGACAAUGAGGAUGAGCUUGGAGAUAAUGAAUUGCUUGAGGAUGAAGAUUUUAAUCUAGUGGAGACAGUUUUGAUUUCAACUCAAGAAUGAACUCUUGCAAUUGUAAUUUCAUUUGGAUGAUGGUGACAGUUCUGAGAUUGUCUUGUUUUGUGAAAUUUCAACUUGAAGAUGCAGAGAAAGCCCUCACUUUAGGUCCAUUGUUGGCUAAAUUCAACACCAUGAAAGUGAUUGGGAGAAAGGGUUAUGUCUCUUUUAUUGAUUAUAAGGUACUAGAAACUGCAACAAACAAUUUUCAGGAAAGUAAUAUCCUGGGUGAGGGCGGGUUUGGUUGUGUCUACAAGGCGCGGUUGGAUGAUAACUCCCAUGUGGCUGUGAAGAAGGUAGAUGGUAGAGGCCAGGAUGCUGAGAGAGAAUUUGAGGUAUAUAUCUUUUGUUAAGUAAAACAAAUGAAUUGGCUUCCAUUUUGGGGGUUUGGCAUAUUACCUCUCAUCAUGUUCUUGAUCACAUUUGAAAAUGCAGAAUGAGGUGGAUUUGUUGACUAAAAUUCAGCACCCAAAUAUAAUUUCUCUCCUGGGUUACAGCAGGCAUGAGGAGUCAAAGUUUCUUGUCUAUGAGCUGAUGCAAAAUGGAUCUCUGGAAACUCAAUUGCACGGUAAGAGUACGAGGAUUUUCCCAUUAGUUAAAAAGACGAAAACAAGGAGAAUACUGAUGUUUUCUUUUUCUGUCAUCUGACUGAUGUUUCAGGACCUUCUCAUGGAUCAUCUCUAACUUGGCAUAUUCGAAUGAAAAUCACUUUGGAUGCAGCAAGGUGAAUUUGCAGACCCCAAUGCUAAUCUUUUUCUUACUAUUUGAUAUUCUGUAUAAACAAAGUUGGUUGUGUUGACCAGAGGAUUAGAGUAUCUACAUGAGCACUGCAACCCACCAGUCAUCCAUAGAGAUCUUAAAUCAUCUAAUAUUCUUCUGGAUUCAAACUUCAAUGCCAAGGUAAAAACAUACAAAAGUUGUGGAAUCUUUUAGGUCUUUGUCUAUAAAAUUUAUGACAGUGCACCAGAACAUUGCUGAUAUAUAUAUAUAUAUAUAUAUUUUUCUUUUUUGUGUUCUCUGGCUCUCUCUUGUGGAUUAGCUUUCGAAUUUUGGUCUAGCUGUAAUUGAUGGGCCUAAAAACAAGAACAACUUGAAGCUUUCAGGCACCCUGGGUUAUCUAGCUCCUGAGUAUCUUUUAGAUGGUACAGAAUCUAAACUUCUUAUAGUUUUUUUUUUUCAUAUCCACAUAUUUUAUUUUUCAUAAAUAUGACUAUUGAAAGCUUCAAACAUGCUGUAAAAUAGCUCGGAUCUUGAUAAACAUAUUAAAUCAUUAAAACUUUAGAUUGCUCAAAACUGUUGGUAUGGGAUUCCUGAAAGAGGGUUAGUUGAUUCACUAACUUGGGAACUCUAUUUCAGAUUGACAAAGUCAGACUUCCGGGAGCCAGUGAAUAUUGGAAGUGAUGAAAUGGUUAGUAUGAAUGAGAUGGCUGAAAUUGUCCUAAGCUUUGAGAAUAAGAACCUACCCAUCCAUCACAUUCCUGGCCCAGAGGGCGUACGUGGUCGAAACUCACACAAUAAUCUGAUCAAGGAGAAGCUUGUUGGUUUCCCAUGUAAUUUCCAACAAUUUUCUCGACUAUGGUUAGAUCACUGACAAUGAUCACACCAUAUGCAAUUAUUCUGUCAACCUCCACGCUGGUAAGGAGUCAAACACUACUCAUCAGAAUUUGGCCACUGCUCUCCAUAAUUUGGAGGUUGUUCUCCAGAGGCUGAACUACUACAUUUUGUGACAAGCGCAGAGUUUUGCAGUAAGGAUUCAGCUGAUGGAUCCUUAGAGGUUUUGAGCAUUACUCACUUUCUACUUUCUUCCCAUCUAACUUCAGAAAAGGCAUCUUGAAUCCCUGGCAAGGGUUUUGUUCCCAAAACGCAUCCACGGGCCUCAUCUAGGUUGUUAAGACCAUGGAGAAAAGCAAACAACCUUUCUUUCUCCAGUUUCUUGGUAUAUUUUACGCAAUAAUCAGGGCAAGCCCCAGUGUUAUCAUCAAACAAAUCCAACUCCUGCCACAAACCAAUCAAGGUAUUGUAAUAAUCUAUCACCGUGAAAUCACCUUGCUUCUUCUCCUUGAGUUUGGAUUGUAGUUCAAAGAGAUGAGAAACAUUGCCAAGAUCUGAGUACAUAACCUUGGCAGUGUCCCAAAUCUCUUUCGCUAUCUUGUAAGAGAGAUAAUUCCACCCUAUUUUAGGCUCCAUCAAGUUUACCAGCCAAGCCAUCACCAUGGAAUUCUUGGAUUCCCAUGUGAGUUAGCCAUGUUUAGUUGCUGCUGGUUUUUGAGUCUCCCCUGUUAAGUAGCCUAGUCAUCCCUUGCCACGAAUGACGAGAAGGACAGAUUGGGACCAUUCCUAAUAAUUGCUCCCAUUUAAUUUAUGUUGGGUAACCUGCAGGGUGUGAGAUUCAGCAAUAUUGUUGGCAAGAAGAGAGUUGGAUGGUUGGGUAAUUGUCUCGAAGGAUACUCUAGAGGUUCCAUCACGAGCAUGGCCAGUCAUUUGUUUUAACCAUGGACAAUAACCAUUUUUUUAGGAAAUCAAGGAGUGCUCUGAUACCAUAUUGAGUUGAAAAAGAUAAUUUUUUAUUCAACCUGAUUUUCCACUGCAUCAAACUCUGAUUUAUAGAGUUACAACACAUGUAAAACAGAAGCCAGAGAUAACCUCUUGGCUGACCUGAAAUCUAGGAACAAAAAAAUAAAUUCAAAAAUAAACAACCUGAUCAGAUAAGAUAACUGCCUAACAAACAAAUCUGAUCUGAUGUUUUAUUAAAUAACACAAAUUUAAACUAACUAGAAAAAACGUAACCUUUCAAUAGUAGGCUACCAAGAUAAUAUGACAUAACUAAAAACAAAAAUGUGCUACUUAACAUGGUAACAAAAGAUUGUAUUUAUUCUCAAAUAUCCUGAAUCUAUUCAGAUUCCAAACCUUUUCCUGAAAAGAAAAGGCUGCAAAUUUAUGGAUGACAUCUCAUUAAUUCCCAAGUUAUUCCUGGAUAAUACUAAGAAAUCUCAAAUAAUUUGUUGUGCAGCAAGUUCAAAUGAGUUCAGUGUUAUAUUAUUACUAAAUCUUGGAUUUGUGGGGAAAAUUUUGUGGCAAAUUUUAAUUUUUGCCUCAUACUUAUUUCUUAGCAGAAUUUUGGAUUUAAUUAUACGAUGAAGGAUUAAUAAUUGAUUAGAUUAUGGUUUUUGGAUAGAGUAAGUUGAUUUUAUUAAAUUUGAAAAUUUGAAUAAAUUGAAUGUUGUUGGAUUAGAGAUUUGGAUAUUUGGUUGGAGGUCUAUUGUUCAUAAUUGGUGCUUUUGUGGAUUGAAUGAUUGAUUGGAUUAAGGUUCUAGGAUAAAGGAAGUGGAUUCAGACAGUAUUUUUUGGUCUUGGAUAUGUUGAGUGAAUUUUUGGUUUUUCUUGACCUUUGUUAAUGGUGUUAAGGAACAAAGUCUUGAUAAGGGAGGCUGAGUAAUAUUUGAAAAUUUAUUUUAUAUUUGUGUUUCUAAAUCAACCAAGACCAUUAUUUUUUAGUAUUUUUUUAAUGCAUUAAUGUUGUGAAUCCAAAUUAGCCAAACAACAAGAAAAAACUGCAAUCUGAAAUGUAAAUCACAGGCAACACACAAGUUGCUAGAACAAAAAAAGACAAUUAAUGGAAUGAAAAUAUCAGUCUCAUUCCCAAAGCCCUGUUCCAUGAAGCAAACAUGGCUUUUAAGGUUUUUAAAAUGAAACCUUUAAGCCAUUAAAGGCAGAGCAUUUUUCUCAAGGACAAGAACUAGCCAUUAAAGCCAACUUUAUUUAUUGUUAAUUAUAUUUUUGAGAGUAUUGGCGUUUAAUAAAUCAAAUUCUUUAGUUGUAACUACAUUGUUUUUUCCCAUCUGGUGCAUGCCACUGCCACAACAGGAGGUCCACUACCAGUUCCCACAUUACAAUCAACAAAAUUAAUUAUAUGUUCAAACUUGUUUUUGAUUUUUAAUAGAAUCAAAACAACAGAAAAUACAUCUCAGUUGAUUCCAAGUUUAACUAGGGAUCCAAGAACAUAAGAAAGUAGCUCAGAACAGCAUUUUCUAAGAAAUUUGACCACUGCCAUGAUUACAUUUAUUAAGGAGUUCAAGGAUUCAAUAUUUUUUCUCAUAUAUUUUCCUCUAGCUUCUCGGCAUCCAGACAGAUUACCUAAAUCAACCUCUAUCAACAGUCAUAAUACUAAAUAAAUUGGCACAGCCCAAUUCCAAAUGGGUUUCAGAAUUAGACCAAUUGCAUCUAAACAAAACCAUGUUGAUUCAUCAUCAAAUCUUCUAGCUAAUCACAAACACAAGCAAAUACAACAACAGUAAUAACAAUUACGGGUCCGUUUGGAUGCUGAGAAAGUAGAAAAUAAAAAUUAAAGAAAAAACGUGAACUCACACAAAAACCCAAAUACCCGAUACCCACAUUCUUUGUAAUCUCAAACAAAAUCAGUAGCCUAGAAAUCUUUUCUCAAAAAUGAACUCAAACAAAAAAACACCCAAACAACUCCUCUAACAGAGCCUAGAAACUCAAUAUUCUAAGACGUCAAUUUCUUUUCUUUCCUUACCUUUUUCCCACCACCCAAGCAAAGCACAAAACCACUCUCGGCCAAAGAAAAGCCUUGCAAUUGCCCACCGUUUGGUUCCUGAGAAAACGAAAAGCAAAACAAAAGAAAAACCCUGGUGAGUUGACUUUUUUUAUUUCCGUUUCUGGGUUUCCUUAUACUCAAAAAUUGAAAGUGAAACCCCAAGUUUAUUUUUUUUUUCCCAAAUUUUCUCAGCAACCAAACAGACCCAAACCCAAAACACUUAGGGCAAAGCAUGAAAUAAGCAGAAUGUAACAAAUAAAGAUUUGUACUGCUUCUGAUCUCAAGGUGGAAACGCCAUAAAUAUAAAUAUGGGGGCUUUGAAAUGAAAUAUUUUGGGGGAUUGGGAUAGAUUUGGAAGGCUUUGUGAGGACUUUACCUUGGACUAGUGGGGCUUUUGUGCAGAUCCAGCCUCUGGAAGGUUCUUCACCUCAGGCGACGGCCUCCGAGACUAAUCCGGAUUUUCUGUUUGGGUUGGAUAAAGGGCUCGCUCCGCCUCCCCCCGUGAAAUUGCAGGAUCCAACGCCUCCACCCACGGUUCCAGAUGUGCUUCCCAAGGAUUAUUCAGUGAGAUCGGAUCCAGGAUCGGAGGAUCGCCAUGUUGUUGGAGAUCCAGUGGUGUCCCCCGCGGACUUCCAGAGGCAGAUCCAAAUGGAACAAUCGUCUGGUGACAAUGGCUGGUUCAAUGGUCAAAUUGAGGGUAAAUUAGUCUAAUAAAAAUAUAAGGCCUUUAGAAGAAUUAUCAAAUUUACCCACCAUUUUUAGUAAUUUUUUUCCCCAGCCUACCCUUAAGGGUAAUUCUCCCAAAAAUCAAACCCCUCCAUCACAAGGGAAGGGUCUACACAUAUCUAUUUAGUACAAUAAAAUAAAAUUUUCCUAUAUUAUGGUAGAAGAUGGUAGAGUACCAUCUAAAGAGAAAAGAAUUGAUCAUAAAAAUCAAAUAAAAUAAUAUAAAAACACUCCAAAUAAAAUUAGGAAAAACUUUAUAUAAGAGAGGAAAAUUAAGUUAAUAAAUUCGAAGUAGUAAAUAAAAGAAAAAUUAUUCAUUUUAAAUAUAAUUAUUUUUUUUCUUUCUACCAUUUCUCUCUAAUUUUUUUUCCCUUAUAUUUUCCUCCAAAUUUAUAGAAGCCAAAGCCAAGAAGGCCUAUGCAAGCUGAGAAAUGAUGUAAAAAGGGGAGAUGGAUCUAAUCGGACAAUAAAUGAAGUUGUGGACCCUGCAUUUUGCUCGAUGUUUUCCCACUCGAUGGCGAAAACUCGUUUUUUUUAUUUUGUUUGGUGAAAAUUUGAUUUUUAGAAAAAGACUUGGAGUCGCCACUUAUUUUUGUUUUAUUUUUAAAGGGAAAAACAAAAUAAGAAAGAAAAACCCUAAGUAUGACUCCUGAAGGAAAAAAACGGGUCUGUGAAAAACUGAGUCUAGGUCCGGGGGUUAGGUUACUCAUUGGGAAGGUACGGUGGUAAGUCGUAACACUCCUCUAAGCCCUUAUACGUACGACCUUUACUAAACGAAUUGAGGAAAUUGUGGCAAUUAAUUAUAGAUACCAAAAAAAAAAAAUCAAUAUACAAGUUAUGGUGAAAAUUAAUAUGCACAAAAACAAUGAUGAAAUCUAAUUACAAAAAUACACAAAAUAAAUAAUAAGAGAAUUAUGCAAAAUGAUUUAUUGAAUUAAAUAAAUAAAAUAUAUUAAAAAAUGUUUUAAAGAAAUUUCAAAGGAUUUUAUUAAAAAUGAUUUUGAAUUAAUGAUUUCCAUUUAUUUACUUAUAAAGAAGUAUCAAUUUAUUUUCUCAAUUUUAGUUGUAUUCAAUUUUCAAAAAAACUAUUUACACUUACUGCAUCAAAAGAAUUUAUUACAAAAUUUUAAUUUGGGCACAAAAAUUAAUUUUACUUGCUUUUACUAGAAAAUAAUGAAUUUUUACAAUUUUAUUUACAAAAGUAUUUAGAUUCAUUUUCAUUUAAAAGAGUGAUUUUUAUAAAUUAUUUAAAAUGACAUAACUUUAUUUGCAAAAUAAUUUUAAUUAAAAAGAAAAAUAAAUAUUUAAAUUCUCUAUUUUUGAAAAACACUUUUAAUCCCAUUUUAAUUAAGGAAAAAGAAUUCAUUUGAAAAAAUAUUUUUAGACAAUUUUAUUAAAAAUUAAUUUUUGGAACAACUUUAUUUACAAAACAAUUUUUGGACAAUUUUUAUUAAACAAAGAAAUUUUUUAACAAUGUCAUUAAAAACAAUUUUUCGAAUUCUAUUAAAAACAAUUUUUUUGGAUUUUUCUAAAUGCAUUUUUCUGAAUUUUUAUAAAUAAUAAAAAAAAACUUUCUUUUAUUAAAAAGAAUAUUUUAACAUUAGUAUUUUAUUAGAACAUAUUUACUGAAUUCUUCCUCUCAUUUAAAUAAAAUUUCUAAUUUAUUCGAUGUUUAAUUCUGUACACACUCAAUAAAUAUAUAUGAACAAAUAUUUACAAUAACUAAUUAAAAUAGAACCAAAUAAAAGUGGGAAAUAAAAUAUGUACCCAAAUAAACUUACAAUAAAUUCACGUAUCAUCAAUUCGUACUCAGCCAAUAAGAUUGCAGAAUGAGUCCAUGCAAAAACAAAAUAGCACAAAUGUAAAUAUCCAGAGAUAUAUAAAAUCCCAAACAAAUAUUCAAACCCAAAUUCCAAUUUCAAAUUAGUCUCAUAAAUUUCGUCAAUUAAAAUGAGCUCAAAUUACUAUAGGUCUUAACUCAGAAUAUCCAAAUUAAUAACCAAAAAUACAAACACAAUUAACCAAACCUAAAAUUGGAUAAAUUAAAAUAAAUUCUACUAGACCUAAAUUUAAUAUUUCAUAAUCUAUGCCUAGUUUAAUGUACACCACAAUUUUCCCAUGUCCUAAUUAAACAAUUCAAAUUGGCUAAGCCCAUAUCAAAUAUUCAAAUAAUCCAACAAAUCCCACCCACAUUAUGGGCCCCAAAAUUCACAUCAAUUAACAAGCUCACAUAAAAAAAUACAUGGUCAAGAGAAAUAAUAUUUCAAGCCCAAUCCAAUAAGCUCAAACAAAUAACAACUUAACAAUAGACCCAAGUCCAAAUAAGCAAUAUGCACUUGAUAUAAUCCAAAUAUCCUCAAAUUAAUCACCAAAUACAAUAUACCCAUAAACCCAAAUUAACAAAUUUCAAAUUAAUUCACUAACAAUAAAUUGAAUCAAAUUACGUAUUAAUCUACCAACAACAAAUUAACCCCAAAUUUCAUAUUAAUUCAAGAAUCCAAAUUUCACAAACAACAAUUACUAUUAAAAUAAAAUAAAAUAACAACAAUAACAAUAACAAUAAUAAUAAUAAUAAUAAUAACAAUAACAAUAAUAAUAACAAUAAUAAUAAUAACAAUAACAAUGAUAAUAAUAAUAAUAAUAAUAAUGGAAUGAGUGAAAAUGGGAGGGGGGUCGCUAAAUGGCAGUGGCUCGUCAACGGCGACUGGCCGAUGGUUUGCCGGCGGCACUGACAGAUAGUAAUAAUAAUAAUAAUAAUAAUAAUAGUAACAAUAAUAAUAAUAAUAAAUCAAAUAGAAUAGUGUUUGGAUCGAGAGAAAUGGAGGGAAAAUGAUGGAAAUAAAGAAAUGGGGUUCGGCAGGAGAGAAAAAAAAAAUGGGAAACAAAAAAAUAGGGGGAGUGUCAUUGGAAAAAGAAGAGAAAGGGAAGGAAAAAAAACCAAAACAAAAAAAUGGGGAAAAAGGGGCUGCUAUUGCCGUGUGAGAGUUUAGGGAGAAAAAUAGGAACAGAAAAAUAAGGAAGAGAGGAAUAAGGGGUUGGCCGAUCUUUUGGGAAUGGGUAAAGAGAGAGAAGAGAGAAAAAAAUUGGAGCCAAAAAAAAAACCCUCAGGUCGUCUCUCCAUUUUUUUUCGGGUAGUCCAGAGUAGAAGAAUUGGGGGGGGGGGGGGGGGGGGGGGGGGGGGAAAAGGGGGGCCCCCUUGGGGAAUGGGGGGAAAAAAGGGGGGGGCCAAAGGGGGAAAAAAAAAAGGGGGGAGGGGGGGGGGGGGGGGGGGGGGAAAAAAAAAAAAAAAAAAAAAAUAGGGGGGGGGGGGGGAAAUGGGAAAAAAAUUAAAAAAAUAAAAAAAAAAAAAAAAAAAAAAGAUUUAAUGGGGGCCCCCGUGGGGGGGGGUUGGGGGGAAAAAAAAAAAAGGGGGGGGGGGGGGGGGGGUUAAGAGGGAAAGGGGGAAGGGGGGGGGAAAAAAAAAAAAUAUUUAAAAAAANNNNNNNNNNNNNNNNNNNNNNNNNNNNNNNNNNNNNNNNNNNNNNNNNNNNNNNNNNNNNNNNNNNNNNNNNNNNNNNNNNNNNNNNNNNNNNNNNNNNGGGGGGGGGGGGGGAAAUGGCGGUCGUCCUUGGGAAUUGGGAGGAAAAAGUGGAUGGCCAAAUGGGGAGAAAAAAAAUGGGGGAAGGAGGGGGGGCGGUCGUGUGGGAAGAAUAGGAAGAGAGAGAGUAUGAGUGGGUGGGUGGAAAAUGGAAAAGAAUAUAAAAAAAUAAAAAUAAAAAUAAGAAAAGAGAGAUGAGAUGGCGGCCGAUGGUGAGGGGUAUGGGAGGAGAGAGAAGAAGUGGGUGGGGUGGUUGGGGAAUAGGAAGAGAGAGGAGAAAGGAGAGAGAAAAGAAAAAAUAAAUAAAAAUAAAAUAGAAUAUAAUAAUAAUAAUAAUAAUAAUAAUAAUAAUAAAAUAAAAAUAAAAGUAAUAGUAAUAAAAUAAAAUAAAAUAAUAAAAGCUAUUAAAUGGUGAGUGGACCAAAAAAUACAUGUAAUUGGAAUUUAAAAUUUUAUUGACAAAAUUGGGCUCAAAAUUAAUGUAAAAAUAAAAUUGGGACAAAUUUUGGAGUCUACAAAUAUGCCCCUCUUUAAUAGAGUUUAUGAGUAAAGUGAGUGUAUACACAAACGAAAUGAAGUGAACUUUGCUGAAGAACAAGAAAGACCACCAAAUUUGUCCUAGUAUGACAUGGGCUCUCUUAAAUGAUAAGGCUAGGGAAAAAUGACUUUGAAUGCCAAAAAAAGGAAAGAUGGUGACUCUAGGUGCCUGAAUGAGUAUGCACGACAACUCUGAACGCCAAAACUAAAGAAAGAAGAUGGCACUGAAUGCCAAGUUGGACAAUGGCUCUGAAUGCCAAAAUGAAGACACGACUCUGAAUGCCUAAAACUGAUAAAAGGAAUGGCUCUAAACACCUAAAACUGGAAAAGAUGGCUUUGAACGCUUAUGAAAGAAAAUUGUGGCUCUGAAUGCCAAAGGGAGAUCUGAAGGCCUAUAAUUCUAAACACCCAUGAAAGAAAGUAGUGGCUCUGAACACUUAAAGGGUGAAAACGACUUUGGGUCAUGAGCUCAAGGCUCUGAAUGCUAAGCUGACUAAUGGCUCUAAAUGCCAAGUUAACUGCUCUAAAUGUUGAACUGAAGAUAUGAUGACUUUGAAUGCCAAGCUGACCAAUGGCUUUGAAUGCCCGACCAUGAACGACGGCUCUAAACGCCAAACUAUGGACAAAUGGUGGCUCUGAACGCCAAACUAAGGAUAUGAUGGCUCUGAAAGCCAAACUGUUAGGAAAUGGUGUAUGUCUGACUGUGAACAAUGGAUCUAAAUGCCAAACUGUGAACAAUGGCUCUAAAUACCAAACUGCGGAGAGAUGAUGGCUUUGAAAGCCUAAAUGUGAACGAUGGCUCUGAACGCCAAACUGUAGAGAGAUCAUGACGGCUCUGAAUGCCAAACUGUGAACAAUGGCUAUGAACACUAAACUAUGGAGAAAUGAUGGCUCUGAACUCCUGAAUGUGGACGAUGGCUCUAAACACCUAAACUGUGGAUAAAUCAUGACGGCUCUGAAUGCCAAAUUGUGAAUGAUGGCUCUGAACUCCAAGCUGUGAGCGACGAACUCUAAAUACCAAACUAUGGAGAGAUGAUGGCUCUGAACGCCUGAAUGUGAAUGAUGGCUCUGAACACCUGAAUGUGGACGAUGGCUCUGAACGUCAAAUUGUAAGCGACGGGCUCUAAAUACCAAACUAUGGAUAUGAUGGCUUUGAACGCCUGAAUGUGAACGAUGGCUCUGAACGCCGAAAUUGGAAAUGCGGCUCUGAACAUCAAACUGAAAACCGAUGAUGGCUCUGAACGCCAAAACUGAGAAUGCGACUCUGAACGUCAAAUUGGGAAGUGAUGGUGGCUCUGAACACCGAAACUGAGAAUGCGACUUUGAAAGUCAAACCGAGAAGUGAUGGCUCUGAACGUCGAAAUUGAGAAACGGUGAUGGCUCUGAACGUCGAAACUGAGAAGCAAUGAUGAUGACUCUGAACCCGGAACUGAAAAAUGCGACUCUGAACGUCAAACUGAAAAUCGAUGAUCGCUCUGAACGCCGAAACUAAGAAUGUGACUCUGAACGUCAAACUAAGAAGCGAUAAUGAUGACUCCGAACCCCGAAACUGAAAAAUGCGACUUUGAACAUCAAACUAAAGGUCUAGCUCUGAACGCCAAACUGAAAAUGGCUCUAGAUAUCGAGCUAAAGACAAAUAACGGCUUUAAACGUCAAACUGAAGAUACGACUCUGAACGCCAAGAUGACGAUGUGGCUCUAAAUGCCGAACUGAAUGUGUGGCUUUGAAUGCCAAACCGAAAAGAGAUGGUGGCUCUGCAUGCCAAACUGGAAAGGGAUGGUGACUUUGAAUGUCAAACUGGGCAGAAAUGGUGGCUCUGAACACUGAAACUGGAGAUGCGGCUCUGAAUGCCGAAACUGUGAAACGAUGGUGGCUUUGAACAUUGAAACUAAGAAUUAUGGUGACUCUGAACGCCGAAACUGGAGAUGCAGCUCUUGAACGCCGAAAUAAAGAUGUGGCUCUGAAUGUCGAACAAAAAAAACAAGGAUCUGGAUGUCGAAAUGAAAAUGUGGCUCUGAACACCAAACGAAAAAUGAACGACAACUUUAAAUGCCAAACGAAAAAAGUGGUAGCUCUGAUGUCGAAAUGAAAAUGCAGCUCUGAACGCCAAACUGAAGAUGCGGCUCUGAACGCCAAAAUAAAGAUGUGGCUCUGAACGCUGAACAAAAAAACAAAGAUCUAGAUGUCGAAAUGAAAAUGUGGCUCUGAACUCUAAACGAAAAAAGAACAACGACUCUAAACACCAAACUGAAGAUACGGCUCUUAACGCCAAAAUAAAGAAAAAUGGUGUCAUCAAAUGCCAAAAUGAAAAUACAACUCUGAACGUCAAACUGAGAAAAGGUGGUGGCUCUGAACGCCAAACUAAAAAUGAUAUAAUGACCCUGAAUGUCGAACUAGGAACAUGGCUCUAAACGUCAAACUACGAAGAAAUGGUAGCUCUGAACACCAAACUAAAAAUAAUAGCUAUGAAUGCCAAGAGAAACAAUGACUCUGAAUGCCCAACUAAACUGAUAACUAGGAAUGUCAGGCUGAGAAAGACGACUCUGAAUGCCAUGACUAAGAAGACACGAUGGCUCUGAAUGCCAAGCUGAAAAUGGACGACUCUGUACGUUGUAUUCGAGAAUGGAUGGCGGCUUUGAACGCCAAACAGUAAGGAAACGAUGAGAGGGGGGAGGGGGGGGGAUAUGCCCUAGUGUAGCAUGCCGCCACAACUCUCUAUCCUCUAAGAAGGUAUAAAAGAGACUCCAUGAGCCUCAAGAGAUACUCUGCUAGUGAGUCGGAAUGAUCAAAUCGACUAUAAGCAUAGUCUCACAACCCAUCCGUCUGGAUCAUGAGGCCUGACGAGAUGUCACAAUGAGUCAGACGCCUCUAUCUCGAAAUGCUCUGCUGGAGGAAUUCAUAGUCAUCUCAAAUGGGUAAUCCACUAGGGAGUCUCAAGAGAAUAAUAUGCGAAGGUAACUACCACGAUCUCAUCAAAACAAUCUACUGCGAGGCCAUGGAUAACGGAACAAUCACAACUUGAAUGUCAUGCUCCACCGAAAGCUCAUCUCGAUAAAAAUCACAGGAAUAGUGACCAGUAAAGCAAAUACAGUAUCUCUCCGUCAAGUGAUGAAAACUGUAACAGAUCUGUGAAAGAAUGAUCAUCUCCAUAGCUAAAGGAAGGAAUAUGCCCCAGCAUGGCAUCAGAUGUACCCGAUCUAUCUUGAUAACUUAAGAAUAACUCCAUGGGGAUGCAUAAAAUAUCUGACAUGUACUCCACUAAAAUGGUGCUAUGGGAACCUAUGCGCCUGGAGUAACUCCACCCAAGAAUCACAACAAUAUCGAAAAAUAUGAGCCUGACUGAAAGACUCAAUAAAGGCUCCACUAGAGAAUCAGGACAAAAUGAAAUCAAAUCAUCAACCUGACGUGUAUCUCAUAACUAGGGAUGAUCAUGCAAAUCCAUGGAGAUCUACAAAUCUUGACUUAAAUGGCGAAUAUGCCCCAGUAUAGCAUUGAAUGUGUGACAGGUCAGAAAAAUCAAAUGACAUCAAAUCAUCAAUCAUCAACUAUGCAAUCCUGGUCACCCGAAUCCAUAACUGAAUCAUACCCACAGAUCCAAGAUGUACCUCUCGAAUGAAGAAGCAUGAUGGCAUCUAAGUGCUGAGAAGUGCGAGCCUAACUGGAUGGCUCCCGGGAUGCUCAACUAAAGAAACAUCAUAAAAAUAACGAACAGGUCAUCGUCUCGAUGAGCAUCCCAUAAGUGGGGAUGAUAACAUAGCUCUGUGAAGAUCUAUAACUCUCAUCCAAAACAGAAAUAUGCCCCAGUAUGACACCAGAUGUACGAUAGGUCAGAAAUCGGGUGACAUGAAAUCAUCCAUCAUCAAAUGCGCAAUCUCCAUAAUCCAAAUCAAACCCAAACAUCUAUGAAAUGUCUCCCGGAAUAAUAAGCACGACGACAACCAAAUGCCUAAAAAUGUAGGCUUGGUUGAAUAGAUCCAGAGAGGCUCCACUGAAGGAUCAUGAUAAAAUAAUGAACACGUCAUCGCCUCAGCGUACAUCUUGUAAGUAGGGAUAAGCAUGCAACUCCAUGAAGAUCUGUAAAUCUUGUCCGGGACGGAAAUAUGCCCCAGUAUGGCGUCGAAUGUACGGUAGGUCAGAAACCAAGUGACAUGGAAUCAUCUAUCAUCGAACAUGUGAUCUCCGUGAUGCAAAUCAAAUCCAAACAACUAGGGAACGUCUCCCAAGAUAAGAAACAUGACGGCAACCAAAUGCUGAGAAAUGUGGGCCUGGUUGGAUGGCUCCACAUAGGCUCCACUGAGGGAUCAUAAUAAAAUAACGAACGAGUCACUCAUCUCAGCGUACAUGUUGCAAGUGGGAACAAGCAUGCAACUCCAUGAAGAUCUAUAGAUCUCGCCCGAAAAGGAAUAUGCCCCAGUAUGACAUCGAAUAUGUGAUAGAUCAGAAAAAUCAGGUGACAUCAAAUCAUCCAUCAUCAAGCGCAUGAUCCCGGUAAUCCAAACACAGCUGAAUUAAAUCUAAACAUCAACGAGGCGACUCCCAGAAGAAGAAGCAUGACGAUAUCUAAAUAUUAACCAGAUCUCAAACACCUGUCCAAGUAGAGGCUGUCGAAGACGACAUCUGGUCCCAUGGCCUCAGGAUGGUCUUAAGACACGAGACGUAACGUAGGCCAAGGUGAUAGGGUGAUAGAAAUGAAAGAAAAUUAGGCUCAAAUACCCAAUGAUCAAAAACCCAUGCCCUCAUAUAUGAAAUGCAACAUGUAUAGUGAAUCCUGUGAGCCAUGGACCUAAGGAUGCCUAACGUGAAUAUGAUGUCGAUAAGGAGACAAAAAAAAAAAGCAAAAUGAACUGAUAAUGAUAUGUGUAAUGAUGAUGCGAAGAGAGUAUCAAACCCAAGAUGGGUUGUUGUAAGAAAAGAAUAAGACGUGAAGUGAAAAUGAUGAAUCAGAAACGAAAACGAGAAUGAUGAUGAAAUAAAUAACACAAAGAGGAGUAGUGAUCAACUCAAAUCAGACAUGGAGUGAAGUCACAUCAACAAUGAAUGUAAUGAUGGAAGGGACAAUGACCCAGAUCUUCUAAGAGAAGGUCACUCAUCUCGCUCUCAAAAUAUACAAUAAAAAUGAAUACAAAGAAUGGAGGGUCUCGGAAAGCUCACAUACGAACUCUCAUCAACAAACAUACUCAAUCAAGUGACCCUCGAACAUCAAUAUACACACUCAAUGAUAGAAAAUAAUACACACGUGUUUUUUUUUUUUUUUCAAAUUUUUUUUAACAUAUAUACAAAUGUACACACCCUGAACAUGAACAAAAUAAGCCUCAAAGAUUAUAUCAAUAAUGGAUGACACGCUCUCGAGCGCUAAAGUAACAAAAACUCUCUCUGACAAGAUGACCUUCUCAAACUAAGAAUCUCUGAACCAGUGUCCGUGGGAUAGAUAGUGGUAAUGAUGUGACUACCUUCCAUGUAAUGAACUGAGGAGGAUCACCACUCAAGGUGGAAAGAAUAUGAAGCAAAACAAGCAAUAGAUAGAAUAAAGAAGAAGAGAUGAAGAACAUAACCAAUGAGAUACGAUGGAAUGCAAUGAUGCAGUGAUGAAGAAAGAUAAUGAGAAGAAUGCGUCCCUAGGUCCAAAGCUCACGGAACUCCCAAACAAUGAAUGCAUACACUAAAGGGCCCUUAUCUCGGUGUGAAAAAUGUGAGCAAGGCGAUAAAAACGAAAGGUUGUAAUAUGCAUGCGAGGUUCAAUGGGCUAGCAACAGACGAUAUAUCAAAAGGGAAUAACAAGGUGUAUGGCUAACCGAAAUGAUGGCCACCCAUCCUACGACCAUGGUCUCAAACAUAGUACCUCUUUAGCUGAUCCACAUUGGUCGGCUCAGAGAAUUGGUUUCCAUCUAAUUGCAUCAACCAUGCAGCGCCCUCUAGGGUCAACUCCCUGAUGAAAUAAGGUCCGCUCUAGCUGGGUCUGAACUUCCAUCUAGGAUCUCUAAUCAAUCCUCUGAUGACCCUCAAGACUAAGUCACCUCUUUAUAAUGGUCAAUCAACAAUCUCUACUAUCUUCCUUCACCAGUGGGAGAUGAAGGAAGAAAUGGACUCAUCUAAUCUCUGUCUGAAACCCUUAAGCUCUCUCCUCGACACAUCUACGACAGUACUAAAUGAAAACUGUCACAAAAACUCCUAAGCUAGGUUGUCCCAUGUCCUGCGUCGCGAGGACUCCAAAAAUGUGAACUAAUGUUGGGCUGCACCACUCAGAGAUAAAAGAAACAUGGUGAUCAUCUGUGACUCGUCUAGCCUAUGGGCCCUCAUCACAGUACUAUAGAGUCAAAGAUGAAUACAUGGACAACCAACACCCAUGUACCUCUCAAUGUCAAGCAUCCUGAACUUGGCUGGUAGACUGGCCCCUGGUAUACUAUCAAGAUCAUCGCAAGCUGAUGAACUGUCAGAUACCCUCAACUGCCUGAUACACUACUCGAUACUAUCCAUACAUGCAUGAGUAUCCUCAAGGACUGUCUACUCUGCUGACUGUCUAUCUCCUGCCUGAGAUUGGCUAAGGCCUCCUAAAUAAAAGCCAUGGCAGCCGUGAACUGAUCAACUGUGACAACUCGCUGAUCCAUGUCUGAUCUCUCGGAAAAAUGAACUAAUCUUCCCUUUACUCUAACCUAAUAUGACAAAUCCACACUGAGAAUGAAAAAUCAAUCCUGAAGAGCAUGAAACACAAGAUACCUGAAUAGAAUCCAUGGCGUCUGUGAACUAGUCAAAUGUGACAGUCUGCUGAUUUAUGUCUGAUCUCUGGGAAAAUUGAACUAAGCUCCUUUAUACUCUAACCCAAGAUGGUAAAUCCACAAUGAGAAUGAAGAACCAAUCCUGAAGAGCAUGAAGCACGAGAUAUGGUAGGCACAGGGAAAACAUGGAAGAAAUGCUAGUCAGAAUUGGAAUGAGCAAGACAUAAAAAAUAGGGAAUACUGAUCUUGGUGCACUCUCACUAGAGACUAAAAGAGGGAAUACUGAAUCCCAACUAUGAUCAAAGAGGCUCUGAAGGCCCUCAGAUGCACCCACGUAUAGAGAGGGAGUCCUAAUCGAAGGAUCUACGGCUCAACCUACGAGGUCAAGGUGACUCUAAAUGGAUAUGGGUGGACUUUAAAAUAUCCCUAGCAGAAGCAAUCAUACCCUCCGGCGGUACGCAACCCUCUGCACGCCUCCGAAGAGACGGGGCGCUUCCAUGUAAUGUGGUCAUCACCUCCACACAUGCACUACCUCGACAUCCUAGGGGGUUUCCUAUGGUGAAACCUCUCAAAACUCUCAACUCUUAUGGUCAGCUAGAGUGCGCAGUGACGGUGUGGGUGUAUCCAAAAAUCCUAUGAAGUCAAAGUAGAAAAAAAGAAACACACUAAUCACACAAAUAUCCAUGAAACCUAGCUUUGGGCUAUACAGGUCUUCAAAGAUCGGACUCCUAUCAACAUCAACGUGUCGACCUCCUCCAAAAUGCUCCCAAACAUCGAUAUAGCCCGUCGCUAAACCCUACUCCUAACCGCUAGCUCAGUCGAAGAGCAAACAAAGUAACAAGUCUCAUAUCAAAUACGAGAUCAAGUGAAACAAGGUUGACCGAGUAUAGGGAGUUGGAGGUAAGGGGAUAGAUGUGUGUCCCACACAGACAAGCAAUACAUGCAUCACAUAAAAUAAUAGCAAUCAUGCACCAAACACUCAUGUAAAUAACAGGUAUAUAACUCAUAUCUACACACAAGCUAGGCAAGAAUAUGAUAAGCAAGAUAGGAAUAUAACAAGAAUAGACAAUAUGUCGAGAUAAACAAGAUAAUAUACAACAAAUAAAAUCAAUCAUGCCAAGAUGAAUGAGAUAUACAAAAAUGAGAAUAUACAUGUCCAGGAAAGCAAGAUAAUCAUACAACAAGAAGAGUCACUAUGCUAAAGUAGGUAAGAGAAUCAAUCGAUGUAAUCAAUAUGUGAACAUCUCCAAUGAACAAUAAUAACUAAACAAGCCUCAUGGAUAAACAUAUCAAAGCUCUCAACAUGUAAUCAACACCCAAUCAUACAAAAACACAUAAAGAGGGGUAUCCACUGAUCAACCAAUCAAACGCCACAUUUCUCUCAACUCGAGUUCAAGUUUGACCCUCUAAAAAAAAAAUUCCCCAGUGGAGUCGCCAUUUUGUGGACCCCGUAUUUUGCUGGAUACGUUCCCACUCAAUGGCAAAAACUCACUUUUUUUAUUUUGUUUGGUGAAAAUUUGAUCUUUAGAAAAAGACUUGGAGUCGCCACUUAUUUUUGUUUUAUUUUUAAAGGGAAAAACAAAAUAAGAAAGAAAAACCCUAAGUAUGACUCCUGAAGGAAAAAACGGGUCUGUGAAAAACCGAGUCUGGGUCGGGGGGUCAGGUUAGUCAUUGGGAAUGUAUGGUGGUGAGUCGUAGCACCCCUCUAAGCCCGUAUACGUACGACCUUUACUAAACGAAUUGAGGAAAUUGUGGCAAUUAAUUAAUUAAUUAUAGAUACAAAAAAAAAAAAAUCAAUAUACAAGUCAUGGUGAAAAUUAAUAUGCACAAAAACAAUGAUGAAAUCUAAUUACAAAAAUACACAAAAUAAAUAAUAAGAGAAUUAUGCAAAAUGAUUUAUUGAAUUAAAUAAAUAAAAUAUAUUAAAAAAAGGUUUUAAAGAAAUUUCAAAGGAUUUUAUUAAAAAUGAUUUUGAAUUAAUGAUUUCCAUUUAUUUACUUAUAAAGAAGAAUCAAUUUAUUUUCUCAAUUUCAGUUGUAUUCAAUUUUCAAAAAAGCUAUUUACACUUAUUGUAUCAAAAGAAUUUAUUACAAAAUUUCAAUUUGGGCACAAAAAUUAUUUUUACUUGCUUUUACUAGAAAAUAUUGAAUUUUUACAAUUUUAUUUACAAAAGUAUUUAGAUUCAUUUUCAUUUAAAAGAGUGAUUUUUAUAAAUUAUUUAAAAUGACAUAACUUUAUUUGCAAAAGAAAUUUUAAUUAAAAAGAAAAACAAAUAUUUAAAUUCUCUAUUUUUGAAAAACACUUUUAAUCCCAUUUUAAUUAAGGAAAAAGAAUUCAUUUGAAAAAAAUAUUUUUAGACAAUUUUAUUAAAAAUUAAUUUAUGGAACAACUUUAUUUACAAAACAAUUUUUGGACAAUUUUUAUUAAACAAAGAAAUUUUUGAACAAUGUCAUUAAAAACAAUUUUUGGAAUUCUAUUAAAAACAUUUUUUUUGGAUUUUUCUAAAUGCAUUUUUCUGAAUUUUUAUAAAUAAUAAAAAAAACUUUCUUUUAUUAAAAAGAAUAUUUUAACAUUAGUAUUUUAUUAGAACAUAUUUACUGAAUUCUUCCUCUCAUUUAAAUAAAAUUUCUAAUUUAUUCGAUGUUUAAUUCUGUACACACUCAAUAAAUAUAUACGAACAAAUAUUUACAAGAACUAAUUAAAAUAGAACCAAAUAAAAGUGGGAAAUAAAAUAUGUACCCAAAUAAACUUACAAUAAGUUUCACGUAUCAUCAAUUCGUACUCAGCCAAUAAGAUUGCAGAAUGAGUCCAUGCAAAAACAAAAUAGCACAAAUGUAAAUAUCCAGAGAUAUAUAAAAUCCCAAACAAAUAUUCAAACCCAAAUUCCAAUUUCAAAUUAGUCUCAUAAAUUUCGUCAAUUAAAAUGAGCUCAAAUUGGUCUUAACUCAGAAUAUCCAAAUUAAUAACCAAAAAUACAAACACAAUCAACCAAACCUAAAAUUGGAUAAAUUAAAAUAAAUUAUACUAAACCUAAAUUUAAUAUUUCAUAAUCUAAGCCUAGUUUAAUAUACAUCACAAUUGUCUCAUGUCUUAAUUAAACAAUUCAAAUUGGCCAAGCCCAUAUCAAAUAUUCAAAUAAUCCAACAAAUCCUACCCACAUUAUGGGCCCCAAAAUUCAUAUCAAUUAACAAGCUCACAUAAAAAAAAAUACAUGGUCAAGAGAAAUAAUAUUUCAAACCCGAUCCAAUAAGCCCAAACAAAUAACAACUUAACAAUAGACCCAAGUCCAAAUAAACAAUAUGCACUUAAUAUAAUCCAAAUAUUCCUAAAUUAAUCACCAAAUACAAUAUACCCACAAACCCAAAUUAAAAAAUUUCAAAUUAAUUCACUAACAAUAAAUUAAAUCAAAUUACGUAUUAAUCUACCAACAACAAAUUAACCUCAAAUUUCAUAUUAAUUCAAGAAUCCAAAUUUCACAAACAAUAAUUACUAUUAAAAUAAAAUAAAAUAACAACAAUAACAAUAACAAUAAUAAUAAUAACAAUAACAAUAAUAAUAAUAACAAUAACAAUGAUAAUAAUAAUAAUAAUAAUAAUAAUAAUAAUAAUAAUAAUAAUAAUAAUAAUAAUAAUGGAAUGAGUGAAAAUGAGAGGGGUCGCCGACCGGCAGUGGCUCACCGGCGACGACUGGCCGAUGGUUUGUCGGUGGCACUAACAGAUAGUAAUAAUAAUAAUAAUAAUAAUAAUAAUAAUAAUAGUCACAAUAAUAAUAAUAAUAAAUCAAUAGAAUAGUGUUUGGAUCGAGAGAAAGCGAGGGAAAAUGAUGGAAAUAAAGAAAUGGGGGCUGACAAGAGAGAAAAGAAAAAGGAAAACAAAAAAACAGGGGAAAUGUCAUGGGAAGAAGAAGAGAAAGGGAGGGAAAAAAAACCAAAACAAAAAAAUGGGGAAAAGGGGCUGCUACUGCCGUGUGAGAGUUUAGGGAGAAAAAUAGGAAUAGAAAAAUAAGGAAGAGGGGAAUAAGGGGCGGCCGAUCUUUUGGAAAUGGGUAAAGGGAGAGAGGAGAGAAAAAAAUUGGAGCAAAAAAAAAAAAUCCCUCGGGCCGUCUCUUCAUUUUUUUCGGGUAGUCCAGAGUAGAAGAAUGGGGGGAAGAAGAAGAAGCGGGAAAAAACAAAAAAAAAUGGAGGGGAAAAAUGGCGGUCGUUCUUGGGAAUUGGGGGGAAAAAGUGGAGGGCAAAAUGGGGAGAAAAAAAAUGGGGGCGGCGGCGACGGCGGCGGCCGUGUGGGAAGAAUAGGAAGAGAGAGAGUAUGAGUGGGUGGGUGGAAAAUGGAAAAGAAGAUAAAAAAAAAAUAAAAUUAAAAAUAAGAAAAGAGAGAUGAGAUGGCGGCUGAUGGUGAGGGGAAUGGGAGGAGAGAGAAUAAGUGGGUGGGGUGGUUGGGGGAGUAGGAAGAGAGAGGAGAGAGAAAAGAAAAAAUAAAAAUAAAUAAAAAUAAAAUAGAAUAUAAUAAUAAUAAUAAUAAUAAUUAUAAUAGUAAUAAUGAUAAUAAAAUAAAAGUAAUAGUAUUAAAAUAAAAUAAAAUAAUAUACAAAAUAAUAAAAGCUAUUAAAUGGUGAGUGGGUCAAAAAAUACAUAUAAUUGGAAUUUAAAAUUUAUUAAUAAAAUUAGGUUUAAAAUUAAUAUAAAAAUAAAAUUGAGACAAAUUUUGGGAUGUACAAAAAUGUUUGGAUAUUAGAAGGUCUAAAGUUUAGGCUUUUAUUAGUAAUAUUUCUAUGAAAAAACAAAAAAUUUAUCUUGCUUUUUUUAAAACAUUUUUUUCAAAAUUUUGAAAAUUUUGAGAAAGUAAAAAAUUUUUAAUCCUUAAAUGUUAAGUAUUUUAAAAAGUGUUUUCAAGUAAAAAAAAUAUAUGUACUUACUUUUGUAUAAGAAUUUUUAUAUUUUAUUCUAUUUUAUAAACAAAAAUAAAAAAUGUAUCCAAACAUAUACUAACUAAUUCUCUUUAAAAAUGUUUCUAAUGGAAAGGUACUAACAAAUGACUUUCAAAUAAAAAUGGUUUAAACAAAAUCACUCUCAAACAAGUCUAAGUUAUAAUAAAUAUUUUUCACCAAAAUGAUUUUUAUUUAAAGAAGAAGCCUCAAAAUGAUUUUAAUUUAAACUCAUUUCAUUUGUAAUCUUGUAAUCCCAUGCCCUAAAUGUUCCCAUUCAUCAAUUCCAUUGGUAAAAUUUUAUUAGAAUUAAUAAUUAUUAAAAAAAUUAAAUUCAAAACCUUUUUUAAAAAUCCCACUGUUUAUAUUGUAAUUUGGAUAGUCAUUUCUAAUAAAAAAGAUAUUAUCAAUAUUUUAUUUUUAUUUAUUUUCAUUUUGGUGAAAUUAUAGAAUUACGUGAAUUUUUCUUCUUAAAAUAAAAAAAAUAUUAUAAAGAAAAUGGGGGAAAGCUAAUACGCUAGAUGAAAAUAUAUGGAUUAAUAUGUGCAAUCAAUUUGCAUAAAAUUAAAAUUCUGAUUAUUUUCAUUUUUAUUGUUGUUAUUUAAUCAAAAUAACAAUAAGCGGAAUGAAAAAAAGAAACGUGAGAAUUAAAAAUUCUUCGUGGAAAAUGCUAGCUAGUUGUACUAAUAUUUCAUAGUGGGAGGCUAUAUUUGUUCGCCAUUUUUUCCAAAGAACUUUAUUAAAGGUGAUGGUGAUGGUGAUUAUUUUCCACAUAUAUCAUCAUGUGUCUUGUGCAUGAUUAAAUCUUUAUUCUUGUACUGGAAUAUCAUAUUGAUCUAAGAAAUUUAUAAUUAUAAAAAGAAUUAAAUUUUGUGGCUUAAAAAUGAGGAUUACCUAUUUACCCCUCUAGAUAGUUUCAAGAAUUAAGAUAAAAACUUUUAAAAAUCAUAUCAAGUUUCAUGGUAAAAUAUCAUCAACCCUCCAAAAUGUUAAAAGACUUAAAAUUUUAUCAAAAUAAAAAUUAUUUUUUAAUAAUAUAAAAUAGAAUAAUCCUUUUGAUAGAAAGUGGCACUCUAAAGAUUUUCAUUGAAAAUAUCAUCCAUUAGGCAUUGUGCCCCAAUUUUUUCUAUGGAAGAUGCCAACUGGUUAUGCUAAAAUUUCCAAGGUGGGAGGCCAUAUUGUCUGCCAUUUUAUCCCCAUUUUUUCUUAUCAGAGCGCCACUUUAAUAGAGGUCAUAGUGAAGAUGAUGGUGGGUACACUAAAGUCCACUUUAUUAAAGGUGAUUGUAAACAUGAUAAUGACUUUUAAAUGAUUUAAGCUCUUCGAUAAGGAAAAACUAUACAUCAUAUAUCAUCACGUCUUAUGUAUAAUUUGAUCUUUAUUCUUAUGCUUGGAUAAUAUACUUUGAUUAAAGAAAUUUAUAGUUAUGAAAAAAAUUAAAUUUUGUGACUUAAAAAUAUAAAUUACUUAUUUACUCCCUCCAAAUGGUUUAAAGAAUUAAUAAAAACUUUUAAAAACUAUACAGAAUUUCAUGGUAAAAUAUCAACUCUCAAGAAUGUCAAAAGACUUAAAAUUUUAUCAAAAUAAAAACUAAUUUUCAUUAAUACAAAAGAGAAUAAACUUUUUUCUUGGAUAGAAAGUGAUACUUAGAAGAUUUUCAAUUAAAAAUAUUAUACCAUAGGCGUUGAUAGAAUGUUAGCUAACAUGUUUAUCAAGGAUUUAAUUUGUGAAAAAUGAAUAAAAAUCAAUUAACUAAUUGAUAGGACAGUUGAAAGUGCAUUUGAUAAUGAUUUUAAAAAAUGUUUUUAGUCUUAAAAGUAUUUUUAAAAAAAAUUAAAUAUGAUAAAAUUUAGACAAUACUUUUAAAAAUAUGAAAAAUCUCUUGUAAUUGUGAAAAAUCUUUUACAAUAUUUUUCAAAGAAAUACUUGAUAGAAGAUUAUCUUAAAAACUAUUUUGAAUACAAUAUUUUCGAUAAAAAUGCUUCUACUAAAAAUAGUACCAAAUACACUUCUAAUAAUUACAUUUCCCACAAAUUUUCUAGAAACCAAACAUAUUAAUGGGAAUAAGGGAACAUGAAGCACCCUCUCCAACGAGAAGUUGAAGCCAAUACCUAUACCUUCUAAACCAACUCCUCUCUUCUGCUUGAUUCAUCGUCUCAAAGCUCUCCACACUCAUCAUUUCCCUCAAAACUAGUUAUUAAUCCUCUUUGACAAAACCAUGGGCAACAUUUUCUCCAUUUCAAUCUCCGUUGACCACCUUAUCUCUAGUUGCUGGAAUCGCACUACUGAACAUGCAAAUUACCUGUGCAAACUCCCAGAAAAUCUGGUAGCUCUGGGAACUGCUUGUGAAAGAUUGAGGGAGUUCAGGAACGAUGUGAUGAGGAGGGUGGAUAUCGCUGAGAGGGAACAAAUGCAGCGGCUCGACCAAGUACAAGGGUGGCUUUCAAGGGUUGAAACUCUGGAAACUCAAGUCACUCAACUGAUUGGAGAUGGCACCGAGGAGGUUGAGAAGAAAUGUAUGGGUGGUUGCUGUCCUAGGAAUUGCAGGACCAGAUACAAGUUGGGGAAGAGAGUAGCUAGAAAGUUGAAAGAAGUGGACAUUCUAAUGAGCCAAAGACCUUCGGAUGCGGUGGCUGAGAGGUUACCUUCACCUCGCCUAGGUGAAAGGCCUAAUCAAGCAACUGUCGGCAUGAAUUUCAGAAUUGGUAAGGUUUGGAGCAGCCUUCAUCAAGAACAAGUGGGAAUUAUCGGCCUAUAUGGAUUAGGAGGAGUUGGGAAAACCACCCUCUUAACCCAAAUCAAUAAUGCUUUUACCAAAAGAACAGAUGAUUUUGAUUUUGUGAUCUGGUCAACAGUUUCCAAAAAUGUAAACCUUGAAAACAUUCAGGACGACAUCUGGAAGACGAUAGGGUUUUGUGAUGAUAAAUGGAAAAGCAAAAGUCGAGAUGAGAAAGCUAAGAGCAUCUGGAGAGUCCUGAGCGAAAAGAGGUUCGUGCUGUUGCUAGAUGAUUUAUGGGAGUGGUUGGAUUUAUCAGACGUCGGAGUCCCAUUCCAAAAUAAGAAAAAUAAGAUAGUAUUCACCACUCGAUCAGAAGAGGUGUGCGCUCAAAUGGAAGCGGAUAAGAAGAUCAAAGUGGAAUGCCUAACAUGGACAGAAUCCUGGGAAUUGUUUCGAAUGAAGCUUGGAGAAGACACUCUCGAUUUCCAUCCUGAGAUACCGGAGCUCGCUCAAGCCGUCGCACAAGAGUGUUGUGGUUUGCCACUUGUGCUAACUACCAUCGGCAGGGCCAUGGCUUGUAAGAAGACGCCGCAGGAAUGGAAAUAUGCAUUUAAAGUGUUACAAAGCUCUGCCUCAAAAUUUCCAGGUAUGAGUGACAGAGUGUUCCCUCUUUUAAAAUACAGUUAUGAUUGCUUACCCACCGAAGUUGUCAGAUCUUGCUUCUUGUAUUGUUCUCUAUUUCCAGAAGAUUAUCAGAUACCAAAAAUAGCUAUGAUAAAGCGUUGGUUUUGUGAAGGCCUUUUAGACGAAUUUGAUGACAUGAAGGGAGCAGAAAACCAGGGUUACAACAUUAUUGGCACUCUGAUUCAUGCAUGUCUAUUAGAAGAAGGUGAUGUUGAUUAUGUAGUAAAACUGCAUGAUGUAAUCCGUGAUAUGGCAUUGUGGAUAGCUUGUGAAACAGGGAAGGAGCAGGACAAGUUCUUGGUGCAGGCCUCCAGUGGGUUAACUGAAGCUCCUGAAGUUGCUAGAUGGAUGGGACCAAAAAGGAUUUCACUUAUCGGUAACCAAAUUGAGAAACUAACAGGGUCUCCUAAUUGCCCCAAUCUCUCAACUUUGUUUCUUCAGGAUAAUAGUUUGAAGAUGAUCACUGAUAGUUUCUUCCAGUUUAUGCCAAAUCUAAGAGUUUUAGACUUGUCAAGGAAUGCUAUGACUGAAUUACCACAGGGAAUCUCUAAUUUGGUUUCAUUACAGUAUCUCAACCUAUCACAAACUAACAUUAAAGAGUUGCCAAUUGAGUUGAAGAACCUGGGUAAAUUGAAAUUUUUGUUGUUGCAUCGCAUGAGACUUUCUUCAAUUCCAGAGCAGUUGAUAUCAAGUCUUUCAAUGUUGCAAGUGAUUGAUAUGUUCAACUGUGGAAUUUGUGAUGGUGAUGAAGCCUUGGUUGAGGAAUUGGAGUCCUUAAAGUACUUGCAUGAUUUAGGUGUCACUAUAACAAGUGCCUCUGCUUUCAAAAGGCUUCUAAGCUCUGACAAGCUAAAAAGUUGCAUUUCCGGUGUAUGCCUCGAGAAUUUCAAUGGUUCAAGCUCUCUCAAUUUAACAUCUCUCUGCAAUGUAAAGCGUCUCCGUAACCUCUUUAUCUCAAACUGUGGCUCGUCGGAAGAUUUGGAGAUCGAUUGGGCUUGGGAAGGAAAGGAAACAACAGAAUCUAAUUACCUUAACUCAAAGGUCAGUUCCCACAGCAGUUUCCACAACCUUUCGUGGCUAAGAGUCAAAAGGUGUUCGAGGUUGAAGGAUCUAACAUGGCUUGUUUUUGCUCCAAACCUUAAAGUUCUUUUAAUAACUAGUUGUGAUCAAAUGCAAGAAAUAAUAGGUACCGGUAAAUGUGGUGAAUCUACAGAGAAUGGCGAAAACCUGAGUCCAUUUGUCAAACUCCAAGUACUUACGUUAGAAGAUCUACCACAAUUGAAGAGCAUAUUUUGGAAAGCCCUGCCAUUUAUCUACUUAAAUACAAUCUAUGUAGAUAGUUGUCCACUUCUAAAGAAGCUGCCACUCGACGCCAACAGUGCCAAGGAACAUCGGAUUGUCAUUUCCGGACAAACCGAGUGGUUUAAUGAACUAGACUGGGAGAAUGAGGCAACUCACAACGCUUUUCUUCCAUGUUUCGUACCUAUUGAAGAAUAAGGGCCUGCAGCAAUCUCAGAGAGGCUACAAUGCGAUUCUCGGUGAGACCCUUUUCACAAUUAACUAUCAUUUGAUCCUGAAUAGGUAUUGGUCCAAAUAAAGCAUUCAAUUAUAGCAUCUUUUCAUGGUCGUAUACCUCCCACGUACUGCUGAUACACUUAAAAAAAUGCUAUUCCAUUUCAAACAUGUAAGGCAAUUGAUUGCGGGUUUACAAGGAGUCAUCUUGUUAUUGGAAUUCAAAAUAUACAACUUUUAUGGUUAUGUUUUCUUCUUAAAAAGUAUUAAUAAAAGAAAAUAAAUAUUAAUGAAAAUGAUUUUUUCAUAUUAUUAUAUUAUCAAAAAUAUAAAAGAAAAUAAAAUUAGUUUGAAAUUUACAUAUUUUUUAAAUUGUUUAAUUUUUAUAUUGAAGAGUUAAAAUAAAUAAAACAAGUUAGAAAUAGCAUAUAAAAGUAAUCUAUUAAUUUUAAAUUUAUUUUUUAAUUUUUUUCACUUUUUUUUCCUUGUAUCUUUCCUUUCUAUUUUCUUUUCAUUACAAUUUUUCUCAAAUUUUCCAAGAACCAAACAUAACCUACAUAUAAUGAUCAAAUAUAAUCUUACAAACCAACCCAUAUAAAAAUUUAAGUCCAUUCUUGUGGCUUUUCUAAUUUGGUUUAAUAAGUCAAUAGUAUAUAUUCUUAUACAAUCUUAUUUUGUUUAGUUGCAGAAUAUAACCUCAUAUGCCAUAAAUGCUUCCGCAAUCUUCAGUUAAUGAGAAUCCAUUGUUUUCCAAGGUGAAGGAUAUGGAUGGCUUAAUUUUCAUGCCAACUUUUCAGUAUGUUGAUGACAUUGUAGGCUACCGAAAUGGAACAUAUAAUUGCUUAUAUAUGUGAGGUAAACAAUUGGUUUAUGUAUGUUGUUUCAUAGUGUUUGUGUGCAUAUGUUGUUUCUCUUUGAAUUGCAAUAUUACAUUUUUUGUAUUCUAAGGAUUGUGAGAUGCAUUUUAUGAUUUGUGUAAAAAUUUUGAGUUGGAUGGCUUUCCUUAAUUGCUUUACUUCAAUUGAAGAGCAUGUACAUAAUAUCUUUGAUUGGAAACAAUCUAAUGUAUAAUUUAAAAAAAUAAUCAUAUUUUCAAAUAGAAAAGAUAGAUGAGUUAGGGUACUCCUAGAUCAACUAGGAAUUGUAUCUUUGUUUAUGGAGAAGCAAGCAUUCUUGAGAAAAAAAAUCAAGUCCCUCUUUGUACAAAAAUUUUAGGGGAGAACUUGCCCAAGUCAUGGGUAGACCAUAAUUGGGGCACCUUAGCUAAGGGUCCCAUUUGGUUCCCUAUCUGUGUUUAUCAAAUGUGCCUUUUCAUAAUUGUAAUGGGAAUGGAGUGUGGGAUUUAUAUAACAUUAAAGCAUGUAUUCCUUAAUUUUGCAAUAUGUUAAAGAGGAUGAAACAUUUUUUAUUUGUUGCAAUUCAAGAGCAUGUACUAAAAUGCUCUCUCCAUGUGUUCAAAAUAGAAGAACUCAUUUAUCUUAUGCCCUAUAAAACUUUUUUCAAAAUUUUGAGAAAGUGAAAAAUUUUCACUUCUUGAAAUUUUUAAAUUUUUUUUAUAAAGUGUUUUCAAGCAUAUAAGGUAUUUACUUGUUUUUGUAUAAUAAUUCUUGUAUUUUAUAUAAGACUUCCUAUUUUAAAAAUAAAAAAUAGAAUAUGUAUCCAACCAAGUGAUUCUCUUAACAAAAGUACUAUAAAUAAAAAUACUUUAACGAGAGUCACUCCCAAACAUGUUCUAAGUUAUAUUUUCUAAUGGACUAGCUUUUCUAUCAAAAAAGUUAUUGAGUAGACAAUAAUUUAUAAAAUGCAAAACAUUUUUACUCUAUGGUAAUUUUUAUUUAUCUUUUUCUGUUUAAUAUCCACCUCUCAAUAUCUUGGUAUUUUAAACGAAGGAUAUAAUUUUAUUAGUUGUGCACAUGACAUUAUCUUAUAUAUCCAUGUAAGGUUUUUUCUAAAAUAAGUAAUUAAAAAUUUCAUUAUUAAAAAAAAUAGAAUCAAUAAUAUCUUAUUUUUAUAUAAUACCAAAAUUAACAAAUUUCUUACCAUUUAUGGUUCAUAUAACAAGAAAUAAAUAAGUAAAUGUGUGAAACUAAUAAAAAUAAUUGUUAAUUUAUGGUAAUUAUUUGGAAUAUAUUAAUAUUUAACCGAUGGAGCAUUAGCUUAGCUUAGUUAGAUCAUUUUACCCAACAUAAGUUUUUUAUUUAUUAUUUUAACAUACUAUCAAAUCACUUUUUUUUUUGUUUAUAUUCAAAUAGUAAGUUAUUCUAUUUUAAACUAUUUCUAAUGUAACCACUAUUUAAAAACACUUUUAAAAAUCUCAAAAAAUAACUUGAGGUGAUUUGUAAACAAUCACUUGAUAUGAUUUUCUUAAAAAUCAUUUUUUAAUAAAAUAAUAUGUUACAAAAAAAAAAAUACUAUCAAAACAUUUUUUUUAAUUUAUAUUUAUAGUUAUGGAUAUGCUUCCUAUCUAUAUACAAAAUAUAAGAACUCUAAUGUAUAAAACAAAAUUUUUAUCUUGUGUCUUUAAAACUUUCUUCACAAUUUUGAAAAUUUUGAGAAAGAUAAUUUUUUUAAUCCUCAAAUUUUAAAAAGUAUUUUCAAGUAUAUGAGGUAUUUAUUUUUUUUCUAAGAAUUUAUAUAUUUUAUAUGAGACUUUCUAUUUUAAAAACAAAGAUGGGAAAUGUAUACAUACAUAUAAGUAAUUCUCUUUAAAUAUAUUUAUAAUGAAAUCAUAACUAACAAAAGUAUUGCAAAUAAAAAUACCUUAAGUACAAUUACUCCCAAGUGAGUUCAAAGUUAUAAGAAAUAUUUUUGUCAAUAUUUCAGAUCACCAAAAGAAACUAUAAAGGAUUGCAAUAUUACGAAAAAAUUAAAAAUGAUUUUAGUUUAAGCUCUUCAUUUGCAAUCUUGCAAUCUCAUGCCCUAAAUGUUCCAAUUCAUCAAUUUCAUUGGUAAAAUUUUAUUAAAAUUAAUGAUUAUUAAAUAAAAUAAAUUUAAAACCUUUUCCAAAACCAUAUUGUCGAUCCGAGAAUGCCAUGAACAACAUUGUUGAGUAUGAGGCUUGUAUCUUGGGAUUAGAGACAGCCCUCGAGCUCGGUAUUAGACAGAUGGAGGUGUUUGGUGACUCCAAUCUGGUGUUGAGACAGAUUCAGGGUGAGUGGAAGACUAGAGAUGGGAAACUUAGACCUUAUCACGCAUAUUUGGAGCUACUGGUCGCGAGAUUCGAGGAUUUGAGAUACACACAUCUGCCUAGAGCGCGGAACCUGUUUGUUGAUGCCUUAGCUACUCUAGCUUCCAUGAUUGACAUUCCUGCUGACGCCACUGUUCGUCCAUUAUUGAUCGAGUCGAGAUCUGCUUCUGCUUACUGUUGUCUGAUCGAUGAUGUAGAGUCAGAUGAUGGUUUGCCAUGGUAUCACGACACAUAUCACUUUUUGAGGCUUGGCGUAUAUCCUAAGGCCACUACGACCAAGGAUAGGAGAGCAUUGAGACAGUUAGCCGCCCGAUUCGUGAUUUGCGGCGAGACACUAUAUAGACGAUCACCUGAUGGGAUGCUGCUAUUGUGUUUGGACCACGCCUCUGUCGAUAGAGUGAUGCGAGAGGUUCAUGCGGGAGUAUGCGGACCACAUAUGGGAGGACAUAUGUUGGCCUGUAAGAUCAUGAGGACCGGCUACUUCUGGUUGACCAUGGAGACGGACUGCUGCCAGUUCGUUCAGAGAUGUCCCGAGUGUCAGAUACAUGGAGAUCUCAUUCACGUGCCGCCCUCCGAGUUGCAUGCACUGACUUCACCAUGGCCAUUUUCAGUGUGGGGUAUCGACAUCAUCGGGAAGAUUUCGCCGAAAUCUUCCAGUGGUCAUGAGUUUAUCCUUGUCGCCAUUGAUUACUUCACCAAGUGGGUGGAGGCCGCUUCGUAUGCGAGAUUGACAUCGUCUGGAGUUGCUAGUUUCAUCAGAUCACACAUUAUUUGUCGCUAUGGAGUCCCUCAUGAGUUGAUUUCGGAUAGAGGGGUACACUUUAGGGCAGAGGUUGACACUUUGGUGCAGCAAUAUAGCAUCCGACAUCAUAGGUCGUCUGCGUACAGGCCGCAAACGAACGGGGCAGUGGAGUUGCCAUUUUGUGGACCCCGCAUUUCGGCUCAUGCGUUUCCCACUCGAUGACGAGCUCAAUUUUUCAAAUAAAAUCGAGCUCGUCAUCGAGUGGGAAACUCAUGAGCCGAAAUGCGGGGUCCACACAUAUCCAUUUAAAACAUUUUCAUAUCAGGGAUCUCUAGUUUUGCCUCAUGCUUCUCUUUAGAAUUUUAUUUUUAUUUUUUCAACAUGUUUACUUAAAGUUCCAAAUCCAAUAAUGGUGAGAAAAUAUUCAAUUCUAAAAACCAUUUCCAUAUUCAUAUUUUCAUAUCUGUUUUAUCCUUUUAAAUAAAUAAUCCUAGGCUUUGGCAUCAAUUAAUUAAUCUAUGUUUUGCCCAAUUACCAAGUUGAUUGCAAAAAUAUGCUACACUCAUAAGUCUAAAAUAUGCUUUUGGUUUUUCAGCUUUCUAUUUCACUCCAAUUUUGCCAUCUCAAGUUUCAAAUAUAUAGGUGAAAGAAAAAAAAAAUGCAUAAUUUAGUGUUAGAUUGGAAAUAUAUUUUUUCAAUAGUGUUAACUUUUAUAUAAAAUAUUAUAACUUUUAAAAAUUUACGUUUAAAAGCUAAUAAUUUUUAAAAACUACUAAAAAAAUUUGAGAUAUUAAAAGGUUUUACUUCUCUAAUUUUAAAAUUUUGAAAAUUAAUUUUUCAAGAUAUAAUUUAAAACUUUGUCUAGAUAGAUUUCCUUUUAAAAAAAAUAAUAAAUAGUAAUAACUUCUAAAUAAAAUAUAAAACAUUUUAGAAGUUUUCAUUGAAAAUCUUAUGAUUUUUAAAAAAACCAUUUAAAAGAAUUGAGAUAUUAAAAUGUUUUACUUUCUCAAAUUUAAAAAUCUUUUAGAGCCUAUUUGGCCAUGCUAAUGCUCAUUUUUAAAAACUGUCUUGACUUGAAAUUUUUUUUUUUUUGUUUUUUAGUGUUUUAUAAAAAUAUGGGUGUUUGACAAGCUGUUUUUGAAAUCAAUUUUUAAAAAUAAAAAAUAAAGAACUUGUUUGGAUAAUUUUUUUAAAAUUUUUCAAAAGCAUUAUAAAUUCAAUUUAUAUAAUAUAAAUUUAAUUUAAUUUAUAUUAUAUAAAUAUGAUGAUUUUAUAUUUAAAAAAAAACCAUUUAAAAGAAUUGAGAUAUUAAAAAGUUUUACUUUCUCAAAUUUAAAAAUCUUUUAGAGCCUAUUUGGCCAUGUUAAUGCUCAUUAUUUAAAACCGUCUUAACUUGAAAAAAAAAAUUGUUUUUUAGUGUUUUAUAAAAAUAUGGGUGUUUAACAAGUUGUUUUUUAAAAAUAAAAAACUUGUUUGGAUAAUUUGUUUUUAUUAUUUUAUUUUUUUCAAAAACAUUAUAUAUUCAAUUUAUAUAAUAUAAAUUUAUUUUAAUUUAAGUCUUACUUAAAUGAAAAUAUUUCUUAAUUACAAAUAAAUUUAAAAAUAAAUAGUUUUUAGGAAAAUAUGAAUAGUAAUGAUACAAUAAAAUUAUUAAUUGUAUUUUUUUUAUAUAAAAAAGAUACUAUUUUAGUCUAUGCUAGAAACAUAAGGAUAUUAAUAUCUUAUUUAUUAUCAUUUUUUAUUAAAAAUGAAUUAUAAUAGUUUAAAAAUAAUAAUUAUUAAUAAUAUUUUAUUUUAAAUAAAUAAUGAAUAAAGUUUUAACAUGUAUAUGAAUCAAUUUUUUCAUUCUAUGAACACAUAUAGAAUGAACUUUCUGAUAUAAUAUACCUAAUUAUGAAUAUAAUAUUCUAAAACCUCCAUCGCCUCAUUUGAGGUUUUGAACUUUCUGAUAAAUUCGAAUCAACAACAAUAGAAUUGCUCUUUCAAUAUCAAAGGCUCCUUUUGGCGUCAAUAAACCGCCAGUUAGUUAUUGAAACAACACGUUCAUACACAUAUCUAAGUCUUAUUGGAAUGGAAUACAAGUUACCUUCAAGUAAGGUUUUUGCUUACACAUUUACACAUUUACACAUUUUCUAUCUCAAACUGUUAGUGAAAGAUACAGGGCAAACCUACAUUCAAAUGAUCUGAGCCUGUCAUGUACAAUCCAAGCUCAAAAGUCAAGCUUAAGUUAUAAUUCACACGAAAGAGCUGGUCAGCGCACCAAGCCCAAGAACAAUGAUAAGACUGCCAUUUACCAACCUGACAUAAGCUUGAUAUCUCACAUGGAGAACUUACAAGGUGGGUAAGCAUUUGUUAAUUGACACCAAUCAAUCCUGAUACAGAAGAUGGACAUCUCACAUGAAGGGCAUAAGGUGAACCCCUAGGAUCUUGUUGAGCAAAUUGGACUACACUCCAAUCAAGAGCUAAGAUCUUACUAUACCAAUUCAGGUUAUCCUGAUCACGUGUUAGUGGAGGAAAUGUUGUUGAUUUCCAUUUACAUAACUUUGAUUUAGUAGGUUUGGUCUAAUUGGGGUGUAAUAUACGUUAUACAACGGGGAAAGGGAGUGCGAUGAGGUAGUAAAAACAGGACACAACUUGUGAAAAAGGGUCCAAAGUGGAACCCCUUUUUAAGGCUUUUAAUCCUCUGCAGCUUUGCUGAAAUACUAUAACCCAGAUUACUGGUACACAAGCGUUACCAAAAACCAUCAUUUCUGGUGGAUUAUUCCUACCCUUCAUUGAGGGAAGUCUAACCCUGCAGACAAAUACAACCUAGAUGGCUGAUUUUCUAGCUUCCAUUAAUGGGGAGAUUUUCUCUCAACAUUCACUGACCAUUCUAAGUGGGUAAAAAUUAGAAGUUAAGAGACAUCCUACAUGAUGAAUUAGUCAUGCAGAACAUAAGUCCAGGGAUAUUAUCAAGUACUUUAGGGUCCUUUAGGUCAUGGAAACUACUCGAGAAAGGAAAAAAGAAAAAAGAAAAAAUUAUGAAGGAACAUGUAUUCUCUUGCUUGGUUUGCCAAGGAAAAUUUUGCUUUCCCUUUUUCAUCCUUAUUUUCUUAUUGUCAUACUUCCCCUCAAACUUUUCAUGAUCUAAACAGAAGUUUGACUUAUUUAAGAAGCUACCUGACAAGUAUUUCCUUUCCACAAUUGUUUAUUCAACCAAUGAGGCAUUUUUUCCAUUACUCAAUUCUCAAUCUAGUUUCUUUUACACUAACCCUCAAGAAACAAAAUAACACAUAAGCGGGGCUUAUUUUUCAAUAUAAAAAUUCUCUACCAAGAUAUCAGACGUCUAUGAAUUGAAAAUUUAGAACAAUAUUUUCCAAAUCACCCGUGGGGAUCCAUGAUAAGAUAAAUUAGUUACAUUCUCAUGCUUCUUUACGAACCUUUUUCAACAGACUGAGCCCAGUUAAUGCUUGAUCUGGCCAAAGCAUCCAUCAGAUCAAUACAUUUCCUAAGCAGAGGAUCAUCCCGAGGCAAAAGAUCACGCAUGUCAUCAGAGCCAAGGAUGACAGUGUUCAUAGCCCUCGCCAGAAGAACUUGCAUUGCAAUUCUUAGCAGAUUCCUUGCCACUUCCAUGUCCUUUCGAUUUAAAGAUUCAAUUGCAGAAAUUACAGUGUGCUCCAUUGUUGCUUCAUCUGGAACAACAACCUCAAACCCCUGCAUACAUAGAAUUUAGAUUGGAAGGAAUCAAUGUAUUUACGGAUGACAGAAAUGAAAACCGUGCUAAAAGGUAUAUAGUGAGUUGAUGUGGUAACUAAAACUAAAACAGGUUGCUUUUUUCUCUCAAUUAAAAGCAUCUUUCAGAACUUCAGAACUCCCAUAGAUUCAUAUGGAACAUCAUUAUAUAUAUAUAUGUAUAUAAGCAUGCACUUCAAGGCAGUGUAUGUGAAACACGAUCAGGAGUGUGAGACUGUAAUGACACACGGAAUUCCAAAUCCUAUCAUUAUAUAAUAAUAUAAUAUAUUAAUUUCAUCAUUAUUUUAUCCAUCAUGUGUAGGUGGGACCCAGCUCUGCCCAAAACUGCAAUCCUAUCACAGUUGGCAAAACAUUUUGAAAUUCACUUUUGAGCUCUGUUGUAAUUUCAGUAAACAGUUACAACUAGAAAUACCAAAAGAAAAUAGAAUACAAGUAAAAUGGUAUUUCUGGGGGUUUUAGACAAGCUGUCAUGAUGAAGACAAGAUGGGGGUUUAGCAAAAUGGAUGCUGAUUUUGUUGUAUCGAAGAUUCAACAUUCUUUUGUUAAAGGCCGUUAAAUUUUGGAUGCAAAUUUGAAAGCCAAUGAAGCCAUAGAUUUUAGACUGAAGAGUUUGAGAGAAGGGGUGAAUCUGUAAGUUGUGUUGAGGCCUCGCGUCCCUGGUGAUCCACGUAGUUGCCAAAUGGAUGGACGCACGAUCUCAACCAAUAUAGAUUCCUGGUUCAGUCGUUCCUGCAAAAGGCGUUCGAACAGGGUGUCCGGACACACCCUCUGAUGGUUUUGUCAGCCAUGGUUAAAGAGAAUAAUCAGUUGGUCUUUUACUAGGUAUAGCAAGCUUACUUUCCUCUUUGUGUGAAGGUCCAUAUAUAUAGCGUUUAGGAGCUUUGUUUCUCUCUUUAAUGGUAGGGAGAUAUUUUGUCUUGUCAUGAUGCCUUUAGGUGGUGACAGGGCCAUCAUCACCCUACUGGCGGCUGACAGAGAUCGUGGGAGGCGCCGCAGCUGUCAGAGAUCGUAGGAAGUGACUUGCCAUCAUUCUUGUCCUUUCACUCUGUAGGUGGCAGAACGUGGGCCGUGGCAGGUUGUCGAAAUGACGUAGUAAGACUUGCUUACUUUAGUCAACGAUCCGGUCAAACCUAUCCGGAUAGGAUAUGUCGGUCGUCCGGAUGUGAUGUUUGCGAGUGUCGUGUACUUCUCCCUGAGGGAGUCCGGAUAGGGGAAGCGCGCCACGUGUCUCCUUGGAUCCAGAUGGAGCUAAUCCGGAUAGAAAUACGUGCCACGUGUCAUCAGGGGGAGGGGUCCCUACAAUGCCCCCAUUUUAACCUGCCCAUUUUGCCCGGGCAAAAUGGGCGGGUUAAAAAAUGAUUGUUUUUUGAAACUGAGGUUGACUUUUUUCGCUUUAUUGGGCCACAUGGCGAGCAGGGGCGAAAAAGGAAGAAGAGCAUUUAUGAUGAGCCGCCGAUUCUGGGAUUUCCCAACCAGCGUGUCCUUUCAAUGAUGGCUCGGCUGAGCGUUUGGGAUACCGAGGGGUUGUCUCUCUAUAAAUUGCAAACUGUGUCUUCCUCUUGCAUUUUUUCUUCUGCGUUUUUUCCUGGUAAUGCUUUCUCUUCUACCUUCUGCGUAUCUUCGUUUUCGAGUGAAGCUCUAGGGUUUUCUGCCGGCAAUACUCGUGUUGUGAUGGUGACUGCAUUGCGGAUUUCAUCCCAUUUUUCCAGUUUUACACUCGGUACGUUCGCUACUCUUGUCUUAUCUUCGUUGUGUUUGCUUUGUUGGUUGUUUCUGGCUUGCUGGGCAAGUUGCUUGCGACUGGGUGUCGAUAUUGGUUUCUAGGGUUUUUUCGGGGGAUUCUGUUGUGUUUUGGGUGCGUUUAGGGUUUCUGUUGCCCCUCUGCGCUUUUUGUGGGUUGUCGAUACUUUUUUGGGGUAGAAACAAGGUUUGGGAUGGGGAUGCUAGUGAUGUUAGGUUUUCUGAGCGUUUUUAUCGUUUAAGGCUGUGGGGUCGGAUUGUUGUGUUUGACUGUUGGUCAUUCUUCCAUGCAGGUUCCGUUCCAGUCCCAACCUCAAAAAUGUCUACGAACAAGGGCGCUGUUUCGUCUACUACGGUCGAUCAGAGCGGCAAAGAUGCGUCUGGAGACUUUCACGCGGAGAAGUCUGUGGACAAGCUGAAUGCGAAGGAGUUUCGUGAACGCUUCUGCAUCCCAAAUGGCGUGUUCGUUGAACUUAUGGACGGAGAGGCCAUGUCAACUGAGGAAACUGAGGAUAACGCUAUCUUUUUUACCAAUGAGCAAUUCAAUGCUGGGCUCCGGUUCCCUCUCCCAUCGCUUUUCAAAGAAUUUCUCCACUUCACCCAGAUCCCUCCGGCCUACAUCCAUCCCAACAUGGUCCGAGUGCUGAUGGGAUGCAGCACUCUAAGUAUGUUGUUCAACCUGGACCUCUCGCUGCUGGAGGUUCUUUUCAUCUACUCCCUCAAGAAGGGGAAAAAUGACAUCUUUAGCAUGGUUGCCCACCUGCCUUCUCUCCAACUGGUGAUUGAGCUUCCAGAUUCGACGAAGGGAGGAGCCAAGGGACAUGUGUUGGUCCGGGGUGUCUGGGCUGGGCUAUUGGAGCAUCCAGAGAGGCUGUUUUCCCUAAACCGUUCGUUGGUGCUUCCGGGUAAGGCAGCUUGCAGGGUUUGUCCGGCAUUCAUCUUGUUGUUCUUCUUGCUUUGGGGUUAUCAGAUGGCUUAAUACCUUUGGUUGCUGAUAAAGCAGGUCCGGACAAGAGGGGUCACGUAGUCGAGUGGGUAGAAAAAGCGUUUUUCGUUCGACUAAACAAGUUAUUUGAGAUUACUGCCGCUGAGAGGCAUCAUGAGACGCUGCUUACUACGCGAAACUUGCUGGCUGUUGUCAAGGAGCCCCAGACAUAUGUCACCAAUAUUCUCCCCAGGAAGUUGCCAAAGAAGGUAGUGCCUAGGGAGCAUUACGUUCUAAAAGACCUCCCUUUCUACAAGGAGGUGCGCAAGGUAGAUGCCCAGGCACGUUGAGCACGUCUCGAUGAUCGGGAGGGAAGAAGGAAAGAGGGAACUUUGCGGAGGGCCCCCGGUAAAAAACGCUCCGCGCCCUCUCUUCCUGCUGGCGCCCCAGCGAAAAAGAAGAAGAAGAUGGUUCUCAAUAAGGGGAAAUAAAUAAAACUUCCAACUCCCCCAAAGGAAAUGGUAAUACCACCUCCAACUUUUGUAAAGGAAAUAACAAUAAGAGAGCCAGACCACCCCGUCUUGCCCUCUGUUUCAAGUGGCUCCGGACGUCUCGCAGGUCUAAACCAUUCGGGGCCUUCAGUGCCAGUGGCUGGACAACUGGCUCUUCUGGCUGAGGAAGCGACUUCAGUAAAUCAGCCCGGCUCUCCCCAUCCGGACGUAGAUGCAGCCGGGGCCUCUUGCACUGAAGCAUUGCCUCCUUCGGCACCCCCAAUGAAAGAAACAGGGGUAGAAAGUCAAGGUUUGCCUCCUUAUGAGCCAAGCCCCCUUGCCUUUGUACUAGUGAAGGAGCCAGCUACAAGGAGGUCUCGUCCGGCGUGUGACUUAAAGUCUAGCCUCAUCAGGCGGCUUCAGGAUCGUUUUUUGGAAGCCAUCGAAGUCAGCUGCUCAUCCGUCCAGGAGGAUCAUUCGGAGGGGAGUGAGACGGAGAUGGCAGAAGAGAACCCAACCGCCCCGGUGUUGGUCCCGGAUGGGGGUUCACCCGGAGAGACCCAGUUGGCCGAGAAUGAUGGGGCCCCGGACCCGAGGGAGGAAUCACUUCCUAAUGCCUCGUCAGGGGGGAGUCCCGUUGAUGAUGCAGCUUGCAUCUCCCCUAGUCCUUUCAGCUAUGCGGAGUUAGGAGAGAUGUUGAAAUGGAUUCCAUCCGGCUCAGAUGUUGCUGUGCCUUCAGCAAAAAUGUUUGAAGCGGCGGAAAUGGUAUAGUUUACUUCUUGAUUUAUCUCGUUAUACUGAUGUGUUUGUCACAUGGGUUGUAAUUUUUGCAUUUCUUGUUUGUGGGUUUUUCUGCAGUUGGUGAGCGGUAUUCGCGACAUGGCUCAACAACGUGAUCUUUUUUCUGACCUGCUGCGGACUGCUGAUUAUAUGAAGGCCUUCGUCUCUCAGCGCAUAAACAGUGAAGAGGAUCUGCGCUUGAGAUUGGAGCAGGCCGAAGCCAGUUUAUCCGCUGCUCGAGAUGACAACGAGGCUCUCCGGAUAGAGUUAGCUAAGGCAAAGAGUCGGGAGGAAUCUACAGACGCCCGCCUGCAUGAGGCGGAGGACGAGAUGGCGCAGCUAAGGGAGGAAGUGAGGCAACUCCAGACAGAGGUGUCUAUUGAGAAAAAGUAGAGAGAGGAUUUGCAGUUGCGUUUAUCAGCGCAAAAAGAAGAGUUGGAGGUUGUGUUUGCUGCGGAAAGGGAGGAACUUGAAGCGGACUACCAGAAGCAGGUAGAUGAAAUGUACUUCUUCGGCUACCGUUGCUGUAUGAAGAAACAUGGUAUCAAGCGGGAUGUCCCUUCGAUUCCCUCGGGUGAAAAGGAGAAGCUACCCGACAAGCCUUCCCAAUGAGAGCUUUUCUUUUUGUAAUUUUUUUACUGCUAUCUUCUCUCUGUAUUUUGUAGUCCGGAGAACUCUUUGUAUACAACUUCACAAGUAUUAAUAAAACAUACUUAUUCAUAUUGUACUUGUAUCUUUCUUUCAUUGGUAAUACUGCUUUAAAUUGGAUACAUUCCAUGGUCUGAGUAAUGGGGUUCCGUCUAGCUUUUGUAGAUGAUAAGUUCCACUUUCACUUGUCUUAGAUACUAUAUAGGGGCCUUCCCAGUUGGCUUGAAACUUUCCUACUCCUAUCUCAGCAGUAUUUUCGAAAACCUUUCUAAGGACCAGCGUACCAUUUUUGAAAUUUCUGGGCCUUACCUUGCGAUUGUAGUGAGCGGAUGCCCUUUGUUGAUAGUCUGCCAUCCGGAUGGAUGCAGUUUCUCUUACUUCGUCUGCCCAGUCCAAGUUUCUUCCUAACUUCGCAUUUGCAUCAUCCUGUCUUCCUGCCUCGGUCCGGAUAGUGGGUAGCCCUAUUUCAGUAGGAAUGAUUGCGUCCAUACCUAUGCGAGGGCGAAGGGAGUGUUUCCUGUCGGACGUCCGGGUGUUGUUUGAUAAGCCCAUAGGACGCCGGGUAGCUCCUCCACCCAUUUUUCUUUGGCUUGCUCGAGCCUCUUCUUUAAGGCAGUGAUUAGAGUCUUGUUUGUGGCCUCUGCUUGCCCAUUACUUUGAGGAUAACGCGGUGUAGAGUAUGAAUUCCAGAUGUUUAGUUCCGAACAGAAAUUCCGGAAAGCGAUGCUAUCAAACUGUGGACCGUUGUCGGCUAUAAUGGUUUGGGGGAUUCCGAAGCGGCAGAUGAUGUUCUUCCACACGAACUUGGUGACAUCUUUGUCUUUGAUGCUAGAGUAUGCUUCAGCUUCCACCCAUUUACUGAAGUAAUUCGUGGCGACGAGCAGGAAUUUAUUUUGAGCGGGUGCGGCUGGUAGGGGUCCUACUAUGUCCAUGCCCCACUUCGCGAAGGACCAGGGGCCUGAAAUUGGCUUCAAUGUCUCCGACGGCACAUGUGGUAUGGGGGCAUGACUUUGGCAUUUGUCACAUUUUUUUACAUAGGCUGCCGCAUCCUUCUUCAUCGUGGGCCAGUAAUAUCCUUGCGAAUGGGCCCUGUGUGCCAGAGAUCGACCUCCAGAAUGAUUUCCACAUACUCCCUCGUGCAAUUCAGCUAAUACAUACAGGGCCUCUGAGUGGUUUAGGCACCGGAGAUAGGGACUUGUGAAGGAUCGCUUAUACAAGUGCCUCCCAAUCAGGGUGAAACGGGCAGCUUGCACCCAGAUCUUGUGUGCCUACUUGGGUUCUUCAAGCAGAGUGCCUGUCCGGAGGUACCUUAUAAUGUCUUUCGUCCACUCUUGGUUGUCUACUUGGUUUGCCUCAAUGGUAUUGCAAGUGGAAGCUUCCGCGACAUAAGGGUUGACUUGCACAUGUAUAGGCAACAAUAUGGCUUCUUUGAUGGGGAGGGAGGUAGCUAUGCUUGCCAAGGCGUCGGCGCGCCCAUUUUCAGUUCGUUUUAUUUUUUUGAUCGUCUAUUCGGUGAACUGCUGUAAGGUGUCUCUUACUUUAGCCAGAUAUCGCGUCAUGCGCGCGUCCUUAGCUUCGUAUUCUUUCUGAACGUGCCUUACCACGAGUUGGGAGUCACUAUAGACCCGAAGCUUGGAGACGGAUAGAGCUAGGGCGAGGUCCAAUCCGGAUAGGAUGGCCUCAUAUUCCGCUUCAUUGUUAGAGGCGGUGAACCCCAGCCGAAUGGCUUGCUCCAGAUGUUCUCCUGUUGGUGAUUGUAGUAGGAGCCCUAUUCCGGAUCCUGAUGAUCGUGAGACUCCAUCGACCCGCAAAGUCCACCACUCUUUUUCACUUGGUUCCUUGUGCUGGAUAGGCCUUCGGGAGUAUUCCAGCACGAAGUCAGCCAUAACUUGGCCUUUCAUGGAUAACCUGGGUUGGAACUCGAUUCCAUAUUCGCUUAACUCUAUAGCCCAUUGAAGCAUUCUUCCGGUUAGGUCCGGCUUGUGCAGAAUGUUGCGAAGGGGUUGGUCAGUUAGCACGACCACCGGGUGGGCUUGGAAGUAAGGGCGGAGCUUUUGGGCGGCACUUCGAAAAGUUAAAGCCGUUAGCUCCAUCUUUGAAUACCUGGUUUCUAGGUCUGCCAAUACUCUACUGACGUAGUAGAUAGGUUUCUGCUCCUUGGGCGAUGGGCAACGGAAUAGAACAGCGCUAAUUGCUCACUCUGAUACAGCCAGAUACAUAUACAGUUUUUCUUCAGGGAGGGGACUGCUCAGGAUGGGCGGUUGCAUGAGACAGUGUUUAAUUUUUUCAAGAGCGCUUUGACAGUUGUCCUUCCAUCCGUUUGCUCCAGCUUUUCGUAUUGCCAAGAAGAAGGGUCGCAGUUCGUCAGUGAAGCAGGCUAUAAAACGUCCUAGCACGACGAGUUUGCCUGUGAGGCGCUGUAAUUCCUUUUUGCCCCUGGGGGGUGGUGUUUCCAUGACUACCUUGACUUGAUCCGAGCUAACCUCUAUCCCCCUUUGGCUGACCAUAAAUCCUAGGAAUUUGCCAGCACUUACGCCAAAGGCGCAUUUGGAAGGAUUCAGCUUCAUACCAUACUUCCUUAAGAGUUGGAAGAUUUCUUGCAAGUGGAGGACAUGUUCCUCUCGGGUUUUGCUUUUAACCACGAUGUCGUCAAUAUAUACCUCUACUGUGCGGCCGACCAGAGGUUUGAAGAUUUUCGUCAUCAGUCUCUGAUAAGUGGCGCCAGCUUUUUUGAGUCCGAAUGGCAUGACUUUGUAGCAAUAAAAAUCGUGUGGCGUUAUGAAGGCUGUUUUUUCUUCGUCAGCCGGGGACAUGGGGAUUUGGUGGUAUCCGGAGAAGGCGUCCAAGAAUAAGAGCAUCCCUUGCCCAACAGUGGAAUCCACAAUUUGAUCUAUCCGUGGCAAAGGAAAACUGUCUUUUGCGCAUGCAUUAUUGAGGUUGGUGUAAUCGACGCACACCCGCCAUUUGCCUUCUUUUUUUGGUACCACCACUACAUUUUCCUACCAGUCCGGGUAAUCCACUUCUCUGAUGAAUCCGGCUUCUAGCAAUUUGUCAAUCUCAUUUCGAAUAAUUUUUUGUCUGUCCUGGUGAAAACGUCUAACCCUCUGCCGGAUGGGUCUUGCUGUUGGCAAGACGUUAAGCCUAUGAGAGGUAAUGGAGGGAUGAAUUCCCUUCAUAUCAGAAUGUGCCCAUGUGAAGACGUCAUGAUUUUGUCUGAGGGCGUUCUGCAUGUUCCGGGUCUCUUCUAGUGUCAGGAGGGAACUGAUAUUCGUAAGGUGAGUACCUUCUUCCGAAAUUUGGAUCGCUUGCAAAGGAUCCGCUGCCGGGAGAUCUUUGUCCGCCGGACUCAAUAAUUGUUAUUGGUCACGUGCAUGGCUGGACUCAGGGAGGGAUGCAUCCUUCUGGCUGGUCCCUACUUCACGUGCUAUCUGGUAGCAUUGGCGAGCGGCUAACUGGCUGCCGUAUAGGUCAAUUUGCCCAUCCUUGGUAAGAAAGCUUACCAUUUGAUGAUACGUAGAGGGGAUGACUUUCAUGUAGUGCAGCCAUGUGCGCCCCAAGAUGACAUUGAAGGGUGAUAAAUCUUGUACCACCGAAAAUUGUACGUUGAGAGUGACUGGGCCAGCUUGGACCGGCAGUACAAUGUCUCCCAAGGAAGUAGUUGACGACCCGUUGAAUCCGGACAAGAUUCGCCCAGGGUUUUCGAGGCCUGUGAGACUGUGUCCCAUGUGGCUAAUGACCGAUGCUUGUACAAGAUCAGCCGAGCUACCCGGGUCAACCAGGAUGCGCCUCACGUCAAAGUCUCCUAUCUCUAGGGACAGGAUGAGGGCGUUGUGGUGCGAAUGCAAUAUCCGGGUGGGGUCUACUGGUGGAAAAAUGAUUGUCCCAUCUAUGGGGCGAGGGCCCCCCUCAAUUACUCCAGGCCGGAUGGAGUUGACACGUUCACGCACCGAUGCUGCCCGCAACAACUUUUGUCUCUUUCGUUUGGAGUCGUACUCCUCGUCAGAUGGACCUCCAUUAUUAUAGUUUAUAACCGCUUUGGGGGCGGCUGGGGCCCUGGGGGCUCCAAAGUUGUGAUUUCGGGAAGCGUCUCUACCUUCGGCAUCUGAGCGGAGGUAUUGCUUUAAAUGUCCUGCCCUUAUGAGCCUUUCAUGGAAGGCACAUUUUUUACUAUGAUCUCUUUUGGAUGGAUUCGUUCCGAGGGGUCUAGGCCACCUGAAGUCGGACAUGUCUUAGAUCAUAGGGAGAAGCUUCUCAUAUGAUAUGGAAAGGGGUGUGAGGGGCGGCAUUUUCGGGUGACUUGGCCCUUUCUGCCUUCGAUCGGACGGCCUUGGCCUGUCCGGAAGUUUGGUACUUCUUUCCGCACCCCUUCUGGAUGUCUGUCCGGCAACCAAGACUUGCUGGGUGGCUACACGCACGUCAUCUUCGAGCAUUGAGUAUUUGCUCGCACGCCGGAACAAGUCGUCCAUCGUCGUAGGAGGCUUUUUAGCGAGUGAUUCAAAAAAUGGGGUGCCUGAACAGAUGCUUCGUUUGAAGAUUUGUAGGACAGCAUCCAUGCUGUAAGCCUCUACCUAUAGUACGACCUGACCAAACCGCUUCACGAACUCCCUUAAGGAUUCGUUAUCCUGCAUUUUUAUGUUUUGCAGAGUGCUGAUGUUCUGCUUAUGUCGAGCGAAGCAUAAGUAUUGCCCCACGAAGGCUUCCGAUAGGUCUCUGAAAUUAUCAACAGAGUUAGGAGGUAGGCAGUGAAACCAUGAGAGGGCCUGCCCUUGUAGGCUGGCGGGGAAUACUUUGCAUAGCAGUGCGUCGUUGCCUAUAUCGAGAGUCAUGAGCUGUCGAUAAUGCAUGAUAUGGUCGAAGGGGUCACUGGACCCAUCGUAUGUGGAGAAUUUGGGCACAAGGAAUCCCCUUGGGGGCUCGUAAUGAAUGAUAUGAGAGCAGAAAGGCAUGGAGAGCAUGUCGUCCAGCCUUUUGGUGAUGGAGCCAAUGGGUGGCUCAUUUGGGAGGUUUCUCCCAGCUUGUUGUACCGCUAGGUGCGGUUGAACGUUCUGCACCAUAGGGGUGACCAUGGGGUCACGGUGUGGACGAACAUUCUGCACCAUAGGGGUGACCAUAGGGUCAGGGUGCGCUCCCCAAGUUGUGGCUACUGGCGGCCUUGGCCUCCUAGGCUCCUGUGGGCCUAGCCUCGCGCGCAUCGAGUUUGACAACUGGGGCCUUUUAUCGCGUUGUCUUUUUGCUGAAAAAUGAGCAGAGUCUGAGCUUUCCUCAUGUGGAGCUCGGUGCAUGGGAGUGUGUGGCUCAUGCGGCCUAACGUUGCAUGUUUCUGGGAUGGCUCCUGCUGUCCCAAGGUAUAUUGACUCUGGUUCUGGCCUUGAGUUUGCUACCUGGCCUCUUGAACGUUGACGACGGGGAGGCCCCAUCAAUGAAGCCUGGAUGCAUAGCACCACGUUUUCUUCUCUUAACCUUUCUGUCUCCUAGAGGAGAGUUUGCAGUUGUCGUUAGCUUGUCAAUUGUCUUCUUUUGAUGGCUUGGCGCCAUUCAGAAUUAUCUUCCUCUCCCCUACCAAAUGAACGGCUUCGGGAAGGUGUGGCCAUCUUUGCCGGUGACUGAAUCAGCGAGAUUCCCACAAACGGCACCAAUGUUGAGGCCUCGCGUCCCUGGUGAUCCAUGUAGUUGCCAAAUGGAUGGACGCACGAUCUCAACCAAUAUAGAUUCCUGGUUCAGUCGUUCCUACAAAAGGCGUCCGGACAGGGUGUCCGGACAUACCCUCCGAUGGUUUUGUCAGCCAUGGUUAGAGAGAAUAAUCAGUUGGUCUUUUACUAGGUAUAGCAAGCUUACCUUCCUCUUUGUGUGAAGGUCCAUAUAUAUAGCGUUUAGGAGCUUUGUUUCUCUCUUUAAUGGUAGGGAGAUAUUUUGGCUUGUCAUAAUGCCUCUAGGUGGUGACAGGGCCAUCAUCACCCUACAGGCGGCUGACAGAGAUCGUGGGAGGCGCCGCAGCUGUCAGAGAUCGUAGGAAGUGACUUGUCAUCAUUCCUGUCCUUUCACUCUGCAGGUGGUGAAACAUGGGCCGUGGUAGGCUGUCGAAAUGACAUAGUAAGACUUGCUUACUUUAGUCAACGAUCCGGUCAAACAUAUCCGGAUAGGAUAUGUGGGUCGUCCGGAUGUGAUGUUUGUGAGUGUCGUGUGCUUCUCCCUAAGGGAGUCCGGAUAGGGAAAGCGCGCCAUGUGUCUCCUUGGGGGAAAUCCAGAUGGAGCUAAUCCGGAUAGAAAUGCGUGCCACGUGUCAUCAGGGGGAGGGGUCCCUACAAGUUGGAUAUUCAGAAGUCCAACAAUCAUAGGAUUUGACAACGAGUGAAUAUGUUGGAUACAAUUCCUCAUGUCUAUUGUAACAAUUUCUUUGUUUGUGAAUGGCUCUUUUUUGUUUCUUUCAAAGUCCAAGCGGGUUGAGACAAUGCACCCUCUUAUCUCCUUUGUUUGUUCUAGUUAUGAAGACUUUUAACUGUUUUGUUACCAAGGUGACAAGAGGGGCUUCUUUUAUGACUUUAAAGUAAGGGAAGAUGAAGAAAAGGGUCGGAAGUCUCCCAUUUACUCUUUGCAUUAUGAUAAAUUGCUUUUUUGUGAUUGAUCACGGGCUCAGUUUUGAUGUGAAGUCAUCUCAAAAUUGAGAAUAAGCUCGAAGAAAAGUGAAAAGUCCCCAAUAUUGAAGAAUUAACCUCUUUGUUGGGUUCCAAGGUGGUCAAGUUACCCUUCUCUUUUUUUUUUUUUUUUUUUUUUUUUUUGAGAUAAUCGAAGAACCUUCUAAACCCUUAGGACUCUCCAUAAAGACCCAAACCUUGGGCCUUCCCUAACAAUCGACACUGGGUGAAUCAAAGUAUCAUCAAUAGCAAGAUUUAAAAUCAAGAUCAUGUGCCUCUUAUUAGAACCACAUGCAUCUCCCAUCAUUCGCCCUAACCAACUGGGCUACCCGACAGGCAUACCUUCCUUCUUAGUCUUCCUAGGUUUUCCCUUCAAAGUCUUCUACUAUGUCAAAUGUUCUGAAGGAGAGGCUACUUAAAAGGUUAGCCUCAUGGAAGUGUUAGUAUUUGUCUACAAGUGAAGAUUAACCCUUUUGAAAAGCAUUUUAUCCAAUGUGUCCAUUUACUAUUUGUUAUCCCAAAAAGAGUUCAUAUGAGGUUAAAAAUGAUUAAGAAAGAGUGUUGGUGGCCAGUAAGUUUUUUAAAGAAGAAACCUCAUUUAGUCAACUCAUAUACAAUGUAUUUAGAUGAUAAAAUAAAAAUUAAAUUAAAUUAAAAAUGGAGGCAUUGAAAUAAUCAUUUUGUUCACAAAUAUAUAAUUUAUAUUAUUAAAAUUCACAAUAAUUAUAAAAAGGAAAAUAAUUAAAAAUAACCAAAAAUAUCUUUUUUUGAGUGAAGACACUUUUAACUUUUCUAACUAUUUUCUAACUUUCAUAUGUCAAUAAUAAAUAAUAAAUAAAUAAUUAUUUUUUACUUUUUAAUUAAAAGAAUUUUAGAAUAUCAAUUUUCAGACCUAGGGCAUGUGCAAAACUAUAUUGUUUAUGGUCAAAAUGACAAUUGAUGAGGAUGGUACAACCCAUCCACUCCAAUUUUUAAAACCAUGUUUUUAAGCAAGGCUCCAUUAGGUAAGUAGAGUUGCAGAUUUGCCAUAUAUAGGGAUAAUAUAGAACAAUUUUUGCUCACAAAAGUAGACAUCCUACAUUAGUAAGACCUUUGUAUGCCAGUACCUAGCAUUUAUAAUGCAUAACAAGAACUACAAAACACUUCUUCCUGAGGUUGUUCAAAUUUACACUUCCAUUAAAUGGACUCCUCAAAAUGGGCUACAUCAGACGGGACAUCUAAUGAAUAAUGUAUGGGGGAAUAAGGUAUGACUAAGGUUUUACAUUUAGUACCAAAUCAACAUAUGUUUAUAUAGGGAUGAUUUUGAUGCAAAUCAAAUUAAGCUUUUACAUUUAGUACCAUCAUCCAAGAUUAAUUCACCAUGGCUCUAAAUGGUCAUGCAUGUUUUGUUUCCCCAUAUUUUUAUUAUCGCCCAUGGAAGAAACUACAUGGGUCAUUUAGAGGGGCCCAUCACAAUAACAUAUAGCCCAAUAAAAUUAAUGAAGUCUUAGAAACUGAUUCUAUAAUCCAUGCAUGCAACAAGCUGAGAAAAUAAUCUUUCAAGUUAAGAUUGGAUAGUUGAGCCCCCUUAGAAACUGUACCACACUUCAAAUCUCAUUUUCCCUUAUUUACGUAUUGGCAUACACUGCCCUUUAUCUGCUCACAAAGAAUUAGAGCUUACCAAGAAAAAGUUCUCGUUCAACUCAAACAAUGUAGAGGGUUGUAAAAUAGUUCAAGGAGAGGAAGAGUGGCUGAGUAAGUUAGAACAGAAGGACAAAGCUACUCUAAAUGCCUUUUUGCCCCGUUUCAAAGCAACAUAAGAAUAAGGGGCUUUCAAAGCAACAUAAGAAUAAGGAGCUUAAGAAUGAUUUCCAGUCUUCUAUUUUCAUGUCUAUUUGAUAGUUGGAAUGUGUAUUGUUCAUUUGUGGGUUGAUUCUCUCUCCACCAUUGAAAUUCCCAUGCAGGGACAAAACAAAGGAAAUGUAUGAUGUUAUGAGAUGUUUAUGAAAAGUGUCUUGUAAUUGCAUUAUGUGUAAUAAAGUACUAAGUCUAUAUAGGGUUGUUUAAAAUUGUUGUGAUCUAAGUAUCAUUUUGAUAUGAUUUUAAUUUUUAAAAGUAGAAAAUGAUAUUAAUUCCUAUAUUGAUUUUAAAAUGUUAAAUAUUUGAAAACUUUUACAUGGUAAUUCUAAAUAUUGGUAAAAUCAUACUAUUAAUAUUUUGUACAUUUUUAAUAUUUUCAUCCUUAAUUGAAAAUAUUUUCCAAAGCAACAUAAGAAUAAGGAGCUAAGGAAUGAUUUCCAGCCUUCCAUUUUCAUGCCUAUUUGAUGCUUGGAAUGUGUAUUCUUCAUUUUUGGUUAAUUGCUUUUACGUUUACAGGAAGAAGGGCCCAAACUCCCUUUGUUGCUCCUCUAUCCAUCCUUGUAAUCCCCACGCAUGGACAAAACGAAGGAGAUGCAUGGCUUUAUAUGCAUGACAAGUGUCUUGUAAUUGUGCAUGUGGAAUAGAGUUUGAGUCAAUUGGUCGUUAUUUCAAACUAUUAUGUUGUAAGAAUAAGUUGGAUAUGAUUUUUAGUUUAAAAAAUAGAAAAUAAUGUUUCAAUUUGAAAUGUCUUUAAUGAAAGUGUUUUUAAAAGAAUUACCUAUAAAUGUUUCUGCAAAAAACACUACAACCAAUUUUUUAAUACUAUAAAGUAAUUUCUUUUAAAAUUUAAAAGUAUUUCUUAAAUUUUAUUAAACACCUAAUAUUUUUUUUAAAAACACUUUUUUAGGUUGACAAUGUUUUUCAAAAAGCACUGUCAAAUAGACUCAAACUCUUAUAUUGAUUUUAAAAAUUAUUUCAAAAUUUUAAAAAUUCAAAGGUAAAUUUAAAAAACAUAAUGUAAGUAUGAGUUACUAUAUUUUAUAUGAAAGUGGCUAUUAAUUUCUAUCUCUAAAAAUAAAAAUAAGAAAUGAAUUCAAAUUAUUAGUACUUAAUAAUUAACUAAUUAAUUAGUGUUUGAAUACAAAUAUAUAUACAAUAAAUUAAUAAGUUUCUUAUAUGUUUGGAAAAAAGCAUCUAUAUAGAGUGUUAUUUAUUACAAAUGUAUGAUAAAUUAAUAAGAUUCUCACUUAAGUUGCAUUUUAUUUGAAUUUCAGAGAAAUAAUAGUUGUAAAAUUAGAAGGAAAUAGGGUUGAUAUUGUCAAAUGAUGAUGAAACAUAAUUCAGAAAUUAAAACAGGAAGAAAAAAAAUUAAAUAAUUGUAUAUUCUAUAUUAUAGUGGAGGCAUCAAAUAUUUGUCUAUUAUCAUUAUUAUUAUUCUUUUUAUCAUUUCCACCUAAUUUAUUCAUCGAAUACACAAGAGUUGAGUCACAUAAUCCAUAUUGACCAAAUAAAUAAUAGGACAAAGUCCAACUCUCUCCUCUUAACAUGAUAUAUAUACCUUUUUUUAAUUAAAUGAUAAAGCUAUAUAUAAUUCUAAAAAGAUUCUUUGCAACAAUAUCUUGUAUUUUUGCAUGUGGUCAAAUAAUCAUCCUCAUUAUUAUUAUUAUUUUAAUACCACAACUACUCUACCUAAUAACAAAUGGUUGCCAAUUUUCCUGAUAAAUUAAGUUUUGAAAAGAAUCAUUUCAACUACGUACUCUACCAAAUCAUCAACAAUAAGAAAUGGUUGCAAGUUAUUUUCCCAAUAAAUUAAGUCUUGAAUUCUCCCAACAAAUGAAGUUUUGAAAAGAAUCCUUUAGUUGUAUGGUACUUUACUAUCUUUAUAUGUAAGUAUAUUUGUUCUCAUAUGUAUAAGGAUUUUUUUAUUUAUUUAAAAGAAUCACUUCAAUAUGUGUAUUAUUAAUUAGUUUAUUAUUUUUUAGAAUUUUGUCUAACAUUUUUGUAAUUUUUUAAUCAACUUUUAUCCCAUAAUUUUUUUUUCAAAUUUUUGUAUAAUAUUUGUAAUAAUUUUAUAAAAUUUGAAUAUUGAUAUUUUGUAAAUUUUUUACAUGUUCAUCCAAAAUAUUUUAAAAUUAUAUGUCUUUAAAAUAUAUUAAAAGUUAAAGCAUGCAACCGAAGGUAAGAAAUAUUUGAAAAUUAAGGUCAAUUAUGGUGCCUAUAAUAUUUUAGUCACAAAUCCUUCUAUAAAAAACUUCCGUAGAUCAUAUUAAAAAUAAAAUAGAAAGGAAGUGUUAGGAAGAUGCGAAGAUGUAUGAUAAAUGAAUAAGACUAAGUAGUAUUUUAACUGAACAACUAAGACAACGACGAUAAAAAUAAGAAGGAAAAACAAACUUGUACUACGUCUUGGUAACACCGGAGAAACAUGAUUUAAAAAAUAAAAUUAAAAAAAUUUGAUAACUUACCAUCAACUUUGAUCAUUCCCAUGCUAUUUAUCAUAAUUUAUUUAUUAAAUAUACAAGAGCGGAGUAAUCGAAACCAUAUUGUCUAAAUUAUUGAAUUAAGUGAAGUCUCUCUUAUCUUCUAUCAUCGUCUACUUACAUAAAGCUUAUAACAGUAAAAAAUGAAUUUGAUGGCAUCUUUUCUUCUUUUAUAUGGCCAACUUCUCUAACUAUUAUUUUAAUUCCACAACUUCUCUAACUUAUCAUAAAUGACAAUUAUCGUUUCUAUCAAUGUUUGUUAUUUCCACUUAGUUUAUUCAUUGAUUCAUUGAAUAUACAAGGGCUGAGUCACACAAUCCAUUCAGGUCAAAUAAUUGAAUGAAGUCACUCUCCCUUAUGCCUUUUCAUGAUAUACUUAUUUAUUAGAUGAAACAAUUGUAAUAAUAAAAUAAGAAUUUUGUAAUAACAUCUUGUCUUCUUUCAUAUGGCCAAAUAGUCCUUGUUAAUAUUAUUUUAAUCUCACAAUUUCUCUAACUAAACAUAAAUAAAUAAGAAUUGAUUGCAAGCUAUUUUGUAAAUAAAUUAGAGUUGGAAAUGAAUUAAUCAUUUAGUUAAUGUAUGGUAGUUGCAUAACUAAUCUUAUUAGUUACAACAAUGCAUGGAGAGCAACAAUAAUGUAAUAUAAAAUAAAUAAAUGCAAUUAACAUUAUUUUCUUGAAACCCAAAUAGUUUAACUCUUUUAUGAUUUUUUUUUUACCUCAAGCUAAUUAUUCUAGAAUAUGUAGUGCACUAAGUUGAAAUCAGUAACUCCGACUUCAAGUCAUAUUAAAAAAAAAAAAUUAGGAAUUUGAAAACUAUUAAGAAUGGAUGUAUUAGUAAUUAGCUUUUAUAUCCAAACCUUAUGAUAUGUCUAAGAAAAAUUGAUAUCUAAAUUGAAGACUUCAUAUCAUAAAUUCCUUUUUAAGCUAAACAAUUUAAUGGUAUAUUUGCAAUUUUUAGAAAAUCCAAAUCAAGAUGUUAGGAUCAAAUGUGAAUUAUCAUUAAAUUAGUUGGUAAUUGAUACCAUAAAAAUGAAAUAAAAACUGUUAAUUAAUCAAGUUAUUUAAUUAAGUUGCCAAUUUUAUUCAAAACAUUAUUGAAUUCACUUCACAUGCUUUCUUGGUUUUAUAUAUAUAUAUAUAUAUAUAUAUAUAUAUAUAUAUAUAUAUAUAUAUAUAUAUAUAUAUAUUUUAGAAGUCGCCUUGAAAAUAGAUGAUUUCUCCAUAUAUAUGUAUUUUUUAAUCAAUGAAGAAAUUGUUUCUCUAAUUAAUUUUUCUUAAGAAAUCAUAUCUUAAAGAGAUGAUUUUUUUCUCUAAUUUUUUUGAAAAGAGAUUUUAUAAAUCACCUUUUGAAAAGAUAAUUUUUUUUAUUAUUAUCUUUUUAAAAUGAAAUAAAUCAUCUUUUUAAAGAGACGGUCUAAAAAAGAAAUAAUUUUUUUUUAUUUAACAAAAAUUACAAUAAAUUUAAAAUUAUUUUUAUCACUAUAAUAUUUUAGGAAUGGUCUUUUUAAACUAUUGUACUAAAAAAUCUUUGCUUACCCGGGGGUAGUGGGCAAUAAAGAAAUGAAAAGAAGUUGGCAGGGGGGCGUCANNNNNNNNNNNNNNNNNNNNNNNNNNNNNNNNNNNNNNNNNNNNNNNNNNNNNNNNNNNNNNNNNNNNNNNNNNNNNNNNNNNNNNNNNNNNNNNNNNNNGAAUGGAUGUAUUAGUAAUUAGCUUUUAUAUCCACACCCUUAUGAUAUGUCUAAGAAAAAUUGAUAUCUAUAUUGAAGACUUCAUAUUCCAUAAAUCCCUUUUUAAGCUAAACCAAUUUAAAUGGGUAUAUUUGCCAAUUUUAGAAAAAUCCCAAAAUCCAGGAUGGUUAGGGAUCAAAUGGUGAAUUAUCAUUAAAUUAGUGGGGUAAUUGAUACCAUAAAAAAUGAAAUAAAAACUGUUAAUUUAAUCAAGUUAUUUAAAUUAAGUUGCCCAAUUUUAUUCAAAAACAUUAUUGAAUUCACUUCACAUGCUUUCUUGGUUUUAUAUAUAUAUAUAUAUAUAUAUAUAUAUAUAUAUAUAUAUAUAUAUAUAUAUAUAUAUAUAUUUUAGAAGUCGCCUUGAAAAUAGAUGAUUUCUCCAUAUAUAUGUAUUUUUUAAUCAAUGAAGAAAUUGUUUCUCUAAUUAAUUUUUCUUAAGAAAUCAUAUCUUAAAGAGAUGAUUUUUUUCUCUAAUUUUUUUGAAAAGAGAUUUUAUAAAUCACCUUUUGAAAAGAUAAUUUUUUUUAUUAUUAUCUUUUUAAAAUGAAAUAAAUCAUCUUUUUAAAGAGACGGUCUAAAAAAGAAAUAAUUUUUUUUUAUUUAACAAAAAUUACAAUAAAUUUAAAAUUAUUUUUAUCACUAUAAUAUUUUAGGAAUGGUCUUUUUAAACUAUUGUACUAAAAAAUCUUUGCUUACCCGGGGGUAGUGGGCAAUAAAGAAGUGAAUAGAGGUGGCAGUGGGGCGUCAUCCAGCUGGACCCUCAAAUGCAAAAUAAAGAAGUGAAUAGACGUGGUGGGUUGGCUGUCAUCCAGCUGGACUCUCAAAUGCAAAAAUGGAGAUUCAUUUAUCCCAACAUGAAGCACCGUCUUCAACGAGAUGUUGAAGCCAAUACCUAUAUCUUCUUCUAAACCAACUCCUCUCUUCUGCUUGAUUCAUCAUCCCAAAGCUCUCCACACUCAUCAUUUCCCUCAAAACUACCUAGUUCUUAAUCCUCGUUGACAAAACCAUGGGCAACAUUUGCUCGAUUUCACUCCCUGCUGACCGCAUUGUCUCUAGCUUCUGGGAUGGCACUACUGAGCAUGCAAAUUACCUGCGCAAACUCCCUGAAAAUCUGGUAGAAUUGGGAACCGCUUGUGAAAGAUUGAGGGAGUUAAGGAACGAUGUGAAGAGGAUGGUGGAUAUUGCUGAGAGGGAACAAAUGCAGCCGCUGGACCAAGUACAAGGGUGGCUUUCAAGGGUUGAAACACUGGAAACUCAAGUCACUCAACUGAUUGGAGAUGGCACCGAGGAGGUUGAGAAGAAAUGUCUGGGUGGUUGCUGUCCUAGGCGUUGCAGGACCAGAUACAAGUUGGGGAAGAGAGUAGCUAGAAAGUUGAAAGAAGUUGACAUUCUAAUGAGCCAAAGACCUUCGGAUGUGAUGGCUGAGAGGUUACCUUCACCUCGCCUAAGUGAAAGGCCUAGUCAAGCAACUGUCGGCAUGAAUUCCAGAAUUGGUAAGGUUUGGAGUAGCCUUCAUCAAGAACAAGUGGGAAUUAUCGGCCUAUAUGGAUUAGGAGGAGUUGGGAAAACCACCCUUUUAACCCAAAUCAAUAAUGCUUUUACUAAAAGAACCCAUGAUUUUGAUUUUGUGAUCUGGGCUACAGUUUCCAAAAAUGUAAACCUUGAAAACAUUCAGGACGACAUCUGGAAGAAGAUAGGGUUUUGUGAUGAUAAAUGGAAAAACAAAAGUCGAGAUGAGAAAGCUACGAGCAUAUGGAGAGUCCUGAGCGAAAAGAGGUUUGUGCUGUUGCUAGAUGAUUUAUGGGAGCGGUUGGAUUUAUCAGACGUCGGGGUCCCAUUCCAAAAUAAGAAAAAUAAGAUAGUAUUCACCACUCGAUCAGAAGAGGUGUGCGCUCAAAUGGAAGCUGAUAAGAAGAUCAAAGUGGAAUGCCUAACAUGGACAGAAUCCUGGGAAUUGUUUCGAAUGAAGCUUGGAGAAGACACUCUCGAUUUCCAUCCUGAGAUACCAGAGCUCGCUCAAGCCGUCGCACAAGAGUGUUGCGGUUUGCCACUUGUGCUAACUACCAUGGGCAGGGCCAUGGCUUGUAAGAAGACACCGGAGGAAUGGAAGUAUGCAAUAAAAGUGUUACGAAGCUCUGCCUCAAAAUUUCCAGGUAUGGGGGACAGAGUGUUUCCUCUUUUAAAAUACAGUUAUGAUUGCUUACCCACCGAAGUUUCCAGAUCUUGCUUCUUGUAUUGUUCUCUAUAUCCGGAAGAUUAUCAAAUGCCAAAAUUAAGUUUGAUAAACCGUUGGAUUUGUGAAGGCUUUUUAGAUGAAUUUGAUGACAUGGAGGGAGCAAAAAACCAGGGUUACAACAUUAUUGGCACUCUGAUUCAUGCAUGUCUAUUAGAAGAAGGUGAUGUUGAUUAUAAAGUAAAACUGCAUGAUGUAAUCCGUGAUAUGGCAUUGUGGAUAGGUUGUGAAACUGGGAAGGAGCAGGACAAGUUCUUGGUGAAGGCCGGCAGUACGUUAACUGAAGCUCCUGAAGUUGCUGAAUGGAUGGGGCCAAAAAGGAUUUCACUGAUGGAUAACCAAAUUGAGGAACUAACAGGGUCUCCUAAGUGCCCCAAUCUCUCAACUUUGUUUCUUGCGGAUAAUAGUUUGAAGAUGAUCUCUGAUACUUUCUUCCAGUUUAUGCCAAGUCUAAGAGUUUUAGACUUGUCAAAAAAUAGCAUAACUGAAUUACCCAGGGGAAUCUCUAAUUUGGUUUCAUUACAGUAUCUCAACCUAUCACAAACUAACAUAAAAGAGUUGCCAAUUGAGUUGAAGAACCUGGAUAAAUUGAAAUGCUUGGUGUUGGUUGACAUGCCUCAACUUUCUUCAAUUCCAGAGCAGUUAAUAUCAAGUCUUUCAAUGUUGCAAGUUAUUGAUAUGUUCAACUCUGGAAUUUCUGAAAGAACAGUACUCAAAGAUGGUAUUUUGUCUGAUGAUAAUGAAGCCUUGGUUCAGGAAUUGGAGUCCUUAAAGUACUUGCAUGGUUUAGGCGUCAGUGUAAAAAGUGCCUCUGCUUUCAAAAGGCUUCUAAGCUCUUACAAGCUAAGAAUCUGCAUUUCCGGUCUAUGCCUCAAGAAUUUCAAUGGUUCAAGCUCUCUCAAUUUAACAUCUCUCAGCAAUGCAAAGUGUCUUUCUAGCCUCUAUAUCUCAAAAUGUGGCUCGUUGGAAGAUUUGGAGAUAGAUUGGGCUGGGGAAGGAAAGGAAACAGUGGAAUCUAAUUACCUUAACUCAAAGGUCAGUUCCCACAACAGUUUCCACAGCCUUGUGUGGCUAGGAAUCGAAAGGUGUUCGAGAUUGAAGGAUCUAACAUGGCUUGUUUUUGUUCCUAACCUUAAAGUGCUUACAAUAAUUGAUUGUGAUCAAAUGCAAGAAGUAAUAGGUACCGGUAAAUGUGGUGAAUCUGCAGAGAAUGGAGAAAACCUGAGUCCAUUUGUCAAACUCCAAGUACUUGAGUUAGAUGAUCUACCACAAUUGAAGAGCAUAUUUUGGAAAGCCCUGCCAUUUAUCUACUUAAAUACAAUCCAUGUACGUAAUUGUCCACUUCUAAAGAAGCUGCCACUCAGCGCCAACAGUGCCAAGGGAAAUCGAAUUGUCAUUGCAGGACACAACAAGUGGUGGAAUGAAGUAGAGUGGGAGGAUGAGGCUACCCAAAAUGUUUUUCUUCCAUGUUUCGUACCUGUUAGAGAAUAAGGGGCUGCAGCAAUCUCAGAGAGGCUACGAUGCGAUUCUAGGUGAGACCCUUUUCACAAUUAACUAUCAUUUGAUCCUGAAUAGGUAUUGGUCCAAAUAAAGCAUUCAAUUAUAGCAUCUUUUCAUGGUUGGUCCAAAUAUGUUGUUUCUCUUUGAAUUGCAAUAUUACAUUUUUUGUAUUCUAGGGAUUGUGAGAUGCAUUUUAUGAUUUGCGUAAACAAAAUUGAGUUCGAUGGCUUUCCUUAAUUGCUCUACUUCAAAUGAAGAGCAUGUACAUGAUAUCUUUGAUGGGAAACAAUCUAAUGUACAUAAUUUCAAAAAUAUAAUCAUAUUUUCAAAUAGAAAAGAUAGUUGAGUCAGGGUACUCCUAGAUCAACUAGCAAUUGUAUCUUUGUUCUUGGAGAAGCAAGCAUUCUUGAGAGAAAAAAAAUCAAGUCCCACUUCGUACAAAAAUUUUAGGGGAGAACUUGCCCAAGUCAUGGGUAGACCAUAAUUGAGACACCUUAGCUAAGGGUCCCAUUUGGUUCCCUAUCCGUGUAUAUCAAAUACACCUUUUCAUAUUGUAAUGGGAAUUGGAGUGUGGGAUUUAUACAACAUUAAAGCAUGUAUUCCUUAAUUUUGCAGUAAGUUAAAGAGGAUGAAACAUUUUUUAUUUGUUGCAAUUCAAGAGCAUGUACUAAAAUGCUCUCCCCUUGUGUUCAAAAUAGAAGAACUCAUUUAUCUUAUAUCCUAUAAAACUUUUUUCAAAAUUUUGAGAAAGUGAAAAAUUUUCACUUCCUUAAAUUUUUAAAUUUUUUUAAUCAAGUGUUUUCAAGUAUAUAAGUUAUUUACUUGUUUUUGUAUAAUAAUUCUUAUAUUUUAUAUAAGACUUCCUAUUUUAAAAAUAAAAAAUAGAAUAUGUAUCCAACCAUACACUAAGUGAUUCUCUUAACAAAAGUACCAUAAAUAAAAAUACUUUAAUGAGAAUCACUCUCAAACGUGUUCUAAGUUAUAUUUUCUAAUGGACUAGCUUUUCUAUCAAAAAAGUUCUUGAGUAGACAAUAAUUUAUAAUUAAAUGCAAAGCAUUUUUACUCCAUAGUAAUUUUUAUUUACCUUUUUCCAGUUUAAUAUCCAUCUCUCAAUAUCUUGGUAUUUUAAACUAAAGAUAUAAUUUUAUUAGUUGUGUGCAUGACAUUAUCUUAUAUAUCCAUGUAAGGUUUUUUCUAAAAUAAAUAAUUAAAAAUUUCAUUAUUUAAAAAAAUAGAAUCAAUAAUAUCUUAUUUUUAUAUAAUACCAAAAUUAACAAAUUUCUUAGCAUUUUCAUGUUCAUAAAAAAGAAAUAAAUAAGUAAAUGUGUGAAACUAAUAAAAAUAAUUGUUGAUUUAGGGUAAUUAUUUGGAAUAUAAUAAUAUUUAAACAAUGGAGCAUUAACUUAACUUACCUAUAUCAUUUUACCCAACAUAAGUUUUUUAUUAUUAUUUUAACAUACUAUCCAAUCACACUUUUUUUUGUUUAUAUCCAAAUAAUAAUUUCUUCUAUUUUACACUAUUUAAGAUGGGGUUUAGCAAAAAAUGGAUGCUGAUUUUGUUGUAUCAAAGAUUCAACAUUCUUUUGUUAAAGGCCGUUAAAUUUUGGAUGUAAAUUUGAAAGCCAAUGAAGCCAUAGAUUUUAGACUAAAGAGUUUGAGAGGAUGAGUGAUAUGUAAGUUGGAUAUUCAGAAGUCCAACAAUCAUGAGAUUUGGCAACGAGUGAAUAUGUUGGAUACAAUUCCUCAUGUCUAUUGUAACAAUUUCACUGCUUGUGAAUGACUCUCUUUUUGGUUUCUUUCAAAGUCCAAGUGGGUUGAGACAAGGGACCCUCUUAUCUCCUUCUUUGUUUGUUCUAAUUAUGAAGACUUUUAAUUGUUUUGUUACCAAGGUGACAAGAUGGGGCUUCUUUUAUGACUUUAAAGUAAGGGAAGAGGAAGAAAAUGGUAGGAAGUCUCCCAUUUACUCUUUGCAUUAUGAUAAAUUUCUUUUUUUAUUUUUUAAUUAUGGACUCGGUUUUGAUGUGUAGUCAUCUCAAAAUUGAGAAUAAGCUCAAAGAAAAGUGAAAAGUCCCCAAUAUUGAAGAAUUAACCUCUUUGUUAGGUUCUAAGGUGGUUAAGUAGCCCUCCUCCUAUCUUUUUUUUUUUUUUUUGGAUAAUCGAAGAACCUUCUAAAUGCUUAGGACUCUCCAUAGGGACCCAAACCUUUGCCCCCCCUCCCUAACAAUCGGCACUAGGUAAAUCAAAGUAUCAUCAAUAGCAAGAUUCAAAAUCAAGAUCAUAUGCCUCUUACUGGAACUACAUCUCCCAUCAUUCACCCUAACCAACUAGGCUACCUGGCGGGCUAGUUACCUUCCUUCUUAGUCUUCCUAGGUUCUCCCUUCAAAGUCUUCUACUAUGUCAAAUGUUACGAAGGAGAGGCUACUUAAAAGGUUAGCCUCAUGGAAGUGCUAUUUUUGUCUACAAAUGAAGAUUAACCCUUUUGAAAAGCAUUUUAUCCAAUGUGGCCAUUUACUAUUUGUCACUGUUUGUUAUCCCAAAAAGGUUCAUAUGAGGUUAAAAAUGAUUAAGAAAGUGUUGGUGGCAAACAAGUUUUUUAGAGAAAAAACCUUAUUUAGUCAACUCAUAUACAAUGUAUUUAGAUAAUAAAAUUAAAUUAAAAAUGGAAACGUUGAUAUAAUCAUUUUGUUCCCAAAUAUAUAAUUUAUAUUAUUAAAAUUCAAAAUAAUUAUAAAAAGGAAAAUAAUUAAAAAUAACCAAAAAUAUAUUUUUUUAAGUGAAGACACUUUUAACUUUUCUAACUGUUUUCUAACUUUCACAUAUCAAUAAUAAAUAAAUAAAUAUAUAAUUAUUUUUUACUUUUUAAUUAAAAUAAUUUUAGAAUAUUAAUUUUUAGACCCAGGGCAUGUGCAAAACAAUAUUGUUUAUGGUCAAAAUGACAAUUGAAUAGGAUGGUGCAGUCCAUCCACUCCAAUUUUUAAAACCAUGUUUUUAAACAAGGCUCCAUUGAGUAAGUAGAGUUGCAGAUUUGCCAUAUAUAGGGAUAAGCUUCAAAGACAACCAUCUUAGAUAAAUUUUUGGUGAGGAGGGAGGAUGGUAGGACUAUGGAAAGAAAUUAGGAAAUGAUGGAAGGUGUUUCAAACAAGAAGUGGCUUUUGAGCUAUCCUCUUUUUUAUUAUAUACUAACUAAACACAUUAAUUAUUCCACCAGCCCAACUCUGUGUAGGAAUCAAACUUCCCAUAUAGAACAAUUUUAGCUCACAGAAGUAGACAUCCAACAUUAGUAAGACCUUUGUAUGUCAGUACCUAGCAUUUAUAAUGCAGAACAAGAAACUACAAAACACUUCUUCCUGAGGUUGUACAAAUUUACACCUGCAUUAAAUGAACUCCUCCAAAUGGGCUACAUCAGACAUGACACAUUAUGAAUAAGGUAUGAAUAAGGCUUUACACUUAGGACCAAAUCAACAUAUAUUUAUAUUGGGCUGAUUUUGAUGCAAAUCAAAUAAAACUUUUACAUUUAGUACCAUCGUCCAACAUUAAUUCACCAUGGUCCUAGAUGGUCAUGCAUGUUUUGUUUCCCAUAUUUUUAUUAGUCGUCCAUGGAAGAACCUACAUGGGUCAUUUAGAGGGGCCCAUCACAAUAACACAGCCCAAUAAAAUUAAUGAAGUCUUAGAAACUGAUUCUAUGAUCCAUGCAUGCAACAAGCUGAGAAAAUAAUCUUUCAAGUUAAGAUUGGACAGUUGAGCUCCCUUAGAAACUCUACCACAUUUCAAAUCUCAUUUUCCCUCAUUUAUGUAUUGGCAUACACUGCCCUUUAUCUGCUCACAAAGAAUUAGAGCUUACCAAGAAAAAGUUCCCGUUCAACUCAAACAGUGUAGAGGAUUGUGAAGUAGUUCAAGGAGAGGAAGAGUGGCUGAGUGAGUUAGAACGGGAGGACAAAGCUACUCUAAAUUCCUUUUUGCCCCGUUUCAAAGCAACAUAAGAAUAAGGAGCUUAAGAAUGAUGUACAGUCUUCUAUUUUCAUGUCUAUUUGAUACUUGGAAUGUGUAUUGUUCAUUUGUGGGUUGAUUCUCUCCCCACCCUUGCAAUCCCCACACACGGACAAAACAAAGGAGAUGUAUGGUGUUAUGAGAUGUUUAUGACAAGUGUCUUGUAAUUGCGUUAUGUAUAAUGAAGUACUGAGUCUGUAUGGGGCUGUUUAAAAUUGUUGUGUUCUAAGUAUCAUUUUGAUAUGAUUUUUAUUUUAAAAAAAAUUAUAUUAAUUCCCAUAUUGAUUUUAAAUAUUAUUUCAAAAUGUUAAAUAUUUCAAAAAAUUUACAUGGUAAUUCUAAAUAUUGGUAAAAUCAGACUAUUAAUAUUUUGUACAUUUUUAAUAUUUUCAUCCUUAAUUGAAAAUAUUUUCCAAAGCAACAUAAGAAUAAGGAGCUAGGGAAUGAUUCCCAACCUUCUAUUUUCAUGCCUAUUUGAUGCUUGGAAUGUGUAUUCUUCAUUUGUGGUUAAUUGCUUUUACGUUUAUAGGAAGAAGGGCCCAAACUCCCUUUGUUGCUCCUCUAUUCAUCCUUGUAAUCCCCACGCAUGGACAAAACAAAGGAGAUGGAUGGCUUUAUAUGUAUGACAAGUGUCUUGUAAUUGUGUAUGUGGAAUAAAGUUUGAGUCGUUAUUUCAAACUAUUAUGUUGUAAGAAUUAGUUGGAAAUGAUUUUUAGUUUUAAAAAUAAAAAAUAAUGUUUCAAUUUGAAAUGUCUUUAAUGAAAGUGUUUUUAAAAGAAUUACCUAUAAAUGUUUCUCCAAAAAACAACAAGUAAUUUUUUAAUACUAUAAAUAAUUUCUUUUAAAUUUUAAAAGUAUUGUUUAAAUUUUAUCAAAUACCUAAUAUUUUUUAAAGAACAUUUUUAGGUUGACAACGUUUUUCAAAAAGCAUUGUCAAAUAGACUCUUAACUCUUAUAUUGAUUUUAAAAACUAUUUCAAAAUUUUAAAAAUUCAAAUGUAAAUUUAAAAAACAUAAUGUAAGUAUGAGUUACUAUAUUUUAUAUAAAAGUGACUAUUAAUUUCUAUUUCUAAAAAUAAAAAUAAGAAAUGAAUUCAAAUUAUUAGUACUUAAUAAUUAACUAAUUAAUUAGUGUUUGAAUACAAAAAUAUAUAUAAUAAAUUAAUAAGUUUCUUAUAUGUUUGCAAAAGUAUCUAUAUAGAGUGUUAUUUAUUGAAAAUGUAUGAUAAAUUAAUAAGAUUCUCACUUAAGUUGCAUUUUAUUUGAAUUUUAGAAAUAAUAGUUAUAAAAUUAGAAGGAAAUCAGGUUGAUAUUGUCAAAUGAUGAUGAAACAUAAUUUAGAAAUUAAAACAGGAAGAAAAAAUUAAAUAAUUGUAUAUUCUAUAUUAUAGUGGAGGCAUCAAAUAUUUGUCUAUUACCAUUAUUAUUAUUAUUAUUAUCAUUUCCACCUAAUGUAUUCAUGGAAUACACAAGAGUUGAGUCACAUAAUCACCAAAUAAAUAAUAGGACAAAGUCCAACUCUCUCAUCUUACGAUGAUAUAUAUACCUUUUUUUAUAUUAAAUGAUAAAGCUAUAUGUAAUUCUAAAAAGAAUCUUUGCAACAACAUCUUGUAUUUUUGCAUGUGGUCAAAUAAUCAUCCUCAUUAUUAUUAUUAUUUUAAUACCACAACAACUACUCUACCUAAUCAUAAAUAAUAGCAAAUGGUUGCAAGCUGUUUUCCCAAUAAAUUAAGUUUUGAAAAGAAUCAUUUCAACUACGUACUCUAACUAAUCAUCAACAAUAAGAAAUGGUUACAAGUUGUUCUCCCAAUAAAUUAAGUCUUGAAUUCUCCCAGCAAAUGAAGUUUUGAAAAGAAUCCUUUAGUUGUAUGGUACUUUACUAUCUUUAUAUGUAAGGAUAUUUGUUCUCAUAUGUAUAUAAGGAUUUUUUUUUUUAUUUAAAAGAAUCACUCAAUAUGUGUAUUAUUAAUUAGUUUAUUACUUUUUAGAAUUUUUUCUAACAUUUUUGUAAUUUUUUAAUCAAUUUUUAUCCCAUAUUUUUUUUCUUCAAAUUUUUGUAUAAUAUUUAUAAUAAUUUUAUAAAAUUUGAAUAUUGAUAUUUUGUAAAUUUUUUACAUGUUCAUCCAAAAUCUUUUUAAAUUAUAUGCCUUUAAAAUAUAUUAAAAGUGUAAAGCACGUAACCAAAGGUAAGAAAUAUUUGAAAAUUAAGGUCGAUUAUGGUACCUAUAAUAUUUUAGUCACAAAUGCUUCUAUAAAAAACUUUUGUAGAUCAUAUUAAAAUAAAAUAUUAAGGAAGUGUUAGGAAGAUGCGAAGAUGUAAAAUAAAUUAAUAAGAUUAAGUAGCAUUUUAAUUGAAUAACUAAGACAGCGAGGAUAAAAAUAAGAAGAAAAAACAAACUUGUAUACGUCUUAGUAACACUAGAGAAACACGAUUUAGAAAAUAGAAUAAAAAAAUUGGAUAAUUUAUUAUCAACUUUGAUCAUUCCUAGGCUAUUUAUCAUAAUUUAUUCAUUAAAUAUUAUACAACAGCGGAGUCAUAGAAACCAUAUUGGCUAAAUAAUUAAAUUAAGUGAACUCUCUCUUAUCUUCUAUCAUGGUCUACUUAGAUAAAGCCUAGAAUAGUAAACAAGGAAUUUGAUGGCAUCUUUUCUUCUUUCAUAUGGCCAACUUCUCUAACUAUUAUUUUAAUCCCACAACUUCUCUAACUAAUCAUAAAUAACAAUUAUCAUUUCUAUCAAUGUUUGUUAUUUCCACUUAAUUUAUUCAUUGAUUCAUUGAAUAUACAAGGGUUGAGUCACAAUCCAUAGGGGUGAAAUAAUUGAAUGAAGUCACUCCCCCUUAUGCUUUUUCAUGAUAUACUUAUUUAUUAGAUGAUACAACUGUAAUAAUAGAAAAAAAAAAUUUGCAAUAGCAUCUUGUCUUCUUUCAUAUGGCCAAAUAGUCCUCGUUAAUAUUAUAAUACCACAUCAACGAGCUUAGAACAACAAAGAUACCCAAUAUAUUCUCAUUAAUAAUCAGUUGUAUUGUCAAGUAAUUUUUAAUUUAACUAUCAAGGUGUAAUUGAAAUAAUUUACCAAUUUUUUUCCAGGUUUUAGAUGAUUAUGGAUCAUAAUUCUUAUACUUUAAUUUUAAAUUUUCAUAAUUGGACUAGUUUUUCCACCAAAAAACCUUGAGUGGACAAUAAAUUAUAAUUAAAUGCAAAAUAUUUUUAUAAACAAAUAAUUAAAAAUCAUGAUUAAAAAUAGAAUAAAUAAUGCCUUCUUUUCAUAUGUUACUUGAAUUAACUAAUUUCUUAACAAUUUUAUAGUUAUAGAAAAUAAAUAAAUAAAGACGUAAAUCUAAGGAGACCGGAUGUAGGAAAUCUUAAUCAUAAGAACAUUCUUCUCUAUUAUGGUAAUUAUAUUACGAAAUAUGAAUUUCAUUACCGAGUCUACCCAUAUCAAUGGUAAUUCUUGAUAUUUAUAGUAUUUUAUGAUAACACAAUUAAUGUUUAAAUAUCAAUUAAAAAAAUUAAAAUUGGUUAAAAUGUUUGGGCUUAAUAUUAGGCCUCCAUUAUGAAUUGGUUUUCCUAAUUUGCCUAAACCUCGUUGUUUAGGACAAGAUAAAAAAAAAACUCAAAAUAAAAAAUUUGGAUCAAGACAAACAUUCAAACAUCCUUGUUGGCAUUUAAAUGUUGGGACUUUUAAAUUUGUUUCCUACUUUCUUUUUAACUCAAAAAUCUCAUUUUAAAAAUAUUUUAAAAUUAAGAAACUCUUUACAAUUGUUUGUUAGGGUUUUUCUAAUAUAAAAGAGUUUUUUGUUUGAUUGAAAUUUUGAGAACUUCCAAAAACUCUAGAGAAUAUAAUCAUUCUUAAAGGUUGUAACUCCAAUUUUUGAACCUUUUAAGAUAUUUCUUGAAAGAACCUUUUGUCUAUAAUAAGGGUUCAAGACUCAUACAACAAAAUUUCAAUAAGGGAUUCAAGAGAUCUACUAAAGAGCACAGGGAGUAACGCGUGAGGAAUGUGGAAAAGGAAUGUAAGUACUAUUGGUAUAAGACUUCCUAGAAUAGGUACAUUCAAUCAAGUAAAAAUAUAUAUUAUUUUCUCAUAUUUAGUAGAUUAUUUAACAGCUGAGAGACCACCAACAAUUUUUUACAUUUAGGUCACUAGUUUGGUUUUUUCAUAUUAUAUCCCAUGUUUAUUAUGUGAUUGGAAAUCUAUAGGAUUUAUCAAAUUUUACUUAAUAUCAAAAUUAUUUAACAGUUAAGAAACCAUCCACGAUUUUUUACAUUUACCCUACUAAUUGGUUUUUCCAUAUUAUAUCUUGUGUUUAUUAUGUGAUUGGAAAUCUAUGGGAUUCAUCAAAUUUUACUCAAUAUUGAUAUUAUUGAUAAAGAACACCAAAUUUAGGGUCGAUUACUUCAACUACCUAUUAAUCCCUUCGAGGCAAUUUUAUAUAUUAAGACAUAACAAUUCUUUCAUUAUUAUUCAUAUGAAAGGGUGAAUCAUGCAAAAUAUAUUUCUCUCAAAAGUUAAAUAGUAGCUAUGACUUAAAAUAGAAUAAUUCCCUCAUUUUAUAUAAUACAUAAAUUAAUUAAUUUAUAGUUACUUUCAUAUUUGAACAAAAGUUCUAAAGUAUUAACAUUAAAUAUUUAAAUGAGAAAUGAUAGGAAAUUAUGGUUUUCUCUUGAAAUUCUCUGUUAUGUCCCAAUCUAAGUUUCAUCAUGGCCAACUUUAAGAAGAAGAAGCUACAAUUCAUUUUGGGUUAGUUACCAUGAAGGUAAUAAAUAUUACACCCAAUUAUUAAGAAAAAAAUAUACUAAUUUCAUAACCAUGGACCUUUAAUAUAUAUGACACCUUUAAAAAGUGUAAUUUUUCUUGAUAAAACUCUAAAAAUGAUAGUAUAUUUAUUUUUUAGGCCAUCUAAUUAUUUGGAAGAAUGGCCAAUACUUAAACUAAAAAUUUCUAGCUUUGUUCCAACUAUAAUUGAUGAAAUUUAUGGAGAAAAAAAAAGCAAAACUAAGAAGACAAUAGUGUUGGAAUAAAAUUAAAAAAAAAAAAAAAAACUUAGGAACAAUUACAAAAAUCAUCCAUACUUUCAUUUAUAUAUCAGUUUAGUCUUUUUAACUUUUUUAAUGUAUAAUAUCAAUCAUAAAUUAUAUCCAAAUGUCAAAUAAGGCCUUUUGCUAAUAAGCAAAUAAAUAUUGGUAUUAGUUUUUAUAUCAUAUAUUUGGAUAUUUUCAAUUUAUCUACAUACUUUUCAUGAGACUUUUUUUCUUUUACAAAAAAUAUUAAUCAAAAUGUCAAGGUAUAAUUUAAGAUUAAUGUUACUUAAAAAAUAAAAUUUAGACACUAAAUUGAGAUAGUGGUAAAAAUUUUAAAAAUGAUUUUUUGUAAUUUUCUCUAACGUCUCUCUGUGCCUUUUUUGCUUUUUUUCCCAUUCAAUGCCCUCCACUCUUCUCCACCGCUACGGCUCCUUCUCAGGCCUGCUUUGAUCAAAUCAAAAGUCCUCAAACUGAUCCAAGCUGUAUUUAGGCAUUGUCUUGUAGCUCUAAAAAUUGAAAAGCCUAGUCGAAUUCCUUUUUAAAAUCUUUAUUAAAAAUCCCAAAAUUAAUUAUUAAGUUCUAUAUUAAAUUAAUCAUUUGGAAUUGUAUUGCCAUAGUAGUUAUUGUAAUAUCAUGAAAGGGUAAAGAAAAAGACAAAGAAAGCAAUGGAGUUCAAAACAACAAUGGAUGGAGCAAGAUUGAGGCAAAUUAGCUUUAGCCUAGGGUCCCAUGUGCCCCAUCUCCCUCAAACAAAUCCAACUUUACUAAUUCCACCCUCAACAAAUUGUUACAAAUAAAAACGCUUUAAUAGAACUCCCAAAACGAGUUCCAAGUCACUAAAAUGUUUUUCUUCGAUAUUUCAUAUAUAUCACCAAAAAAAAAUGAAUUACAACACUAUGGAAUAAUCUUCAAAAUAAUUUUAGUUGACUCAUUUCAUUUGGAUCUUGCAAUCUUAUACUCUAACAAUGCUCAUUCAUCAAUUUCAUUAGUAAAAAUAUUAUUAAAAUUAAUAAUUAUUAAAAAAAUUAAAUUAAUGACCUUUUUCAAAAGUCAUAUCUAUUUAGUACAAUAAAAUAAAACUUUCCUAUAUUAUGGUAGAAGAUGGUGGAGUACCAUCCAAAGAGAAAAGAAUUAAUUAUAAAAAUAAAAUAAAAUAAAAUAAAAUUAUAAAAACACUCCAAAUAAAAUUAGGUAAAACUUUAUAUAGAAGAGAAAAAUUAAGAUAGAUAGAUUUGAAGUAGCAAAUAAAAAAACAAUUAUUCAUUUUAAAUAUAGUUUUCAUUUUAUUUUAUUUUUCCAUUUUUUAUCGUAUAUUUUCUUCAAAAUUUAGGGAAAUCAAGAAGGGCUAUGAAAACGGAUGAGUGAUGUAAAAAGGGGAGAUGGAUCUAAUCGGGUAAUAAAUGAAGUGUUUGGAUAUUAGAAGAUAUAGAGUUUAGGCUUUUAUUAGUAAUAUUUCUAUGAAAAAGCAAAAAAAUUAUUAACCUUUUUUAAAACUUUUUUUUCAAAAUUUUGAAAUUUUUGAGAAAGUAAAAUUUUUUUAAUCUUUAAAUUUUAAGAAAUUUAAAAAGUGUUUUCAAGUAUAAAAAAUAUAUACUUACUUUUGUAUAAGAAUUUCUAUAUUUUAUUUUAUUUUAAAAACAAAGUUGAAAAAUGUAUCCAAACAUAUACUAACUAAUUAUCUUGAAAAAUGUUUUUAAUGGAAGGGUACUAACAAAAAAGCUGCAAAUAAAAACACUUUAAAUAAAAUCACUCUCAAACAAAUUCUAAGUUAUAAUAAAUAUUUUUCAUCAAUAUUUCAGAUCACCAAAAGAAAUAAAGGACUACAACAUUAAGGAAGAAGCUUCAAAAUUAUUUUAAUUUAAACUUAUUUCAUUUGUAAUCUUGCAAUCUCACGCCCUAAAUAUUCCCAUUCAUCAAUUUCAUUGGUAAAAUUUCAUUAGAAUUAAUAAUUAUUAAAAAUAAAUAAAUAAAAAAUCCCUUUAAAAAAUCAUAUCCAUUUAAUCACAACAAAAUAAAACUUUCUUGUUAUCAUGGUAAAGUAAGUCCAAGAGAGAAAAGAAUUGGUUUUAAUAAAUAAAAAGAAAAACAAAACUUUGAAAAUUUUCAAAUAUUCCAAAAUUUCUAAAAAAGUUCCACAAUCAAAGUUUUGUGAUCCCAAAAGAAGGAAAGACUUUACAAGUUAUCGACAAUUUCAAAUUUUCAAUUGGAGUUGUAAUAAAAUUUAAAUUAGAUUACAAAUCACAAUUUCAAUUAAUCUCAUUUCUUGUUAAUUCAAAUAGCAAGAAGAAAGUUGAAUAAAUUAAGGACCACUAGUCUCUCUUUAUCAGAAAUGUCUUCAAGCUUUUAAUGCCUUCACAUAUCCUUUUCAAUUUGAAUGCUACUACCUACCUAAUAAUAGUGGUCAAAAUUUUAAAGCAUUCACGUAUCAUUUUCAACUUGAGUACUAUUGUCCCCCUAAUAAUUGAAAUGUCAUUUUCUAAAAGUUUUCUCACUUCUUUUACAACCAUUAGUCGUCUAAACAUUUCAACCUUAUAAUAGGGCAUAUUCUACUUGAUAAUACUUAUUUUUUGUCUAAACAUUUCAACCUUAGGAUAAGGUAUAUUCUACUUGAUAAUACUUGUGUUACUAAUGAGAAGGUAUUCAAUACAUCUAUUCUAUCAUAUUAGUAUGAUAAUAUAGUAUAAAUGUCUAUUCAUAUUUAUCAAAUAAGGAAGGAAAAAGAAGUUAUUUAGAUUUGAAAAUAAUUAAUAAAAGUUUUAAAUUAUUAGAAAAAUGAAUUAUAAAUUUUUUUUUAAUAAAAUAACUUAAAUAUCAUUUAAUAUCGAAAAUAUAAAUAAAUUAUUAUGCUACAUUAGUAAGCAUUAUUAUAAUCGAGUGCAUUGGCAAGUAAUUUUCAAUUUGACCAUCAAGGUGUAAUUGCAAAAAAAAAAUUAUAAAAAAAAAAAUGAAAAGAGUGAAAAGAGAAAGUUAGGAAGAAAAGGGAAGGGAAAAAAGAAGGAAAAUGAGGAUUUUUGUUAUAGAAGACUUGAGAGGAAUCUAAGAGAGAUGCAACAUUUUUUUUUGUUUGUUUAUUUAUUUAUAUUUUUUCUUAUUUAUUCGUUUUUGUUUUUUUGUAUUAUAAUUAAACUGGAGAAUGUGUUUAGUUUAUAUAAACGAGAUUAGACUUUUCUAAUUUAGAAAAUUAUUUCUAGUACCAUAAAUUUUUUUAGAUCCAAAUAUUGUUACUUUAUUUUUUGAUAUAUUUAUUAUAUAUAUAUAUAUAUAUUAAGAAGUUUUUUUAUAAUUAAUUUUCUGUUAUCAUAUAAAUUGAGUCAUUGCUAUAUAUUAAUAUGAAUAAAAAUUGUAAAAUCAUUUUUCUUGACUAAUCUUGUAAAAUUAUGUAAAUUGAUAUUAUUUCUCAUAAUAAUUGUCAAUAAAAUCAAAGAACCAUUUUUUAUGUUUUUAUUUUAACAUUAAUAAAGUCAAUAAUCAUUUUUAAAUAAAUUUUGUGAGGUUGUAUGAAUUGAGGUUUCUUUUGUAUAUUUACAUUAAUAAAAAAAAAUCGUUUCUUUUGAAUUAUUAUUGUGAGACCACAUACAUUGUAUGUGGCAUCAAUGAAAUAAGGAAAAUCAUUUACUUAACAAGGUUCAUUUUUUACUAUUAAUUUUUCCCUUUAUCCAUGUAUCAACUUUCCAUAUGUUUAUACUUCUUCAUUUUGUGUCUGAUUUAUUAUUUAAUUAAUUCUUUUAAUUUCAAUCAUUCUACUAAAAAUAAUAUAAAAAGCCACUGACGGAGUUAGAAAAUUGAGCAGUCAAGAUGUUGGUAUUUAUUGGAGUGUAGGUAAAUAAGAAACAAAUUACCUUUGUGGGCUACUAGUAGUAAUUGAAUUCAUGUUUUGUCUAAAGAAAGGAAUCAAAUUUCUCUUUCUGCAAAAAUUUUAGGGGAGCACUUGCCCUAGUCAUGGGAAACCUUUAACUGGGGCACCUUAGCUAAGGUCCCAUUUGGUGCCCCAUCUCUCUUCAUCAGACACAACCUUUAAUAAUUGUAAUGGGUACUAACUAGAUGAUUCCACCAAAUAAUUUUUCAUACAUAUUAUCAGCUCACUUUUUUGUUUAAAUAAAAUAAUAAGUGAUUCUAUUUAAAAACAUUUCUAAUAUAACCAUUAUUAACAAAAUAAACCAAAAGCGUUUGAAUCAAAAUUAGUCUUAAAUAGACUCCUAUGAAGAAGUUGAAGAAGUUGUCUUCAAGUACUAAUAACUCCUAUGAACAUACUUGUAAUUUGAAAACCUUAAGAGUCAUGAAUGAGUUAAAUUGAGAAGAUUAAGAGUGUAUUUGGGUGCAACAAAUCUCGACUUUCUUAGCAUUAAAGUCCUACUGGGUAAACUUAAGGCCAUGCUACCACAGAGAGGCAAGGGAUUUGACCCCAAAAUGUACAAUUUUUCUUUGUUAUAUCAAUACAAACAACCAUCUGUCCAUUAAUUUUAAUUUAAGUGAAAUCGUUUUACUCCAGAAAUCAGAAGUUGCAAUGGAAGGCGUUCAUAAUUUUGGGUUGGACAAAACGUGCUUACUGGGGGUAGUGGACAAUAAAGAAGCGAAUAGAGGUGGUAGGGGCCUAUCAUCCAGCUGGACUCUCAAAUGCAAAAAUGGAGAUUCGUUUGUCCCAACUCUUCUCCACUACUACGGCUCCACAGCACUCCUUCUUAGGACUAAUAUAAACUCAAAAGUUUGCAUUAGGUUCUAAUUUUAAAAUUUUGAGGAAGUGAAAAUUUUUCUACUUUCUUAAAAUUUAGAAAUUUUAAAAAUGUGUUGUUAAAUAUAGAAUAUACCUAUUAUAAUUCUUAUAUUUCAUAUAAGAUUUUCUAUUUUUUAAAACAAAACUGAAAAAUGUAUUAAAAUACAGACUAAGUGUUUCUCUUUAAAAAUAUUUUUAAUGAAAACACAAUUAAAAAAAAUGUUGCAAAUAAAAAUGCAUUAAUAUAAUUCCGUUCUAAUUCAUUCAAAUAUUUUUCUUGGAUAUUUCAUAUAUCUCACCAAAAGAAUAUGGAUUACAAUAUUAUCGAAGAAUCUUAAAAAUAAUUUUAGUUGAUUGAUUUCAUUUAGGUCUUGUAAUCCUAUACUCUAACUUUACUCAUUCAUCAAUUUCAUUGAUAAAAUAUUAUUAAAAUUAAUAAUUAUUUAAAAAAAAUUAAAUUAAUAACCUUUUUCAAAAACCAUAUCUAUUUAGUACAAUAAAAUAAAACUUUCCUAUAUUAUGGUAGAAGAUGGUAGUGUAUCGUCUAAAGAUAAAAGAAUUGAUCAUAAAAAUAAAAUAAAAUAAUAUAAAAACACUCCAAAUAAAAUUAGGAAAAACUUUAUAUAGGAGAGGAAAAUUAAGUUAAAUAAAUUUGAAGUAAUAAAUAAAAGAAAAAUUAUUCAUUUUAAAUAUAAUUAUUUUUUUUCUUUUACCCUUUCUUUCUAAUUUUUUUCCCUUAUAUUUUCCUCAAAAUUUAUAGAAGCCAAGAGGGCCUAUGCAAGUGGAGAAAUGAUGUAAAAAGGGAAGAUGGAUCUAAUCAGACAAUAAAGGAAGUAUUUGGAUAUUAGAAGUUCUAAAGUUUAGGCUUUAUUAGUAAUAUUUUUAUGAAAAAACAAAAAAUUUAUCUUGCUUUUUCUAAAACUUUUUUUUCAAAAUUUUGAAAAUUUUGAGAAAGUAAAAUUUUUUUAAUCCUUCAAUUUUAAGUAUUUUAAAAAGUGUUUUCAAGUAUAUAUAUAUAUAUAUAUAUAUAUAUAUAGACACCUAGGACAAGGUCAUAUGCAAUGAAAACAGGAAUUAUGUCAUGAUUCAAAACAAAGAAGAGGGUUAGAAAAUACAAAAGAUAUCCAACAAAGAAAUUUAAAGAGAAGAAACCAAAAACUUGUUAGUUCAUAAUAAGCUUAAAACCGACCAUGUAGGCGGUAUAAAAUGAAAAACAUAAACUUAAAAACAAAGCUUAAUUAAAACCGACUAUGUAGGCGGUACAAGAACAUAAAAUAAAAUGAAAAACAAAACUUAAUUAAAACCAUCCAUGUAGGAGGCAUAAGAACAUAAAAUAAAAACAAAACCAUCCAUAUAGGAGGUAAUCAAAACAUACUUAUAUUAUACAUAAGGAGAAAUAUCUUACAAUGGACAAGGGUAGGAAAGCUUGAAGAAAGCUUGAAAGCUUGAAGGGCAUACAUGAUGAGAGAGAAAGAAGAGAGAAGGGAGAGCAUAAGCUUAGGAGAGAAAAUUUUAGUGUUUUUUACAAAUGAGGACCGAGCCUCUUUAAAUAGGCAAAAAAGGAAUCUUGAAUAGUAACCAUGAAUAGUAGACCCGUGCUUGAAUAAUGAAUAGUGAACAGUGAAUAGUAAGAUUCACUUUUAUACCGAAAUCCCCCAAAAACUCUCUUUCGGCUGAGAAGACUUCUGGCAGGCUGCUUUAUACUGUGUAGACACAUGUUUGCUGCUUUUGGUGCAGAAAAUGCUGGAAAAGCUUGUUGAAGAGGAUAAACUUGCAGGCUGAGAAUCAUGAAGCUUUGUAAUUUCUUAUUGGUGGAAGAAUACCUUCACAGUCGUCGCCAUUGUCGGGAAGGUAGCUUGUGGAAUCAUCAGAGUCUGCAUAUGAGUUGUCUUGAGAAAAGCUUGAGCUUCCUUCUUCCAAGAUUUUCUGGAAUUCUUGAGGAGUUUUUGCUGCUGCUAACAUGGCUUGGAGCUGUUGCUUUUUAAGCAAAAACUGAGAUGUUUCAUCAUUAGCUGAGGCUUGUGUGGGAUGCUUGAGGAAGUACUGCUUAACAACAUUGAGUGAUGCAUCAUUUUUUAAGGCAUCCCACCAUUUUGUUUUAAAAGUCCUUCCAAGGGUUGGAAAGGCUGUUGAAUCAUCUGCUAUGAUUAAAUAAUCCCACUGGACAAUCCAAGCGAGGCCAAAAUUGCUGAAGAAGAAUAAUAAAUGUGGAAAAGCUGAAAGUUCUCUUGGAAUAACAAAAGAACUAUUGAAUAGCUCAAAGCCAUCCAAUACAGGCUUAGGGAGGAUUUUAGUAGAUGGUCCAAAAUAGGUCCACCAAUUGUGAAACCAAAAAAGGAAAGAAGAAAGCUGGUUCUUGGAAGGAAAAUAGAACAUCCAUGAAUGAUGGAAGUCCCUAUUCUGGAUCAGAAAAGCAUUAAACCAUGCUUUCUGAUAAUCCCAAUAAUUAAAAAAUCUUGGCUUAGAUGGUUCAGAAAACUCCCUUGAAAGAUUGGGAUUCCCCCCCCCCCCCCCCNNNNNNNNNNNNNNNNNNNNNNNNNNNNNNNNNNNNNNNNNNNNNNNNNNNNNNNNNNNNNNNNNNNNNNNNNNNNNNNNNNNNNNNNNNNNNNNNNNNNNNNCCCCCCCCCCCCCCCCCAUUGCUUGACAGUUAGGAUCUUAUAGAUAUGACAAGUGGAAAAUGCCAAAUCUAAAUUGCUGAAUUUAUCUGCAUUAUGCUUGAUCUUAACAGAACCAGUUUCAAUAAGAACUGCUUCAUAAAAUUCUCUUGUUUUUAAAAGAUCGGCAGAGGGAUAGUGGAAAUUUUUAUAAAAAGCUUUUGCCACAAUCUCUCUGGGGUUUUCAGAAAAAAAAACUCUCUUUCAAUAACAAAAAGAGGUUGAUUUAAAUCUUUUUGCCAAUAUCUUGAUUUUGUUGAAAGAGAUGUGGGGUUGGCAGCCACCACAAUUUGUUUGCUUGAAAAAGAGGAGCUUGCUGCUAAUUCCUUUUGAGAGGGAUUAGCCAUAGUGACCUGCUUAAAGGUCUGAGACCCUGAGAUAGCUGGAUAUUGGGUUGCCUUAACUGGUUUAGAAGGAUCCGAAGGAUCAUAGUAUAAGGUCAACAUCUUGUUAGGCAUAUAGUUAGAUUCAUGCAUAGAUUUAGAAGAAUGAAGCUUUGCCAAAAACCGUGCUUCUUCUUCUUCUUGUUCAACUUGUUGGCUCCAAAGCAUUUUAUGAGGAGAAGGGGAUUGGUUAGUUUGACUGGACUGGGAUUUUUGUGAGCUAGGAGCUGGGGCAUUCUUUUUAGGGGCCAUGAUCUCAUGAACCCUGCAAAAUUCUCGAGAUAGCUGAUUAGGGAUGAAAUAUUCUCCUUUAAUAAAAUUACCUUGAAAAUUAGCUUUUAAAAUAAUUUACCAGUUAAUUAAAUCAUACCUAAAAGCUAUGUAUUUAAUUGUUCCAACAUUUUUGAAAACAAUUUUUAAUAAAAAUUCUUGAUUCAAAAUACCAAUUUGAAAAUUUGAAAUGAGUAAAGAAAUGCUUAAAAUAUCAUUAUGCAUGAACUGGUUGCAUAUUAUCUUAUGAGGAACAUCUAAUCCAACAAGAUUAAUUUCUUGGUUACAAGGCGUGAUGCUUACAGUUGGAUUAGCAAAUUCAAAAAGAAUUUCCUUAUCAAAAAGCUUGGUUCUUAUACCUUGGUUAUCUACCCACAAGGGAUAAAUAGAGCUAAGAAGGGUAUUCCUAGAAGGGCUUUUUCCUUAAGAUCCUUAACAAGGAUAAAGGUUUGCUUAAUACAGAUGUCAUGGUUACGGAUAUGAACAUCUGUUAAUUUAUACUUAAUAGCAAGUCUUUUGCCAUUGGCUCCAAAUAGAGACUGACUAGUCUCUUUGCAUAAAGAAAUAGGUACAAGACCUUCUUGAAGGCAAUUUUCAGCUGCUCCUAAAUCAAUCAAAGCAAUAAUAUCAAAGACAAAUUUAUCUUUGACUACUAUAGUAAGGGAGACUUCCCACCUCUGUAAGAUAACCCUACUCACAGUAUUCAAAAAAGUAUCCGUCUCAUUAUCAUUAACAUGAGAAGAUUCUGGAAUAUCCAUAUGGAUUUCUUGGUUGCCAAUUCUAUUGAUUUGAUCUUGGAGAUCAGAGAGACCUAGACUUAUGAAUUGUCUUAACUCCUUAAUCUCCUUUUUAUGCUGCUUAACUUCUUCAUGAAGUUCCUUAAUGCUGACUUCCUUGGGAGACUGUUGGUCAAACCUGUUUAAGAUAUCAUUAAGGUUAUAAGGAUUAACAGUCUUCUUGGCUUCUACCUUAACAACAGAUUUCUUAAAAACUUCAUAAAGAUUUUGCUUAGUCUUUUCAUCUUAACCUUUUCUUAAAGUAUCUAGGAUAAAUUCCUGAUCUUGGCUUAUGACAUUUAUAGUUUUAGGAUGGCAAUUACAAUUACCUUUAAUACAUUCUGCUUGGUCACUAGAAGAUUGGCUGGAAACUUCACCACUACUGUCUAGUUGAUUAAUGUCAUCUUCAUUAUCUGAAUCAGUCCUUGAUUCAGAAUCUGAGGAGUUUAACAUUACCUUACAAAGCAUAUUUUUUAGGUCAUCUGAAACACUUAAGUUAUUAAUCUUUUGCUUAACUCUACAAUCUUUCUUAUAAUGACCAACUUUGCCACAUUUAAAACAGAUAAUUGGCUUGACAUCUAAAGGAGUUUCUACCUUUUUCUGGGUAUCUUUGUUGACCCUUCUUUGGACGUGCCUUGACUGAUUAGUAUCAUUCAUCCUAUAGUUGUCAUAGGUACCUCUCUUACUGUGGUAAAACUUAUCUUUGCUAGGCUUCCUGCUUGGUUUUUGCUUAGAGGGAGGCAUAGUUUCCUUUUGGCUGAAACCAAACUGGCUACAGAAUGAUCCAAAUUCAUUCUUGUAGAUUUUUUGUUCAUUCUUCAUCUGUUGCUUAAGCUUGAAGUCAUUGCACAACUUAAUCCCUUCAGCUGUGACAAUGCUUAUAAUCUCACCAUAGGUUAGCUUGUCAUAAGGGAUUUGACCAUUAUAUUGUUCCCUUAUCUUGAUCCUAAUUCUCUCAGAGAAAAGCUUGGGCAAUCCUGAGAUGAAUUUUUCUUUCCAAAAAGACUGGUUACAAUCUGAUCUUAACAUGACUUUGGUUAGGAAGACUUCCUUAUACCACCUAAAAUCAUGAAGCUUGGGACACUUAAGGUUGGUUAAGAGAUCUGCAGUUUUAUCCUUAAUUUUUGCAGGAUCUCCAAUGAAGUGCUUGGAUAUUGAGUAGAUUAGAGUAGCCACUGCAUCCUCUAUAUCUUGGCCAUCUUUGUCCUUAACAACUUCAUUAUUCUCAUUAAUCCUAUAGGCUUUAAGGAUACUAUUCCUAUCAUCAAAAGUGAGAUAAUUAUCCCACCAACCCUUAAGCUGACCUGUAAACCCAGCAACAAUGGUCUGAGCUACAACAUGAUCUGGCAGUCUAUUGUUUAAUUUAUAGGCUGUACUAACCAUGGUCAUUUCUUGAAGCUUAGUGAGUAUGUUAUACUCGGUCAUACCGUCUAUGUUCCAUUCAUAGAUAGUACCACUGGUGUAUGAGGCUUGAGUAUACUGAUUUCUUUCCUCAAACUGCAUGUCAGGAAAAAUAGGUCUAGGAUAGUAAUUCCUAGUCUUAAAGGUUUCGAAAUUGUUAAUAAUUUGAUCAUGGGGUUCCUCAAACAUCUUAAUUAGUUCAUCAGCUUCUUCUUCUGAACUAAUAUCACCUUUAACCAUAUUGAUUCUCUUAUCAGGCUGAACAGUCAAAGGGGCAACAAGAUUAUCCUUAAUCUUCUGAUUAAUCCUAUCAAUAAAAGCUUGGUUGAAUUGGGGAUUUUCUUAGAAAUCCUUAGAGAAUUCAUAUGGCUUAUUUUCAUUAUUACUACUGGUAACCUUUAUACGCUUAAAGGGAUAAUCUGGAUAUUCCUCUUGUUUGAAGAGUUCAAACCAAAUCCAAAACUUAAUAUUUUUCUUUUCUUGUCUUAGGUAGGCAUAGAAUUCUUCUUGGUAAAUGGUUCUAAUGACUUUAGGGAUAGUGCUAAAGAACCAAUCAUUUCUUUGCUUAUUGACUUCAGAAUAGAAGUCCUUUCUUAAGAGAUCCUUGUUGAUCUCAAAGUCCUCAUCACUUAGGCUUAUUGUGUUAAUCAUCUGGGAAUAGGUAGGAGACAUAACAGGGGACUCAUCUUGUUGGGAUUCCUGAGUAGACUCAUUUUCUUCACUGUAAAAUGGUCUAGCCACGUUGGUGUGAUUUCUAAUACCUGUUAGCUUAAUGUUCUUAGGAUUUCCUGAGCUGUAACCUUCUUCUUCCCUAGUAGUUCUAACUGGGAUGGAAGAGCUUGAAGCUCUAGAGGGUUCAUAAACAGAAACUCUAGGGCUGCUGGAGUGUCUGAAAGAUUUGGAGAAGACCAGUUCUCCUCCUCCAUCUGGAUAUUGAACUAUUUGUUCAAUACUUUCAGAACGCUGUGCUAUGGCUGGAACAGCAUUAGAAAAAUGCCAAUUUUCAGGGAAAUCAACAUCUUUCCACAAGAUCUUCUUGGGGAUGAUGAAAUCUGACUUAUCUAGCAUAUCUGAGUGAAAAUAGGUGGUCUCACCUUUAGGACUGGUACAAAGAGCCCCAGAUCCAACGCUUGUGUUCAUGCUCUUAUAGGCAAACCUGGUUAUGAUAGAAACAGGAUUGUUUCCUGGUUUGAUCUUAAAGCCAUGGGUCUUAAUAUGCAGGACAACGGAAUCUAAGAUGUCUGCAUCUCUUAUUCUAACUGUGAAGUUAGGAUAGCACUGGAAAUAGACUGGGCCAUCAUUCAGUCCAGCUUGGACUACGCCUAUAAUAGAAUCUCGAUAUUCGAGAUGUCUAUUAUCCCUUAAACACAUGACAAUAGAGGUGUUUAAACCUAAUCUUGUCAAAGGCUUAGCUGCUACUUGAAUCAUACCAAAGUGUAUGAAAUUAUAGCCAUCUUUCUUAUGCUUAUCAAUGGAUCUGUUAUCUAGAAGUCUUAUGACUUGGUCGUCUUGUUCUAAGCUGACUGACAUUUCAGAGGUCUUAAUGGUAUAAUAUGUGAAGAACUUAAAGGUUCAUUUCUUAUAAAUUUCUUGAUUAGACACCUUGGGUAACAUCCAAUCAUCUAAAUCAUUUUGGAUCUUAGGAUAAUUGAUCUCUUCACUGUUUACAACAGUAUCUUGAGAAUCACUGGAUCUCCUAGACAUGGUUCGGAAAAUUGAACUCAUUUUAGGGUUUUUGAACUAGAGCCUAAUAGCAGAUUGACAGACCUUAUGAGACGUCACCCCAACCCUCUUACAGCCUAACAAACGCCUAUCCACGGCUAACAACGGCUCAACCGGCAGGGCUCGCGCUCCCAGGCACACUGCUACCUAUCCUAGGAUAGGCCAAGAACACCCAAAACAAGACCCAACUUCCCUCGCACAUGGCUCUGAUACCAUAGACACCCAGGACAAGGUCAUGUGCAAUGAACAAAUGAAUUAUGCCAUGAUUCAAAACAAAGAAGAGGGUUAGAAAUCAAACAAGAUAUCCAACAAGAAAUUUAAAGAAAAUGAACCAAAAACUUGUUAGUUCAUAAUAAGCUUAAAACCGACCAUGUAGGCGGUACAAAAUAAAAAACAUAAACUUAAAAAUUUUAAUUAAAACCGACCAUGUAGGCUGUAUAAGAACAUAAAAUAAAAUGAAAAACAAAACAUAAUUAAAAACCAUCCAUAUAGGAGGUAAUCAAAACAUACUUAUAUUAUACAUAAGGAGAAAUAUCUUACAAUGGACAGGGGUAGGAAAGCUUGAAGGGUUUACAUGAUGAGAGAGAAAGAAGAGAGUAGGUAGAGCUUCAGCUUAGGAGAGAAAAUUCAAGUGUUCUUACAAAUGAGGACCUUGCCUCCUUAAAUAGGCAAAAAAAGAAUCUUGAAUAGUAAUCAUGAACAGUAGACCCGUGCUUGAAUAGUGAAUAGUGAAUAGUGAAUAGUAAGAUUCACUUUUAUACCGAAAACCCCCAAAAACCCUUUUUCGGCUAAGAAGACUUCUGGCAGGUUGCUUUAUACUGUGUAGACGAAUGCUUGCUGCUUUUGGUACAGAAACUACAAAGCUUGUAAAAUAUUCUUGUUGACCGGUCAUCAUGAGAAAUCCUUACGAUGAUCUUCAAGAAGCUUAAUAUCUUCAGUACUAGCCAUGGUUGGAAGAGGGUGUAACUUCUUGCCACAGAAAAUUAGAUGACAAGAAUCUGCAGCAAUAAGAUGUCCCAUAUUUCUUGGAAAAGCCUCAAAAUCCCUGCAAAUAAUUCUGGCUCUCCAGUGUUUGAUUUGCUUAAUAAUGGAUUCAGCACAAAUAUCAGAAAAUAACAGAGGGUAAGACAGCCGAGUAGGUCUCCUAUUCAGAUAGUGAAGAGAAACAAUUUGUUGACCUGGAAUAAGCUUGCCACUAGAAACCCACUCAGGAGUUUUGCUGAUGAUGAUGGCUUCUGCGAAUUUCUUAUUUAUUUUAAAUCCUUGGGUUAGGCUAAGAGCAAUUUUUCUUCCAAACUGGGAAACUUGGUUGGGAUCAGAACAGAUGAUUUGAUGGACUAGACCAUGGUCCAGAAGCUUUUCUGGAGUUAAUAAUAAAUCUUCACCCUUGAAUUGAUGCUGAUUGGUGAAUAGUAUUGCAAGUCCAAGCAAACACGACUGAUUGUGAAAUUUCUGUUGCAGUUGCAAAUCAACUUCUUGAUGCCUUUUUGGUACUGGAAAGGUUCUUCAAUUAUUCUGCAAAUUUUUGAAUCAUCAACUUUCUUCUCAGUAACCAAGCUUAAACCUGGGACCUUAAGACCAAUAUUGGUGGAAAGAUAGAAAUUUAUAAGAAAGGAACCUUUAAGUUCUUCACAGAUUAUACCAUUAAGACCUCUGAAAUGUCAGUCAGCUUAGAACAAGACGACCAAGUCAUAAGACUUCUAGAUAACAAAUCCAUUGAUAAGCAUAAGAAAGAUGGCUAUAAUUUCAUACACUUUGGUAUGAUUCAAGUAGCAGCUAAGCCUUUGACAAGAUUAGGUUUAAACACCUCUAUUGUCAUGUGUUUAAGGGAUAAUAGGCAUCUCGAAUAUCGAGACUCUAUUAUAGGCGCAGUCCAAGCUGGACUGAAUGAUGGCCCAGUCUAUUUCCAGUGCUAUCCUAACUUCACAGUUAGAAUAAGAGAUGCAGACAUCUUAGAUUCCGUUGUCCUGCAUAUUAAGACUCAUGGCUUUAAGAUCAAACCAGGAAACAAUCCUGUUUCUAUCAUAACCAGGUUUGCCUAUAAGAGCAUGAACACAAGCGUUGGAUCUGGGGCUCUUUGCACCAGUCCUAAGGGUGAAACCACUUACUUUCACUCAAAUAUGCUAGAUAAGUCAGACUUCAUCAUCCCCAAGAAGAUUUUGUGGAAAGAUGUUGAUUUCCCUGAAAAUUGGCAUUUUGUUAAUGCUGUUGCAGCCAUAACAACGUUCUGAAAGUAUUGAACAAAUAGUUCAACAUCCAGAUGGAGGAGGAGAACUAGUCUUCUCCAAAUCUUUCAGACAUUCCAGUAGCCUUAGAGUUUCAGUUUAUGAACCCUUUAGAGCUUCAAGUUCUUCCAUUCCAGUUAGAACCACUAGGGAAGAAGAAGGAUCCAACUCAGGAAAUCCUAAGAACAUUAAGCUAACAGGUGUUAGAAGUCACACCAACGUGGCUAGACCAUUUUACAGAGAAGAAAAUGAGUCUACUCAGGAAUCCCAACAGGAUGAGUCCCCUGUUAUGUCUCCUACCUAUUCCCAGAUGAUUAACACAAUAAACCUAAGUGAUGAGGACUUUGAAAUCAACAAGGAUCUCUUAAGAAAAGACUUCUAUUCUGAAGUCAAUAAGCAAAGAAAUGAUUGGUUCUUUAGCACUAUCCCUAAAGUCAUUAGAACCAUUUACCAAGAAGAAUUCUAUGCCUACUUAAGACCAGAAAAGAAAAAUAUUAAGUUUUGGAUCUGGUUUGAACUCUUCAAACAAGAGGAAUAUCCAGAUUAUCCCUUUAAGAGUAUAAAGGUUACCAGUAGUAAUAAUGAAAAUAAGCAAUAUGAAUUCUCUAAGGAAUUCCAAGAAAAUCCCCAAGUCAACCAAGCUUUUGUCGAUAGGAUUAAUCAGAAGAUUAAGGAUAAUCUUGUUACUCCUUUGACUGUUCAGCCUGAUAAGAGAAUCAAUAUGGUUAAAGGUGAUAUUAGUUCAGAAGAAGAAGCUGAUGAACUAAUUAAGAUGUUUGAGGAACCCCAUAAUCAAAUUAUUAAUAACUUGGAAGCCUUUAAGACUAGGAAUUACUAUCCUAGGCCUACUUUUCCUGACAUGCAGUUUGAGGAAAGAAAUCAGUAUACCCAAGCCUCAUACACCAGUGGUACUAUCUAUGAAUGGAACAUAGACGGUAUGACCGAGUAUAACAUACUCACUAAGCUUCAAGAAAUGACCAUGGUAAGUACAGCCUAUAAGUUAAACAAUAGACUGCCAGAUCAUGCUGUAGCUCAGACCAUUGUUGCUUGGUUUACAGGUCAGCUUAAGGGUUGGUGGGAUAAUUAUCUCACUUUUGAUGAUAGGAAUAGUAUCCUUAAUAGGAUUAAUGAGAGUAAUGAAGUUGUUAAGGACAAAGAUGGCCAAGAUAUUGAGGAUGCAGUGGCUACUUUAAUCUAUUCAAUAUCCAAGCACUUCAUCGGAGAUCCUGCAAAAAUUAAGGAUAAAACUGCAGAUCUCUUAACCAAACUUAAGUGUCCCAAGCUUCAUGAUUUUAGGUGGUAUAAGUCUUCCUAACCAAAGUCAUGCUAAGGUCAGAUUGUAACCAGUCUUUUUGGAAAGAAAAAUUCAUCUCAGGAUUACCCAAGCUUUUCUCUGAGAGAAUUAGGAUCAAGAUAAGGGAACAGUAUAAUGGUCAAAUCCCUUAUGAUAAGCUAACCUAUGGUGAGAUUAUAAGCAUUGUCACAGCUGAAGGGAUUAAGUUGUGCAAUGACUUCAAGCUUAAGCAACAGAUGAAGAAUGAACAAAAAAUCUACAAGAAUGAAUUUGGAUCAUUCUGUAGCCAGUUUGGUUUCAGCCAAAAGGAAACUAUGCCUCCCUCUAAGCAAAAACCAAGCAGGAAGCCUAGCAAAGAUAAGUUUUACCACAGUAAGAGAGGUACCUAUGACAACUAUAGGAUGAAUGAUACUAAGCAGUCAAGGCACGUCCAAAGAAGGGUCAACAAAGAUACCCAGAAAAAGGUAGAAACUCCUUUAGAUGUCAAGCCAAUUAUCUGUUUUAAAUGUGGCAAAGUUGGUCAUUAUAAGAAAGAUUGUAGAGUUAAGCAAAAGAUUAAUAACUUAAGUGUUUCAGAUGACCUAAAAAAUAUGCUUUGUAAGGUAAUAUUAAACUCCUCAGAUUCUGAAUCAAGGACUGAUUCAGAUAAUGAAGAUGAUAUUAAUCAACUAGAUAGCAGUGACGAUGUUUCUAGCCAAUCUUCUAGUGACCAAGAUGUUUGUAUUAAGGGUAAUUGUAAUUGUCGUCCUAAAACCAUAAAUGUCAUAAGCCAAGAUCAGGAAUUCAUCUUAGAUACUUUAAGAAAAGUUGAAGAUGAAAAGACUAAGCAGAAUCUUUAUGAAGUUUUUAAGAAAUAUGUUGUUAAGGUAGAAGCCAAGAAGACUGUUAAUCCUUAUAACCUUCACGAUAUCUUAAACAGGUUUGACCAGCAGUCUCCCAAGGAUGUCAGCAUUAAGGAACUUCAUGAAGAAGUUAAGCAGCAUAAAAAGGAGAUUAAGGAGUUAAGACAAUUCAUAAGUCUAGGUCUCUCUAAUCUCCAAGAUCAAAUCAAUAGAAUUGGCAACCAAGAAAUCCAUAUGGAUAUUCCAGAAUCUUCUCAUGUUAAUGAUAAUGAGACAGAUACUUUUUUGAAUACUGUGAGUAGGGUUAUCUUCCAGAGGUGGGAAGUCUCCCUUACUAUAGUAGUCAAAGAUAAAUUUGUCUUUGAUAUUAUUGCUUUGAUUGAUUCAGGAGCAGCUGAAAAUUGCCUUCAAGAAGGUCUUGUACCUAUUCCUUUAUGCGAAGAGACUUGUUAGUCUCUAUUUGGAGCCAAUGGCAAAAGACUUGCCAUUAAGUAUAAAUUAAUAGAUGUUCAUAUCCGUAACCAUGACGUCUGUAUUAAGCAAACCUUUAUCCUUGUUAAGGAUCUUAAUGAAAAAGCCCUUCUAGGAAUACCCUUCUUAAGCUCUAUUUAUCCCUUGUGGGUAGAUAACCAAGGUAUAAGAACAAAGCUUUUUGAUAAGGAAAUUCUUUUUGAAUUUGCUAAUCCAACUGUAAGCAUCACUCCUUUUAACCAAGAAAUUAACCUUGUUAGGUUAGAUGUCCCAAGUAAGCUAAUAGGCAACCAGUUCAUGCAUAAUGACAUUUUAAGCAUUUCUUUAUGCAUUUCAAAAUUUCAAAUUGGGAUUUUGAAUCAAGAAUUUUUAUUAAAAAUUAUUUUCAAAGAUUUUGAAAAAAUUAAAUAUAUAACUUUUAAGUAUGAUUUAAUUAACUGGUAUAUUAUUUUAAAAUCUAAGUUUCAAAGUUACUUUAUUAAAGGAGAUUAUUUCAACCCUAAUCAGCUAUCUCGUGAAUUUUGCAGGGUUCAUGAGAUCAUGGCCCCUAAAAAGAAUACCCAAGCUUCUAGCUCUCACAAACCCUCAUCUAGUCAAGCUAACCAAUCUCCUUCUACCCAUAAAAUGCUUUGGAGUCAACAAGUUGAAGAGGAAGAAGCACAACUUUUGGCAAAGCUUCAUUCUUCUAAACCUAUGCAUGAAUCCAACCAUAUGCCUAACAAAAUGUUGACCUUAUACUAUGAUCCUUCUGAUCAUUCUAAACCAGUUAAGGCAACACAAUAUCUAGCUACCUCAGGGUCUCAGACCUUUAAGCAGGUUACUAUGGCUAAUCCCUCUUAAAAGGAAUUAGCAACAAGCUCUUCUUUUUCAAGCAAACAAAUUGUGGUGGCUGCCAACCCCACACCUCUUUCAACAAAAUCAAGAUAUUGGCAAAAUGAUUUAAAUCAAUCUCUUUUAGUUAUUGAAAGAGAAUUUUUCUCGAAAAACCCCAGAGAGAUUGCUGCAAAAGCAUUUCAAGAAAAUUUUCAUUAUCCCUCUAGUGAUAUUUUAAAAACAAGAGAGUUUUAUGAAGCAGUCCUUAUAGAAACUGGUUCUGUUAAGAUCAAGCAUAACGCUGAUAAAUUCAGCAAUAUGGGCUUGGCAUUCUCCACCUGCCAUAUCUAUAAGAUCCUUACAGUCAAGCAAUGGGGUGAAAAUCCUAAUCUUUCAAGAGAAUUUUCUGAACCAUCUAAGCCAAGGUUUUUUAAUUAUUGGGAUUAUCAGAGAGCAUGGUUUAAUGCUUUUCUGAUCCAGAAUAGGGACUUCCAUCAUUCAUGGAUGUUCUAUUUUCCAUCUAAGAACCAGCUUUCCUCUUUCCCAUUUUGGUUCUACAGUUGGUGGACUUAUUAUGGUCCAACUAUUAAGAUUCUUCCUAAGCCCAUUCUGGAUGGCUUUGAGCUAUUCAGAAGUUCUUUUAAUAUUCCCAGAGAACUUUCAGCAUUUCCCCUUUUACUAUUCUUUUUCAGCAAUUUUGGCCUGGCUUGGAUAGUCCAGUGGGACUAUAUUAUUAUUACAGACGAAUCAGCAGCCUUUCCAUCUCUGGGAAGGACUUUUAAAACUAAAUGGUGGGAUGCAUUAAAAAAUGAUGCAUCUACUGAUGUAGUCAAGUAGUAUUUCCUCAAGAACCCCUCACAAGUCUCAGCCAGUGAUGAUAUGUCUCAGUUUCUCCUCAAAAAGCAACUGUUACAAGCCAUGCUCGCAGCAGCUAAGACCCCUCAAGAGUUUCAAAAAAUCCUUGAAGAAGGAAGCUCAAGCUUCUCCCAAGAAAAUUCUUAUGCAGAGUCUGACGAUUCAACAAGCUACCUUCCAGACAAUGGUGAUGACUGUGAAGGAAUCCUUCCUCCAAUAAGAAGAUCUAAGUAAUCAUCAGCCUUUUGUCUUCCAUCAAAAGUAUUUUACAAGCUUUGCAGUUUCUGUUCCAAAAGCAGCAAGCAUGUGUCUACACAGUAUAAAGCAGCUUGCCAGAAGUCUUCUCAGCCGAAAAGGGGGUUUCGGGGGUUUUCGGUAUAAAAGUGAAUCUUACUAUUCACUAUUCAUUAUUCAAGCACGGGUCUACUGUUCAUGGUUACUAUUCAAGAUUCCUUUUAUGCCUAUUUAAAGAGGCCCGGUCCUCAUUUGUGAAAAAACACUUGAACUUUCUCUCCUAAGCCGAAGCUCUCCCUUCUCUCUUCUUUCUCUCUCAUCAUGUAAACCCUUCAAGCUUUCAAGCUUUCUUCAAGCUUUCUUACCCCUGUCCAUUGUAAGAUAUUUCUCCUUAUGUAUAAUAUAAGUAUGUUUUGAUUGCCUCCUCUAUAGAUGGUUUUUAAUUAUGUUUUGUUUUUCAUUUUAUUUUAUGUUCUUAUACAGCCUACAUGGUCGGUUUUAAUUAAUUUUUAUUUUUAAGUUUAUGUUUUUUAUUUUGUACCGCCUACAUGGUCGGUUUUAAGCUUAUUAUGAACUAACAAGUUUUUGGUUCCUUCUCUUUAAAUUUCUUAUUGGAUAUCUUGUUUGAUUUCUAACCCUCUUCUUUGUUUUGAAUCAUGGCAUAAUUCAUUUGUUCAUUGCACAUGACCUUGUCCUGGGUGUCUAUGGUAUCAGAGCCAUGUGCGAGGGAAGUUGGGUCUUGUUUUGGGUGUUCUUGGCCUAUCCUAGGAUAGGUAGCAGUGUGCCUGGGAGCGCGAGCCCUGCCGGUUGAGCCGUUGUUAGCCGUGGAUAGGCGUUUGUUAGGCUGUAAGAGGGUUGGGGUGACGUCUCAUAAGGUUUGUCAAUAUGCUAUUAGGCUCUAGAUCAAAAACCCUAAAAUGAGUUCAAUUUUCCGAACCAUGUCUAGGAGAUCCAGUGAUUCUCAAGAUACUGUUGUAAACAGUGAAGAGAUCAAUUAUCCUAAGAUCCAAAAUGAUUUAAAUGAUUGGAAGUUACCCAAGGUGUCUAAUCAAGAAAUUUAUAAGAAAUGAACCUUUAAGUUCUUCAUAGAUUGUACCAUUAAGACCUCUGAAAUGUCAGUCAGCUUAGAACAAGACGACCAAGUCAUAAGACUUCUAGAUAACAGAUCCGUUGAUAAGCAUAAGAAAGAUGGCUAUAAUUUCAUACACUUUGGUAUGAUUCAAGUAGCAGCUAAGCCUUUGACAAGAUUAGGUUUAAACACCUCUAUUGUCAUGUGUUUAAGGGAUAAUAGGCAUCUCGAAUAUCGAGAUUCUAUUAUAGGCGUAGUCCAAGCUGGACUGAAUGAUGGCCUAGUCUAUUUCUAGUGCUAUCCUAACUUCACGGUUAGAAUAAGAGAUGCAGACAUCUUAGAUUCCGUUGUCCUGCAUAUUAAGACUCAUGGCUUUAAGAUCAAACCAGGAAACAGUCUUGUUUCUAUCAUAACCAGGUUUGCCUAUAAGAGCAUGAACACAAGCGUUGGAUCUGGGGCUCUUUGUACCAGUCCUAAAGAAGAUCUUGUGGAAAGAUGUUGAUUUCGUUGAAAAUUGGCAUUUUGUUAAUGCUGUUCCAGCCAUAGCACAGCGUUCUGAAAGUAUUGAACAAAAAGUUCAAUAUCCAGAUGGAGAAGGAGAAUUGGUCUUCUCCAAAUCUUUCAGACACUCCAGCAGCCCUAGAGUUUUUGUUUAUGAACCCUCUAGAGCUUCAAGCUCUUCCAUCCCUGUUAGAACCACUAGGGAAGAAGAAGGAUCCAGCUCAAGAAACCCUAAGAACAUUAAGCUAACAGGUGUUAGAAGUCACACCAACGUGGCCAGACCAUUUUACAGUAAAGAAAAUGAGUCUACUCAGGAAUCCCAACAGGAUGAGUCCCCUGUCAUGUCUCCUACCUAUUCCCAGAUGAUUAACACUAUAAGCCUAAGUGAUGAGGACUUUGAGAUCAACAAGGAUCUCUUAAGAAAGGACUUCUAUUCUGAAGUCAAUAAGCAAAGAAAGGAUUUGUUCUUUAGCACUGUCCCUAAGGUCAUUAGAACCAUUUACCAAGAAGAAUUCUAUGCUUACUUAAGACAAGAAAAGAAAAUUAUUAAGUUUUGGAUUUGGUUUGAACUCUUCAGACAAGAGGAAUAUCCAGAUUAUCCUUGUAAGCACAUUAACAACACCUCUACAAAAGCUAAGAUAUGGAAAACCAGUGACAACAUUGUUAUAGAAUCCAUUCAUCCUCCUGAAGCUAAGAUAGAGAAGAAUAUUAAUGGAACCAUAGUCACAGCUUCACCUUUUAAGACUAAGCCAGAGGAUAAAGGAACUGCUAGUGCAUCCGAUAUUAGAAGGAUUAUGGAACAAAUCAAUUAUACUAAUAUGUUUCUCAUAACCCUUGGAAAUCAAGUCAACAGAGUUGAGGAGAUUAUUGAAACUCAGGAUCACCUUAAGAAGCCUUUUGUUAAGAAUGAUAAUAAGCCUUUGUUUAAGCCUUUUGAAUUAUCUAAGAAAUUCCAGGAAAAUCCUCAAAUUGAUCAAGCUUUCAUUGAUAGAAUAAGCUAAAAGGUUAAAGAUAAUCUUGUUAUCCCUUAAACACCUCAACCUUCCCAUAGGAGAAUCCUUUUGGUUAAAAAGAAUAUUAGUCCAAAAGCAAAGGAUAAUGGACUAAUUAGGCUAACCAGAGAACCUUCUAUCCAAAACCCUUUUAAGGAUCAUGAUGAGAAACAAGAAAAAAGGAUUAUCCUUAAUGCCCUAACUAUUAAAGAUCUUCAAGAAGAAAUAGGGCAGUAUAAGAAGGAUAUUGAGAACCUAAGACAACCUACAAGCUCAGAAAUCCCUAUCCCUCAGGAUUAUAUCAACAGGGUAGGUUUUUACCACAGUAGUCCUAAAAAGGAAGACUUUGAAGAAGUUCUUGAAUCUUCACAAGACAAUAGUGAUAAGAUAAAUGCAUACUUAAAUACUAUUAGUAAAGUUAUCUUUCAAAGGUGGGAAGUCUCCCUUACUAUAGUAAUUAAGAAUAAAUUUAUCCUUGAUAUUAUUGCUUUAAUUGAUUCAGAUGCAGCUUUGAAUUGUCUACAAGAAAGUCUAGUACCUACCCAAUUUUAUGAGAAAACCAGGCAAGCCCUCUUUAGUGUUAAUGGUAAAAAGCUUAUUAUCAAGUACAAGCUAUCGAAUGCCCAUAUUUGUAACCAAGGCAUUUGCAUUAAGCAAACCUUCAUUCUUGUUAAAGAUCUCAAGGAGAAAGUUCUCCUUGGAGUCCCUUUCUUAAGCUCCAUCUUUCCUAUGUGGGUAGAUGAUCAAGGUAUAAGAACUAAGCUUUUAGAUAAGGAAAGUCUGUUUGAAUUUGCCAAUCCACCUGGAGAAAGAAGUAUAAACACCAUAAAAGAUCAGGUGAUUAAGGCUAAGCAAAAUCAUAUUAAUCUCUUAAAACAAGAGAUUGCUCUGGUUAGAAUAGAAGAUCAACUGAAGGUUAAGAAAACCCAAGAUGCUAUAGAAAGCCUUAAGAAUAAGAUUAUUAAGGAAGUUUGUUCUAACAUUCCUAAUGCUUUUUGGCACAGGAAGCAGCAUGAGGUAGAAUUACCCUAUGAGCCUGAUUUUAGUGAGAAAAAUAUUCCCACUAAAGCAAGACCAAUCCAAAUGAACAAGGAUUUGUUAGGCUAUUGUGAAAAAGAAAUCCAGGAUCUCAUGGAUAAGAAGUUGAUAAGAAAGUCUAAGUCCCCUUGGAGUUGUUCAGCCUUUUAUGUUCAGAAACAAGCUGAACUUGAAAGAGGAACACCUAGACUAGUCAUCAACCAUAAGCCCCUCAAUGAUGUUUUAAGAUGGAUCAGGUAUCCUAUCCCAAAUAAAAAAGACCUCCUUCAAAGAUUAGGGAUGUCCAAAGUUUUCUCUAAGUUUGACAUGAAAUCAGGAUUUUGGCAAAUCCAGAUUGCAGAAAAAGAUAGGUACAAAACAGCCUUUGUGGUCCCAUUUGGUCAUUAUGAGUGGAAUGUAAUGCACUUUGGCCUUAAGAAUGCACCUUCUGAGUUUCAAAACAUAAUGAAUGAAAUCUUUAACCAGUUUUCUGAUUUCAUUAUUGUUUACAUUGAUGAUGUUUUGAUUUACUCAGAUUCUGUUGAGCAGCAUUGGAAACAUCUCAAUAGGUUUAUUGAGACUGUUAAGAGCAAUGGUUUAAGCUUGUCAGCCACUAAGAUUAACCUCUUUCAAACUAAAGUAAGAUUCCUAGGUCAUCAUAUUCACCAAGGAACAUUCACCCCCAUUCAAAGAUAAAUUGAGUUUGCUGAUAAGUUCCCUGAUGAGAUUAAGGAUAAGAAACAAUUGCAACGUUUCCUAGGAAGCCUUAAUUAUGUGUCAGAUUUCAUACAAGAUUUAAGCCAAUUAUGUGCCCCUUUAAGACAAAGACUUAAGAAAAAUCCAGUUCCUUGGAAUGAGGAUCAUACCAAGAUUGUUAAAAUAGUAAAGUCUAGAGUCAAAACCCUACCAUGUCUCGCCUUAGCUGAUCAUAAAGCCUUUAAGAUUGUUGAGACUGAUGCUUUUGAUAUAGGUUUUGGUGGAAUUCUUAAGCAAAGAAGUAAUAAUCAAGAAUUGUUGGUUAGAUUCACUUCUGGAACUUGGAACCAUGCCCAACUCAACUACAACACCAUCAAAAAGGAAAUUUUAAGCAUCGUUUUAUGCAUUUCAAAAUUUCAAGACGAUCUUUUGAAUCAGGAAUUUUUAUUAAGAGUGGAUUGCAAAUCUGCAAAAUCAGUUUUACAAAAAGAUGUUAAAAAUAUAGCUUCUAAACAUAUUUUUGCUAGAUGGCAAGCUAUUUUAAGCAAUUUUGAUUUUCAAAUUGAGUAUAUUAAAGGAGAAAAUAACUCAAUCCCUGAUUUCCUAACUCAUGAAUUUUUGCAGGAUUCACAAGAUCAUGGCUCCCAAAAUAGAAAAGCAAUCCUUUAAGAAAUCAUCAUCUUACAUGAAACCUCAUUCAGUCUUAUCAGAAAAAUUCAAGCCUUUGUAUUAUGAUUUUGCUUCGGGAUCUCAGGGAUCUACUUCUGAUCCUAAUCCUCCUAUUCUUAAGCAUCCUUCCUCCCCUGUUGUGGAAGAAGGAAAUAUUUCUGGUUCUCUACCUUUGGUGGAAGAACCCAUCCCCUUAGACUUCUCUACUUUUGAUACUAACCCCUUAUCUGUUCAUAAGAGUAUUUGUGAUUUGCAGGCUAGGUGCAGGACCCUUGAAAAAAAGCUAGAAAUAGCUAAUUUUCACAAAAAAGAUAUAAGCCAAGCCCCUUUUUCCCCACUGGAAAUUGGUGAGAAAAAACCAUUCACCCCACUGGUGAAUGAGAAAUUAAGUAAGGAUGAGCAGGAGUGCAUUAUCUUUAGAAUGUUUCACCGAAUGAAUGAGAUCAUGUCCACUCUUAAGCCAAAUGAUAUUUAUCAGCUAAUUUGUGAAAAAGCCAAGUCCAGUGCAGAAGAAAAGCAAGUUUUUAUUUCGGCUUAUCUUCAGGAUCUGCACAUUUAUCUCUCAGCCAUUCCUGGUCUCAGUGUUCCAGGAUUAAAUUUAACCAAGGAAAUGGAAUUUGAUGGCUCAAAACUUUGCAGAAAUUGUACUGAAUCGCUUCUUCAUCAACAAGACAACAAGCCAAUUUGCAACUGCAAUAGGAAUUUCACUAUCAGCAGAGCCUGCAUUGAUCUACAGUAUUACCAACCAAUUAACCUUGCUUUCAAAGGAGAAGUUUUAAUCCUAACUCCUGAAAUGCUUCUUGAUUAUGGAUUGGUUUACCAACUUAUCUGUUCUGAUCCAAGUCAAGCUAGCAAUUUUGGCAGAAAGGUUAAUCUAAGCUUAACCCAAGGUUUUAAGUUAAACAAGAAGUUUGCUGAUGCCAUUUUUAUUAGCAAAGCUCCUGAAUGGAUUUCUAGAGGCAACGUUCUUCCAGCACAACACUAUGUUAAUCUUCAUUACCAGAAUAGAAGACCUACUCUUCUGUCCAGUCCCUUAGUUCAAACCGACAUUUGCGGAGAGCCAAUUAUUAAGCAAAUCAAGCAUUGGAGAGCCAGAGUCAUCAGCAGAGACUUUGAAGCCUACCCAAAAAACAUGGGGCAUCUCAUUGCUGCGGAUUCCCUACAUCAGAUUUUUUGCAGUAAAAAGAUUGACCCUUUACCGUUCAAAUCCACUAUUCAAGAUACUCAGCUCCUAAUGGAUCACCGCUCGGAAUAUAUUCCUCCCUGAUUAACUGAUCAGCAGUCAUUUCAGCCGAAAGCAAGCCUCCAGGUCAAAAGUCGAAAGUGCUACAGUUCCCUCUUACUGUUCACUUUUACUAUUCAAGCACUAUUCAAGCACGGGUCUAUUGUUCAUGGUUACUAUUCAAGAUUCCUUUUUUGCCUAUUUAAGGAGGCAAGGUCCUCAUUUGUAAGAACACUUGAAUUUUCUCUCCUAAGCUGAAGCUCUCCCUUCUCUCUUCUUUCCCUCUCAUCAUGUAAACCCUUCAAGCUUUCAAGCUUUCUUCAAGCUUUCAAGCUUUCUUCAAGCUUUCCUACCCUUGUCCAUUGUAAGAUAUUUCUCCUUAUGUAUAAUAUAAGUAUGUUUUGAUUGCCUCCUCUAUGGAUGGUUUUUAAUUAUGUUUUGUUUUUCAUUUUAUUUUAUGUUCUUAUACCGCCUACAUGGUCGGUUUUAAUUAAUUUUUAUUUUUAAGUUUAUGUUUUUUAUUUUGUACCGCCUACAAGGUCGGUUUUAAGCUUAUUAUGAACUAACAAGUUUUUGGUUCCUUCUCUUUAAAUUUCUUGUUGGAUAUCUUGUUUGAUUUCUAACCCUCUACUUUGUUUUGAAUCAUGGCAUAAUUCAUUUGUUCAUUGCACAUGACCUUGUCCUGGGUGUCUAUGGUAUCAGAGCCAUGUGGGAGGGAAGUUGGGUCUUGUUUUGGGUGUUCUUGGCCUAUCCUAGGAUAGGUAGCAGUGUGUCUGGGAGCGCGAGCCCUGCCGGUUGAGCCGUUGUUAGCCGUGGAUAGGCGUUUGUUAGGCUGUAAGAGGGUUGGGGUGACGUCUCAUAAGGUUUGUCAAUCUGCUAUUAGGCUCUAGUUCAAAAACCCUAAAAUGAGUUCAAUUUUCCGAACCAUGUCUAGGAGAUUCAGUGAUUCUCAAGAUACUGUUGUAAACAGUGAAGAGAUCAAUUAUCCUAAGAUCCAAAAUGAUUUAGAUGAUUGGAAGUUACCCAAGGUGUCUAAUCAAGAAAUUUAUAAGAAAGGAACCUUUAAGUUCUUCACAGAUUAUACCAUUAAGACCUCUGAAAUGUCAGUCAGCUUAGAACAAGACGACCAAGUCAUAAGACUUCUAGAUAACAGAUCCAUUGAUAAGCAUAAGAAAGAUGGCUAUAAUUUCAUACACUUUGGUAUGAUUCAAGUAGCAGCUAAGCCUUUGACAAGAUUAGGUUUAAACACCUCUAUUGUCAUGUGUUUAAGGGAUAAUAGGCAUCUCGAAUAUCGAGAUUCUAUUAUAGGCGCAGUCCAAGCUGGACUGAAUGAUGGCCCAGUCUAUUUCCAGUGCUAUCCUAACUUCACAGUUAGAAUAAGAGAUGCAGACAUCUUAGUCCGUUGUCCUGCAUUUUAAGACCCAUGGCUUUAAGAUCAAACCAGGAAACAAUCCUGUUUCUAUCAUAACCAGGUUUGCCUAUAAGAGCAUGAACACAAGCGUUGGAUCUGGGCUCUUUGUACCAGUCCUGAAGGUGAGACCACCUAUUUUCACUCAGAUAAGCUAGAUAAGUCAGAACUCAUCAUCCCCAAGAAGAUCUUGUGGAAAGAUGUUGAUUUCCCUGAAAAUUGGCAUUUUGCUAAUGCUGUUCCAGCCAUAGCACAACGUUCUGAAAGUAUUGAACAAAUAGUUCAAUAUCCAGAUGGAGAAGGAGAACUGGUCUUCUCCAAAUCUUUCAGACAUUCCAGUAGCCCUAGAGUUUCAGUUUAUGAACCCUCUAGAGCUUCAAGUUCUUCCAUUCCAGUUAGAACCACUAGGGAAGAAGAAGGAUCCAGCUCAGGAAAUCCUAAGAACAUUAAGCUAACAGGUGUUAGAAGUCACACCAACGUGGCUAGAUCAUUUUACAGUGAAGAAAAUGAGUCUACUCAGGAAUCCCAACAGGAUGAGUCCCCUGUUAUUUCUCCUACCUAUUCCCAGAUGAUUAACACAAUAAGCCUAAGUGAUGAGGACUUUGAGAUCAACAAGGAUCUCUUAAGAAAGGACUUCUAUUCUGAAGUCAAUAAGCAAAGAAAUGAUUGGUUCUUUAGCACUAUCCCUAAAUUCAUUAGAACCAUUUACCAAGAAGAAUUCUAUGCCUACUUAACACAAGAAAAGAAAAAUAUUAAGUUUUGGAUCUGGUUUGAACUCUUCAAACAAGAGGAAUAUCCAGAUUAUCCCUUUAAGCGUAUUAACAACACUAAGAGCACUGAUAAAACUAAGUCCUUUGAAUUUUCUAAGGAAUUCGAGGAAAAUCCCCAAAUCAACUAGGCUUUUGCUGAUAGGAUUAAUCAGAAGAUUAAGGAUAAUCUUGUUGCCCCUUUGACUGUUCAGCCUGAUAAGAGAAUUAAUAUGGUUAAAGGUGAUAUUAGUUCAGAAGAAGAAGCUGAUGAAUUAAUUAAGAUGUUUGAGGAACCCCACAAUCAAAUUAUUAACAACUUAGAAGCCUUUAAGACUAGGAAUUACUAUCCUAGGCCUACUUUUCCUGACAUGCAGUUUGAGGAAAGAAAUCAAUAUACUCAAGCCUCAUACACCAGUGGUACUAUCUAUGAAUGGAACAUAGACGGUAUCACCGAGUAUAACAUACUCACUAAGCUUCAAGAAAUGACCAUGGUUAGUACAGCCUAUAAAUUAAACAAUAGACUGCCAGAUCAUGCUGUAGCUCAGACCAUUGUUGUUGGGUUUACAGGUCAGCUUAAGGGUUGGUGGGAUAAUUAUCUCACUUUUGAUGAUAAGAAUAGUAUCCUUAAAGCCUAUAGGAUUAAUGAGAGUAAUGAAGUGGUUAAUGACGAAGAUGGCCAAGAUAUUGAGGAUGCAGUGGCUACUUUAAUCUACUCAAUAUCCAAGCACUUCAUUGGAGAUCCUGCAAAAAUUAAGGAUAAAACUGCAGAUCUCUUAACCAACCUUAAGUGUCCCAAGCUUCAUGAUUUUUGGUGGUAUAAGGAAGUCUUCCUAACCAAAGUCAUGCUAAGGUCAGAUUGUAACCAGUCUUUUUGGAAAGAAAAAUUCAUCUCAGGUUUACCCAAGCUUUUCUCUGAGAGAAUUAGGAUCAAGAUAAGGGAACAGUAUAACGGUCAAAUCCCUUAUGAUAAGCUAACCUAUGGUGAGAUUAUAAGCAUUGUCACAACUGAAGGGAUUAAGUUGUGAAAUGACUUCAAGCUUAAGCAACAAAUGAAGAAUGAACAAAAAAUCUACAAGAAUGAAUUUGGAUCAUUCUGUAGCCAGUUUGGUUUCAGCCAAAAAGAAACUAUGCCUCCUUCUAAGCAAAAACCAAGUAGGAAGCCUAGCAAAGAUAAAUUUUACCACAGUAAGAGAGGUACCCAUGACAACUAUAGGAUGAAUGAUACUAAGCAUUCAAGGCACGUCCAAAGAAAGGUCAACAAAGAUACCCAGAAAAAGAUAGAAACUCCUUUAGAAGUCAAGCCAAUUAUCUGUUUUAAAUAUGGCAAAGUUGGCCAUUAUAAGAAAGAUUUUAGAGUUAAGCAAAAGUUUAAUAACCUAAGUGUCUUAGAUGACCUAAAAAAUAUGCUUUGUAAGGUAUUGUUAAACUCCUCAGAUUCUGAAUCAAGGACUGAUCCAAAUAAUGAAGAUGAUAUUAAUCAACUAGAUAGUAGUGGCGAUGUUUCUAGCCAAUCUUCUAGUGACCAAGAUGUUUGUAUUAAGGGUAAUUGUAAUUGCCGUCCUAAAACCAUAAAUGUCAUAAGCCAAGAUCAGGAGUUCAUCCUAGAUACUUUAAGAAAAGUUGAAGAUGAAAAGACUAAGCAAAAUCUUUAUGAAGUUUUUAAGAAAUCUGUUGUUAAGGUAGAAGCCAAGAAGACUGUUAAUCCUUAUAACCUUAAUGAUAUCUUAAACAGGUUUGACCAACAGUCUCCCAAGGAAGUCAGCAUUAAGGAACUUCAUGAAGAAGUUAAGCAGCAUAAAAAAGAGAUUAAGGAGUUAAGACAAUUCAUAAGUCUAGGUCUCUCUGAUCUUCAAGAUCAAAUCAAUAGAAUUGGCAACCAAGAAAUCCAUAUGGAUAUUCCAGAAUCUUCUCAUGUUAAUGAUAAUGAGAUAGAUACUUUUUUGAAUACUGUGAGUAGGGUUAUCUUCCAGAGGUGGGAAGUCUCCCUUACUAUAGUAGUCAAAGAUAAAUUUGUCUUUGAUAUUAUUGCUUUGAUUGAUUCAGGAGCAGCUGAAAAUUGCCUUCAAGAAGGUCUUGUACCUAUUCCUUUAUGCGAAUAGACAAGUCAGUCUCUAUUUGGAGCCAAUGGCAAAAGACUUGCCAUUAAGUAUAAAUUAACAGAUGUUCAUAUCCGUAACCAUGACGUCUGUAUUAAGCAAACCUUUAUCCUUGUUAAGGAUCUUAAUGAAAAAGCCCUUCUAGGAAUACCCUUCUUAAGCUCUAUUUAUCCCUUGUGGGUAGAUAACCAAGGUAUAAGAACAAAACUUUUUGAUAAGGAAAUUCAUUUUGAAUUUGCUAAUCCAACUGUAAGCAUCACACCUUGUAAUCAAGAAAUUAAUCUUGUUAGAAUAGAUGAUCCACCUAAGAUAUUUGGUACCCAAUUCAUUCAUAAUCUCAUUAUAAAUGAUAUUUUCAGCAUUCUUUAUGCAUUUCAAAAUUUCAAACUGAUAUUUUGAACCAAGGAAUUUUAAAAGUGGUUUUCACAGCUGAGAAAACAAUUAAGUAUAUAGCUUUUAAGUAUAAUUUAAUUGAUUGGAUUAUUUUAAACCCUAAUUUUCAAAUUAAGCUUAUUAAAGGAGAAAGUUCCAUUCCUAAUCUCUCAACUCAUGGAAUUUGCAGGAUUCACGAGACCAUGGCCCCCAAGAAAGACAAACAACCUUUUAGGUCCAUUAAACCUACAGAUUCUAAGAAUUCUCAUUUAGUUCUUUCUGAAAAAUUCAUGCCACUUCAUUAUGGCCAUUUUGAAGUAGCAGGUUCUUCCAGCCACUUUAAUCAUCACAUUCCUUCAGCAUCCCCUAAUAGGGAUAUAGAUUCAAGCUUGGAAUCUCUACCUUUUGUGGAAGAUUCCUUCCCCAUAAAUCCAUCUUUUAGUAAUACUAACACUUUAUCUGAUUAUAUCAAUUGCAUUUUUGAAUGGCAGGGAAGGUAUGAGACCCUUGAAAGGAAACUUGAAUUAGUUGACUUUCAUAAGCUCAGGUUAAAAGCUCAAGCCUCAUUUUCCCCACUCGAAAAUGGUGAGAAUAAGCAUUCUACCCCACUGGUGAAUGAUAAAUUGAGUGAGGAAGAGUUGGGUUACCGUAUGCUAAGAAUGUAUCAUCAUAAGACAGAGAAUCUAUACUCUCUUAAGCCAGAACUACGUCUCCUAAUUUUGGAAAAGGCUAAGUCCUUAGCAGAAGAAAAACAGAUCUUCAUCUCUUCAUACCUCCAAGAUCUUCAUCUCUAUCUUUCUACCAAUAUUGGUCUUAAGGUCCUAGGUUUAAGCUUGGUUACUGAGAAGGAAGUUGAUGAUUCAAAAAUUUGCAGAAUAAUUGAAGAACCUUUCCAGUACCAAAAAGGCACCAAGAAGUUGAUUUGCAACUGCAACAGAAAUUUCACAAUCAGUCGUGUUUGCUUGGACUUGCAAUACUAUUCACCAAUCAGCAUCAAAUUCAAGGGUGAAGAUUUAUUAUUAACUCCAGAAAAGCUUCUGGACCAUGGUCUAGUCCAUCAAAUCAUCUGUACUGAUCCCAACCAAGUUUCCCAGUUUGGAAGAAAAAUUGCUCUUGGCCUAACCCAAGGAUUUAAAAUAAAUAAGAAAUUCGCGGAAGCCAUCAUCAUCAGCAAAGCUCCUGAGUGGGUUUCUAGUGGCAAGCUUAUUCCAGCUCAACACAUUGUUGCUCUUCACUAUCAGAAUAGGAGACCUACUCGGCUGUCUUACCCUCUGUUAUUUUAUGAUAUUUGUGCUGAAUCCAUUAUUAAACAAAUCAAACACUGGAGAGCCAUAAUUAUUUGCAGGGAUUUUGAGGCUUUUCCAAGAAAUAUGGGACAUCUUAUUGCUGCAGAUUCUUGUCAUCAAAUUUUCUGUGGCAAGAAGUUACACCCUCUUCCAACCAUGGCUAGUACUGAAGAUAUUAAGCUUCUUGAAGAUCAUCGUAAGGAUUUCUCAUGAUGACCGGUCAACAAGAAUAUUUUACAAGCUUUGCAGUUUCUGUACCAAAAGCAGCAAGCAUGCGUCUACACAGUAUAAAGCAGCCUGCCAGAAGUCUUCUCAGCCGAAAAAGGGUUUUUGGGGGAUUUCGGUAUAAAAGUGAAUCUUACUAUUCACUAUUCACUAUUCACUAUUCAAGCACAGGUCUACUGUUCAUGGUUACUAUUCAAGAUUCCUUUUUUGCCUAUUUAAGGAGGCAAGGUCCUCAUUUGUAAGAACACUUAAAUUUUCUCUCCUAAGCUUAUGCUCUCCCUUCUCUCUUCUUCUCUCUCAUCAUGUAAGCCCUUCAAGCUUUCAAACUUUCUUCAAGCUUUCCUACUCUUGUCCAUUGUAAGAUAUUUCUCCUUAUGUAUAAUAUAAGUAUGUUUUGAUUACCUCCUAUAUGGAUGGUUUUGUUUUUAUUUUAUGUUUUUAUGCCUCCUACAUGGAUGGUUUUAAUUAAGUUUUGUUUUUCAUUUUAUUUUAUGUUCUUGUACUGCCUACAUGGUCGGUUUUAAUUAAGCUUUGUUUUUAAGUUUAUGUUUUUCAUUUUAUACCGCCUACAUGGUCGGUUUUAAGCUUAUUAUGAACUAACAAGUUUUUGGUUCCUUUUCUUUAAAUUUCUUUGUUGGAUAUCUUUUGUAUUUUCUAACCCUCUUCUUUGUUUUGAAUCAUGGCAUAAUUCCUGUUUUCAUUGCAUAUGACCUUGUCCUGGGUGUCUAUGGUAUAAGAGCCAUGUGGGAGGGAAGUUGAGUCUUGUUUUGGGUGUUCUUGGCCUAUCCUAUGAUAGGUAGCAGUGUGCCUGGGAGCGCGAGCCCUGCCAGUUGAGCAGUUGUUAGCCGUGGAUAGGCGUUUGUUAGGCUGUAAGAGGGUUGAGGUGACGUCUCAUAAGGUCUGUCAAUCUACUAUUAAGCUCUAGUUCAAAAACCCUAAAAUGAGUUCAAUUUUCCGAACCAUGUCUAGGAGAUCCAGUGAUUCUCAAGAUACUGUUGUAAACAGUAAAGAGAUCAAUUAUCCUAAGAUCCAAAAUGAUUUAGAUGAUUGGAAGUUACCCAAGGUGUCUAAUCAAGAAAUUUAUAAGAAAAGAACCUUUAAGUUCUUCACAGAUUAUACCAUCAAGACCUCUGAAAUGUCAGUCAGCUUAGAACAAGACGACCAAGUCAUAAGACUUCUAGAUAACAGAUCCAUUGAUAAGCAUAAGAAAGAUGGCUAUAAUUUCAUACACUUUGGUAUGAUUCAAGUAGCAGCUAAGCCUUUGACAAGAUUAGGUUUAAACACCUCUAUUGUCAUGUGUUUAAGGGAUAAUAGGCAUCUCGAAUAUCGAGAUUCUAUUAUAGGCGCAGUCCAAGCUGGACUGAAUGAUGGCCCAGUCUAUUUCCAGUGCUAUCCUAACUUCACAGUUAGAAUAAGAGAUGCAGACAUCUUAGUCCGUUGUCCUGCAUAUUAAGACUCAUGGCUUUAAGAUCAAACCAGGAAACAGUCUUGUUUCUAUCAUAACCAGGUUUGCCUAUAAGAGCAUGAACACAAGCGUUGGAUCUGGGACUCUUUGCACCAGUCCUAAGGGUGAAAUCACUUACUUUCACUCAGAUAUGCUAGAUAAGUCAGACUUCAUCAUCCCCAAGAAGAUUUUGUGGAAAGAUGUUGAUUUCCCUGAAAAUUGGCAUUUUGCUAAUGCUGUUCCAGCCAUAGCACAGCGUUCUGAAAGUAUUGAACAAAUAGUUCAAUAUCCAGAUGGAGGAGGAGAACUGGUCUUCUCCAAAUCUUUCAGACAUUCCAGUAGCCCUAGAGUUUCAGUUUAUGAACCCUCUAGAGCUUCAAGUUCUUCCAUUCCAGUUAGAACCACUAGGGAAGAAGAAGGAUCCAGCUCAGGAAAUCCUAAGAACAUUAAGCUAACAGGUGUUAGAAGUCACACCAACGUGGCUAGACCAUUUUACAGUGAAGAAAAUGAGUCUACUCAGGAAUCCCAACAGGAUGAGUCCCCUGUUAUGUCUCCUACCUAUUCCCAGAUGAUUAACACAAUAAGCCUAAGUGAUGAGGACUUUGAGAUCAACAAGGAUCUCUUAAGAAAGGACUUCUAUUCUGAAGUCAAUAAGCAAAGAAAUGAUUGGUUCUUUAGCACUAUCCCUAAAGUCAUUAGAACCAUUUACCAAGAAGAAUUUUAUGCCUACUUAAGACAAGAAAAGAAAAAUAUUAAGUUUUGGAUCUGGUUUGAACUCUUCAAACAAGAGGAAUAUCCAGAUUAUCCCUUUAAGCGUAUAAAGGUUACCAGUAGUAAUAAUGAAAAAAAGUGAUAUGAAUUCUCUAAGGAAUUCCAAGAAAAUCCCCAAGUCAACCAAGCUUUUGUCGAUAGGAUUAAUCAGAAAAUUAAGGAUAAUCUUGUUACUCCUUUGACUGUUCAGCCUGAUAAGAGAAUCAAUAUGGUUAAAGGUGAUAUUAGUUCAGAAGAAGAAGCUGAUGAACUAAUUAAGAUGUUUGAGGAACCCCAUAAUCAAAUUAUUAACAACUUGGAAGCCUUUAAGACUAGGAAUUACUAUCCUAUGCCUACUUUUCCUGACAUGCAGUUUGAGGAAAGAAAUCAGUAUACCCAAUCCUCAUACACCAGUGGUACUAUCUAUGAAUGGAACAUAGACGGUAUGACCGAGUAUAACAUACUCACUAAGCUUCAAGAAAUGACCAUGGUAAGUACAGCCUAUAAGUUAAACAAUAGACUGCCAGAUCAUGCUGUAGCUCAGACCAUUGUUGCUGGGUUUACAGGUCAGCUUAAGGGUUGGUGGGAUAAUUAUCUCACUUUUGAUGAUAGGAAUAGUAUCCUUAAAGCCUAUAGGAUUAAUGAGAGUAAUGAAGUUGUUAAGGACGAAGAUGGCCAAGAUAUUGAGGAUGCAGUGGCUACUUUAAUCUACUCAAUAUCCAAGCACUUCAUCGGAGAUCCUGCAAAAAUUAAGGAUAAAACUGCAGAUCUCUUAACCAACCUUAAGUGUCCCAAGCUUCAUGAUUUUUGGUGGUAUAAGUCUUCCUAACCAAAGUCAUGCUAAGGUCAGAUUGUAACCAGUCUUUUUGGAAAGAAAAAUUCAUCUCAGGUUUACCCAAGCUUUUCUCUGAGAGAAUUAGGAUCAAGAUAAGGGAACAGUAUAACGGUCAAAUCCCUUAUGAUAAGCUAACCUAUGGUGAGAUUAUAAGCAUUGUCACAGCUGAAGGGAUUAAGUUGUGUAAUGACUUCAAGCUUAAGCAACAGAUGAAGAAUGAACAAAAAAUCUACAAGAAUGAAUUUGGAUCAUUCUGUAGCCAGUUUGGUUUCAGCCAAAAGGAAACUAUGCCUCCCUCUAAGAAAAAACCAAGCAGGAAGCCUAGCAAAGAUAAGUUUUACCACAGUAAGAGAGGUACCUAUGACAACUAUAGGAUGAAUGAUACUAAGCAGUCAAGGCACGUCCAAAGAAGGAUCAACAAAGAUACCCAGAAAAAGGUAGAAACUCCUUUAGAUGUCAAGCCAAUUACCUGUUUUAAAUGUGGCAAAGUUGGCCAUUAUAAAAAAGAUUGUAGAGUUAAGCAAAAGAUUAAUAAUUAAGUGUCUCAGAUGACCUAAAGAAUAUGCUUUGUAAGGUAAUGUUAAACUCAGAUUCUGAAUCAGGGACUGAUUCAGAUAAUGAAGAUGACAUUAAUCAACUAGACAGUAGUGGUGAAGUUUCCAGCCAAUCUUCUAGUGACCAAGAUGUUUGUAUUAAGGGUAAUUGUAAUUGCCGUCCUAAAACUAUAAAUGUCAUACGCCAAGAUCAGGAGUUUAUCCUAGAUACUUUAAGAAAAGUUGAAGAUGAAAAGACUAAGCAAAAUCUUUAUGAAGUUUUUAAGAAAUCUGUUGUUAAAGUAGAAGACAAGAAGACUGUUAAUCCUUAUAACCUUAAUGAUAUCUUAAACAUGUUUGACCAACAGUCUCCCAAGGAAGUCAGCAUUAAGGAACUUCAUGAAGAAGUUAAGCAGCAUAAAAAGGAGAUUAAGGAGUUAAGACAAUUCAUAAGUCUAGGUCUCUCUGAUCUCCAAGAUCAAAUCAAUAGAAUUGGCAACCAAGAAAUCCAUAUGGAUAUUCCAGAAUCUUCUCAUGUUAAUGAUAAUGAGACAGAUAUUUUUUUUGAAUACUGUGAGUAGGGUUAUCUUCCAGAGGUGGGAAGUCUCCCUUACUAUAGUAGUCAAAGAUAAAUUUGUCUUUAAUAUUAUUGCUUUGAUUGAUUCAGGAGCAGCUGAAAAUUGCCUUCAAGAAAGUCUUGUACCUAUUCCUAUAUGCGAAGAGACUAGUCAGUCUCUAUUUGGAGCCAAUGGCAAGAGACUUUCCAUUAAGUAUAAAUUAACAGAUGUUAAUAUCCGUAACCAUGACGUCUGUAUUAAGCAAACCUUUAUCCUUGUUAAGGAUCUUAAUGAAAAAGCCCUUCUAGGAAUACCCUUCUUAAGCUCUAUUUAUCCCUUGUGGGUAGAUAACCAAGGUAUAAGAACAAAGCUUUUUGAUAAGGAAAUUCAUUUUGAAUUUGCUAAUCCAACUGUAAGCAUCACACCUUGUAACCAAGAAAUUAAUCUUGUUAGAAUAGAUGACCCACCUAAGAUAUUUGGUACCCAAUUCACUCAUAAUCUCAUUAUAAAUGAUAUUUUCAGCAUUCCUUUAUGCAUUUCAAAAUUUCAAACUGAUAUUUUGAACCAAGGAAUUUUAAAAGUUGUUUUCACAACUGAGAAAACAAUUAAGUAUAUAGCUUUUAAGUAUAAUUUAACUGAUUGGAUUAUUUUAAACCCUAAUUUUCAAAUUAAGCUUAUUAAAGGAGAAAGUUCCAUUCCUAAUCUCUCAACUCAUGGAAUUUGCAGGAUUCACGAGACCAUGGCCCCCAAGAAAGACAAACAACCUUUUAGGUCCAUUAAACCUACAGAUUCUAAGAAUUCUCAUUUAGUUCUUUCUGAAAAAUUCAUGCCACUUCAUUAUGGCCAUUUUGAAGUAGCAGGUUCUUCCAGCCACUUUAAUCAUCACAUUCCUUCAGCAUCCCCUAGUAGGGAUAUAGAUUCAAGCUCGGAAUCUCUACCUUUUGUGGAAGAUUCCUUCCCCAUAAAUCCAUCUUUUAGUAAUACUAACACUUUAUCUGAUUAUAUCAAUUGCAUUUUUGAAUGGCAGGGAAGGUAUGAGACCCUUGAAAGGAAACUUGAAUUAGUUGACUUUCAUAAGCUCAGGUUAAAAGCUCAAGCCUCAUUUUCCCCACUCGAAAAUGGUGAGAAUAAGCAUUCUACCCCACUGGUGAAUGAUAAAUUGAGUGAGGAAGAGUUGGGUUACCGUAUGCUAAGAAUGUAUCAUCAUAAGACAGAGAAUCUAUACUCUCUUAAGCCAGAACUACGUCUCCUAAUUUUGAAAAAGGCUAAGUCCUCAGCAGAAGAAAAACAGAUCUUCAUCGCUUCAUACCUCCAAGAUCUUCAUCUCUAUCUUUCUACCAAUAUUGGUCUUAAGGUCCCAGGUUUAAGCUUGGUUACUGAGAAGGAAGUUGAUGAUUCAAAAAUUUGCAGAAUAAUUGAAGAACCUUUCCAGUACCAAAAAGGCAUCAAGAAGUUGAUUUGCAACUGCAACAGAAAUUUCACAAUCAGUCGUGUUUGCUUGGACUUGCAAUACUAUUCACCAAUUAGCAUCAAAUUCAAGGGUGAAGAUUUAUUAUUAACUCCAGAAAAGCUUUUGGACCAUGGUCUAGUCCAUCAAAUCAUCUGUUCUGAUCCCAACCAAGUUUCCCAGUUUGGAAGAAAAAUUGCUCUUGGCCUAACCCAAGGAUUUAAAAUAAAUAAGAAAUUCGCGGAAGCCAUCAUCAUCAGCAAAGCUUCUGAGUGGGUUUCUAGUGGCAAGCUUAUUCCAGCUCAGCACAUUGUUUCUCUUCACUAUCAGAAUAGGAGACCUACUCGACUGUCUUAUCCUCUGUUAUUUUCUGAUAUUUGUGCUGAAUCCAUUAUUAAGCAAAUCAAACACUGGAGAGCCAGAAUUAUUUGCAGGGAUUUUGAGGCUUUUCCAAGAAAUAUGGGACAUCUUAUUGCUGCAGAUUCUUGUCAUCUAAUUUUCUGUGGCAAGAAGUUACACCCUCUUCCAACCAUGGCUAGUAUUGAAGAUAUUAAGCUUCUUGAAGAUCAUCGUAAGGAUUUCUCAUGAUGACUGGUUAACAAGAAUAUUUUACAAGCUUUGCAGUUUCUGUACCAAAAGCAACAAGCAUGCGUCUACACAGUAUAAAGCAGCCUGCCAAAAGUCUUCUCAGCCGAAAAAGGGUUUUUGGGGGAUUUUCGGUAUAAAAGUGAAUCUUACUAUUCAUUAUUCACUAUUCACUAUUCAAGCACGGGUCUACUGUUCAUGGUUACUAUUCAAGAUUCCUUUUUUGCCUAUUUAAGGAGGUAAGGUCCUCAUUUGUAAGGACACUUGAAUUUUCUCUCCUAAGCUGAAGCUCUCCCUUCUCUCUUCUUUCUCUCUCAUCAUGUAAACUCUUCAAGCUUUCAAGCUUUCUUCAAGCUUUCCUACCCCUGUCCAUUGUAAGAUAUUUCUCCUUAUGUAUAAUAUAAGUAUGUUUUGAUUACCUCCUAUAUGGAUGGUUUUUAAUUAUGUUUUGUUUUUCAUUUUAUUUUAUGUUCUUAUACCGCCUAUAUGGUCGGUUUUAAUUAAUUUUUAUUUUUAAGUUUAUGUUUUUUAUUUUGUACCGCCUACAUGGUCGGUUUUAAGCUUAUUAUGAACUAACAAGUUUUUGGUUCCUUCUCUUUAAAUUUCUUGUUGGAUAUCUUAUUUGAUUUCUAACCCUCUUCUUUGUUUUGAAUCAUGGCAUAAUUCAUUUGUUCAUUGCACAUGACCUUGUCCUGGGUGUCUAAUAUAUAUAUAUAUAUAUAUAUAUAUAUAUAUAUAUAUAUAUAUAUACUUACUUUUGUAUAAGAAUUUUUAUAUUUUAUUCUAUUUUAUAAAUAAAGAUGAAAAAUGUAUCCAAACAUAUGCUAACUAAUUCUCUUUAAAAAUGCUUCUAAUGAAAAUAUGCUAACAAAUAAACUGCAAAUAAAAAUACUUUAAGCAAAUUCACUAUCAAGGGAGUCUAAGUUAUAAUAAAUAUUUUCAUCAAGAUUUAAAAGAAAUAAGGAAUUAAGGAAGAAGCUUCAAAAUGAUUUUAAUUUAAACUCAUUUCAUUUGUAAUCUUGCAAUCUCAUGCCCUAAAUGUUCCCAUUCAUCAAUUUUAUUGAUAAAAUUUUAUUAGAAUUAAUAAUUAUUAAAAAAAAUUAAAUUCAAAACCUUUUUAAAAAACCCCACUGUUUAUAUUGUAAUUUGGGUAGUCAUUUCUAAUAUAGAAGAUAUUAUCAACAUUUUAUUUAUUAUUUAUUUUCAUUUUGGUAAAAUUCUAGAAUUACGUGAAUUUUUCUUCUUAGAAUAAGAAAGAUAUAAUAAAGAAAAUGAGGGAAAGCUGAUACGCUAAAUGGAAAUAUGUGCAAUCAAUUUACAUAAAAUUAAAAUUCUGAUUAUUUUCAUUUUUAUUGUUUUUAUUUAAUCAAAAUGACAAUAAGCGGAAUGAAAAAAAAGAAAGGUGAGAAUUAAAAAUUCUUCGUGGAAAAUGCUAGCUGGUUGUACUAAUAAAGGUGAUGGUGAUGAUGAGUAGGGGGCAAUCAUUAUGUUUUCUUAUCAGAUGAGUGAUGAUCCCAAUCAGAAGGCUGACCACUUUAUUAGUGGUGAUGGUGAUAGUUUUCCACAUAUAUCAUCAUCUGUCUUGUGCAUGAUUAAAUUUUGUGGCUUAAAAAUGAGGAUUACCUAUUUACCCCUUUAGGUAGUUUUCAAGAAUUAAGAUAAAAACUUUUAAAACCAUAUCAAGUUUCAUGGUAAAAUAUCAUCAACCCCGACUUAAAUUUUAUCAAAAUAAAAAUUAUUUUUAAGUAAUAUAAAAUAGAAUAACUUUAAUAAAGGUGAUAGUGAAGAUGAUGGUGGGUACACUAAAGGUAUAAAAUUGACGACUUUUAAAGGAUUUAAGAUCUUAGAUAAGGAAAACUAUACAUCAUAUAUCAUUAUAAUUGGAUCUUUAUUCUUAUAUUUAGAUAAGAUACUUUGAUUAAAGAAAUUUAUAGUUAUGAAAAAAAAUAAAUUUUGUAACUUAAAAAUAUAAAUUACCUAUUUACUCCCUCCAAAUGGUUUCAAGAAUUAAUAAAAUCUUUUAAAAACUAUAUAGAAUUUCAUGAUAAAAUAUCAACUCUCAAGAAUGUCAAAAUACUUAAAAUUUUAUCAAAAUAAAAAUUAAUUUUCAUUAAUACAAAACAAAAAUAAACUUUUUUUUUUUUGGAUAGAAAGUGAUAAUUAAAAGAUUUUCAAUUGAAAAUAUUAUACAACGGAUGUUGAUAGAAUGUUAGCUAACAUGUUUAUGUAGGAUUUAAUUUGUGAAAAAUGGAUAAAAAUCAAUUGGCUUAUUGAUGGGACAAUUAAAAGUGUAUUCGAUAGUGAUUUUAUAAAACGUUUUUAUUCUUAAAAGUAUUUUUUUAAAAAAAAAUUAAGUUUAAAAAAACACUCUUAAAAAUAUGAAAAAUCACUUAUAAUUGAGAAAAAAACUUUUAUAAUAUUUUUCAAAAAAAUACUUAAUAGAUGAUUAUCUUAAAAACACUUUUUGAUACAAUAUUUCCGUACCGAACACAUUUCUAAUAUUGCAAAAAAAUUGUCAAUAUAUAUCAUUGAUGGACAUAGUCACAAUAAUUACAUUUCCCACAAAUUUUCUAGAAACCAAGCAUAUUAAUGGGAAUUACAAGUCGCUUGGAAUCAAAUUAAGUUACAUCUGAGGGGCAAUAAGGGAACAUGAAGCACCGUCUUCAACGAGAUGUUGAAGCCAAUACCUAUACCUUCUAAACCAACUCCUCUCUUUUGCUUCAUUCAUCAUCCCAAAGUUCUCCACAGCAUUGUUUAGGAUAUUAUGAUAUAUUUUAGGAAAGUAGUUGUUAUUGUUUAGGAUUGUUUCCUAAACUCACAGUUUUUCCUUAAUUAGGUUUGCUUGAUGUACUAUAUAUUUAGGUGGAUGAAUAUCAAUUAGGGUCAAGCUCUGACCCUUUAAUCACACUUUUCACAAUACCUAUACCUUCUAAACCAACUCCUCUCUUCUGCUUGAUUCAUCAUCCCAAAGCUCUCCACGCUCAUCAUUUCCCUCAAAACUAGUUAUUAAUCCUCUUUGACAAAACCAUGGGCAACAUUUUCUCCGUCGAAAUCUCCGUUAACCACGCUAUCUCUAGUUGCUGGAAUCGCACUACUGAACAUGCAAAUUACCUGUGCAAACUCCCAGAAAAUCUGGUAGCUCUGGGAACUGCUUGUAAAAGAUUGGGGGAGUUCAGGAACGAUGUGAUGAGGAGGGUGGAUAUCGCUGAGAGGGAACAAAUGCAGCGGCUCGACCAAGUUCAAGGGUGGCUUUCAAGGGUCGAAAAUCUGGAAACUCAAGUCAGUCGACUCAUUGAAGAUGGCACGGAGGAGAUUGAGAAGAAAUGUCUCGGUGGUUGUUGUCCUAGGCGUUGCAGCACCAGAUACAAGUUGGGGAAGAGAGUGGCUAGAAAGUUGAAAGAAGUGGACAAUCUAAUGAGCCAAGGAUCUUUUGAUCUGGUGGCUGAGAGGUUACCUUCACCUCGCGUAGGUGAAAGGCCAAGUGAAGCAACUGUCGGCAUGGAUUCGAGGCUUGACAAGGUUCGGAGCAGCAUGGACGAAGAACGAGUGGGAAUUAUCGGCCUAUAUGGGUUAGGAGGUGUUGGAAAAACCACCCUCUUAACCCAAAUCAAUAAUGCUUUUACUAAAAGAACCCAUGAUUUUGAUUUUGUGAUCUGGUCAACAGUUUCCAAAAAUGUAAACCUUGGAAAAAUUCAGGAUGACAUUUGGAAGAAGAUAGGGUGUUGUGAUGAUAGAUGGAAAAGCAAAGAUCGAGAUGAGAAAGCUACGAGCAUCUGGAACGUCCUGACCGGAAAGAGGUUUGUGCUGUUGCUAGAUGAUGUUUGGGAGCGGCUGACUUUAUUAGACGUCGGGGUUCCACUCCAAAAUAAGAAAAAUAAGAUAGUAUUCACCACUCGAUCUGAAGAGGUGUGCGCUCAAAUGGAAGCUGAUAAGAGGAUCAAAGUGGAUUGCCUAACAAGGACCGAAUCCUGGGAUUUGUUUCGAAAGAAUCUUGGAGAAGACGCUCUCAAAUUCCAUCCUGAAAUACCCAAGCUAGCUCAGGUCGUUGCACAAGAGUGUUGCGGUUUGCCACUUGUGCUAACUACCAUGGGUAAGGCCAUGGCUUGUAAGAAGACGCCGCAGGAAUGGAAACAUGCAAUUAGAGUGUUCCAAAGCUCUGCCUCAAAAUUGCCAGGUAUUGGGGACAGAGUGUUUCCUCUUUUAAAAUACAGUUAUGAUUCCUUACCCACGGAAGUUGCCAGAUCUUGCUUCUUGUAUUGUUCUCUAUAUCCGGAAGAUGAUGAGAUGUCAAAAUCAAGUUUGAUAAACCGUUGGAUUUGUGAAGGCUUUUUAGAUGAAUUUGAUGACUGGGAGGGAGCAGAAAACCAGGGUUACAACAUUAUUGGCACUCUGAUUCAUGCAUGUCUAUUAGAAGAAGGUGAUGUUGAUUAUCAAGUAAAACUGCAUGAUGUAAUACGUGAUAUGGCAUUGUGGAUAGCUCGUGAAACUGGGAAGGAGCAGGACAAGUUCUUGGUGAAGGCCGGCAGUACGUUAACUGAAGCUCCUGAAGUUGCUGAAUGGAUGGGGCCAAAAAGGAUUUCACUUAUGAAUAACCAAAUCGAGAAACUAACAGGGUCUCCCAUUUGCCCCAAUCUCUCAACUUUGUUUCUUCGGGAAAAUAGUUUGAAGAUGAUCACUGAUAGUUUCUUCCAGUUUAUGCCAAAUCUAAGAGUUUUAGACUUGUCAGAUAAUAGCAUAACUGAAUUACCACAGGGAAUCUCUAAUUUGGUUUCACUACGAUAUCUCGACCUAUCACUCACUGAAAUAAAAGAGUUGCCAAUUGAGUUGAAGAACCUGGGUAACUUGAAAUGUUUGCUGUUGAGUGACAUGCCUCAACUUUCUUCAAUUCCAGAGCAGUUGAUAUCAAGUCUUUUGAUGUUGCAAGUGAUUGAUAUGUCCAACUGUGGAAUUUGUGAUGGUGAUGAAGCCUUGGUUGAGGAAUUGGAGUCCUUAAAGUACUUGCAUGAUUUAGGUGUCACUAUAACAAGUACCUCUGCUUUCAAAAGGCUUCUAAGCUCUGACAAGCUAAGAAGCUGCAUUUCCAGUGUAUGCCUCAGGAAUUUCAACGGUUCAAGCUCUCUCAAUUUAACAUCUCUCUGCAAUGUAAAGAAUCUCUGUGAGUUGUCUAUCUCAAACUGUGGCUCGUUGGAAAAUUUGGUGAUUGAUUGGGCUUGGGAAGGAAAGAAAACAACAGAAUCUAAUUACCUUAACUCAAAGGUCAGUUCCCACAACAGUUUCCACAGCCUUGAGGUGGUGGUCAUCGAAAGCUGUUCGAGGUUGAAGGACCUCACAUGGGUUGCUUUUGCUCCAAACCUUAAAGCGCUUACAAUAAUUGAUUGUGAUCAAAUGCAAGAAGUAAUAGGUACCGGUAAAUGUGGUGAAUCUGCAGAGAAUGGAGAAAACCUGAGUCCAUUUGUCAAACUCCAAGUACUUGAGUUAGAUGAUCUACCACAAUUGAAGAGCAUAUUUUGGAAAGCCCUGCCAUUUAUCUACUUAAAUACAAUCUAUGUAGAUAGUUGUCCACUUCUAAAGAAGCUGCCACUCAACGCCAACAGUGCCAAGGGACAUCGAAUUGUCAUUUCCGGACAAACCGAGUGGUGGAAUAAAGUAGAGUGGGAGGAUGAGGCAACUCACAACGCUUUUCUUCCAUGUUUCGUACCUAUUGAAGAAUAAGGGGCUGCAGCAAUCUCAGAGAGGCUACGAUGCGAUUCUCGGUGAGACCCUUUUCACAAUUAACUAUCAUUUGAUCAUGAAUAGGUAUUGAUCCAAAUAAAGCAUUCAAUUAUAGCAUCUUUCCAUGGUCGUAUACCUGCCACAUACUGAUAUACUUAAAAAAUGCUAUUCCAUUUCAAACACAUAAGGCAAUUGAUUGCAGGUUUACAAGGAGUCAUCUUGUUAUUGGAAUUCAAAAUCUACAACUUUUACGGUCAUGUUUAGUUAUUAGAAAAUAUUAAGGAAAGAAAAUAAAUAUUAAUGAAAAUAAUUUAUUUUUUGUAUUUGGUUAUAUUAUGAAAAAUAUAAAAAAAAUCAAAUAUAAAUAAAAUUAGUUUGAAAUUUACAAAUUUUCUAAAUUUUUUAAUUUUUAUAUCGAAAAGUUAAAAUAAAUAAAACAAAUUAGAAGUAGCGUAUAAAAGUAAUCUAUUAAUUUUAAAUUUUUUUUUAAUUUUUUUUUACUUUUUUUCCUUGCAUUUUUCCUUUUUAUUUUCUUUAUAUUACAAUUCUCUCAAAUUUUCCAAGAACUAAACAUAGCCUACAUAUAAUGAUCAAAUAUGAUCUUACAAACCAACCCAUAUAAAAAUUUAAGCCCAAUCUUGUGGCUUUUCUAAUUUGGUUUAAUAAGUCAAUGGUAUAUAUCCUUAUGCAAUCUUAUUUUGUUUAGUUGCAGAAUAUAACUUCAUAUGUCAGAAAUGCUUCCACGAUCUUCACUCAAUAAGAAUCCAUUGUUGUCCAAGGUUGAAGGAUAUGAAUGGCUUAUUUUCAUGCCAACUUUUUAGUAUGUUGAUGAAAUUAUAGACUGUCAAAAUAGAACAUAUAAUUACUUAUCUAUGUGAGGUAAACUGUUGGUUUAUGUAUGUUGUUUCAUAGUGUUUGUGUGAAUAUGUUGUUUCUCUUCGAAUUGCAAUAUUACAUUUUUUGUAUUCUAGGGAUUGUGAGUGCAUUUUAUGAUUUAUGUAAAAAAUUUGAGUUGGAUGGCUUUCUUUAAUUGCUCUACUUGAAUGGAAGAGCAUGUACAUGAUAUCUUUGCUUGGAAACAAUCUAGUGUAUAAUUUCAAAAAUAUAAUCCUAUUUUCAAAUAGAAAAGAUAGUUGAGUCAAGGUACUCCUGGACCAACUAGGAAUUGUAUCUUUGUUCGUGGAGAAACAAGCAUUCUUGAGAAAAAAAUCAAGUCCCUCUUUGUACAAAAAUUUUAAGGGAGAACUUGCCCAAGUCAUGGGUAGACCAUAAUUGGGGCACCUUAGCUAAUAAUGGUCCCAUUUGGUUCCCUAUCUAUGUUUAUCAAAUACACCUUUUCAUAAUUGUAAUGGGAAUGGAGUGUGGGAUUUAUACAAUGUUAAAGCAUGUAUUCCUUAAUUUUGCAAUAUGUUAAAGAGGAUGAAACAUUUUUAUUUGUUGCAAUUCAAGAGCAUGUACGAAAAUGCUCUCGCCUUGUGUUCAAAAUAGAAGAACUCAUUUAUCUUAUGUCCAUUAAACUUUUUUCAAAAUUUUGAGAAAGUGAAAAUUUUUCACUUCCUUAAAUUUUUAAUUUUUUUUUUAUGUAGUGUUUUCAAGUAUACAAGGUUUUUACUUGUUUUAGUAUAAUAAUUCUUAUAUUUUAUAUAAGACUUCCUAUUUAAAAAAUAGAAAAUAGAAUAUGUAUCCAAUCAUACACCUAAGUGAUUCUCUUAACAAAAGUACUAUAGAUAAAAAUACUUUAACGAGAAUCACUCCCAAAUGUGUUCUAAGUUAUAUUUUCUAAUGGACCAACUUUUCUAUCAAAAAUUUUUUUGAGUAGACAAUAAUUUAUAAUUAAAUGUAAAACAUUUUUACUCCAUGAUAAUUUUUAUUUAUCUUUUUCCCCUUUAAUAUCCACCUCUCAAUAUCUUGGUAUUUUAAACUAAGGAUAUAAUUUUAUUAGUUGUGCGCAUGACAUUGUCUUACAUAUCCAUGUAAGGUUUUUUCUAAAAUAAAUAAUUAAAAAUUUCAUUAUUAAAAAAAAAAAUAGAAUCAAUAAUAUCUUAUUUUUAUAUAAUACCAUAACUAACAAAUUUCUUACCAUUUUUAUGUUCAUAAAAAAGAAAUAAAUAAGUAAAUGUGUGAAACUAAUAAAAAUAAUUAUUGAUUUACGGUAAUUAUUUGGAAUAUAUUAAUAUUUAACUGAUGGAGCAUUAGCUUAGCUUAGCUAUCAAAUCACUUUUUUUUUUUUGUUUAUAUUCAAAUAGUAAGUUAUUCUAUUUGAAACUAUUUCUAAUGUAACCAGUAUUUAAAAUCACUUUUAAAAAUCUCAAGAAAUGACUUGAAGUGAUUUGUAAACAAUCACUUGAUAUGAUUUUCUUAAAAAUCAUUUUUUAAUACAAUAAUAUGUUACAAAAAAAAUUAUCAGAACAUCUUUUGUUCUUUUUUAAUUUAUAUAUAUCUAUUGUUUUGGAUAUACUUCCCAUCUAUAUGUAGGGACCCCUCCCUCUAAGAAACACGUGGCACGCAUCUCACAGUGACACGUGGCACGCAUCUCACAGUGACACGUGGCACGUGUUAUUAGCCGGACCAUCAUCAUCCGGAUUCCCCUAAGGAUAUGCAUGAUGCAGUUCUCCUAUCCGGACUGCCUCAAAGAAAGGCAAAUGACGUUUCAGCUUCUCCUAUCCAAGGAAGAGCAAACGACGCUGGCAGAGCAUAGACAUCCGGACAACCUUCAUAAUACAUCCGCUCCGCAAUACAUCCGGAUAAUCAGCAUGUGCCAUCCGGAUAUAUCAGCAUGUGCCAUCCGGAUAUAAUCGACCGGAUCAUCAAUUAAAGUAAAGCAAGUCUUACACGCUAUCACAACGAACAGCCAUGGCCCACAUCCUGUCACCUGCAGAGUGAGAAGACAAGAUGAAGUGACAGCAAGUCACUUCCCACGAUCAUUCUACAUGAUCACUUCCCAAGAUCUCUGACAGCCGCAUCACCUACCAUGGUUUCUGACAAGCCGCUCGUAGGGUGAUGAUGCUCUUGCUGACGCCUAUUAUCAUCAUAACAACAUAAAAUAUCUUCUCACCAUUAAUGAGAAGAACAGUACCCCUGAAGCUGUAUAUAUAUAAGCCUUCACACAAAGAGGAAGAAGAUCCCCUGGUAACCUCCUGAUACCUGGUAAAAGGCCAACUGAUUUAUAUCUCUCUCACCAUGGCUAAUAAAACCAUCGGAGGGUGCGUCCGGACACCCUGUCCGGAUGCCUUCUUGCAGGUAUAACGGCUGGAUCAAGAACCUUUAUGGGUUGAAAUCACGUGUCCAUCCAUCUGGCAAUUACGUGGAUCAUCAAAGACGCGAGGUAUCAACAUUGGCGCCGUUUGUGGGAAAGCUAUUUUUCGUUUGAUUCAGUCACUGGCAAAGAUGGCCACACCUUCCCGAAGCCAAUCCUCUGGUAGAGGAGAGGAAGAUAAUUUUGAAUGGCGUAAAGCCAUCAAAAGGAGGCAGUUGGCAAGUGAAAAACAACUGAAAGCUCUCCUCCAGGAGAUAGAGAGGUUAAGAGAAGAAAACGCUGUGUUACGCAUUCAGGCCUCAACGUCGGGACCUCCUCGUCGUCAGCGUUCGAGAGGCCAGGUGGCAAACUCUAGGCCAGAGUCAGAAUCAAUAUAUCCUGGGUCAGCAGGAGCUAUCCCAGGAGCAUGCAACGUGAGGCCUCAUGAGCCACGCACACCCUUGCCUCGAGCUCCCCGGGAGGAAAGCUUAGAUUCCACUCAUUUUUCAGCAAAGAGACAACGUGAUAAAAAAAAAAAAAACAGUUGUCAAGUUCAAUGCGCGCAAGACUAGGCCCACAACAGCCUAGGAGAUCAAGGCCACCAGUAGCCACAACUGGGGCACCACGCCCUGACCCGAGGAUCGCUCCCAUGAUGCAGAACGUACCUCCGCAUCGUGACCCCAUGGUCGCUCCCGCGAUGCGGAACGUUCACUCACACCUAGCGGAACGACCAACUGGGAGAAACCUCCCAAACGAGCCACCCAUUGGCUCCAUUAGCAAAAGGCUGGAUGACAUGCUCUCCACGCCCUUCUGCUCUCAUAUCAUUCAUUACGAGCCCCCAAGGGGAUUCCUCGUACCAAAAUUUUCCACAUACGAUGGAACCAACGAUCCCUUCGAUCACAUCCUGCACUAUCGACAGCUCAUGACGCUCGAUAUUGGCAACGAUGCACUACUAUGCAAAGUAUUUCCCGCCAGCCUACAAGGGCAGGCCCUCUCAUGAUUUCAUCGCCUACCUCCCAACUCUGUUGACAAUUUCAGGGACCCGUCUGAAGCUUUCGUGGGACAAUACUUGUGCUCCGCUCGACAAAAGUAGAAUAUCAGCACCCUCCAGAACAUAAAAAUGCGAGAUAACGAAUCCUUGAGGGAAUUUGUGAAACGAUUUGGCCAGGUCGUACUUCAAGUAGAGGCUUGCAGCAUGGACGCGGUCCUACAGAUCUUCAAACGAAGCAUCUGUCCAAGCACUCCAUUUUUCGAAUCACUGGCCAAAAAGCCUCCUACAACGAUGGACGAUUUGUUCAGACGUGCCAACAAAUAUUCAAUGCUCGAAGAUGACGUGUGUGCGGCCACUCAGCAAGUUUUGGUUGCCGGACAGGCAUCUAGAGGUGACGCGGAAAAAAAUGCUAAACCUCCGGAUCGACCAGGGUCAUCUGAUCGAAGGCAAGAAGGACCGAAUCGCCCGGAUAGGCCGCCUCUCACACCCCUCUCCAUAUCAUAUGAAAAACUUCUCCCAAUGAUCCAAGGCUUGUCCGACUUCAAGUGGCCUAAACCCAUCGGAACGGACCCAUCCACAAGGGAUCGUAGUAGGAGAUGUGUCUUCCACAAAGAUCAUGGCCAUACAACAGAGACAUGUCGCGCUCUCCAAUAUCUGGUUGAGAAGCUCAUCAAAGCAGGGCAUUUGAAGCAAUACUUUCGCACGGAUACUGGGGGUAGGGACGUUUCCCAGCACAACAACCCUGGAGCCCCUAGGGCCCCAGUUGCCCCCAAGGCCGUUAUCAACUAUAUUAACGGAGGACCAUCUGACGAGGAGUAUGACUCCAGGCGGAAAAGGCAGAAAUUGUUGCGGGCUGCAUCAAUACGCGAACGCAUUAAUUCCAUCCGGCCGGGUCUAACUGGAGAGGGCCCUCGCCCUAUAGAUGGGACAAUCAUCUUUCCACCAGUGGAUCCCACCCGGACACUGCAGCCACAUCGCGACGCCCUCAUCCUCUCCCUAGAGAUAGGAGAUUUCGAUGUAAGACGUAUCCUGGUCGACCCAGGCAGUUCGGCCGACCUGGUGCAAGCAUCAGUCGUUGGCCACAUGGGACAUAGUCUCGCGGGCCUUGAAAACCCCAGACGAAUCUUAUCCGGAUUCAACGGAUCAUCAACCACAUCCUUGGGAGAUAUCAUACUGCCGAUCCAAGCUGGCCCAGUCACCCUCAACGUACAGUUUUCAGUAGUGCAGGAGUUAUCACCCUUCAAUGUCAUUUUGGGGCGCACAUGGCUCCACUACAUGAAAGCUAUCCCCUCUACAUAUCAUCAAAUGGUGAGUUUUCUCACCAACGAUGGCCAAAUCGACCUAUAUGGCAGCCAAUUAGCCGCUCGCCAAUGCUAUCAAAUAGCACGGGAAGCAGGGGCCAACCAGGAGGAUGCAUCUCCCCCUGAACCCAACCAUACACAUGACCAAUAUCAAUUAUUGGGUCCGGCGGACAAAGAUCCUCCGGCAGCAGACCCCUUGCAAACAAUCCAAAUUUCGGAGGAAAACACUCACCUCACGAACAUCAGUUCCCUCAUGACACAAGAAGAAACUCAGAGCAUGCAAAAUAUUCUCAGACAAAACCAUGACAUCUUCGCAUGGACACAUUCUAAUAUGAAGGGAAUCCAUCCCUCUAUUGCCUCUCACAAGCUUAACGUCUUUUCAACUGCCAGACCCGUCCGGCAGAAGAUUAGACGCUUCCAUCCGGACAGACAAAAAGUCAUCCGGAAUGAGAUUGACAAAUUGCUAGAGGCCGGAUUCAUCAGAGAAGUAUCUUAUCCGAAUUGGUUGGCAAACGUAGUGGUGGUACCCAAAAAAGAAGGAAAAUGGCGAGUUUGUGUAGAUUACACCAAUCUCAACAAUGCAUGUCCAAAAGACAGUUUUCCCUUGCCACGAAUAGAUCAAAUUGUGGAUUCCACUUCCGGGCAAGGGAUGCUCUCUUUCUUGGAUGCCUUCUCCGGAUAUCAUCAAAUCCCCAUGUCCCCGGAUGAUGAAGAAAAGACAGCAUUCAUAACGCCACACGACCUCUAUUGCUAUAAAGUCAUGUCAUUCGGACUCAAAAAUGCUGGCGCCACUUAUCAGAGAUUGAUGACUAAAAUCUUCAAACCUCUGAUAGGCCACACGGUGGAGGUAUAUAUUGAUGAUAUCGUGGUUAAAAGCAAAACUCGAGAGCAGCAUGUCUUUCACUUACAAGAAGUUUUUCACCUCUUACGAAAGUAUGGCAUGAAGCUAAAUCCUUCUAAAUGCGCCUUUGGCGUAAGUGCUGGCAAAUUUCUGGGAUUCAUGGUCAGCCAAAGGGGCAUAGAAGUCAGCCCGGAUCAAGUCAAGGCAGUCAUGGAAACACCCCCUCCCAGGAACAAGAAGGAAUUGCAACGCCUCACAGGCAAGCUCGUUGCAUUAGGGCGUUUCAUAGCCCGCUUCACUGAUGAACUGCGACCCUUCUUCUUGGCAAUACGAAAAGCUGGAGCACACGGAUGGACAGACAGUUGCCAAAAUGCUUUCGAAAAUAUCAAGCAUUGUCUUACGCAACCACCCAUCUUGAGCAACCCCAUCCUAAAGAAAAAAUUGUAUAUGUAUCUGGCGGUAUCAGAAUGGGCAAUCAGCGCCGUUUUAUUUCGCUGCCCCUCACCCAAUGAGUAGAAACCUAUCUACUACUUCAGCAGGGCAUUGGCAGACGUAGAAACCAGAUAUUCAAAGAUGGAGCUAACAGCCUUAGCCCUUCGAAGCGCUGCCCAGAAGCUCCGCCCUUAUUUCCAAGCUCAUCCAGUGAUCGUACUAACUGACCAGCCCCUUCGCAACAUUCUGCACAAGCCAGAUUUAACCGGGAGAAUGCUGCAAUGGGCCAUCGAAUUAAGAGAAUUUGGAAUCGAAUUCCAACCCAGAUUGUCCAUGAAAGGUCAAGUAAUGGCUGACUUCGUUCUAGAAUAUUCCCGAAGACCCAGCCAACACCACGAAUCAAGUAAACAAGAAUGGUGGACUUUACGAGUUGACGAAGCCUCACGCUCAUCAGGCUCUGGAGUUGGGCUCCUACUACAGUCCCCAACUGGGGAACAUUUGGAGCAAGCCAUCCGGCUGGGAUUCUCUUCCUCUAACAAUGAAGCAGAAUAUGAGGCCAUCUUGUCCGUAUUGGAUCUCGCCCUUGCUCUAUCUGUCUCCAAACUCCGGAUCUACAACGACUCACAACUCGUGGUAAGGCAUGUCCAGAAGGAAUAUGAGGCUAAGGACGCACGCAUGGCGCGAUACUUAGCUAAAGUAAGAAGCACCUUGCAGCAAUUCACGGAAUGGACAAUAGAAAAAAUCAAGCGAACUGACAAUGGGCGCGCUGACGCCUUGGCGGGUAUAGCUGCCUCCCUCCCCAUCAAAGAAGCUAUUAUAUUGCCUAUACAUGUGCAAACCAACCCCUCUGUCACAGAAAUUUCCACCUGCAACACCAUUGAGGCAAACCAGGCGGACGAUCAAGAAUGGACGUACGACAUUGCAGAAUAUCUCCGGACAGGAACCCUACCCGGAGAUCCCAAACAGGCACACAAAAUCCGGGUGCAAGCUGCCCGUUUCACCUUAAUUGGGGGGCACUUGUACAAACGAUCCUUCACAGGACCUUACCUUCGGUGCCUAGGGCAGUCAGAGGCCCAGUAUGUGUUAGCUGAGUUACACGAAGGAAUAUGCGGGAAUCAUUCAGGAGGACGAUCCCUGGCACAUAGAGCUCAUUCGCAAGGAUACUAUUGGCCAACAAUGAAGAAAGACACGACAGCAUAUGUUAAAAAAUGUGAUAAAUGUCAACGGUAUGCUCCCAUUCCACAUAUGUCGUCAGCAACAUUGAAAACAGUCUCAGGCCCAUGGCCUUUUGCACAAUGGGGCAUGGAUAUAGUGGGACCCCUCCCAGCAGCACCUGCCCAGAAGAAAUUCCUCCUUGUGGCCACUGAUUACUUUAGUAAAUGGGUAGAAGCUGAAGCAUAUGCAAGCAUCAAAGACAAAGAUGUCACCAAGUUCGUAUGGAAGAACAUUGUUUGCCGUUUUGGAAUCCCCCAAACAAUCAUAGCUGACAAUGGCCCGUAAUUUGACAACAUUACAUUUAGGAAUUUCUGUUCGAAGCUAAACAUCCGGAAUUCAUACUCCACACCGCGCUAUCCUCAGAGCAACGGGCAAGCAGAAGCCACAAACAAGACCCUAAUCAAUGCCCUAAAGAAAAGGCUUGAGCAAGCUAAAGGGAAGUGGGUGGAGGAGCUACCCGGUGUCCUAUAGGCCUAUCGAACCAGACCCGGACGACCAACAGGAAACACUCUUUUUGCCCUCGCAUAUGGAAUGGAUGCAGUCAUUCCUACUGAAAUAGGUCUUCCUACUAUCCGGACUGACGCAGCAAAGCAAGAUGAUGCAAGCGCGGAAUUAGGGAGAAAUUUAGAUUGGGCAGAUGAAGUAAGGGAAAACGCGGCCAUCCGGAUGGCAGAUUAUCAACAAAGGGCAUCAGCACAUUACAAUCGCAAAGUGAGGCCAAGAAGCUUCAAAAAUGGUACGCUAGUCCUUAGAAAAGUUUUUGAAAACACUACUGAAGUAGGCGCAGGGAAGUUCCAGGCCAACUGGGAAAGACCCUAUAUAGUGUCUAAGGCAGGUGAAAAUGGAGCCUAUCAUUUACAAAAGUUAGACGGAACUCCAUUACUUAGACCUUGGAAUGUGUCUAAUUUAAAACAGUACUAUCAAUGAAAAAGUAAGACAAAGUACAAAUGGAAAAAGACAUAUUUUAUUGAUGUAUAUAAAUGUAUGUACAAAAAGGUCUCCGGACCGUAGAAAGUACAAAAAGAAGAUUAUAGCAAAAAGUUGCAAAAAGACAAAAGCUAUCAGGGAGCAGGCUUAAAGUUUCUUCUCUUCGCUCGGAGGAAUUGAAGGGACAUCUCGUUUUAUACCGUUCUUCUUCAUACAGCAACGAUAGCCGAAGAUGAAGGUAUCAUCCACUUGUUUUUGAUAAUCCGCUUCAAGUUCCUCCCUCUCUGCAGCAAACUCCCGUUCUAGCUCUUCUUUUUGCGCUGAUAAGCGCAGCUGCAAGUCUUCUUUUUGCUUCUUUUCAAUAGAAGCCUUUGUCCGGAGUUGCCUCACCUCCGCCCCCAUCCGGGCUAUCUCAUCCUCUGCCUCAUGCAGACGGGCAAUCGAUGAUUCCUCCCGGUCCUUAGCCUCAACCAAUUCCACCCGAAGGGCUUCAUUGUCCUCCCGAGCGGUGGAUAAGCUGGCUUCGGCCUCCACUAGUCUCAGGCGCAACUGGUCUUCAGUAUCUUUAUGCCGAGCGGCGAAGGCCUUCAUAUAAUCAGUGGUCCGCAGCAGGUCAGUGAAAAGAUCGUAUUGAUUGGCCAUGCCACGGAGACCACUCACCAGCUGCAGACAAACAGUCAAGCAAGAAAAGCAAAGUUAGAAAUCACACAUCAGAAUGACAAAAAAUCAAGAAGCACAAAAGCAGUUUAUCGUUUCCACUAUCUCGAACAUCUUGGCUGAAGGCGUGACAAGGGGCAAGUCGGGUGGAAUCUGUUUCAGCUUCUCUUCCAACUCCGAGUAGCUAAAAGGACUAGUAGAGGUGCAAGACGCAUCAUUAACAGGAUUCCUCUCCAAUGAGGCAAGAGAAGAUGACUCUUGUUCCGGAUUCGGGGCCUCAACAUUUACGACCGGAUGGGUCUCCCCUGGUGCAACCUCAGCCGGGACCAUCACAGGGAUGGCUGGAGGCUCAGUUGCCAUCUCCACUUCGCCCCCAUCCGGAUGAGCGUCGUGAGCAGAUGAGCAACUAACUUCGAUCUCUUGCUGACGAUCUUGAAGCCGCCCGAGGAGUCCGGACCUCAGAUUGCGCGCCGAGCGAGGCCUCUUUGAGGGUGGCCCCGUCACCAGAACAAGAGCCAGCCGGUCUGGAUCGUCAGAGGGCUGACUCUGGCUUUCUGCCCCCGCUUCCUCCAUGGGGGUCGCACAAACGGCUUCAGCUGCUUCAACAUCCGGGUUAAGGUUGCCCGGAUGAUUGAUGGACGCAGCUUCCUCAGCCACAUUAGCCAAACGGGCAACCGCGGCCAAAGAAGUGCUUGAGUGGUUCAGCCCCGCGACGUGUCCGGAUCCGCUUGAGAUGGAAUGGGGAGUAGGGUUCACUGGCUCCUCUAUCAUCACCUCCGCCUCGUGAGUGUUGGGCGGAGGAGCAAAUUCCUUGGGAGGAGUGGGCUCCUUCACUCCCUUCCCAUUCUUCUUCACCAGUUUCCUCUUUUUCGCUGGAGUUUUCUUUGGAGAAGAGUCUGCGUCGCAUUUCUGUCCGGGAGCCUUCCGAAGGGUUCCUUCGUUUUUCUUCUUCUCCCGAUUGUCCAGAAGCGCUCGGCGUUUUUCAGCAUCAGCCUCUUUUAACGCCUGGUAAAUCGGGAGAUCCUUCAUAGUAUAAUGCUCCCCAGGCACCACCUCCUUUGGCAUUUUCCUGGGGAGAAUGUUGACAACAUACUCUUGGGGCUCCCCGACGACCACCAUCAGGUUUCGCGCAAUGAGCAGCGUUUUGUAGUGCCUCUCCUUGGCGUCUAUCUCAAAUAGUUUGCUGAGACAAGCAAAAGACGCCUUUUCCACCCAGUCCACAAGGUGGCCCCUCAAUUCCGGACCUACAUUAACAGUAACAAAAGAUGAGAAUACCAUCCGGAAAAGUCAACAAAAAAUCAACAAAGUAAAAUCCGGACAAUAGUCGUAAAGCAAACCUACCCGGAACCACCAAGGAGUAGUUUGGAGAGAAAGGUCUCGCCGGAUGCUCCAAAAACCCCGCCCAUGCACCCCGGACCACCACGUGUCCCGUCGCCCCUCCCUUUAUCAAAUCUGGCAGCUCCGUCACCAAUUGAAGGGAGGGCAGGUGUGCGGACAUGCUGAAGAUGUCAUUUUUUACCUUUUUCAGAGAAUAAACAAAAAACACCUCCAGCAGCGUGAGGUCGAGGUUGUACAGCAUGUUUAUAAUGCUGCAUCCCAUCAGCACCCGGACGAUGUUGGGAUGAAUGAAAACGGGUGGAAUCUGGGUGAAAUGGAGGAACUCCUUGAACAAUGCUGGCAGAGGGAACCGGAGCCCUACGUUGAAUUGUUCCUUCGAGAAGAUGAUGGUUUUUUCUUCUGCUUUCUCAGAAGGCACAAGCACCCUCCCAUUCAGCAAUUCAAUAGCCACGCCAUUCGGGAUACAGAACCGUUCCCGGAAUUCCUUCGCAUCCAGCUUAUCUGUAGCUUUUUCACGAACCUCGCUAGCCCGGGAAGAUGAAACAGUCUUUUUUGCAGCCAUUUCUUACCACAAAGACAAACCAAAAUCUACAUACAAAGAAGCGCAAUGGGUAAAACACAAGUAACCCAGAAAAUACACAAACCCUAACCCAAAGCAGUCAGAAAAAAAACCCCCAAAGAACCCCAGAACACCAACAAAAUGCCAGCAUUCAAACAACAGACGCAAGCGACUUGCCCAAAACAAUGCCCAAACAAACCAGAAACCAAGUUCAAUCAACCAACAAACGCAACAAAAGGAACGACAAAAGCAAGAGUACACGUACCAAAUAAAGCUCUGAAGGAGAAAGGUUGCUGUCUCGAUACAAAAUCACGAGCAGCAAACGAAUGUCGCGAAUACAAAAUCACCGGUACAAAGAGCUUUCGAGUUCUUUACUCAGAGAAGCAAAGGACACAACAGAAGUGAGAAGAAGAAAGGCUCUCAGGAGAAUGCAGUAGGAAAAAAUGCAAAAAAAAGGUACAGUGCGCUAUUUAUAAGGGGAUAGCCCCUCGGAAAACCAAACGAACAGCUAUGCCAUCAUUGAAACGACAUAUUGCCUGGGGAUACACAGGGUCGGCGGCUCGUCAUAAAGGCCUUUUUUGGCUCCCGCACCCCCACUCGCCACGUGGCCCAGUCAGACGAAGAGACCUCUUCAGUUUUCAAAAAAAAUCAGUUAUUUUUUAGCCCGCCCAUUUUUUGGGCAAAAUAGGCAAGUUAAAAAGGGGGGCAAUGUAGGGACCCCUCCCUCUGAGAAACACGUGACACGCAUCUCACAGUGACACGUGGCACGUGUUAUUAGCCGGACCAUCAUCAUCCGGAUUCCCCUAAGGAUAUGCAUGAUGCAGUUCUCCUAUCCGGACCGCCUCAAAGAAAGGCAAAUGACGUUUCAGCUUCUCCUAUCCAAGGAAGAGCAAACGACGCUGGCAGAGCAUAGACAUCCGGACAACCUUCAUAAUACAUCCGCUCCGCAAUACAUCCGGAUAAUCAGCAUGUGCCAUCCGGAUAUAUCAGCAUGUGCCAUCCGGAUAUAAUCGACCGGAUCAUCAAUUAAAGUAAAACGAGUCUUACACGCUAUCACAACGAACAACCAUGGCCCACAUCCUGUCACCUGCAGAGUGAGAAGACAAGAUGAAGUGACAGCAAGUCACUUCCCACGAUCAUUCUACAUGAUCACUUCCCAAGAUCUAUGACAGUCGCAUCACCUACCAUGGUUUCUGACAAGCCGCUCGUAGGGUGAUGAUGCUCUUGCUGACGCCUAUUAUCAUCAUAACAACAUAAAAUAUCUCCUCACCAUUAAUGAGAAUAACAGUACCCCUGAAGCUGUAUAUAUAUAAGCCUUCACACAAAGAGGAAGAAGAUCCCCUGGUAACCUCCUGAUACCUGGUAAAAGGCCAACUGAUUUAUAUCUCUCUCUCACCAUGGCUAACAAAACCAUCUGAGGGUGCGUCCGGACACCCUGUCCGGAUGCCUUCUUGCAGGUAUAACGGCUGGAUCAAGAACCUUUAUGGGUUGAAAUCACGUGUCCAUCCAUCUGGCAAUUACGUGGAUCAUCAAAGACGCGAGGUAUCAACACUAUACAAAAUACAAGAACUCUAAUGCAUAAAACAAAAUAUCUAUCUUGUGUCUUUAAAACUUUUUUCAUAAUUUUGAAAAUUUUGAGAAAGAGAAUUUUUUUAAUCCUCAAAUUUUAAAAAAUAUUUUCAAGUAUAUAAGGUAUUUAUUUUUGUCUAAGAAUUUCUAUAUUUUAUAUGAGACUUUCUAUUUUAAAAACAAAAAUGAGAAAUGUAUCUAAACAUAUAAGUAAUUCUCUUUAAAUAUGUUUAUAAUGAAAUCGUAACUAACAAAAGUGUUGCAAAUAAAAAUACUUUAAGUAGAAUCAUUCCCAAUCGAGUUCAAAGUUAUAAGAAGUAUUUUUUAUUAAUAUUUCAGAUCACCAAAAGAAAUUAUAAGGGAUUGCAAUAUUACAAAAAAAAUUAAAAAUGAUUUUAGUUUAAGCUCUUCAUUUGCAGUCUUGUAAUCUCAUGCCCUAAAUUUUCCAAUUCAUCAAUUUCAUUGGUAAAAUUUUAUUAAAAUUAAUUAUUAUUAAAUAAAUUAAAUUUAAAACCUUUUCCAAAACCAUAUCCAUUUAAUUGCAAUAAAGCAAAACUUCCUUGUUAUCAUGGUAGAGUAAAGAGAAAAGAAUUGGUUUUAGAAAAGAAAAAUAUAAAGAAAAAGAAAAAUGUUCCAAAAACUCCUAAAAAUUCCAAAAUCCAAGGGUUGAGAUCCCAAAAUAUGGAAAAACUUUAUUCAACUGGAGUUGGAAUAGAACUCACUUGGAGUUGCAGUAAAACUUACUUUUGGUUGCAUAUCAUAAUUUCAGUUAAUCUCAUUUCUAAUCAACCCAAGUAACAAUUAAUGGGAAAAGAAAGUUUAGUAAGGGGGAACUCAUCUCUCUCUAUUAAAAAUAUCUUCAAGAUUUUAGUGCAUUCACGUAUCCUUUUAUUGCCUACCUGUAGACCCUCAAUUUUGUCCCUUUAGCGCAUGUCUUUAAAUUCGUUUUUAGUGCUCCACAGUAGUUCCUUGAUGGCCCAUGGCUACUCAUACCACUUACCUUUUUCUGAGUCACCUUGGAGACUUUGGUUGAGGGAUUAUUUGAUCCCUUAUUGUGACCCUUGGCAGCCCUAACUUAGACUUAGGCUUUUUUUUUUUUUUUAGGAUAGCUUUUAGAUACACUUGGCCCAUUAGGCACCAUCCUAGGCCUACUUAGUCUCACCUUAGGCCCGUUUAGGCACACUAGGCCUACGAAGACUUUUAUUUUAUUUUAUUUAUUUUGUUUUUAGUUUUAAUUUUAUGAUUAUCAUUCACUUUUUAUUGGUUAUCUUCCUCUUUAUAUUAUUUUCCUUAACUUAUUUAUUUAUUUAUUAUUUUGACCAUUUUUUAAUUUAUUUACUUAUUCAUCUAUUCAUGCAAUUAUUUAACUUCAAAAAUUUCAUGUUUUUUGCAAGGAAACUUACCAUUGGAGUUUAAGGAAGGCGGGACUUUCCUUGGAAGGUUUUGGAGGGGAAUUUGAAAUUGGGAAGAUUGCUUUUGAUUGGAAGAUUUAAAAAAAGAGAAGAGAAGAAGAAAGGAAAUAGGAGAAUUCUCCUUUUUGGAAACAAAUUUAGGUCUUGAGGGGUGAUAUAUAAAGGAGAGAUCUUGAAAAAAGAAAGCGCAGAGAGAAGAGCAGAAAGAGAGGGAGAUUGGAGGCAAGAUUGCCCAGGUACGUUUCUGGUUACUUUUGGUGUUCUUAUUCAUACUCGAUUCCUCCAUUUGAUGAUUUCUGAAUAUUCAAUAUAUUAUUGGUUGGUGUGGACGGAAAGGGCCACAAAUUGCUGUGUUGAAAUUAGAUCUUUGUCUGUUUGAUAUGUUCAUCAUUCUGUUAAUGUCAUCGAUCCCGCCUGAAAAUAAAUUGCAUACAUGUCCAUCUUCAGACUGGAUGGUAGAAAUCACGUCCUGUUUUUAUUCAAAUCUUAUUCUGAAAUCACUCCCCUGUUCUAAGCUAAUGGAUUGAAAUGCGAAAUUGUGACUUUUGUUGAUCAUCUUUCCUCUCUUUCUAUACGUUUUUGUUGUCUUCUUCUAUUUUUGGUCCAUACCUCAACAAGCUCUAUUCCUGGCCUUCAAGAUUUGUUCUCUGCUUCGGAGUUAAAAAUUAAAAAUCAUGGGAAAAGGGACACUCUGCUUUUUCUGCAUUCGGAUAAGCAUAAAGUGGUGCUCGAAAUCAUGGACUUCUCUAAGCCUUCUGGUACUGUCGUUGUGAUUCUAAAAUCUAAAAGUCAAAUACAACCUGGGCCAUUCACCUUCAGUAACAGCUCUAAUCAGUUCUACAGAGGAGUGUGUGAUUCUGAAAGCAAGGAAAAAGUUGACAGCGUUGGUUCAAAAAUUUUGGGGAUUAUGGAAAGAGAUGAGAAAUAAUGAGGAGAUACGAUUGGGGUUGAGAUUCUGGAUCUUUAAGGAAAAAUGUCAUGGGGAAUGGAAGCUGGCAAUGUUCUUACACUAUUUCUACGGCUUCAGCCAUUGGUAGCUGUCAUGGGUUAGGAUCUAGUGGCAGGCAAAAUAGCAGAAAGAAAGAAAUUGAUGCAGCUUCUGUUGAUAAGUGAGUCCCAAAUGCUCCGGUUGGAAGAAUGUUCUCUAUAUGUUAAUUAAUCAGAUGAGUCAGUCAUGGAAUUCAAAAUCCUCAUUGCUGCUGUCUGGAAGAAAAACUAUGGCAAUUAGAGAAGACAAUCAGUUCGACCCUUUUGUUGAAGAUUUUGUUUUGGAAAGACUUCCUGUUCAAAUUUCUCUGCGGAUAUUGUUCGAUGUAGUCCCUAACAUUAGAUUUCAAAAUGUUAUUGAACUGAUAAGUGUGCAGUCAGUUGCUUCUAAUCUAGCAUUCUUGAAGAGAAUAUGCAUGGUGAUGUUUUUAUGAUGCUUUAAAUCAGAAUCCCAAGAGAUCAAAGUGGAAGGGAUCGGAUUGAAGGAAUUUCAACAACCGCUGACUUCUUGAAGCCCAGCUUGACUGUGCCCAGUCCGUACAAGAAGUCUGACUUGUCUUAUCUGGUUGGUUCAUCUGGAGAUUAAAGUUUGAACAGCUUUGGGACAAUGUUGCGUUUCUAGAGAACCCGCAUGCUAGGCAGAAUUCGGUUGAUGAUGUUCUACAUAAUAAGCAACAGGGGAAUGGUUUGGACAGAAGCAAUUUUCUUUCUAAAAAGUUCAGUUGCUACUUCACAAAGUAAUUUGCAAGUGCUGGCGAGCAAAUGUCUCGCUGCCUAAUAUACUGAGAUGAUAUUGUUCCUAAAGAUGCGAAUGCAGCUGUGGCCAUCUAUCCAGCAGUUUGUUUGCAGCAAGGACUCGAAUGAACUAUGGUUCUGGUGCCAAAGUAUACUAGAAGUUGCAGAGAAGUUAUGUGGAUCUUUGCUUGUUCAUCAUCCUGAAGCACUCCUGAUGAAUACGUAUUCAGGCAACUGGAAACGUGCUUAUAUGGCUUUGUAGCAUCUUGUUGAAUGUCUUACUUCUACUCAUGCUCCUAAGCAAAGACAUUCCACUGCAAAGUCUAUCCACAUUAUCCCACAAAUUCAACUGUCAAAUUAUUUUGAAAGACAUCUCUCAAAAGCAUCAGCUAACAAAGGAUUUCCAUGGAGUAGAGAGGAUACUCUAGUCACAUCGUCUUCACAGUGAAAGAAAGGUCCAAUCUAAUCUUCAUACUAUUCAGAGUCUGAUGCUCUCAAGAAUACGUUAUCUUCAUCUUCUACAAAAUCUGAACUCAAAUAACUUUGUUGAAUCACUCGAGAGGUCCUAUGAAUUGGCAGCCAUGAUUAGCUCAGUGAAUAUGUAAAUUCCUGUGAUUAUCAAUCUUCUUAAUGAAGUCAACAAUCCCCACUCUGCUUCUGCCUAUGGGAGUCUCGAUUGAACCUGACUGCAGAUUCUGAGUUGCAGCAAGACUUCAACAACUUUAUUUUACCCGAAGUUUUGGUAGGCUGACAUCUGCAAAUGAGUUGGUUGUUGACUCUGGUCUGAUUACACGAACCUUUCUCUCUGAUUGUCAAGUAAAUUUAUUUGGUCCUAUUCUAUCCAAUGAUCCAUCUUGGCAAGAGAUGCGGACUCUGGUUGUUGGGAGAACAUGGGUGUAAUAUUCAGCAGUGAGGCCAGGGAUGGCGAAUGAGCAAUCCGGGAAGGAGAUCCAACCAUAUGGAGACAUUCAGUUGACACCUUUAGUUGACUACUACAGUUUCAUAACCUAGAAGACUGAUGCUCGCAAGGCAGGUAAGUUCAGUUGGGAACCGGAAUCAACCAUUCUGACCUUCAGAGAAGUAAAUUUGAAAGUACAACAGGGCCAUAAAAUAACGAUUUGCGGAUGAGUUGUGACAGGGAAAUCAUCACUCCUACAUGUUAUACUUGAAGAAAUUUAAAUGACAUAUUGAUCAAGUUUCAAUUCAGUCAGCUUGUCAUUAUCGGCAAUUCUAUGAUAGUUUGUUGAAAAUCGCAUUUCAAGUUUAAUGAUAUUGAUGGUGCUAUUGAGCAUGUUAAUAACUUUGCAGCCUCUGACGAAAGUCUCAUAAUUUAAUUCAUUGGGAAUGAAUUGCUGCAUAUUUAUACUCUGUCAAGGAUGAUAGAGAACGGUAUCCCACAUACUAAAAGAACUCAAGUUGGUAAGAAAGAGGUUGUCAAACGAAGUCAACCAGGGCAACGCCAGGACUUCACUAAAUUUCAAGCUGAAAUCAAGGUCUUAUCCAAAAUUCGCCACCGCCAUCUGGUUCUCCUUGAUUGGAUACUGUGAUGAAAGGCUUGAGAUUUGCAUUGGUUCUGCAUGCGGUACUAAUCACCUUCACACUGGUUCUGAUGGGGGAAUCAUUCAUUGGGAUUUUAAAUCAACAAACAUGUUGCUUCAUGAGAAUUAUAUGGUCAAAGUUUCUGAUUUUGGUCUUUCAAAAAUUAGACACUUCAAAUAAAUCUUGUAUCAGUACAAAUGUAAAGGGCAGUUUUGGUUACCUCGAUCCAAUUUCAUAUCUCCCAUGUGUCAGUUCUGGUCCAUACAGUAUAGAAAAUUCCCGAAUUUGUCACUCAUGCAGACCUAAUUGUGAAACAAAAAUUACUGCUGUAGAAGGUCAGUACCAGAUUGGAACCUACACUGUAUGUCAAAUUCAGUAUGGUGAGGAGAUCACCUUUGAUUAUAACUCAGCCACUGAGAACUGAGCAAGAAGAGACUCGAGAUUUGACAACUGCUAUCCAGGAGCAAGCACCUAAAGGCUUGGGUUUGAAAUCAACUGAGUAGUCAGAGAAUCCUAUCCAAAACAAGCAUCCUAGAAACUCAUUAAUGACAGAAAGCGGUGCUGAUAAGAAUCCAGAAUUAAAUGAGAAGCUACAGGGUGCAUCAGGGGUUUUGUUGGGGAGUCAGGCCACUGCCAGUAGAAGUGAGCAAGAGAAAGAACUGACAACCGCUGCCCAGCAGAAAGCAUGGGAAAUCCGUAAUUCUGGCGUUUUAAUUGAUAUGGAUCUCGACUUAACUGAGGGAUCUCAUUAUCUUGCCCAAAACAAGAUCCCAACAAGCUCACCAAUAACACACGACAGUGCUGGUCAAGAUUCGGCUAAUGAUGUUUCACAUAAUAAACAAAAGGGGAAUGGUCUGGAUAGAAGCAAACUCCCUCUCGAGAGUUCCUAUCUGAAAUUGUUCCAGUUGGUCAAUCACACGCUGUUGUUCCAUGCUCAAAUACAGAUGACAACAGCCAGUUGUUUCUGUAAGAUAUGUCAAUUUGCAACAAAGGUGCAAACUCAGCAGAUAUAAAUGUGCAUGAGACUAAGCUUGAAUCAACAUAUUUAUAUAUACAGAUGGAAUACUGUCCGGUGGUCAAAGAUUGAUGAGAAGGCUGACAUGUACAGCUUUGGGAGUUGUAUUCUUUGAACUAUGGCACUCGUUUGGAACAGUAAUGGAGAGAAGCAUCGUUCUUAAUAAUCUGAAAUAGGAGGGAGAUCUCCCUUCUUCUUGGGUUGCUGAAUUUCCUGAACAAGCAUCCCUUUUGCAGCACUUGAUGUCUCCAAGUCCAUCUGACCGUCCAACUUUGAGCCUUUUAUGUGAUGAUCCCGGUUCAUAGAACAAGGAAAAUUCUGAAGCUUGCUGAUUAAUUGUGGAAAAAUCAGGGAUUGAAGUUCCACUCGGGCUACUGCCAUGAUUUAAUCUCACCCAGUCUUCUGAAGUAAUGUCUAUUGUUCUACAUAAUACCUUGGUCUACAGAAGGCUUCACUCAACAUCAGCCUGCCCCACCAGUCAUUAGUAUUGUGAAGAACUGGACAUACUCCACUUACAACUGAUUCGUGGCAGAAACAGAGUAAGAAGAAGGGGGAAGGGAAAGAGCAAGACACACGACAAACUGGAGCUUCGAGGUUGCAUGAUUAAUUUCUAGAGAUACUUGAGAAGCAGAUGAAUUUUGGCUUCAGCAAAAGAAAACCAAGAACUUGAAAAUCGAGUUACAGCCAAAUCAAAUGCUAUCAAGCAUAUUGAUCUCAAAGCAAUGGGGUUCAGGACAGCAAAAGGACUCUAUACCUGUGGAAAUUGAAACUGAUCUAGCUGCCUAUCACAUCAAGGGUAUCCUUAGUUUGCUCUUGAUGAAUAAAUAGGAAGCACAUAUCGACUUUGUUUGUUUGUCCAGCUAAGAGACCAAUUGAUGCAGAAUUCUGGAACUGUUAUGGAAUUAGUAGAGCUUUUAAUAGAAAUACAGAUCAAACGCCAUCAUUAAAGAUGAAAACCAAGUUCAGUGCAGAUUGUUUAAGAUGGUCUCCGUGUGUGUCAGAAGUUAAGUACAGUAUCCAAGCAUUCUUGCUCUCCAUUGGAAUCCCUCAGCAAACAGCAGAAUUUGAAUCAUGUAUUCGAAGUAGUCAGGAUGUCUCUCCAAGUAACGAAGUCUUCACACAGGAAGCUUAAGUAUGCAGAAAAUGGUUUAUUUGACCACAGACCGCAUGAAUCGAACUCUAUUAUGGCAGAUUGAGGUAAAAGUUGAAAGGCUUAACCAAUUGAAAGCUGGCAAAAUACAGGGAACCUCUCAAUGCAGAAAAUUGGAAAUUCUAAACCUUCUAUUCAGUAUUUGGCUUAUGUUGUGAAGAACUCCAUUUCAGCAAUCUACAGAAGCAUCCCCAGGCGACCCAAGUAAUUCAGUCACAAAAGCAGCCUAGACACUAAUCCAACUUGGCCGCCUUGCCACAUACCAUACUCCUCCUAUUGUUUCUUCUUCUUUUUUAUGAUCUUAUACGUCUUAAAGCCGAAUUUCAAAACCUUUUUCUAUCAAAAAUGAAUUUGGUUUUCUCUAAGGUUCCUUAGAAGCAUUUAGGUACAAAAUCCAGAUUUUAACAUGCAAUUUGCUGCCACUUUAUUUCGGGUAUGCACGUUCACUGUUUUCUUUGAUUUUUAACUAUUUUCUUGAUUUUUCUUGAUUUUCAACAAGCAUGAAUAAACUUCAUGAUUCCAAACAAUGGAAUUCAUUGAAUCGACUCAUGCAAAAUCAACUUGGACCUUGGUGGGGGGUCCUACAUUCUCGAUAUCUUCACUAAUAUUGAUUUUAAAGAUGAUUGUUUGGUAUUUAAUUGAUUUUGAUUCCUUUUAGAGAAAUGUUUGAAUUUGUUUUAUAUUUGCUAUUGGGCUAACCUUGCUUCCCAUAAAGGCGCUACUAGCUUGCUAUCCAGGUACUCUUCUUCUCAUUUUUUGAGAAUUCCAUGGACACAUGUGUUAUUGAUGACUAUAUCCAUACAUGAUGUGGUUUUUGGAUGUCUUGAUAUAUGCCUGAUUUGCUUGAAUAAAACAAAUGUUGUGUGCUACAUUUCUACACUAACUUUUUUGUUUUAUGAUAGCGCUUGAAGAGCGGUUCAGGUACGCACCUUAACUCUCCUUUAUCGCAAUUUGAUUGUGUUUGGCAUGCCACUCUCUAAAAUCACCUAGCCUAUGUAGGUAUCUAUAAUUAAUGGAUUAAUUGCCACACUUCCCUUAACUUUGUCAGUAGAGACCUUUUUAGGGCUUAGAGGGGUGCUACCUCCUAGAGGUACCUUCCCAAUAAGUAACCUGAUCCCCGGACCUAGACUCGGGUUUCUCAAAGACAUGCUUUUUCCAAAACUAUGGAGUCACUUUUUAGGGUUUUUCUUUCUUGUUUUAUUUUCCCUUUAAAAUAAAAAUAAAAUAGGUGGCGACUCCAACUUUUUUUAAAAAAUUAAUUUUUCACAAAUAAAAAGCGAGUCUCGCCGAUCGAGUGGGGACGCACGUGAAAAAUGCGGGUCCACACUACCCAAUAAUAAAGAUCAUUUUUUAAAAGUUUUCUCACUACUUUUACUAAUAUUAGUUGUCCAAAUAUUUUAACUUUAGGGUCAUGGUAUAUUCUAUUUAAUAAUACUUGUAUUUUUAAUAAGUAUUCAACACAUCUACAUUUAUUCUACCACAUUAGCAUUAAUAUAGUAUAACUGUUCAUUCAUUUUUUGUCAUCUCAAUACUUCUAUAAAGGAAGAAAAAAAAUGUUAUUUGGAUUUGAAAAUAAUUAAUAAAAGCUUUAAAUUAUUAGAAAAAUGAAUUACAACAAUUCUUUUAUAAUAAAAUAACUUAAUUAUCAAUUUAUUUAUUUUCAAUUAAUUAAAUUUCAAUAAAGUGCAUAGUAUAAAUAAAUUAUUAUACCACAUUAGUAAUUAUUAUUAUAACACCUCAGCAAACUUAGAAUACCAAAGAUAUUGAAUAUAUUCUCCUUGAUAAUUUCAUGUAUUAUUGAUGUAAUUGCAAUAAUUUAUCAAAAAUUUUUUUCAGGUUUUAGGUGAUUAUGGAUGUGUACAUAAUUCUUAUAUUUUUAUUUUAAAAUUUCAAAAUUUACGAUUUUUUCCAUAAGAAAAUCUCGAGUGGACAAUGAAUUGUAAUUAAAUUAAAAACAUUCUUACUCCAUGAUAAUUUUUAUUUAUUUAUUUAUUUUUUCUUUUCUAACAUACAUAUCUCAACAUCUUGAUAUUUUAAACUAAGGAUCUAACACCUGAUCCAUAUAAGAUUUUUUUCUAAAACAAAUUAUUAAAAAUCCUGAUUAAAAGUAGAAUAAAUAAUAUCUUUUUUUCAAAUAUUACUUGAAUAAACUAAUUUCUUACCAAUUUUAUAAUUAUAAAAAUGAAAUAAAUAAAGAAGUAAAUCUAAGGAGAGCGGAUAUAGGAAAUGUUAAUCAUAUGAACAUUCUUGUCUAUUAUGGUAAUUAUAUUAUGAAAUAUGAACUUCUUUAUCAAGUCUACCUAUAUUGAUUGUAAUUCCUUAUGGUCAAGUUUACCCAAUUAAAAGUUUAACUACUUAAAAAGGAAAACUCGUGAAUUUUAUAGAUGUAAAGGUAAGGAGACAAAAUCUUAAUAACACAAACAUUCUCUCACUUAAACUUAGUUAUUAUGGUAAUUAUAUUAUGAAAUAUGAUCUUUUGUAAUGAAUUGUAAUGAAUUAAAAAUUUGUUAUUAAAAAAAAAUUGUUAAUUGUAUCCCUUAAAUCUCUUAACACAUCCACCUAUUUUCUAUUUUGCAAAAAUAAAUUUUAUAUUUAAAAUCCCUAAAACACCCUUUUCUUCAACAUUACCAUAUUCAUACAUAAACCCUAACUCUUAACACCCUCUUCUUCAACAUUACCAUAUUCAUGCAUAAACCCUAACUCUAUUUCAUCUUCUUUUCCUUUCCUUUCCUUAUUCUUCUUCCCUUCCUUUCCUCCUCAUCUUCUUCUUCAAUUUUUAUUUUUUAAAAUUUUUUUAUUCAUUUAUUUUCUCACUUUUAAACAAAACCAUUGCCAGUGAAAGGUGGCGCUGCCCAACCCCACAACCACCCCCCCAAGCACCUGAGUUUGUCAAAUGGACGUCCACAGAAAGGAUUUCACUGAUGGGCAAUCGAAUUGAGAAGUUAACAGGAUCGCCCACAUGCCCCAAUCUCUCAACACUUCUUCUGGAUUUUAAUACCGAUUUGAAAAUGAUAAGCAACGGUUUUUUCCAAUUUAUGCCCAGUCCAAGAGUAUUGAGCUUAUCAAAUACCAAAAUAGUUGAGUUACCAUUAGAUAUUUCUAAUUUGUUUUCUUUGCAAUAUCUUGAUUUAUCUAAGACAGAGAUAAAGAAGUUAUCAGUUGAGAUAAAGAAUCUCAUCAAAUUGAAGAGUUUGAAAUUGAAUAAUACAUCUAAACUGUCUUCAAUUCCAGGAUGACUAAUAUGAUCAAGUCUUUCAAUGCUGCAAAUGGUUCACAUGUACCGAUGUGGACUUUAUGAAUCAGAUGGUUAUGAGUCCUUGAAAGAGGAAUUGGACAGUUUGAAAUACUUGGCCCAAUUGCAUAUCAUCAUAGCAAGUGUCUCUGUGUUCCAGAGAUCUUUAAGUUUAAGAAAGUUGCCGAGUUGGACUCAUGGAAUCUGCCUCCGGAUUUUCAAAGAUUCAAGCUCACUCGAUGUAUCAUCUCUCAAAAAUAUAAAGCUUCUCACUUGGCUUGCGAUAGAUAGAUUUUGAUAGUUUGAGAGAGAUUAAGUUUGAUUGGGCAGGGAAAGGAGAGGAAACAGUGGAGUAUAGGAAUCUCAACCCAGAGGUCAAAUGCUUCCAUGGCCUUGGCUCUGUGUACAUCUGUAAAUGCCAGAUGUUGAAGAAUAUGACGUGGCAUAUUUUUGCCCCAAACCUCAAAUAUCUUGCAAUAGGAGAAUGUGAUGAAAUAGUAGAAGUGAUAGCGAAAGGUGCAGAGGAUGGAGGAAAUCUGAGCCCGUUCACAAAACUCUUAUAUCUAACCUUAUUUGAUUUACGACAACUGAAGAGUGUGCACUGGAAUCCCUUGCCCUUUCUUUACCUAGAGAGAAUUGAAGUAGAUGGGUGUCCGAAGCUGAAGAAGCUACCACUCAACUCCAACAGUGCCAAGGAACGUAGAGUUGUGAUUACAGGAAAGCAGUUGUGGUGGAAUGAGUUAGAAUGGGAGGAUGAAGCUACUCUAAAUACUUUCCUUCCCUGUUUCCAAGCAAGAUAAGAAUAGGGGGCUAAGGUAUGAUUCCAAUUAAAAUCAAACCAAAUAUGAUAGGAAUGUGUAUUAUUCUUUAAUUCACUCUCUAAUCAGUCACUUUUCAUUUUCAGGAUUUGAAGGAAUAAUAAAUAUUUAGGUGUUUGUUGUGGACGUGAGGUAAUGCCUUGAAUGUUCAUAACUUGGUACUAAUGGUUUUAAUAUUCCAUUUUUCUUUUUCAGGACUUCCUUUUUUGGUAAUUAAUAUUUAUGGAACUGAUUGAGAUUGUACUUUCAAGUUUUUGUUGUGCUUAAUCUUCAUUUCAGGGAUUUCUAGUUUCGACUCAUGCUUCUCUUUAGAAUUUUAUUUUUAUAUUUUCAACAUGUUUAUUUAAGUUCCAAAUCCAAUUAUGAUGAGAAAAUAUUCAAUUUUAAAAUCCAUUUCCAUAUAUUAUGAUUAAUUAAUAGAUGUAAUUAAAACCUUUACAUCUGUUAAAUAGGGUAUUAUUUAACACUAAAACCUUUUUUUUAGUGUUUUAUAAAAAUAUGGGUGUUCAGAAAGUUGUUUUUUAAAUCAUUUUUAAAAAUAAAAAAAUAAAAAUUUGUUUGGAUAAAUUGUUUUUAAAAUAUUUUUUAUUUUACAAAAAGAUUAUAAAUUCAAUUUAUAUAAUAGAAAUUUAAUUUAAUUUAAGUCUUAUUGAAAUGAAAAUAUUUUUUAAUUACAAAUAAAUUUAAAAAUAAAUAGUUUUUAAGAAAAUAUGAAUAGUAAUGAUACAAUAAAAUUAUUAAUUUUAUUUUUUAUAAAUAAAUAUUAUUUUAGUAUAUACUAGAAACAUAAGGAUAUUAACAUCCUCAUAAAUAUUUUUUUAUUAAAAAUAAAUGAUAAUAGUUUAAAAAUAAUAAUCAUUAAUAAUUUUUAUUUUAAAUAAAUAAUGAAUAAAGUUUUAACAUAUAUAUGAAUCAAUUUUUUCAUUAUAUGCACACAUAUAGUACCUAAUUAUGAAUAUAAUAUUUUAAAAUCUCCAUCACCUCAUUUGAGGUUUUGAACUUUAUGAGAAAUUCAAAUCAUCAACAAUAGAAUUGCUCUUUCAAUAUCAAAGGCUCCUUUUGGCGUCAAUACACCGCCAGUUAGUUAUUGAAACAACACGUUGAUACACAUAUCUAAGUCUUAUAUAUUGGAAUUUACCAUUUACACAUUUACACAUUUUCUAUCUCAAACCGUUAGUGAAAGAUACAGGGCAAAUCUGCAUUCAAAUGAUCCGAGCCUGUCAUGUACAAUCCAAGCUCAAAAGUCAAGCUUAAUUCACACAAAAAAGCUGGUCAGCGCACCAAGCUCAAGAGCAAUGAUAAGACUGCCAUUUACCAACCUGACAGAAGCUUGAUAUCUCACAUGGAGAACUUACAAGGUGGGUAAGCAUUUGUUAAUUGAAACCAAUCAAUCCUGAUGUAGAAGAUGGACAUCUCACAUGAAGGGCAUAAGGUGAAUCCCUAGGAUCCUGUUGAGCAAGUUGGACUACACUCCAAUCAAGAGCUAAGAUCUUACUAUACCAAUUUAGGUUAUCCUGAUCACAUGUUAGUGGAGGAAGUGUCGUUGAUUUCCAUUUACAUAACUUUGAUUUAGUAGUUUUGGUCUAAUUGGGGUGUAAUAUACAUUAUACAAUGGGGAGAGGGAGUGCGAUGAGGUAGUAAAAACAGGCCACAACUUGUGAAAAAGGGUCCAAAGUGGAACCCCUUUUUAAGGCUUUUAAUCCUCUGCAGCUCUGUUGAAAUACUAUAACCCAGAUUACUGGUACACAAGCGUGACCAAAAACCAUCAUUUCUGGUGGAUUAUUCCUACCCUUCAUUGAGGGAAGUCUAACCCUGCAGACAAAUGCAAUCUAGAUGGCUGAUUUUCUAGCUUCCAUUAAUGGGGAGAUUUUCUCUCAACAUUCACUGACCGUUCUAAGUGGGUAAAAAUGAGAAGUUAAGAGGCAACCUACAUGAUGAAUUAGUCAUACAGAACAUGAGUCCAGAGAUAUUCUCAAGUACUUUGGGGUCCUUUAGGACAUGGAAACUACUUGAGAAAGGAAAAUAAAAAAUAAAAAUAAAAAUUAUGAAGGAACCUGUAUUCUCUUGCUUGGUUUGCUAAGGAAAAUUUUGCUUUCCCUUUUUCAUCCUUAUUUUCUUAUUCUCAUACUUCCCCUCAAACUUUUCAUGAUCUAAACAGAAGUUUGACAUAUUUAAGAAGCUACCUGACAAGUAUUUCCUUCCACAAUUGUUUAUUCAACCAAUGAGGCACUUGUUCCAUUACUCAAUUCUCAAUCUAGUUUCCCUUACACUAACCCUCAAGAAACAAAAUAACACUAAGCGGGGGUUAUUUUUCAAUAUAAAAAUUCUCUACCAAGAUAUCAGACGUCUAUGAAUUGAAAAUUUAGAACAAUAUUUUCCAAAUCACCCGUGGGGAUCCAUGAUAAGAUAAAUUAGUUACAUUCUCAUGCUUCUUUACGAACCUUUUUCAACAGACCGAGCCCAGUUAAUGGUUGAUCUGGCCAAAGCAUCCAUCAGAUCAAUACAUUUCCUAAGCAGAGGAUCAUCCCGAGGCAAAAGAUCACGCAUGUCAUCAGAGGCAAGGAUGACAGUGUUCACAGCCCUCGCCAGAAGAACUUGCAUUGCAAUUCUUAGCAGAUUCCUUGCCACUUCCAUGUCCUUUCGAUUUAAAGAUUCAAUUGCAGAAAUUACAGUGUGUUCCAUUGUUGCUUCAUCUGGAACAACAACCUCAAACCCCUGCAAUUAAAAGCAUCUUUCAGAACUUCAGAACUCCCAUAGAUUCAUAUGGAACAUCACUAUAUAUAUAUAAGCAUGCACUUCAAGGCAGUGUAUGUGAAACACGAUCAGGAGUGUGAGACUGUAAUGACACACGGAAUUCCAAAUCCUAUCAUUAUAUAAUAAUAUAAUAUAUUAAUUUCAUCAUUAUUUUAUCCAUCAUGUGUAGGUGGGACCCAGCUCCGCCCAAAACUGCAAUCCUAUCACAGUUGGCAAAACAUUUUGAAAUUCGCUUUUGAGCUCUGUUUUAAUUUCAGUAAACAGUUACAACCAGAAAUACCAAAAGGAAACAGAAUACAAGUAAGAUGGUAUUUCUGGGGGUUUUAGACAAGCUGUCAUGAUGAAGACAAGAUGGGGGUUUAGCAAAAUGGAUGCUGAUUUUGUAGUAUCGAAGAUUCAACAUUCUUUUGUUAAAGGCCAUUAAAUUUUGGAUGCAAAUUUGAAAGCCAAUGAAGCCAUAGAUUUUAGACUGAAGAGUUUGAGAGGAGGAGUGAAUCUGUAAGUUGGAUAUUCAGAAGUCCAACAGUCAUGGGAUUUGGCAACGAGUGAAUAUGUUGGAUACAAUUCCUCAUGUCUAUUGUAACAAUUUCUCUGUUUGUGAAUGGCUCUUUUUUGUUUCUUUCAAAGUCCAAGCGGGUUGAGACAAGGCACCCUCUUAUCUCCUUUGUUUGUUCUAGUUAUGAAGACUUUUAACUGUUUUGUUACCAAGGUGACAAGAGAGGCUUCUUUUAUGACUUUAAAGUAAGGGAAGAUGAAGAAAAGGGUUGGAAGUCUCCCAUUUACUCUUUGCAUUAUGAUAAAUUGUUUUUUUGUGAUUGAUCACGGACUUAGUUUUGAUGUGAAGUCAUCUCAAAAUUGAGAAUAAGCUUGAAGAAAAGUGAAAAGUCCCCAAUAUUGAAGAAUUAACCUCUUUGUUGGGUUCCAAGGUGGUCAAGUUACCCUUCUCUCUUUUUUUUUUUUUUUUUUUUAAGAUAAUCAAAGAACCUUCUAAACCCUUAGGACUCUCCAUAGAGACCCAAACCUUGGGCCUUCCCUAACAAUCGACACUGGGUAAAUCAAAGUAUCAUCAAUAGCAAGAUUUAAAAUCAAGAUCAUGUGCCGCUUAUUAGAACCACAUGCAUCUCCCAUCAUUCGCCCUAACCAACUGGGCUACCCAGCGGGCAUACCUUCCUUCUUAGUCUUCCUGGGUUUUCCCUUCAAAGUCUUCUACCAUGUCAAAUGUUCUGAAGGAGAGGCUACUUAAAAGGUUAGCCUCAUGGAAGUGCUAGUAUUUCUCUACAAGUGAAGAUUAACCCUUUUGAAAAGCAUUUUAUCCAAUGUGUCCAUUUACUAUUUGUUAUCCCAAAAAGAGUUCAUAUGAGGUUAAAAAUGAUUAAGAAAGAGUGUUGGUGGCCAGUAAGUUUUUUAAAGAAGAAACCUCAUUUAGUCAACUCAUAUACAAUGUAUUUAGAUGAUAAAAUAAAAAUUAAAUUAAAUUAAAAAUGGAGGCGUUGACAUAAUCAUUUUGUUCACAAAUAUAUAAUUUAUAUUAUUAAAAUUCACAAUAAUUAUAAAAAGGAAAAUAAUUAAAAAUAACCAAAAAUAUCUUUUUUUGAGUGAAGACACUUUUAAAUUUUCUAACUAUUUUCUAACUUUCAUAUGUCAAUAAUAAAUAAAAAAUAAAUAAUUAUUUUUUACUUUUUAAUUAAAAGAAUUUUAGAAUAUCAAUUUUCAGACCUAGGGCAUGUGCAAAACUAUAUUGUUUAUGGUCAAAAUGACAAUUGAUGAGGAUGGUACAACCCAUCCACUCCAAUUUUUAAAACCAUGUUUUUAAGCAAGGCUCCAUUAGGUAAGUAGAGUUGCAGAUUUGCCAUAUAUAGGGAUAAUAUAGAACAAUUUUUGCUCACAAAAGUAGACAUCCUACAUUAGUAAAACCUUUGUAUGCCAGUACCUAGCAUUUAUAAUGCAUAACAAGAACUACAAAACACUUCUUUCUGAGGUUGUUCAAAUUUACACUUCCAUUAAAUGGACUCCUCAAAAUGGGCUACAUCAAAUUUAACCAAAUUCAGUCAAGGAAUACUAUGACUGAAUUACCACAGGGAAUCUCUAAUUUGGUUUCAUUACAGUAUCUCAGCCUAUCAAAAACCAACAUAAAAGAGUUGGCAAUUGAGUUGAAGAACCUGGGUAAAUUGAAAUGCUUGGUGUUGUUUGACAUGCCUCAACUUUCUUCAAUUCCAGAGCAGUUAAUAUCAAGUCUUUCAAUGUUGCAAGUUAUUGAUAUGUUCAACUCUGGAAUUUCUGAAAGAACAGUACUCAAAGAUGGUAUUUUGUCUGAUGAUAAUGAAGCCUUGGUUCAGGAAUUGGAGUCCUUAAAGUACUUGCAUGGUUUAGGCGUCAGUGUAACAAGUGCCUCUGCUUUCAAAAGGCUUCUAAGCUCUGACAAGCUAAGAAGCUGCAUUUCCCGUCUAUGCCUCAAGAAUUUCAAUGGUUCAAGCUCUCUCAAUUUAACAUCUCUCAGCAAUGUAAAGUGUCUCCUUAGCCUCUAUAUCUCAAACUGUGGCUCGUUGGAAGAUUUGGAGAUUGAUUGGGCUUGGGAAGGAAAGGAAACAACAGAAUCUAAUUACCUUAACUCAAAGGUCAGUUCCCACAACAGUUUCCACAGCCUUUCGUGGCUAGGUGUCGAAAGGUGUUCGAGGUUGAAGGAUCUAACAUGGCUUGUUUUUGCUCCAAACCUUAAAGUUCUUUUAAUAACUAGUUGUGAUCAAAUGCAAGAAAUAAUAGGUACCGGUAAAUGUGGUGAAUCUGCAGAGAAUGGAGAAAACCUGAGUCCAUUUGCCAAGCUCCAAGUGCUUCACUUAGAUGAUCUACCACAAUUGAAGAGCAUAUUUUGGAAAGCCCUGCCAUUUAUCUACUUAAAUACAAUCUAUGUAGAUAGUUGUCCACUUCUAAAGAAGCUACCACUCGACGCCAACAGUGCCAAGGGACAUCGAAUUGUCAUUUCCGGACAAACCGAGUGGUGGAAUGAAGUAGAGUGGGAGGAUGAGGCAACUCAAAACGCUUUUCUUCCAUGUUUCGUACCUAUUGAAGAAUAAGGGCCUGCAGCAAUCUCAGAGAGGCUACGAUGCGAUUCUCGGUGAGACCCUUUUCACAAUUAACUACCAUUUGAUCCUGAAUAGGUAUUGGUCCAAAUAAAACAUUCAAUUAUAGCAUC